UUUUUUUUUUUUUUUUUUUUUUUUAUCAAGGGGAAGACCCCUUUCUCUUUACUACUUAUCCCUUUUAAUAAAAAUUCUUCCACAUUUUUCCACUUUAUUUUGCCAACAUUCUUUCAACCCCUUUUGCACAAAAAUGCCAAAGAUAGUAUUAGGAUAACCUUUUACAACCAUUGCUAACUUUUGACACAAGUUGCUAAAAAUUGUUGAAGAUUUGCUUUUAAUGUCAGGUAGGAUAGCAGAUUGGUUCUAAUUGAAGGUCAUUUCUUGUGGAGGACCUUACUUAUAAGUGAGAUGAUUGUUCCUAUCUUCAUGGUUUUAUGUUGUAUAGUUAUAGAGACUUUUUAGAGGCUAUCAGCUUUAGAGCAAAUUUAUGUUGUUUGUUAGGGAUUAAGUAUUUUAUUCAAAUUGGGUGAAUGGUACUACCUCUUUACUUGAGAUGGCUUUGAGAUUGGGUGGUUGAAUAGUAGUACUUUGGAAUGGUCUAGUUUUUGUUCGCUUUAGCUAUCAUUUUCUUAUGCUGUGUCUAUAGACGAGUGGAGACGUCAUUUGGAAAUUGGUCAAAUUGCCCGUGAAAUUGAUCAAAUUGUCAAGUUGUCAUCCUAAAAUUGACUAAACCUAGUUUGUAAAAAUGAGAAACGACCGUCACUAGCGACUAACAUCUUCUCAAGCUAAGUAUUAAUAGAUCCAAUCUGAGCAUAAAGGGCAUCUUAAUGUUGCAGGUUCAAUGCUCAUGAAGCAUAAUAUUUUGGAUACUUGGUGUGAGACACCUCAGCAUAAGUCUAAUCCAUAAGGAUAGUCUCCUCAGGAGGUUGAGAUGUGGGCAAUUGAAUGGUGGCAUCCAUGCCCUUGGUUUGCAUCUCCUGUUGAACAUCCUCACCCCCUAAUCCUUUAUGGUCACCCUCAGUCUCUAUCUAUAGAAUCUCUGCCUCUUACUCAACCCGGUCUUCAUUCAUAGCAGGACCCUUUCUUUUUCUUUCCAAUGAUCCAUUAGGCAAUUUCUCAAACAGCAUUCGGUCUGGAUUUUACGUUAUAGGUAUCAUAGGAUGAGGCCUGAAUGUUUUUUUCUCUUCUUAUGUCCACAUUGAAUGCUUUCAGGAUUUUUGUGAUCAGUCUUCUUCCGUUGGCCACUACUUUAGAAUUGCUUUUACAACAGUUUUUCAUGUGUUGAAAGAUGAUAAGGAAACCUUAGAAUGGAUCGGAGUCAAUAGAAAAUGCUACAUAAUAGGACACCUUGUCUCUAUGUCCACCCUUAGGUAGAAAAAUAUGUUUGAUCAUGUGGUGGUGCACCCUAGAGAUAAUGCUCAAGGCAUGGGCAUGGAGCUUUGAAGUCACUGUGUCGAUGGGUAAGUUACAUAUCCUCUAGAAAGCCCUACCUAGGUUAAAACUAGACACUAUAGGCCAUCCCUUCGUCUCAAAUAAACAAAGUCCCCCACAAAGGAUCUCCAAAAUAUCACAAAGCAUAUCAAUAUUUAGUUUAAUUCAACUCCUCUAACAAAUGUGCUAAUUGGCCUUCAUAUAUUUUAGGUUCAAGUAAAAUACCUGAACAAGGUUGGGGUAUGUAGGCUCUCUUGAUGAGAUGGUAUUGGUGAGUAUUUUUUUUUCUUCAAUACAAAACUAUUACAACACUUGGUUUUUUUUUUUUCUAAAAAAAAAAGAAAAAUAAAAAUAGUUUUAUAUUAUACUUAGUUUCAAGAAAAAUAAUAAUCAAAGCAAAAUGAAAAAAAAAUUCUCAUAUUGGUUUCUCGUGAAAAAUAUAAAAGCAAAUAAAAUACAAUUAAAAUUAAUUAAAAUCUUAUGUAUUUUUAAAUUAUUAAUUUUUAUAUAAAAAAUGAAAAAUAGUAUAAUGAAUUUAGAAGAAUAUAUAAAAAUAAUGUAUUAACUUUAAAUCUUUUUUUCUUUAUAUAUAUAUUUUCCCUUCAAUUUUCUAAUACCAACACAUAAUAAGGUUAAUGUCUUCUAGCCAACCAAUUGUAAGUCAAUUUUCAUAGAGCUUUUUUUUUUUUUUUUUUUUACAUGCCACCAAGUAGUUAUAUAAGCAUUUUUGCAUGUUAUUGUUAUCCAACAUACAAUAACUAUAACAUCCAAUUAUUAUGAACAUGAACAAUAAAAUUAGAUGCAACUAACUAUUUAGUGUAUAACAAGAAGUUGGUGAAGUAAUUCAUCCUAACAUGAUUCAACAAUUUUUGUUUAUUUUUCAAGAUUAAUUAUAACAUACCCAUUCUAUUAAAGUUGUUGAGAUAUUUGAGCAAAACUAAAAAUCAACAUUAAUUCAUUUUAUACCCACAAGAGAAAUAAGAUUUGUUUUUUUGUUUGAUAAUAAAGUAGUUGUAGUUAUUAAUGAUAAUUUUGAUCCUAAUUUAAUAGGUAUCCAAAAAAAAAGGAAAAAUGCAAGUAAACCAAUUCUUAUCUAACACAAUUAUUACCACCUUAAAAUCCUGAGGGGUAGCUCAGUUGAUCAGUUCGAGUCCCUUUAGGACCAUGAAAAGCUUACCCGAUGGUUCACCUUAAGAAAAGCAAAGCAUUUAUAUAAUUCAACUGGUAGUUGAUAAGUCUUAGAAAGGGUUUUGCCAUCAUUGGCUUCUCAGUAAAGGGCAAAUUUGGGUUGUGGCUGACAAUUAUUGAAUUUGUGAAGAAAUAUGUGAAGAAAGGAAACAAAAAGAGUUGAGGACAGAAUUCUUCAAUUAAAAAAUGGUUAGCCCAUGAACCCAUUCUUCAAACAGUAAGCCAAUGAGCCAAUGAGCCAAAAAGAAAGAAGAACAGCUGGUUUCAUCUUUUUAUCUUAAUGACUUUGACAACCCAUCUUUCUUUUAAAUACUUGUGACUUUGGAAUAUAAUUAAAAUGAAACUUUGGAAUGCCCACAUCUGAUUCACGGCCUUUUUACCUGUUUUCUUGUUUAACAUUUUUUUAAAUAUUAUAACAGAUGGAAAAACAUGAUUCUAACAGGCUGGAAAAUAGUGGAAGUUGGAACACCAACCAUAACCAAACUAUACCUUCCAUCUUUCUCCAACACUCGGAAUUAUUGAUACAAGUUGGUGGUUUUAUGAUUGUUUCUAUUGAGGGGACCCCUCUCCAUUUCCAAUUUCAAUGGAAAGGUUCUUCUUUCCCUACUUUUUUUUUUUGUUUUUCAAAUUCUUGUAGUUUUGUCUGUCUCUCUCAACAAAGCAAACUGCAAUCACUAAUUCAAAGAAAAGGAAUCCUAAAUGAAAAGAAAAGAAAGGAAAGGAAUGGUAAUUUAGGCUAUGAUGAUGCUCCUAUAUAAUGGCUGUAAGUCAAUAACAACACACUGGACCCGCCUCCUAUCUCAAAAGAUCACAAACCCAAAUAUCAUAUACUUCCAAAUUUCAAUUUGGUUCCCUGUUUAUAUCACAAUCUGUCCUAUAUCCUCUUAAUACAUCUAAAAUCUCUCUAUAUCAUAAAAAUAAUGAUGGAAAAAAAAAUUAAAAAGAAAGAAGGAAAAAAUGACAAAAAAAAAAAAACCUUGGUGCUGCUAUGGGUCCAUAGGAAUUGGCAGGACUGCACUUCUGGAUCCCCUUCCAUGGCCAAAAGAAAAGAAUGAUCUUCGGAAUCUGCUGCUGCAACCUUCACUAGGGCUGAAGUCACUGACAGGCCUGUUCUGUUGCAAAAUCUCUUGAAUUGCUAAAUACAGCUGCCUGUCGUUGGAUGAGUCCAUUGAAAAAGACCUCCUGAUGGGUUGGAUUGAGAACUGAUCAUCUUUGCCUCUAGUGUCAAUGCACUCAUCACCCAUGCUUGCAACAUGAUGAAACUUCCUUGCCUUUUUAGGCACAAUUCUCUGCUCUAGCUUCCUAGGUGAUGGACUAAUUGAUGGCGCAGAUAACUCUCUGGAAUUCAGUCUUUCUGGUGGCCUAAGCAGUGAUGAAUCAGCAGAACUAUCAUUUCCCAAUUCAAUUACUACAAAAUCUUCAUCCCCUCCUAUGUAAUUAUUGGCGUAGGGGCUUGGAUCUUGGGGGGAAGAGCUAGGAGCAAUGAUUUGGUGAACAGGAAACCGGGGUGUGGUUGAAAUGCUUGUUCUGCAAAGUGGGCAAUUAGCAUUGCUUUGAAGCCACACGUCUAUGCAAUCUAUAUGAAAUAUGUGACUGCAGUUUGGUAUGAUUCUUAGCUUCUCUUCUUCUUGAAACUCAUUCAAGCAAACCGCACACUCGCAAUGGCUUCUUUCUCCAAACUCUCUGCCACCUCCUUUCCUGAACUGGAAUAUUGGGAUUGAUCUGAUGACUGACUCGUCCAGGCCUCGACUCUCGAUUGCUGGGGAGUACACCAUUAAAGGGUCUUCCGGGUGCCGACUCCUUGAGAAAGAAAAUCGUCUCAGCAGAUCAAUCCGGUGCCAAUUGAGGCAGCAUUUGAUUACAAAGAUGUAGUAGCUCACCAGCAAGAAAGCAGUGGCCAGGAUUCCUAUUACGGCAAUGGCUAUAAUGGGGAAACUGGUGUCCGAGGAAUGAGAGGGAGAAGGAAGCACUGAGCUCGCCUGGCUUUUGAUGGGAGAAAAGGCUUGUGAUCCAUGGAUGGAGGAGUCUGUGCUCACAAGAUCCAUGAGAGAGGCUAUGAAAAACAUUUAGAAAUGAGUCUAUUCGGAUCUUCAAUUCACAGAAACAUGCAAAUGCUAGAAUAAAAUCGACAGACACUCAGAUAUAGACCCUACAGUUGUAAUGCAGCAUACCAUAAAUGUGAUUGAGUGAGUGAGGCUGAAACAGCAAAUGGGUCACUUCAAGAUCUCAACAAGACAGAAAACCCAUGUUGAAUUCACCAGGAGAGUAUUGAAAAGGGAAAAAUUAAGGACAUAUAGCUGUAUUGAAAGUUGAAACAAAUGCAGAAACAUAGAGAAGAGAGAGAGAGGGAGAAAACCCAGGAGGGUUGAAUGAGAGCGCUGCUGGGGAAGACAUCAAAACGCUUCAAAUUCAAUGAGAAUCUGUUGGGGACCUCUUUAAGAGGACUGCACAAAGCCUGAGCGUAGGGUACGUGGUUGGUUGGUGAAUUUCUCGGCUUCCAAAAGAGAAAUUUGGUGAGAAAAUUUUCAAGUCUCUUGAUUAUAGUAACGUAGCGUUUAUUUUAAUUUUAUGUAACCGAAACUAAUGGGCUGGUUCAAAAAAAUAAAAAAUAAAAAAAGGAACUUUCUAGGAUAGGCCAGCAGUCCACCGUUGGUCAUGUGGUUUCUUUUGCAUGUCCACAUCUUCCAACUAGUGGAGGUCCCUGUCACAACAGUAAGAAAACACCCAAUUGAAUAAAAGUAUGAACUUUUGGCUCCCAAUAUUACUUAUGCCCUCAUUCAAUACCUCAAAUAAAGCAGAGAUUUUGUGUCCCAACUUUUAUGAUUUCAUUUCAUCUUACUUCAAAUGCUAAUGACAAAAGUCCAAGUAUAUUCUGUAAUCACCCACACCCCAAUAGUUUUGAAUCACACUUGAAAUAGUUCCCAUGCUUUCUUAAUAAUUUAGAUAAUUAUUUACAGAAAAAAAAAUUCAGAACAGGAUGAUAAUCAUUUUGUGAUAGCAUGGAAGAAACUUUACUAGCCACUUUGGCCCCAUGAAGUUGAGUACUUGAUGCCAAUUAAUGGCAGGGUGGAAAAUAGAGAAAAGGGAUCAUAGUCAAAUCUAGAGUACAAGGCAUUGAAUCUUUGUUAAUAAUUAACAAAUGGGUAAAGCAUGGGUCACAGGGUCUACAGUUUGGAUUGCAAAAACCUCAGGCUUCUAUAAAAAGCUCAUCCAUUAUCAAUCAUCAAUCUGAAAGCCAGAAAGUCCAAGGCACAUGCAACCCACGACAGGGGUAAGAUUUCUGCAUCAUGUCCCUGAGUUGCAUUCACAUCAUAUGUUUCCCUCCGGGCCGUUCCAAUUUGAAAUCUCAUGGAAAUCUUCAAGAGCAAGGCUACAGAGUUUAAGAUAAUACUAGGGGUGGGUCCUGAUGGGAAAAGAGGUAGUGUAGGAUAGUCAAUAAAGGGCAUGUGUCUCUGGUGUGAAGUCAAAUCCAGUGUACCAUCCUCAAUGGAAAAUUUAGAAAUAGAACCGACACUCUACAGACUGCCGUGUUGACAGAUUAGAGAAAGACAAACCCACUUACACUUGCCUCAAAACCCAGUCCUGCCAUUUCAAAGGCAAAAAAAAAGGGUUUCUUUUUAUAGUCAAAGGUUGAGGCCUGGCCUGGCCUAGCAAAGAAACUUCACCUACUCUUUUCUUAUUUUUCAAAUUAAGGCCAUUCAACUUUUCCUGUUUGCAGGCUUGCUGCCAUAUCUUACUCCAAAAAAGGUGAAAACCCAAAAGAAAAAGAGUGUUUGCUUCAAUGGAAAACUCAUGUUUAAUAAAUUCACCGCACGAGUUUUGUUCCAGCUUUUCCUAUGAAAGCUGUGAUGCGUUUGGUAUGAAGUUGAUUUUGUUCCUAAAAAUUUUGAUCUUGGCGUGGAAGGCAACUUUUUCCUUUUCCCCCUUUUUCUUUUUGAAAAGUUCGGCAUUAGUUACCAAAUGUCCUUUUACUUGCAUGUAGGACAGCGGAAGCAUUACACAUCGCAGCAAAAUCCCAUUUACCCGAAUUUUCCACUAACUCUUUUUAUUUUUUACCAUCAUUUUUUAAUAGAAGUGAUGCACUCUUCAAAUUACAUGAAGCUUUUAAGAAGGUAAUAACCCGUUUCAAAGCGAACUUAACCUACAGAGUAUGUUUUAAAAAUAUUUAGGUAUUUGAUAAAAUUUAAAAAAUAUUUUUUAAAAUCUUUAAAAUGAUUUGUAAUAUUGAAAAUUUAUUUAUACUUUUUUUAAUAAAAAAACAUUUUAUAGGUAAUUUUUCUAAAAUACUUUUAGAGAAAAUGUCUUCCCUUCACUAUAAAUAUUAUAUACUAUCAAAUACACUUUAAAAAUCUGUUUAACAAUAAUUUUAUAAAGUGUUUUUAAUUUUAAAAAUAUUUUUAAAAACAAAUUAAAUUUUUGAUAAAAUUUAAAAAAUCUUUUUAAAAAUUUUGAAAAAUAUCUCGUAAUAUUAAAAAAUAUAUAUAUUUAUAAUGUUUUUUAUAUAAAUACUCAAAAUUCAUUUAAUAGUGAUUUUAGGAAAUGUUUUUAAUAUUUCUAAUACUUGAAAAUUUUUUAUCAUUUAAGUAUUAAAAAUAUUAAAAACACUUUAUAAAAUCACUUUCAAAUGGACUCUUAAUGAUUUUACUAAAAACACUUUUCAUAGAAAACAUUUAUAAAAAAUAAUUAUGAAAUACACUCUAAAUUAAGUAAAAGUUGUUUUUAACAUUACCACUAUUUAUUAAUAGUGCAUUUGUUUAAAAUAUUUAUAUGAAAAAUUCAUUAGGGUGGGAUAUAAAUAUAGAAGUGUUUUUCUUUAUAUAUUUUUUAUAAUAAAAAAUGAUUUUUGAAAUUAUAAAAUUUGAAUUUAAGAAUCAUUUGAUAAUAAUUUUUGUUAAAGCACCUUUAAUACGUGGUGCUUCUAUUGAUAGCGCUUUCAUUUCUAUGAAUGGCUAUAAAUUAUAUUUGAAUAAAUUUUUUAUAAUGUAUUAUAUAAUAAAAAAAAAGUCAUUUUUAAAAAAAUUAUACAUUAAAUGAUUAUUCAAAUAGUAUUUCCUAAAUUUUAUUAAACAUUUUUUUCAAAAAAAAAAAAAAAGUUUUCAAAUACUAGAAAACGUUUUUAAUCUCUCACACGAUCACAUCCAAACAAGUCCUAAUGCUACUCCUAGAAACACUCCAAAACAAAAGUCUUCCUCUAUUAAUGUUCAUAAAAUCCACAUAUAUUCUUCCAUCGUUUUUUCAAAAUUCAAAAUCAUUUCUAAAACAUCAAAUCAUGUUCUUUGGAUUGGCUGACUUGUUUUUUGAAAAUAGAAGGCUCAUUAUUGACGUCCGUUGACUUCAUAACCCAGUCUUGAUCUCUUGAUGGAGGGCAUAAAUGUAAAUUGGACGAAACCCUAGGGUGCGCUAGAGUGUAGAGGAUGAAAGGUUGGAAAAAGGAUGAGGUGGGGGUGUAAUAAAGAGGAGGGUUGGGAGAAUGGGACAUGUGUAGGUGAAGCAUUAAAUUCAAGACUAUGCUUACCAACAACAUAUAAAUAAAUAAAUAAAUAAAUAUAGGAACAGCACAUGGGGUGAGUAGGAGACAUCAGAAGAUGUGAACAACCCCUUGUCAGUCCAAUUUGCGUCUUUUAUCUACUCUAUUAUCUAUAUCGAUUUUCGUAUUUAUUUAUUUAUUUAUUUAUUUUUACCAUUUGAUUUUGCAUGGAUGUCGAAGGGUUUAUUGGCUGCCACGUGUAGGGUUAUGGUCAAGAUCACGUGGGGUGCCUACAUGGGAGUCACGUGAGUGCAUGAGGCAGGCUUGAAUUGCAGGAGGAGCAGGAGCAGAGCAGUGGCUGUUGUCUUAAGACUUUGCUCUCUUGGUGGAACUGCAGCUUAAGCAGCAUCCACGUGUUGUCACGUGCAAUGCGAGCCAUCCACACCACCAGUUUCUUUUUAGUGAUUUUCUAAAGUCAGUUAAGGUUGCAGUCAAUACCUUCAAAUGUUGACAGAGUUAGGGAUCUUUGUUAAAUGGAUUUUAUUAAGAUAUUAGUAAGUUAAUUAAUUGAGGGUCAACAUAACAGAUGGGUCGGGUUGGGUUGAAUCUGAAUUUAAAACGAUUUAAUUUAUGUUUAAUCAAAUUUAACAUUUAACUCGAAGCACUCAACUUAAGUUUAAUUGAAUCUUAGUUUUCAAAACAUUAUUUAAAUUUGGGUCAUUUGGAUUAAAGUCAAAUGGGUUAGAUUAAUCGGGUUAUAUGGUUCAAAAUCCACUUACCUUAUUUUUUAUACAUUAAUAUUAAAAUUUAAAUAAAAAAUAUUAGAAGAAAUUUCAAACUUGGGAUUAGUUGAUUGUAGCCAUGCAUUUGGAUGUUGGUAUUCUUGUUUCUUGUCUUGUUUCCAAAUACCCUUUCAAAUCGCUUUGUUAUUCAAUAGCAUCCUCCCGAUCAUUUAAAAAUUUAAAGAGCAUUGGUAUGAUGGAGGAAUUCAGAAAUUUUAGUUGAAUAAGUAAAAUUUUUCUCUCAUAAAACCAAAUAGCCUCUAUAGCUCAGUGGUAGAGCGUCAGUCUUGUAAACUGAAGGUCUGUAGUUCGAUCCUGCAUGGAGGCAACUUUUUAUAUUUCAUGAUCCAUUAUGCUCUAGUGAUUUAGUUUUCAUUAUAAUUUUAGAUUAAAAAAUUACAUCAACAUUUGAUAAGUUGGUUAUGACUUUGAUAUAAGGAUGAAACUAUCAAUAAUAUAUAUAAAUAUUUUGACACAAAAUAUCUAAUAUAUUAAAAAAUUAAAAAAAAACUCUAAAAAACAUUAUAAAAUUAUAUAUAUAAUUUAUCAUAUUUAAUAAUAAUAUCUUCUACCCUAAUAAAAAAUAUAAAUUUUAUAAGCAUACAUUUAUUAUUACAUUGUAUUAUAUAUUAUUUUACAAGAAUAUUAUGAUAACAUGUCUAAUUUUAAAAUAUAUUUAAUAUUAAAAUUAUCAUCAAUUUUAAUUUAAAUGUAUUUAAUGAUAUCAAAUAAUAUAUAUAUAUAUAAUUUUUUAAUAUUUAUAUAUUUUUAUAUUUAAUAAAUAUAUAAAUUAUGUAAAAAAAAAAGACCUAUUAAGAAGAUUAUGUUUUUAUAUUUGGAUCAAAAUUAAGUUUUUCCGAUAAAAUAUAUGAAACUAUUGAUAAAUUAUUGAUUGAAACGUGAAAAAAAAAAUUCAAAAAAUAGAUGAGAUAUUAGUAAAAUAUCCGAAAAUAUUGAUUGAUGAAUAUAUCAUUUCAAAUUUUGCAUCAACAUCCACAUAUGUUGGAUAUAUUGGCCAAAUAUAUUUAAACCUUGUUUCCAUGAGAAGUCUUUCCUUCAACAAUUUCAAAAGGUUAAUGAGGUGGUUUCCAAGAGAUGUGUGUAGGGGUCUCCAACGGGCGGGCCGGGCCAGCGGGCUUUUUGAAAUAAGCCAAAAUGGCUUUCAAAAAAGGGAAGGGAGAGGAUUUAAACCCCUUCCUUCAUGCUUAAAUUUCAAGGUUCUAACCAAUUGAACUACAUUCCUUUAAUGUUUAUUAAUUGAGUUAGUUAUAUAUAUAUAUAAAAAUAAAGUAUAUUAUUUUUUAAAGGGGCGGGCCUACGGGCUGGGCCGGGCCGAAAGCGGGCCACGGGCCACGGGCUUUUUGGAGACCCUUGGAUGUGUGCAAUCACAUUUGGUAUUAUAGGUGACAAAGUUUGAUAAAUGAGUAAUUAUUAGGUUAACUUAUAAAAUCCGAAUUUGAUUUAAAUUGAUUCAUUUAAUAAUCCCAUUUAUUUACCCAAUUAAAACUUUAAAUUAUUUAACUUAUAUUUAAUUUAAUUAAAAUUUGUUUUUAAAUAAAUAGAUCAAUUAAAACAUAAACAUAUUUGAUUGAAACAUUAAUAAUAUAGAUUUAAAUAAGACCUAAUUCAACCUAACGAUCAAAUAGAAAUAUCUAAUUAUUAAAUAAAUUAAACAUGUUACUUGCUUAAUAAUUAUGUGACAUUUGAAUUUAUGCUUUUGAUAUAAUUAUUAUUUAUAUCAGGUUUAUAUAAUGAAAUAUCUAGACUUUGACACCAGUCAACAUUGUCCACCAAUACAGAUUGCAACUCUUAUAUGCUACAUCACAUCAUGUUGAAGGAAGAGGAUGACGUUCAUUGGCAGCAGAGCCUCCAAUCAUAAGGAGCUUGAGCAAAUUCAAUCUCAACACUGAAAUUCACUAGAAAAAAAGUUUAUUAUUGAUACUUCAUUUGUGUAAAAGCAUUAUAUUUCUUGCAUCAAUCGUAAAGCAUGACAUUCCAGUAGGUACGGAAGAGAAAAUUUGUUAUGAAUUGAAAAAUCUGUCAAGCUUAAUUUGGAGGGCCCAAAAUUGACACGUUUAAGAGCUCUAUCAUUAGCCCAAUGAUAAGAGUCCAUUUCUUGAGUUUCAAGGAAGGCCCAAGUUUAACUUAGAGGGCCCAAUCUUGGUACCUUCUAAAAGGUGCAAACUUUGGCCCAAUUAUAAAAGCUUAUCCUUGCUUCCUAAGCAUCAAUGAUAUAUUUGAUCGAAGUAUUCACAUAACUAUCACGAAAUGAAAUGAAAUGAAAAUGUAUAAGUAAAUGAUGAUUUUGAGUUAUUUACUGACAAUAAAGAAUUAGGUGGUGUUUGUUUUUUUUUUUUUGGCUUUUUACUAAAAGCAAUUUGUUUUCAGAAUUUAGGUUAUUUAUUUUUCUAUUUUUUCAUGACUUAUUAUAAACUUUUUACUAAAUAAGAAAAUCCAAAAUAUAUAGUUUUUUCUAAAUAGAAAAAAUAACAUAUUGGUUUUCUUUUUUUUUUACUUUUUAAUAUUUAAUAGAAAUAAAAUAUUAUAAAAACAAACAACCUAAUAUUUAACACUAUUAAGUAUUAAGGUUUUAUUUAGAAUUAAGUAAAAAAACAAACACUACCUUAAAAUGAAAAGUAUGUAUAAUGACCUUAUACAAAAAAAGUCUCAUUAUUUUCUUCCAAAGAACUCAUACUUUUGUUUUUCAACUAUUACUUUGUUUUUAUUUUUUAAAUAAUAUUUCAAGUUUUUUUUAAUAAUACCUUUCUCUUUAUUAGAUAAUUUUAAUGACUUUAAAAGUAUUUUAAUAUAUUAAUUUAUUAUAUAAUUUUAAUGAUUUAAAAAUAUUUAAAUGUUGAAAUAUUUAUUUUCAAGUCUAAUUUUAAUUAUUUAUUUUUUGAAGUAUUUAAAUAUAUAAUAAAUGUGGGAUUAUGUAAAUCUAGUUGUAAUUAUUUAUUUCAUUCUAUUCAUGUUUUUAGUUGAAUUUGCUCAAAAUUUACACCUCUUUAUUUAAAGAUCAUGGAUUAGUUAGGUGUCUUGAGAUUUUUUUUCUCUCAAGACACUACUUGUUACACUAGAAAAUAAUUUGUGGCUAUAUUUUUUAGGCAAAAAGAAUUAUAUGUUAAAACUUCCUUUAUUGACUAGUUUAUCAUAGGGUGUAGAGGAAAGUUUGUGAUGUCUUUUUAUGUCAACUUUGGGAGAAAAAUAUCACUUUAGCAUUUUCCUUAGAAAAUUUUCAUACAUAAUUGAUUUUGGAACUAUGGAGGAGCAUAAGUAGGGAUAGAUAAUUCGAUUUUGGAAAAAUUAUAAUAGCUUUUCAACUUGGUGUUAAUGAUAUAUUGUUUAUUUCUUAUUUUUUUUCCAUUUUAAUAUAUAAUUGGGGAUUUUAAACUUGUAGAACAAGGCUUUUUCAAUUGAAUUGACACGUACAUAUGAAAGUUCUCUUUGGUUGCUAAUCACAUUUUUUUUUCUUUUGCUUUUUGUUUUUAUCAUAAUGAAUAUUGAACUCGAAAUUCAGUUUUUAAAAUCUUAUGAUGUUUUAAAGUUUAUAAAUAUUAUUGAUUUUUAUAAAUGAUGUUAUUCAUAUCUUGGUAAAGACAAUAUUUUCAUAUCGGUCAAGAUGAUUAAUAACAUAUAAGUUCAUAAAGAAAAACCUAUUGAUUAAUGGAUAUUUAAUGAUUUUUAUUAGGAAUGUUUUUUAAUUAGUUUCAAUACUCAUCUUUUAGAGCAUACAUAUAGGGUUUUAGAUGCUACAUUGGUUUUCAGCUUGUGAUUUAAAUUAUUGAAGCAAAAAAUGAGGGUUUUGCUUUAUGGAACUAUCUAAAGGGAGGUGAAUUAGGCGGUCUUCCUUUUUAAAAUCCAAAAAUUAGAUUUUUAAUACUUAUAUUAGUUAUACAUGUGUUCAAUAAUUAAAACAAAGAACAAGUCCAUAAUUUACAUGUGAUGUGCAUGGAAAAACACCUACAAAUUCUCUCAAAUACUUUACAAAUGAAAAAAAAAUCAAGGAUCGAUCAAUCACAGAGCAACUUCACUAAAUAUGAAAACAUGACUAUACAAUUUUACUUGGAUGAGGUGCUACCUUCUCUUAAGGGUUUUUACACUAGCCAACAAUUACACUCACCUUCACUCUCACCAUGCACCUCUAUUGUGCUCCAUAGUAAACACUUUAAUGACUGUAGCAAGAUUGCGAUAAAUUACUGCGAUUAAUUUGAGAGUGUUGAUAAUGAACAAAAAAUAAUGAUAAUUAACUAGAGAGCAUAUGAUUUUGUAAAAACACCAAAAAGAGGCAUAGUUAUAAGUGAAAACUUUAAUGGAUUGGAUUGAAUAUAUAAUUGAAGUAUGAAUGAAAAAUUACCAAAACAAUGUUCAAAACCGUGCUAAUCAAAGCACAAUCACUUGAGUACUCUCAUGGGGCACUUGAAUGCUCCUUUUAAUCACCGUAAUGCUGAAAUUAAUAAUUUGUCUCAAAUUGUUUUUCCAAAACAUAAAGCAAAAUAUUAUAAAUUUAUAUAAUCAAACCCAAUUUCAUCUUAAAGCUAGCCUACUUAGUCUUAAUUCAUGUCCAAAAAUACUCAUACUUGUCAAAGAAUGAAUAUGGUAUAAACAAAUUCUUUAUUUUCAAUUAUAUUCAAUUAUUGAAAGAAUAAAUCGGUUUACAUACAUUUUGAACAAAGGUAUAUACACAUAGACUAAAUCAAGGAAAUGAGGAAAUCAAUCACAAUCAAAUCAAAAUCAAAUGAUAGGUUGAUAUCUAGGAGAAGGUUAAGUUAGAACCAACUCAUGUAUUCAAUAUUCCCCCUUAAGAUGGCAUAUGGAGAUCAUGAAUAUCAAACCUAGAAAGUAAGGGAUAUGAAAUAUCUAUACCAAGGGAUUUUAUGAAAUAUCAACCAAUUGUUGUUGUGAUUAAACAAAUUGAAUAAGAAUAAUUUCAUUUCGAAUCUUUUCAUAGAUCAAGUGACAAUCAAUUUCAACGUGUUUAUUCUGUUCAUGGAAAAUUAGAUUAAUAGCAAUGUAUAGAGUUGUAUUAUUGUCACAAUAUAGAUGCAUUGACCAAGGAUGAUGAACUCCAAAAUCUAUAAGUAAAUAUUGCAACCAAUGCAAGUAGUAAUCAUUAAAUAAUAUUUCACUUUUCUUCAUGAGUGUUAUAUCAUUGAUUGCUUUUUAGAUCUUCAAGAGAUUGAUAGGCCACCAAGUAAAAUACAAUACCCUAUAAUUGAACAUCAAGAUUAUGCACAAUAGGCAUGGAGGAAGGCAAAAGAAUUCCUUGACCUAGACGAUUUUUUAAAUAGUAUAACACUCAUGUACUUGUGAGAUAAUUGAGACUACAUUGGCUUGUCAAGAAUUUGAACAUAAUUAGCAAUAUUAAGCCCUAUCAUUAUGAGUCAAAGUAACUUCCCAAUCAAAUGCCUAUAAUAAGAAGCAUCCAACAAAGGUUCUCUAUCUAAUUUACUCAAUUCCAAAUUUUGUUUCCUAGGAGUUUUUAAAGUUACAUGUUCCAAGAAAACCAAAAUCUUUUAGUACUUCUAGAGCAUGUUUUCAAUAACUUAAAUAAAUCUCAUUCUUAAAAUAUGUCAUUUCAAUGAUGAUGAAGUACUUUAAUUUUCCAAUCUCUUAGUUAGUUUGAAAAUGCUAUAUAGGUUUUCCUUGACCACCUUAAUUCCUUUAAGAUCAUUCAUUGUAAUAAUUAUAUCAUAAAUGUAAACAAGAAUGAUUGUGAAAUAGUUAUUUGAGGCUUGAGCAAAUAAGAAGUAAUAUGUACGUCUUGGCUUGCUUGUAAACCAUAAACAUCAAUGUGAUAGAUAAUUUGGCAAACCAUCAACGUGAAGCUUGCUCAAGGCCAUAAAGGGAUUUUUUAACUUUGCAAAUCAUAUUUUUGGUUCUAGAUUUCCUACAAACUUGGUGGAAGCUGCAUGUAUACCUCUUUAUCUAAGUCUUCAUAAAGAAAAACAUCGUUGAUGUCAAGUUGGUGAAGAUGUCAAAUUCUAAUUAUACAAUAAUUAGGGGUGACAAUGUGUCUUAUCGUGUUGAGGUGAGAAAUAGUGAAAAUUUACUUAAUCCGACUAUGACCCGUUUGAUAAUCGUGUCAAAAUAACCUAACAUGAAUACAAUUAGUUUAUUUCAUGUAACAUGACCCUUUUAACAUGUUUAAUAAAUAUAUUAACUUGGAUUAUGUAUUAAUUGACAUGAAUAACUCAUUAACUUGAUUUCAACCCCUUAAACUCAUUAACACAAUUCCAACCCAAUAAACUCGUUAAUAUGAUUUAACUCAUUAAACUUGUUAAUAGGAUUAUAACCUCUUUAACCUAUUUAAAAUUUUAAAUUUAUAAAUAAUAAAAUACUUCUAGAAAGUUUAAUUUUUAAAAUUUGAACUAUAAUACAUGUAUGCACCAAUUUCAUGAAGUCCUGAAAAAUUAGCAAAAUUAUAGAAAAAUAAUAUAAACAAAAAUUUGUAUUAAAAUUAAUAAGUAUGGGCUACAAUAUUAGUCAUAGUACUGCUUAUUUCUGAAUGACUUUAUUAAAAAGCGAAGAAUACAUGUGUAGUUCUUAUGUGAUUUCUUAAACUUGUAAGGCGAUUUUAUAAAGUUUUUUUUUUCUUUGUGAAACCUCUUUUUCUAUGUGAAAUUGUUUUGCCGAUUUGAAAUCUUCAUUAAAGGAAGUUACUAUUAUUUAUAAUUGAAAUUAGAGAAUGAAAUGUGGAAUCCCCAUGAUUUAGUUGCUUAAUUCAAGGAAUUUGAUUAAUUGAUUUUGGUAACUUGUCUCAUAAAAUUUUCUAACAAGAAUAUUUAUUUUUAAUCUCUUUUAUUUCAAUUGGAAUAUUUGUUUCCUUUGUAAAUUUGUCAAUAGAAUAUUUAUUUAUUUAUUUAAUUCUCUUUUGACUACAAUGAGAAGAUUUGAUUUUGUUUGUAAGACUAAAUUUUAUAACCUUUCAAAUUUGGCCAAGUGACACCUUUUGAAUAUAUGUCACAUGUCAAAUGUGUGUGACUCAUUAGUUGUUGAACCUAAAUUUUCUUGAAUUAGAAAGCUAUACUUUUGAAGACUAAUUUAGUGAUAAUUUAAUUCAUUAAAUUUUUUUGGUGUCUACAGUAUAUUUAUAAUAUGAAAAGUAAAUUAAAAUUUUAAUUUUUUUACUUGUUUAUUAUUUUAUUUAUUAUUUAAUGAUAAAUAUUUUUAUUCUUUAUUGAAAUAUAUAAAAUUUUAAUUAAUAUUUUAAUUUUUUUAAUUUCUAUAUAUAAAAUAUAUAGAUUUAUAUGGUCUAAUUGAGUCAUUAAAAUAAAUAGGGUAAAUAACUCACACAUAAGUGAUGGAUCAUUCUAACAUGAUUAAAUUAACAAGUUAGAUGAAUUGAGUAGUCAAAUACAAACAUGAUUUGUUUAUUAAAUAAGUUAUAUGAAUUGAUACGAUUAUGACAUCAACUCAAUUAAACUUAACUCAAAUAAGCUUUGUCUUUUAUUUUAAGUUGUCUAGUUGUUCACACAAAUUUUCUCAAAAUAAAGAAAUUAUAUAUAAAAUUGUAAAUUUGAUUAUUUGAGGGGACCAUUUUCAAUACUCUUUUUUAAGUAAUCUGGUGUUUAAUUUUGAAUCAAAGGGGCUUUCAUUAACAAAUAAUAGACUGUAGUUUUCAUAUAAGAAGAAAUCUCAAGCCUUUUUUUCUUGAAGGAAUCUUUAAAUUUUCUUUGAUACUUUAAAAAAUCAAUCUUCUUUGAUUUUUUAAGAAAUCUUUGAAUUUUCUUAAAGUCUUCAAAAAAAAAAAAAAAAAAAAAACUGAGUUUAAGGAAUUUUUUUAAUAACUCUCCAAAUUUCUUUGAUAUUCCAAAGUGUCCUUUAGAAGGGGACAAAUCCUCUAUUUACAGGAUUGAGAGUUUUAUUUUAAUAUUAUCUCUUAAUUUUUAAGAAAUAACUCUCUUAUUUAUGAUAAUUACUAUUUAUUUUAUUUAUCAUAAUUAGUUGCCUAUGAUAAUUAUCAUAAUUAAUUUUUCUAGAGAUAAAUAAUUAUAUAUAUUUAAUUAAUCAUGAUAACUAUAAUAUUUAUUUAAUUUUUUAUUAAAUUAUUUUACAUAACAUAUCAAUAUAUAUUAUUAGUCAAUUAUUAACACCGAAAAUUAAUGAGUUGGCAUAAAAUUUAUCUCUCUAUAAUAGUAUCAAAGCGAGCCUUAAUAAUAACAUUGCUUAUAGUCAAUUUCACAUGCCAACUUUUUACUGGGCAUUGGCGAUUUCAAUUUUGAUAGUCCGGUUAGAAAAAGUAGGUAAAGAUUAUUUGAUGUGGUAGGUCAUUUCUUUCAUAAAGACGAUGGCGGUGAAUUCAUGAGACAGGUGAUAAAGGAGAGAUUCUUUCUUUUGGCUUUGGAAUUUUAAUGAGGUCCUCGAUCCUCAUCCAAAAUACACCUCUCCAAUUAUAAAAAUCUUAUUAAAAAAAAAAAGAUUUGACAUGUGCCUUUCGAACUGCUGGUUUUCUGUUCCAAAAAUGAGAAUGGUUUCAAGUGGAUGAAGGAAGGUGAAGAACCCUUGGUUUUGUUAAGCGAAAAGCCACAUGAUUAAAUAAACAUAAGGCGGCAAAGGCUGAAAAUUUAAAAUUAUACUAAGGAACCCACCCCACAGGGCGACUACACUUUUGGUGAAGCCACGAGAAUGAAAGAUAUCGAAGGUGACACCAAGACAUUAAGCAGCACCAAGGUUUCGAUAUAUUAUAAGAUGGGAUCUUAUGAAAGACGAUCUCUAAUCUCUCUCCAAUCUCUUCUUUAACCUUUUCUUACUUAAAUCCAUUUCCAUGGUAGGGCACAUGUCCAGCUGACCCUACCCCCUCACCUACCUAUACUGCUAUACCCUUUUGUAUAAUUUGAUAUGGAUUGGAAGCCACCCCAACAUCUUUCUAAUUGCUCGUAAAUGUUGAGGUGCCUUUCCAUUUUGAGGCUGCCCUAAUGUGUGGCUGAAGUACGUAGGAAAAAAAAAUUGUGAUACAUGCACUGACGAAUCAAAUCCCAAUGUCAAAUUAUUAGACUCACCUGGUUCUUAAAUUAUUGUGAAUGCCGCUGGCCAUGGAUAAAUGGAAUUAGUGCGUGGCUUAAUGAAAAUUUAUUUUGAAAGGGAUAUUAAUUUGAGAGAAUUUUGGCUGAUACUUGGAGUUGAACGUAAGCAUAUAUGACCUCAUUUCGGGUGUGAUAUUGUGCUUAUAACGAACCUUUCGUUCUUUCCAAUUCCAGUGGGUAUUAAAUAAUUAAAGAAUUCAUGGUUCGAAGGCGAAAGGUAGAAGACCAAAAAGGGAUUACAAAGCCAUCGGCUUGACCAUCCAGAUGCAAUGGAUACAAACUUUGGACUCUAUCGAAAGUUCUUUGGGCACGUGCCCAAGUGUCCUACCCAUAUGAUAAGUUACACGUGGCUAAUUGCGGACCGGUUGCUCGUGCUAAACAGGGUACUUUUUCUACGCAUAUAAGAUGUUUCACUAGUGGGGCUUCACCAUGCAAACUCAUGGAUGAAGACCCUGAGGCCAAGAUGAAGGAACAGAAAGAAGGCGGAGGAGAGGUUCGGUAUCGAGGCGUUCGGAGGCGGCCAUGGGGGAAGUUUGCUGCGGAGAUACGUGACUCGACUAGGCAUGGAGCGCGCGUCUGGCUCGGGACUUUCAAUUCUGCGGAGGAGGCUGCAAGAGCAUAUGACCGAGCUGCUUAUGCCAUGAGGGGUUCCUUGGCGAUUCUCAACUUCCCUAAUGAGUAUCAUACACCCGGCACGGCUAGCUCUUCAGCUUCAUCCUCAAUGCCCGAAGGUGAUCAGCAGGGAAAACAAGUCAUUGAAUUGGAGUACUUGGAUGAUAAGCUGCUAGAGGAUCUUCUCGACUCUGAAGACAAAAAGAACAAGAAAACCUGAAGUUUCUGCUGCCUCGAAUCCCCUGAAAUCUAGUGCUUCAUCGAAAAAAAAUCCCCUCGCUCCUGAUUAACAACAUUUUUAUUUUAGUCAAUGAAUGUGUUCUCGGAUCAUUAUAAGUAUUUCUGCCGAAGUCCAUUGAUUUUUGGAGACUGAAAAAUGUCAGAAAAAUUGGUGCGAACAGGUUUACUCCUUUCUAAAUUAUGCAAUUGAAGUAUUUGGAUUAGUGCGCAGUGUAAACAUCAAGGAAAGCAUGAUCCACUAUUUUAAGGAGCCUAAGUGCUUUCCCCUUUACUCUUUUAGGAUGUCUUUUCAGUGAAGAAAGUUGGGAGACCACCACUUACCCUUUUGAUUGGUAUAUAACUGCCAACUAAUAACUGGACUAACAUUUGGCCCGUCUGGCCCUACUUCUUUGACUUUGUUGUUAAUUUAUAACUUUAUGUGAAGUGGGGGCUGUUUGGGAAUGUGUGAAGCAAGGAUUUGAGCCGACUUCGCCUAAUCUGAUUCUCCAUAAGUGACUUCAUUUUAUCAUAUUGGUGUUUUUUUUCUUCUUCUUUUUAAAUGGCUGGGGAGGAGGGGAUUUGGGAGGGAUGCAAUGCCAUGGUUGCAUGCUGGAUUAUCCUUCCAAAUGAAACAUCCAUUUGGUUUCUAGUAACUAAUUGCAAACAAUUAAAGAGAAUAAAAUUUUAAGAUGAUUAAACAAUAAGUACCUAUGUCCAUGAAAAGGAGAGAAGUUCACUCAUGGGUGUUCAUGAAAGACAUCACAAAGAACCAUCAAUAUGAGAAGAAUCCUGAUACAAUUAACUUUCAUGCAUAAGAAAAGACGCUCAAAAAAGAAUAAUGCUUACAAGGAAAGAAUCUCACUACGAUCAACUGAAAAAAUAUUCCAAUUUAAUUGGAAAUCCUUACAUGGGAAGAAUAUCAAUAAAAUCAACUAAAAAAAUAUUUUAAUUUUAUAUCAAAAUAUUUGUGAUUUAACCCGUAUCAUUUCAUCAUGACUUCUUAUAAAUUUUGUUCCUUUUUAUCAACACCACCCCUUGAGUUGGAGCAUAAAUAUUUAUUAAGCUAACUUGAACAAGAUCUUGAGAAAUUUUGUCGCAGGAUUUGUUUGCACUUUUUUUUUUCAAAUAAAGUCAUAAUUAACUUUAAUAUGUUUAAUCAUUUCAUGAAAUACUAGAUUUUAAGCAAUGUUGAUAGCAUACUUAUGCCUGAAAGCUUUAUCCCAAAUCACAUGAGUACAUGAAGUGAUUGCAUCAUUAAUGGUAGUAUUAUUACUUUAUAUUCAACUUCUCCACUUGAUAGGAUGCAUGAAAGCAUUGUGCUUUCUUCUGUUUCAAGUAAUAAAGAUUAUCACCAAGAAAGGUGCAAUUAAUACCUAGUAACAGAGUACCUAGUGGUAGCAUGCACCUAUCCACUGAACUUGUACUCGACUCUAUGAGUGUACGUUACAUAGUCCUUUUUUCGAAGUCUAAAUGUCCCUUGAUAAAACCUUCUAAUAUUUGAGGUUUUGGUAACAUUCAUGUAUCAAUGAACAAAUUAAUUUACUAGCUAAACUUUAAAAUUAGGCAAUGUUUUUCAAUGGGUGAUCAAGAUCUUGGAAUUUUCAAUGUUGUUUGAAUAGCUUCCACACACAAGCAUAUUUUCUCCUAUUUAGGAAUAAUCCCUUUUUUGAAGGUGUGAUCUUUAUGCUCAAAAAAUAAAGAUACUCAAAAAUUUAAUAUUGACCUUCUCGUGAAGGAAAAGCUUUAUAACUAAUUUUUUUUGUGCAUUAUAUAUAUCCUCAAUAUAGACUUUAAAAAAAAAAGAAGUAACUCCCUCUACAAAGAGUGAAGAGUCAAUUAAACUUUUUUUUUUUUAAAAAAAAGGAACCAAUUACUCGUAAAAGUAAUGAUUAUUUUUACAUACCAAACUUGAGGAGAUUACUUAAGAUCACAAAAGUUUUUAUUAAAUUGCAAGCUAGAUGCAUUUGAAACGAUCGUUGAUGUCUUAGCAACACCUUAUGUAACUCAUCAAUCUUUAUGUAAAAAUGCAUUUUUAACACCCAUAUAAAAUAAUGAUCAAUCCUAAUUUAAUAGAAACAAAUGGUAAUACAUGAAUAUCAUUCAUAUUAAUGAGAAAAGUAAAUAUUGAUUUAUAAUCAACUUCUUAAGUUUGUGUCAAUGCCUUAAUCAUUAGUUUAACUUUGUCAUUCAAUGAUACCAUCAUUACGACAUUUAAUUAACUUAGAUUUGCGUAAAUCCCUUAAUCACUAGUCUAGCUUUAUGUCAUUCAAUGGUACCAUCAUUAUGGUAUUUAAUUGAUCUUAUACCCCCAAUUUGUAUACCCCAUGUUUUUCUUAAUUUACCAUACAUCACUUAACAAUGUUCCAUGCAUGGAUUUUGUUAAGUGCCUUAAGUUCCUUUUGCAUAGCCUUUCUCCAAAUUGGAUGAGGAUUGGCUUCAUUAAUGUCAUUAGACUCAUGAUAUAUGGAACUCAAACAAUUGUUAAGUGAUUUUGUAUAUAUAUAAAAAAAAAAUUGUAAUUAAUGUGGUAGGCAUAAAAAUCUCACAAAUGAGGAUUGAUUAAUUGUUAUAAUUGAGCAACAUGCUUGAGGCUUAGUCACAAUACUAGAACUUGAAGUCAGACAUUCUCUUCAAAUAAGGACGUAUAUACAUUAUAUUGGAUCUCCAUUAAACAAGUAAAGAACUAUUUAGUAGACAAUGAAACCUCAUUGAUCAAUGGUGGUAGAGAGACACAUGAUGACCAGACUAUUCCCCUGGAAAUGAGAAUAAAAAAUAUCAUUAGCCGCAAAAAUCUCAAAAAAAUUUAGAUAAUGGGAUAUAAAGAGUUUAUGAAUUUUACAAUCAUAACUCUUAUACUGGUUUAAGUGGUAGAGUAAUCAAGAACACAAAACGAGUUUGAUGAGUGGUUGAGAUAUGAACAAAGCAAAGAUUUCCAAAGACACCAAAAUCAGAAAUCUCAAUUUUUGGGCUAAGGAUUUCAAGAAGAAAUUUAAAAUUAACUACAUGACUAGAAAAUUUGUUCAUCAAGGAAAUAGAAGUAACGAUAUCAUAACAUCAUAAUUAAUCAAUAUUUUUAAUAACAUGCAUUUGGAACAUGAUAUACCGGCUUUCUAAUAAUCAAUGAUUUUUGGUUCAACCACACCAUUUUGUUUUGGGAUGCCAAUACAACAAGUUUAACGAANNNNNNNNNNNNNNNNNNNNNNNNNNNNNNNNNNNNNNNNNNNNNNNNNNNNNNNNNNNNNNNNNNNNNNNNNNNNNNNNNNNNNNNNNNNNNNNNNNNNAUGUAAGUGCCAAAUUAGGUAGUGUCGACAAUGAAAUGGAAAUUUUGGAAUAUAGAAACAACCUCAUUUUUAUGUUCUAAUAAGUAAACCUAUGUAGCAUAAGAAUAGUCAUUAAAAAAAAAGGUAACAAAAUGUUGAUUUCCAUCCUAUGGAUCAAUUAGGACACAACCCCAAGGUAAACUAAUUUGAAAGUUGCAACAAAAAUGGAAAGAGAUGAAAAAAUAAUAGAGGAAUUUAAGGUUGUUUCAAAAUUUCAAGACAUGCUAAGAAACACAUGAGAUUAUAGAUGAUUAGGUAACAACCUUGGUUAAGUAUAUUCAACAUAUAUAUCCCACGAGGAUAAAUAUCUUCACUAAACUUUUCCUAUUAUUCAAUCCCCUAAUACCAUACAAGUGAAAAAUUAAUGUCACGGUCAAAAAUUUUAAUAAGCUUCCAAAGAGAUAAUAAUUUUGGGGAAAAAAACAACCUAAGAAACCUAUGAAUUGAGAUAAUUUAGGAAAAAACUAAAUGUUCGUUAGCUCUAGAAGGGAAUUGAAGCUCAUCAUCAAUAAAGAUUGUUGCUAUCUCGAAUAAUAUCAAGUAAACCAUUAAGAUCGCUAUUAAUGGUAUGAUUAGCAGCACCAAUUAUCGACAAAAAAAUUAUUAAAAAUAUAAGAAAUGAGAGCUUUAAGAUUAUCUAAUUGAUUUGUAAACCUAGGUAAGUGAAUCAGUAUUACGUUUUGUUAAGGAAGCUUAGAUCCAAUUGGUAUCAUUCACCAAGUUAUUGGAUUAAAUUACACUAUCAAACUUUGGCUUUAAAUGAGAAUGAAGAAUCUAACCACAAUCCUUAUUGGGAUUAGAUAUGUUAUUGCAAUAAUGUUUACAAUCGGAUGAGUGCUAAUUUCUAUUGAAAUCAUGAAGCAAUCUCUGAUCAUUGGUCUUCUUUGUAGAAACAUGAGCAUUGAAUUUAAAAUUAAUAAUUGUUACUUGGGAUUCAACCUUCAUAAUCAUUGCCUGGGUUUCCUAAUCACUUUCAAGAAUUACUUAUAUAGUGAAGGCACUCGAAACUAAUCAAAUUUGUCCUCUUAUAAAGUUGUCAUAUUCAAGCUUCAGAAUAGCCAAUAAUUGAAAAACUUAUCAUACUCCGCAAUUUGUUGAAGAAUAUUUGGGUCUAUUGAAGGGGACAAUAUAGGGAAUAUUUGUCCCAUAUGCUCAAAAUGUUCAAUUAACAAAGUGUUCUGUAUGUUUAGGGAUUUGUUAGCUUUAAUUACACAAAACAUUAGCAGUUUUAGAGAAAAUUAAUUUUUUUUUGCAAUCUUAGGUUCCAUGAAAUUAAAAAGCCAAUAACAAGUCAAUAUGGCUUGAGACCCAGUCAUCAUAUUCAAAGUCAUCCAACUUAGAAGCAUUCAUUUUGCCACUAACAUGUGCUAAUUUCCAUUUUCUAUCUUUCAAGAGAAAAAGACUGCUCUUAACCAUGGCAAAUAAUUGAACCCAUUAAGAAGAUUGAGGAAAGUAUCAUAUGAGGGUUGUCAUUUUCCUCCAUGACAAAGAAAAAGCAACAGAGAAAAACUCAUAAUAUUAGAAAGAGAAUGAAAGAAAUUGAGUCAUAGAUACACACAGAAGAAUCCAAAAAUAAAGCAAUAAUACAACCACAAAUAUGAGAAGAAGCUCAAUUACAAAGAAAGGAACUCAAUACAAUCAACUAAAAAGCGUUCCGAAGUUCAUACGAAAAUAUUCAUAAUGUGAAGAUCAUUUCAUGAUUCCUACAAUUUCUUCCUUCUACCAGUCCACUCCAUACAAGGUUUGAUCAACAACUUCUUCAUUGAUUUUCUGGUCUCUCUCCGGUGUAUCAUAGAGCAUUUUUGACAUGUUUCUGCAAGAUACACUUGUUAACUUUAAGCGACAUAAGUGCAAAAAAAUAAGAUCAUGUUGUAUUGCCUGUGCUUCCACUCUGCCUUGUUUAGUACUAUUAUGGAGCAGUACUUCCAUAUAGAACCAGUGAUCUCCAGUUCAUUAUGUUGCCUUCUUUAAACUAACUUUAAUUAUCUAUACAUAUAAAACAAAGUGGUCCCAUCAAGGGGCUAAAUCAAGAAUCAAGUGGGGCGAACAGGAAACAGUGGCAUCAAUUUUUAAGUCCAUAAGCUUUAAUAAAAGGAAUAAAACCAAGGAUAUGAAUAUGUUAUUUUUUCAUUUGUUCAUGCACUGGAAGAUCUUUCCUCUUCAAGCAUUGAACCAGCAUCCUUCUGUGCAAGUUGCUGUCGGAACCUUCUAUAAUUGUCAGAAGUCUGUUUCUGAAAUAUACAGAUAAAACUUUUAGCAAGUCUUGACAUUGCUCAUCACUAGGACAUUGUACUAGGAUACCAAUUCAUCUAAUUAGGGUUAAGUUGGCAUCUCGUACACUAUUUUUUAUUUUUCCUUCAUCUUUUGUUCCCAUUUGCAGUGGAAGUGGCACUUAGAAUAUCUGAUCAUGAAGAAUUAGCUUUCGGUGAGAUGAUACUAGGUCAAUUGCCAUUAUCUUUUUGAGUUACUGUGCGAGCAAUCUUGAAAAUAUUUUGGGAUAAAUAGAAUUUGUGCUUAUCAUAAACAUGCUAAACAUCCAAAUCAAGUGCUUUUACUAUUGAUAUCAAAUCAGUAAUUGAUUUUAACCUUUAUGCUUAUCUUUCAGAUUCUCAAUUAUGUAUCUUGAAUAAUGAUAUUAAGCAGAAAUCAUGAAUUGAAUUGCUUUAAUUAACUGUGCCUUAUCAAGCUUGUCAGCAGUGCUAUUGCUACCGCGAAUCAAAUUCGCUGUGCUUCCCGCCUUCUCCAAAUAAGCCACAAGCCCAAUUAUAUCCGCCCUCCUCCCAUCUCCAAGGGAUCAAAAAAUAAAAUGACUUCAAUCAAUUUUCAAGUUUUCCAUCUUGAUCAGUAGACCACCCGGCAUGAAUGUUACCCUCAGUUUAGGAAUAGGAAUUCCUUUUACUAAUCAUUUGGCACUAAAAACUAUGACCCCUAGCAAUUCAUUCCCUCCAUUAGAUAUCUGGGGGCAUCUUGGCUCAGCCAAAAAUGAUAAGUCAUUGCAUUUCACAUUGCAUUCAUUUGUAUUAAUGAGCUAAUUUUUUUUCACAGAAUGUGAUGUGAAUCGAAUUACUUCCAACCAUGUGUCUCUAUAAGGGUUUAACAAAUGUAAUUUGCAUUGUCUGUACACUUUUUUUUCGGUUUCUUUUCUUUUUUAUGCAUGAUUCAUUAGUCCACGGAUCUUCUAUGCAAAGUGUGCAGGCCAAACACCUCCUUCAAUGCAUUAUUCUAGAAGUUAAGACUCAGUUUACUCCUUAAUUGAUCUGUUCCAUUUACUUCAAAUCAUUUGAUUACAUUAAAUGAAUCUUGAAAUUCAAAAAUGCAUCAAAGUUAAAAGACCUUCCAAUGCAUUAAGAAAUCAUCUGAUACAAAUAUAUGUGAACCUGCAACAACAAUAAUGUCAAAAUGGAAAACUUAGGUAGAAAAUAUUAGAACGGAAACUUACGACGAACUCAAUUUUUGGCGCCUUUCUUCUUCUCAUCUUCUGAUCCAAGAAGCUCUUCCAACACCGUGUCAUCCAAACACUCGAACUCAAUGACUUGCUUUUCUUGCCCAGAAGAGGAACCUCCCAUCUCUAAACUCCUACAAGGCCCAGAAGAUGACGAGGAAGACGAUGAGGAUGGUGAUGGUGGGGGGCGAUGGGAGCCCAUGAUUUCAGAAUAGUACUCAUUAGGAAAGUUAAGAAUGGCAAGAUGACCCCUUAAGUUAAAGGCCGCUCGAUCAUAGGCGCGAGCUGCAUCCUCCGCCCUGUCAAAUGUGCCUAGCCAUAGACGAGCACCUUGCCUAGACGGAUCCCUAAUCUCGGCUGCAAACUUCCCCCAUGGCCUCCUCCUCACCCCUCGGUAUCGAACUUCUUCCUUUUCCUUCCCUUCCUGCUCCUGCUUCUCAUUCCCUUUCGAAUGAUCUUCCAUGCUAAACGUGUCGAUUUGCUAGGCGCAAUUUUUUUGGUUUCAAAUGUGCUGGUUUACGAGAGGCAUGGAUGCUUAUGUAUAUAUAUGGUUGCCACAGUCAGGUCUGACGUCACCGCUCAAUGUAUGUUCCACAGCGUGGGUUGACGAGCUUUCUGAGGGGGUUUCCUCGAAUUCAAAGCAAGUAUAAAAAUUCGAUUCUCCGACCUUUCCAAUGAGGAUCGAACAGGCCUUUUAUUAGAACCGUAUGAUAACUCCACACUGUUUUCAAAUAGUCAAUGUGAUCUAGAUUCUUCGUUAAUUUUUUCCACCUGACUGAUUGUUUACAAUUUUAUUUUUCACCGUCCCAAAUUUAAACCAUUUACGCGAUUCCCUGGAUUGCAUUUUUCUUUAAUGUUGACUUUACGAGGCAAUAGGACCCCCCAGCAACCCCACUAGGGCGACUUCAUGGGAACCAGAUUACUUUUGGAUCCAGAUAUGGUCCAGAAGAAAUAAGACAAAUCAAUUAAUGUCCACUAAAGUUUUGAUGGAACCCUUAGUCCGUGUUUCCUGUGGAUGUAUGUAUUGUAUGCACCUCAAUUUUCACCAAUCCCUGCUACGAGUCCCUUUAAUUUUGACGUUAUAAAUGUUUUUCCUGACAUUAGCAGAGUGUUUUUCUGCCGUCUUUGAGGACCUUCCACGGCCCAUAAACUAAUAAGGAUCGUCCAGUGAAUUUAGUCUUCCCCAGUUAAUUAUCCUGCGAGGGAAACUUGGGCAGUAAGUUGCCUACAUGAGUGGCUCCCGCCUACAUGAGUCAAGGGACCAUACGUCAGGACGACAACCAGUGUGGUCACACCAAAGUGGGUUGCCUGGACUCCAGGGUGGUCGCUUCAAAGUUGUCAAAUGAAGGCUAGCUUGGCAAGUUUUGGAAAACAAUUAUUGAAAAACAUUUUUCAUGAAUAACAGUUUCUAUGAACAGAUUUUAAGAAAGUUUAUUUUGUGAUUUUUAGGAAUAUUUUUAAUUUAAAUUUUUAUAUUUUUAAUUUUUUAUUAAUUUAUUGAUUAUUUAAUAUUAGCUUAAUUAAUGGAUUUUUCUUGGUCCCAAAUUAUUAAUUUAUCAAGAUUUAAUCGCAUCCAUAAUUAGUCUAAUUUCUUUUGGAGUGAGUGUGACAAAGUGCAAAUUUCUAGAGUUUUAUUAAUGUUAUUCAAUGUCAUAAUUUAACUAAUUAUAUUAAUUAUUUAUUAAUCAAAAUAAAUCAUUCACUUGAAAUAUGAUAAUUUAAAUUAAAAGUUUCAAUUAUUUAUUAAUUAGCAAAGUAUGAACUUUUCUUCUUGUUUUAUUAUUGUUAUUCCAUGUAUAUAAUUUAAUUAACUGUUUCCAAUAUUAAUCAAUAAAAAUAGAAUAUAAGCAUGAGAAGAAUUAGUAAAAUUCAUUGAUUUGGAAUUAGAUAGCUAGAGGAAGAACUUCAUCAUCUUCCCAUUACUUAAAUUUGUAUAAAUUCUAAAUAUUUAAACCCCCCCCCCCCCCCCCCCCCCCAAAAAAAAAAAAAAUGGUAAAGAAAGACUCCCCAAGCUUUCUUGGUUGGUGUUACCCUAAAAUUUGUACAAUAAGAUGAACCAUUUGGCUUAAAGCUUGGUGCGAAACCCCUUAUCAAUUGAAAAUAUCAAUGAAGUUGUUGAAUGGUUUUAGAGGACUAUUCUUAUGCAGAGUGGCAUAAGAAGCGAGGAGAUGAAGAGCGGAGAGACGUUAACAUCGGAUGCUGCUACGAAGGUGGGAAUACGGUUAAUUAAUUAGAUUUUGUGAUGGCUUUGAGUUUGAAGGAGUUAGUUUAAUGGGUAUUAUUAGUGAACUGAUAAUUGGAUUUGAUGUAAAGAAGGUUGGUCCAUUGGAUUAGCAAUUGGUUUGGCCUUUUGGGGGCCCCAUUUCCAAAUGCAUUGCCUUUUACAAGCAUUCAACAUCGCUGGACGUAACCAGGCUUGGUUCACCUAAAAGUAUCGCAUGGAUUGAAUUGACUAAGUUUUCAUUGUAGACUAGCCUUGAUUUUCCCUUGACCUGCCCACCAAAUCCUGAUGCCCACGCGAGGGAAUACCUCAAUUUUCUAAUAAUUUAUGCAGUUUCUCUUCAAAGCUCGUGUGAUCACUUGGGUCGGUAAAAUAAUGCAUUCCUCUACUUUUUCUCCCUUCCUAGAUGCAUGUUAUACCAUUAAUUCAAAUGUGAACAUGGGCUUGGCUUUGAAACUUGGUUCAAGGCCCAACAUGUUGACCCACAAUUGAGGUGUAAUUGAAUUUGUACACUUUUCGACUUUGAUACCAUUUGUCAUUACCAUUGACAUUGGGUCAUUGUUGAUUUUGAGUCCACAACUUUUAAGGUUGUUAUUACAAUUUUAAAUUGCGCCCACCCAAUUUAUAUGCAUUAUCCCUUAUAAAUACCGAUAACCUCUCUUUCUUCGAUAAUAUAAAAUGUCACAUAUAUUAUAUAUCUCAAUGUUUUCUUUUACUUUUUUUUUUUUUAUCGAUCGACAUUCUCUCUCAGAUGAUAUGAGAUGUCACAUAUAUUAUAUGUUUCAAUGUUUCUUUUACUUUUUCUCUUUUUCCUCAUGAUUGACAUUGUCUUUCUCAAAUGAUAUGAGUUGUCACAUAUAUUUUAUGUCUCAAUGUUUUCUUUAACUUUUUUUCUCUCUUCUUUAAUGAUCGACGUUCCUUUUCUCAGAUGAUAUGAAAUGUCAUAUAUAUUAUAUGGCUUAAUGUUUUCUUUUACUUAUUCUUUCUUUAUUAAUAAUCGACAUUUUAAGCAAUAUGUGAAUAUAAAGCAUUAAAAUUAUCUCCAUCGUUUUUGGAUGUGGUAUAAAUACACAAUUCUUAUUUUUGUUUUAAAUAUUUCUAUUGCUAUCUAUUGAAAUUUUAUGCAUGAAGCUACCAAGUUAAUUAUACAUAUAUCUUAAGAUUUUUUUUUUUUUUUUUUAUAGGAUAUAUUGUCCAUGAAUAUUUUCUGCAAUGGUAUCUUGUUUGAUUACUAUAAGAAAUAAUAUAUAUAUAUAUAUAUAUAUAUAUAUAUAUAUAUAUAUAUAUAUAUAUAUAUAUUAUAUUUCAAUGUUUCAUAUUUGCUUAAAAUAAAAAUUAUAUUUUAUCACAAUAUUUGGUAUUAAAAAAAAUGAAAUCUCUCUCAUUUAUUAUUACAAAAAAAUUAUAAUUUAUAAUUUUCUAAAUAAGUUUUAUUUAUUUGCUAACUAUAUUCAUGAUUAAAAGAUUUAAAAUUUAUAAAUAAAAAAUAUUAUGUCAUGUCAUUAAAUAAAUAAAAAUAUAUGUAUAUAUUAAAAUUAUGUUUUAUUGUAGCUUUUAAUAUUUUUUUUUUUAUUCUUUUCUUUUUUGAACUACAAUUUUAAUUUUUUUUAAUCAAAAUUUUUUAAUUUACAAAACGAGUAACAUAAAACUUGCCUUUGAACUUUAUUGGAAUGUUAUAUACUACCAUUUGGCUUUCAAGACAUUAGAAAAGGCAUAAGUGUCCCUUUUAUUUUUCCGAAAGGCAUAUUAGACUAUAGUAGGAAGUGUUGUAUAGAGGCAACUAAAAGUUGCCUUUAACUUUAUGAAGUCAUAUACUCCUCUUUGGCUUUGAUGACAUCAACUAGCAAAUUGGAUUUUGUUUCCUUUGCAACAUUUUUCCAUCCAUUAGCCAGUUUUUUUAUACUGUUUGGUGCUUGCCAACAUGGCACACACUAUGGUUCUUAAAAAGUAUUUUUUUUUUUAAGAUACUACGAAAUAAAAUACACGAUUGAAAGAUGAGUCACAAUAAUUUUCAAAACUAAAUUUUUUAAUAUUGUUAAGAAAAUUUGACCACCAAAUGAUUGAUUUUAAAUUACAAAUACUUUUGUUAGCUAAGAAAUUUGUUGUUCUAUUUGUUUCCCUAUAAAUAUGACAACAAUCAUAAAUAUUUUCAUUUUAAGAUAAUUUUCAAAUAUCUUCCAUUAAUAAUAUAAUAGAAUUAGGAAUUUUUUUUUUAGUUAUAACAAUCUAUAAUUAUUUAAGAGUCUUCCUCAAUCUCUAGGUUUAAGAACUUAUUGUUCUUAACAACUAACAUGUCAUCUCUUAAAAUAAUACAUUCUGCAAUAAUUAUUGAAAUAUGAUAUAAUAUAUAUAUCUACUUACAACCAUUUUUGUAGUACCAUUAGAAUUUUUAAUUACCCAUUCUAAAGUAUUUUUAUUCUCUAUUCUUAAACCAUCAAAAUUUAAUUUAAAUCUUUCAUUAAUUGGAUAAAUCCAAUGAAUCUAACAAGUUAAAGGAUUAUGAAUCCGACAAAACAGUUGAUAAUAAAUUAAUAAUGCCAUUAAUAUGAUUUUAAUGUGAAACACAAUUAUCACAUUUAAUACAGUUAGUCCUUGUAUGAUUAAUGUUUUGGAAGCUAAAAUCAAUCUUUUGACUAUAAUAAGAGUUUCUACUAUUUCUAUUUUUGGAUGAUUUUAUAUUUUUCUUAUUGUUUUAGUUUAAUACAAAAAAUAAAAAUAAAAUUACAUUAGUAGAAUUUUUUUAACUUACUCAAAAACCUAUUUUAGUUGAAUGAUUUUUUUAAAAAAAAUAUAAAUAUUUUGUUAAAAGGGAUAAAAUAACCUUACCUUGUGAAAAAGACCUCUUCACCCAAGAUUACUUGUUCAUAAUCCUUUUAAGACGAAAAUGCCCCCUUCCUAAAAAAUAUUUCAUCUUAAACUUAUUUUUCUUUUUAUUGCCCUUUGUUCCAUCCUUCCGGCUUGGGAGAGAAAUUCAUUCUUCUUUUGCGAAGAAAAAUUCCUAUUGCGAUUUUUCAUUUCAAGUGGAAAAAAAAAUUCUUAUUUCAUUUUAAAGAAAUUGUACAUUUUCAAUCUUUCUCUUUGUUCCUAGUUGAGGGUUUUUUUUGUAAUUUUAUCUUAACACUACAAAUUUAAAGGUGAGAUUAAAUCUUAAUGGUUAUUAGUUAAAUCACAUAUCUAACUUUGUUUUUGUCAGGACCUAUAAUAUGAUUGGAACCACCAUCCAAACUUCAUUAGGUGGGAUACUCCCCACCCUCCCCCUCCCCCCGCGAAAUCCUUGGAUUUUAGUUUUGACUUGGAUUUCAAUUGCCCGUAUCAAUUUUUCUUUAUUUAUUAAUUUAUUAAUUUUCAACUUUAACAAAAGCCUUGAAUCAUAUUUAAAUUCAAAUAACUUAAUCCUAAUUAAGUUCUUUUUAAAUAAAAAUUAAUCAUUGAAAAGUUCAUGUGACUAUUAUAAUUGAGAAUUUAUCCCAAGUUGGGUUUUUUGCAAAUAAAAUUUUAUUAUAGGACAUCAUGAUGCAACAUAACAUAAGGUUGUUACUUAAGUUUGUUUUGACCUUGUAAUAUGUUAAAAUGAAAAUGAAGCCAUUGUAACAGGAGAGAAUGAUGAAGCUGUGGAGAGAGCUUAACAAAGCUUGGGUUGGAGAGACUUCACAGGAAGAGAGAGAGAGAAAUAAAGGGUAAAAUUAUCAAAAGAGAAAAGAAAAAAAAAAAAAAAAAAGAAGGUUAUGUCUUCAAAUAAUCAAUAAGAGAUGUCAUUUUUCUAAUUUUCAAAGUUCUUUUGGUCCUUCUCUACAAAUAUCCCUAUAAAAAUAUUAUAAUAUCAAGUUAAUUUGUCAAUACCAAAAUUUAUAUUUUAUAUUAGGGCGACUAAAUAACAUAUAGAAAGAAUUUUAAAUGAGUAAAUCAAAUCAAUUUUGAAACCAAAACUUAAUAAUUACCAAACUUGUAAUCUUAGUCAUUAAAAGUGUACGAUGAAAUCUAAAUUAUUAAGCAAUGAAACAAAAAAUUAAGAUUAAAAUACAAAACGUUAAAAUCAAGAUACAAACUAUUAAAAUGUAAGUGGGAUAUGAGAUGAUAUUAUAAAAAAUAGUGUGAUCCAACAAAAAGUCUAGUACAUCAUUAUCUUCACUUCCAACCAUGUUUAAAAGGUCACAAGUUCUAGCGGUUUCCAAGGACAAUGUUAAAAAUAAUAAAAAUAAAUCCAAUUAAAUAUUAAUUAAUUUAUUUGAAUUUGAGUCCGACAAAAUAGUUGGUAAUAAGUUAAUAAUGCCAUUAAUAUGAUUUUAAUGUGAAACACAAUUAUCACAUUUAAUACCCGUUAGUCCUUGUAUGAUUAACUUUUUAGAAAUUAAUAUCAAUCUUUUGAUUAUAAUAAGAGUUUCUACUAUUUAUAUUUUUGGAUGAUUUUAUAUUUUUCUUAUUGUUUUAGUUUAAUACAAAAAAAUAAAAAUAAAAUUACAUUAGUAGAAUUUUUUUUAACUUAUUCAAAAAACCUAUUGUAAGGUGAAUGGUUUUUUUAUUUUUUUUUUAAAUAUAAAUAUUUUCUUAAAAGGGAUAAAAUAACCUUACCUUGUGAAAAAAGGCCUCUUCACCCAAAUUUACUUGUGCAUAAUCCUUUUCAGACGAAAAUGCCCCCUUCCUAAAAAAUAUUUCAUCUUAAACUUAUUUUUCAUUUUUAUAACCCUUUGUUCCAUCCUUAUGAUUUGGGAGAGGAAGUCAUUCUUCUCUUGUGAAGAAAAAAUUCCUACUGCCAUUUUUCAUUUCAAGUGAAGAAAAAUAUUUAUAUUUCAUUUUAAACAAAUUGUACAUUUUCAAUCUCUCUUUGUUCCUAGUUGAGGUUUUUUUUUUUUUUUUUUUUUUUUGUAAUUUUAUCUUAAUUGUACAAAUUCGAAGAUGAGAUUAAAUCUAUAAUGGUUAUUGGUUAAAUCACUUAUCUAACUUUGUUCUUGACAGAUCGUAUAAUAUGAUUGGAACCACCAUCCUAACUUUAUUAGGUGGGAUCCCUUUUUUUUUUUCCCCAAACCCUUGGAUUUUAGUUUUGACUUAUAUUUCAAUUGUCUGUAUCACUUUUUCUUUAUUUAUUAAUUUUCAACAAGUUCUUUAACAAAAGCCUUGAAUCAUAUUUAAAUUCAAAUAACUUAAUCCCCAUUAAGUUCUUUUUAAAUGAAACUUAAUCAUGUGAAAGUUCAUGUGACUAUUAUAAUUGAGAAUUUAUUCUUAGUUGGGUUUUUUGUAAAUAAAAUUUAGUUAUAGGACUGUGAUGAUCCGUUCUCAACCGUAUAAAUAUUGUUCGUUUUGAAUUCAAAAUAACUUUUACGGCUUUAAAACAUGUUUACAAGAUUAAGAGGAGUCCAUAUUUAUAUAGCUUCACGAACUUUCCCCCCUAUUCGAUGUGGGAUGUCACAAGGACAUCAUGAUGCAACGUAUAACAUAAGAUUGUUUCUUAAGUUUGUCUAACCUUGUAAUGUGUUAAAAUGAAGAUGAAGCCAUUAUAACAGAAGAGAAUGAUGAAGUUGUAGAGAGAGCUUAACAAAGCUUGGGUUGGAGAGACUUCAUAGGAAGAGAGAGAGAGAGAGAGAGAGAAAUAAAGGGUAAAAUUAUCAAAAAAGAAAAAAGAAAAAAAAGAGGGUGAUGUCUCCAAAUAAUCAAUAAGAGAUGUCAUUUUUCUAAUUUCAAAGUUCUUCUGGCCCUUCUCUACAAAUAUCCCUAUAAAAACAUUAUAAUAUCAAGUUAAUUUGUUGAUACCAAAAUUUAUAUAUUAUAUUAGGAUGACUAAAUAACAUAUAGAAAGAAUUUUAAAUGAGUAAAUCAAAUCAAUUUUGAAAUCAAAACUUAAUACCUACCAAACUUGUAAUCUUAGUCAUUUAAAGUGUUCCAUGAAAUCUAAAUUAUUAAGCAGUGAAACAAAAAAUAUAAGAUUAAAAUACAAAACGUUGAAAUCAAGAUUCAAACUAUUAAAACGUAAGUGGAGACGUAAGAUGAUGUCAUAAAAAAUAGUGGGAUCCAACAAAAAGUCUAUUAAUCAUUAUCUUCACUUCCAAUCAUGUUUAAAAGGUCACAAGUUCUAGCGGCUUUCAAGGACGAUGUUAAAAAUAAUAAAAAUAAAUCCAAUUAAAUAUUAAUUAAUUUAUUUGAACAAUAGAUAGGACCAAAAUAAUAUUCUAAAAGGAAUCAUAGGGAAGUCCUUGGACAACCUACGACAUUGAACAAAGGUACAGUGAGACAAUGCACUUAGCCCUUCCUUGUCAUUGCGAUGAAUAUAAAAAGACACCCUGAUUGAGGGUGCCCCACUAAGCCAAGAGUGAUUCUUUUGUAUUGUAUAACGUGAAUAUUUUUGAACUUUGAAUGACCCUUCCUAUAGUCAUCAUUGUCAAAACUAGAAAAUCAGAAAGAUGCGAUGUACGAAGGCACCAUUGAAUAAGAGGCUUAAUUCUCUUUGGCAAUUAGGAUAAAGUUUCAAAAUAGAAAAAUUAAACAAAUGUACAGUGUACGGACACUUGGGCAUUGCCUAUUUGUUUUGUUCUUCUAGAGUUGUAUAUGGUAAAGGUCAUAUUGGGUUGGUUCUAUUUGGUUAUUGAAGUCGGCUAGAAUAUUAGAUUUGGUUUCAAUCUAAUCCCAUAUGAUAUUAGAAUACCAGCCCAUACAGAAUUUUUGACCAAAUAUAAUAUUUCUUUUAAAUAUAAAUAUAGUAAUUAAUUUUAGUCUAAGAUUAAUUAUGUAGUUUCCUAAAGAGACCACUUCCUAAACGGUAGCUAUGUGGAAGUUGGGCCAGGUCCUGCCGAGAAGGUUUCCACGAGCUGAGCCCAAAACUGAGUAGCUGUGAUGGGAUCAUUCUAGCAUUCAGCCUGAAACUUGUAACAUAACGGAUCGAGAGGCCUGAACUCCAAGACCAUGGUUCGUCAGCCCAUUAACUUCAACAGCACGCAUUUUAGAGGACUGGGCUUGCAAGGGGUGAGGUUUCCGGGCCGCGACCCCAAAUAUGAACAGCCUCAGAAGUGAUAUUGCUUACUGGCACGUGAAGAGCGCAAGCGUAACUAGAAGAUUUGUAAUGCCGCUUUAAUUGUUUGAUUAUAGAAUCCCACGCAUUACGCAUGGAAAGUGUAAAAGAUAAAAGAUGUAGAAUUUUUUCUUAGAGAAAAGUUCGUUUGGAUAUAGUUAUUGUUUUUUUUUUAAAUAAUAAUUGUUUUUUUUAUAAAUUAUAGAUAAUCUUAGAAAUUUAUCUUUAAAAAAAUAGUUUUUAAAAAUAUUUAAGGAGAAUAAAAGUGAUAAAAAAAAACUUUACAAUUUCAAAUUUUUAAAAAAUGAAAAUUAUUUUUAAGAAUAUAAGUUAAUCUCCUGCAUUUAAAUCUUAGGUGGUUUUUGUUUUUUUUACUUUUCGCUGAAAACAAUUUGUUUUCAAAAUUUAGGUCAUUUGUUUUUUCUAUUUUUUCAUGAUUUAUUAUAAAUUUUUUACUAAAUAAAAAAAAUCAAAAUAUGUAACUUUUUCUAAAUAAAAAAAAUAACGUAUUGAUUUUUCUUUACUUUUUAAUACUUAAUAGAUAUAAAAUACUACAAAAACAAAAAAUCUAAUAUUUAACACUAUUAAGCAUUAAAGUUCUAUUUAGAAUUAAGUAAAAAAACAAACACCACCUUAUAUUUUAUAUAAAAGUUACUUAUAUUUUGGUUUUUGGAAAUAAAAAAUAUAAAGCAUAUCCAAACAUGAGCUUAGCUAUUUUAAAUCAUAUCAAAAUAAUAAUCCCAAUAAGGUAAAUGGACUUUUAUACGGAGAAUAAUCUUUAAGGUUUUCAUUUUUAUUGGAUUUUUUUUUUGUGGUGUUUUUUCAAUCCAUCUUCUCAAUUAAUUCCUUAAAAUUAUUUUACUGUUUUUUUUUUUUUCAGUUUCUAAAUAUUUGAUUUUUCCAAAAUGCUUAAAUGGAAGACACUAAUUUUUCAAGAUAUUUGGUAUUACAAUUUUCCCUGUUCUCCCUAUUAUCUAUCAGAUUCAUGGCCCUUUUGUUUUUUCAUUGGUUUUCAAUUUAAUUUUCCAAAUAUUACAUUGUUGUGUUUUGAAUUUGUGAAACCAAUUUUAUAUAUAUAUAUAGUAUGUAAGUCUACUUUGGGUAACAUGUACAGAGAGGUUUUCAUGUGUUUGAAACCUUUUACCUCAAAAAUUAAUUAUUUUUAAUUUUAUAAUAAAUCUUUUUUUAUUUUUUAUUUUAUUUAGGAAAGCCUAUAUUUAAACUACAUGUUUGCAACGCAACACCAUACAUACUCCUAGUGGAACUUACCUUAGUGCUUGAGGGGGAUGCAGAUCUUCUUCUAAACCUAACUAAUAAGCAUAAAAUUGUUCACUAAUUAGCAUAUCUAGUAAAUCAUACAAAUUGGCAAUAUUUCAUGUUUUUCAUGUUUUGUCAAUAAAAGGCGUCUUGACCAUUUUGUGAGUUUUGUAAUAAAUAAAAAAAAAAAAAAAAAAAGGGCAAAAGGUGACUAAAAUGAGGCACUUUGGAAAGGUUAAUAACCUAAAAGGAAGAUGAAUUAAUACCCCCUUAUUCCUCUUCAAAAACCAUUGAGAAAAUGCAAGAAAUGCUCUUAGUUGUAUGCUAGGCUAACAGCCUAGCAACCAUAAUACCCUUCUUUGCAAUUGUAAGCAUUUUUUUUUUUUUUUUGAAGGCCAAACAACGUUGCAAACUUCCCAAAUCCCUUCUUUAUUUUUUAUUUUUUUAUUUUUGUUUUUAGAAGGAGAAUGAAUUUGAUGACAAACUCCUUGUCAAUCUUAUCCAAACCACGAUCGAACAGAACUCCUUGUCAAUCUUAUCCAAACCGUGUUCCACCUCAAAAACAUGUGUAGGACUUAAGGCAGCAACUGGCAAGCAUGACUGAUAGGGCCAAGUGCCCUUGUCUCUACAAUCCAUUAAGUUAACCAAGGGCAGUGAACCAUCAUUCUUUUCAAAAGCUUCAUUCCGUGUUGAAAAUGUGAGACUGAAGCAUGGUGCCCCCAAAAAUAACGAUCUAUUUACUAGCAGCAUGCCUGGACCCAUUAAAAAUACUCUACUUUAGGAAUAGAAAAAAUUACAUCUUUAUCCAAUAAUUUUAUAACAAUUCAGACGUUUCAGUCUAUAAAUAAUUGUACAUAGUUGCCAACGUUUAGCUAGUUUCAAAUGAAUAGCCUAGGUUCAUGCACCAGUUUGGCUGGUGGAGGAAAGGGAUUCGAGACAUUGAACCCUCUUUUUAGUGUGCCAAAUAUUCCACAAAAAUCACUACCUUCUCUUUGUGUUUGUUCACUUUUAGUUUAUAUUUAAUAAAUCUAUGUUUUCGAGUAGAGGUUGGGUUCAGGUGCGACCCACGUCACCUCUCGGACGGUCUUGAAAAAGGAGACCGGACCACGUAAUUUCAAAUGUAGUGACCAUCUCACUUUUACCUCCAUCCUUGAAGAUGGUUUCCCAAAUCAAUAUUAAUCUUUUGUUUACGACAAUAUCGAUCACUUUAUGUCUAUAUCGUUGUUAAUUUACCUUUUUUUUUUAGCCACAUUAUUUGAAAAUUGAUGCAAACUUUACCAACAUCUUGGUACCAUUUUAAAAUAUUAGAGUUAUUUGAUUAAAAAAAUAAAAUAAUCUCGAUAACUUGUUUAUAAAAUAAAUAUCUUUUAACAUUUAGACUAUUCUCACGCAUGCUUUAAAAUUGUAAAGAUAUUCAUAAAGUGGAACUUUAGACUUAAUCAAUAUCGAUCACUUUAUGUCUCUAUUGUUGUUAUAUUUUUUUUUUACAACAUUAUUUGAAAAUUGAUGCAAACUUUACCAACAUCCUAAUACCAUUUUAAAAUAUUAGAGUUAUUUGAUUAAAAAAAUAAAAUAAUCCCGACAACUUGUUUAUAAAAUAAAUAUCUUUUAAUAUUUAGACUAUUUUCACCAUGCUUUAAAAUCAUAAAGAUAUUUAUAUUCAUAAAGUGGAACUUUAGACUUAAACAUGAUAAUAGUUUUUUUACAAUAUUAUAAUUAUUUUAUCGUUUUAAUUAAGCCCUUUAUCAUACAUAUAAAUGUAAAUUAAUGCUAAAUUUUUAAAGCAACGUAUAACCUUUUACAUCUUUUUUUAAGAUGGUGCGAAAAUCCUAUGAAAAAUAAUAAAAGUCGAUGCAUAAGAAGAUUGUUUUGAUAAUUCAAUAGAAAAAUUCUUUUAAAAUGAUAUUAAAAAAUACCCAUAGAGCCUUUAUUAAAAAAAUCAAUUAUUUUCAUAAUAAAAAUUAUAAUUUUUUAUUAUGUAUUAUUAUUUUUAAGUAUCUUUAUUACAAAUACUUUUUUUGAGUUUAUGAGAGGAAUCAACAGGUUGGUACAAGCUUAGGCGUCCUCGUACAUGUUCCCGCUGUGCAAGGUUUUUGUCUUGUUUCGAGCUAGUCGGAAUUUACGUGUUUGAUAACGUUUUGUCCUAUUUUUGUAACGCUUUAAAGGGCGGCCCACCGUUGGAACAGUUCAAGCCAUCCAAAUCAGCCCGGAGGGUUAUGGCGACGUGGCAUGACGCCUACCACCUUAGUUCACAUGAACCCUAUGAUCGUACUACCCUCACAUGACAUCUGUGAUUCUUCACCUCCAAACCCUCUUUAACUUGGUAAUGUAUUCAAAGCUUCAUCAAAUCAUAGCGAUUAGCGACCCUCUUCCACCCUAAUUUUAUAAUAAAAAAUAAAUCUUAGUGGACAUUAAAGUAGUAUUUUGUGGGGGGAAAGAAAAACUCUAUGGGCGUAUCCACUAAAUACGAGCCAAGUAUAAGAGUUAUCACCAUGGAAUCAAAUUAUGAAGCAUUGACAUUUUAAUUGUAUUCAGAUUUGAGGAGGGCACCGCGGCACCAGCUGGCCCAGUGUAGUCUGCUAGCCUACCCGCCAUAAUGACCAAAUUAAUAAAGUAAAAAGGAUUACAGGGAUAUUCCCAACUUUAUUCUGGGUCUGAGCUGGAACUUGGGAGUUAUCACGAUCAACGGGAAAGAUGGUGGGUAGGGGACGAGGAUUGAGGGCUCCAUAUUCACAUCAGUGAAAAACGAAAUGUAUUGAGACAAGUCUUCUAAGGAUUUUCUAGCGUAUUAUAUGGUUUAAAUGAUUAUAAAUCUGUAGUUACUGGUAAAGAGUAGAGAGUGAAGACGAAAGACGUUGAGUGAAAAGGAAGGAGGAGAGGGGAUGGGGCCAUCUUACCGUGUCGGGGAGGAUCCAUAAAAGGACUACGUUCCCUGAAUCUGUAGGCAUCAUGCCUCGCCUAACGGGUUAGUCAAAAUACAGUGAUGUGUGUGAGUUGGGGGCCUCACUCCUCAUUUCUUUCCUUCUUUUCACCCCCACCCCCACUUUUUUUUUUUUUUUUUCGAAUUUUUCUUUGUCCUUUUCUCUCACUUGCGCACGCGGGAGAAGGACCACAAACUAGACAAUUCCUCUGCUCACGUGACCCCGAGUUUUUAAAUAUUUGCCUAUUUGGAAAAUAGUCAUGAAUCAUGAUCGUUAACAAACAAUCUUCACUUUAUUUAUUUAAGAUCUAUUUUUUGGAGCUCUAGUUUAGUUUAUUAUUAUUAUUAUUAUUAUUAUUAUUAUUAUUAUUAUUAUUUAGUAACUCCUCUUAUAUUAAUGAAAAAGAGAGGAGGAAUCCAAACUUGUUUAUUCUUCCUCUUUUAAGGUGUUUGUUUUUUUUAUUUUAUUUUUAUGCUUCAUAUGUCUUCAAUUUCUUAGCAUUUGUCUUAUAUUUCUUCUUAUCCGAUUCAUUAUUGCAUCCUUGGUCAAUCUUUCACGAGGAGUGCCUACUUUUUUCCUUUUUAUUAUUUAAUUCACUUUAUCUUUAUAUUUUCCUUUUACACUUUAUUUCCAAUUCAAAACGUGUCAAAAAAAAAAAUUGGUAACAAAAAAAAAAAAAAAAAUCAAUUGUAAUGAUUCUUAUAUAAUUUUAUUUAAUUUUUAUUAAACAAUAAAGAAAUUAAAAAUAUAUAAAUUUUUAAAUAAUUAUUAUAGUCUUUCAUUUUUGUGUAUAAUUUCUUUUGCAAGAAAUAGUGUAGGCUUUCCACGGUCUAAAGGAAAUGGAAUAUCAAAUGAGAAGGUAAUAAUAAUAAAGUGAGUUAUAGAUACUAAUCAAACUAAUCCACUAAUGAAUUAUUUAUUUUUAUUUCACAUGGACAAAUCCUAAAAGUUGGAGUUCUAAUUUACUUUUAUGUUAAGCUUUUUUAAGUAAAAAUCUUUUAUUAUUAUAAUUUAUAGACAAAAAGAAACCCAUUAAUGUGAUGGAUAAAAAAUUUCAAUUUAAAAAAAAAAAAAUUAAAGUUGCUAAAUUUUUGUAUUUAUUAUUUCAAACUCAUUUAAAUAAUUUAAAAAUAUGUCUUCAAUUAAUUUUAAUGAAACAAAGCAUGAUUUUUUUUUAAUUUUUUUUUCUUUACCAAAUAAAGCAUUAUUAUAAUACGUUGAUUAAAUUUUCAUCAUGUCUCUCAAGAUUUGGAUUAAAUAUACUUAGUUGUCAUAAAUUUGAAAUUUUAUUUAAUGUAUUUUUUAUUUUAAAUUAAAAAGAUGAAUGCAAAUAAAAAAAAUAUGUAUAUUUUAUAAAAUUUUAAAUUAAACGAAGGAUACGUGUAUUUAACCAAGGUGAAUGAAAUUAAUCCAAAUACUUUUUGGUAACUUGCAAAAUAUCUUGACGAAAUCAUUAUGGCAGGCAUCGUACAAGCUCAACCCUUGUCGCCUUGCUAGAAAUAGAGAAACAAAAAGACCCCCAAAUUGGGUUGCAUCCUAAAUAUGAAGAAGUGGUAACAAAGGAAGAAAAAAUGCUGUGUUAUUGAAUAGUUAAUACAUUGAACAUGAUAUGUUACAUAGAGAGCCAGAUUAAUCCUAGUGGAAUUCCACUGUCACGAUGGUAACCUAGGGUUAUGUUUGGUUAUUGAAAAUACCAAGAAAAGAAAAAAAAAUAUAAAGGAAAAUAAUUUUUUCAUUUUUGAUUGUCUUAUAAAAGAUAUAAAAAAAAAACAAAUAUAAUUAAAACUAAUUAAAAAUUUAGGUAUUUUUAAAUUAUUUAAUUUUUAUAUUAAUGAGCGAAAAUAAAUAAAAUAAGUUUAAAAUAACAAAAAAAAUAAUUUACCGAUUUUUAAUCUAUAUUUUAUUUUACUUUUUCUUUGUAUUUUUUUUUUCUUAUAUUUUCCCUCAAAUUUUCUGAAUCAAACAUAGCAAAAAAGGAGCUACCCCUUUCGAAAGAAACUCCCAAGAAUUUCAAAGAAACCUGCUGAGAUAAUGAAUGAGGGAUCACUGUCGGUAAACAGUAUCCAUUCUUUUGGGAGGACUUUCAAACUGAGAAGUUGUUUUCAUGACUUGGAAACAAAAUUUUGAGCUCUAAGGGGGUCUGUAUUUGGGCCCUAAAAUUCAAUCCAUCAAUCUGAAAAAUGCUUAGGAUAAUGAUUUGAUUUAGCCACAAUCACUAAACAAAUUCCAGAGGAAAAUUUCGCUACUCAUAGGUGGCUGAUUCUCAUAAAAAGACAUCGUGGUAGGGUGUCUCAAGUGCAGGCUCACCAUCAACUUGCUGCCCUUUUUAGAUUAUUGUAAAAUGAUUUCACAUGAAGCCCAAUGCAAAACUUUGAAAGAAAAGGUUGGUGGAGACGUGAAGAAUAUGUAACCCAUAGGCCAUAACUAGUACCGAAGAUUAUUGAACAAACAUUCAAGGUUUUUGUAUAGACGAAACUGAAAAGAAUGUGUACCAGACUCAGGCGUUCAGAUCAGAUGAUGCCGUAAUGUGGAUUGUGGAGGAGCAUUGUGCAGACAGAUAAUGAGAUUCUGAAAGCGAGGCCACUGAUGGGCCCUUGGAAGGGGGGCGUGCCUUCAAAAUUAUAUAUAUAUAUAUAUAUAUGUCAUUGAAAAUUGGAAGCAACUUUUCUUCUUAAGUUAUUUUAAUCGAAGAAGAAACAAAAAGUUAAAAACAUACAUUAUUCUUCCUUCUUACGAGGUUUCCGGGUCUAAAUUACUAUGGUCUCUGCAACUGGCGUCGUUUUCUCUCCCCUCUCUCUAUUUUCCCUUUAUUUUUUCACUUUUAGAAAGAAGCAUCCCAUCAAGAAUCUACUACAACCCUACGCUUCCAUUUUGAUUUAGAAAGUUAAAAAUAAGUUUAAGUUAAAAAAAAAUAUUUUCUUAUAUAAUUAUUUAAACUUAUUUCUUUUCCUUUUUAUAUAAAGAAACAAAUAUUUUGCAAAUAAAUAAAUUUCUAAUUAUUUUCAUUAACAUAAUAAUAAUAUUUUUCAUAUGACUUUAAUCACAAUUUUUUUUACCACUUGUCCAAGGCGGUGAGAGGUGAUAAAAUGUAUUAAAAAAACGAUUAAAUUGCAUUAGGUAUAGAAGUUUUGUGCUUCAAUUAUCACUUAUAAAAAUAAAAUAAAAAUAGUCAAAUUUGAGUGUGCAAGUUGGUAUUCGUAUGUAGAAGGAAUUGGGGGAUUUGGGGGUCCUAACAAAUUUGAUAUGAUUGAUGGAAGGAAAUGAUUAUUAUAGGAUAAAGUCCGAAUGAAACGCUGACGAGGGGGGAAAAACAACAGUGGCAAUGCACUAUCCACAGAUCCAUGAUUGAUUUAUGUUAGCAAUAAUGAAUUAUUUUGACUUUGAUAACCUUGGUUAAGAGAAUUUGGUCUUGUUAUUAUCAUUUUUUCAAAAAAAAAAAGUGUAGGUAACUAGGUAGUUGAUUUAUUAGAAUUUAGAAAUGAGGAUCCCCUCCUCCUGCAAGAGCCGUGACAGACAUGCCUGCUUUCUUGCCAGAUUAUACCAAUGUGCCCAAAUAAUCCCCCAUCUAUCAUCUCUGCACCCUGGAACACGUCACUCCCUCCUUUGAGCAAUAAAAUAUCUCUUUUAUUUUCUUUUGAACCACUCUUCUAUUUCUUUGUACCAGACUGGACCCAUUUAAAUUCUUCGCUACGCUGUUCCCAAGGACUACGAGAAUCAAAAUAGCAAAAUUCUUGAAUCAUUUUAAUGGGUUCAGAAACCACAUGUUUCUCUAGAUCAUAAGAGGAAAAUCUUUUUGGAUGGUGUUUGUGUUGUGUUGUGUUCAAUAUUAAAUACUCAAUUAAAUAAGCUAAAUCAAAUAUCACAUGAAAAAUAAUCAAAUUAAAAAUAGGGAGAAUUAUGUUUUGAGGGUAGAUGGACCCCAAAUUAACAAAAGGUUCAUGUAACUCUUCAAAUUGAGCCCAGACCCAAUGAAAAUAUGGAAAUUGAGUUGAAGUAUAUCAUCAUUCAGUAUUUCCAAAAAUGUCCUUUGUUGAUUUUGAGAAAAAAAUUAAUAUUUUUGAAAAAUAUUUUUAUGUAAUUUAAUAUUUUUUUAAAUACUUUUAUUUAAUUUAAUAUUUUUAAAAAAUAAAUUUAUUUAAUUUAAUAUUUUAAAAAAUAUUUAAUUUAAUAUAUUUUUUAAAUACUUUAAUUUAAUUUAAUAUUUUUGAAAAAAAUUUUAAUUUAAUAUUUUUGAAAAAAAAAUUAUUUAAUUUAAUAUUUUUUAAAACUAUUUUUAUUUAAUUUAGUAUUUUUGAAAAAAAAUUAUUUAACUUAAUUUUAUAAAAUAUUUUAUAUGUGUUCUUAAAGGGUAUAUUUGUCCGUUACUAUUUCAUAUCCUUCAACUCAAUUUAAAGAGUUAUAUGGACCUUUUGUUAAUUUGGGGACCCAUCUACCCUCAAAAGAUAAUUCUCCCUUAAAAAUAUAAAUUUAAAUAUGACAUAAUUAUUAAAUAUGUUAGAUCUUGUAUGAGUUUAUAAGAUUUAUGUUUCAAAAUAACAUGUUUAUAAUUCAUCUAUUGAUUUAUAAUCAAAUUUUAAAUAAAUUAAAGUUAUUCAAGUUAAUAAAUAUGAUUUAUGUUAUAAAGACUAACUAAAAAAUAAUUUAUUAAUUAAACGGAUCCUGGUCAAUAAAAAUUUGAUUUAAAUACGAUCAUACUUAAUCAAAACUUAGGUCAAAUUGUAUUGAUAAAUUACAUCAAAACCUUGUUGUGUUCAAUAUUUUAUAUUAAACUAUUUUUUAAUAAAAUUAUUUUUAUAAAUAUAAUAUUACAUCAUUUGGAGAAACAAAAUAGUAUUAUAUUGAUUUUACAUAUAAAGCAACCAGUUAACCCCUCAUUAUUUUGAUCCAUUUCACAUCCAUAUCAUUCUCAUAAUUUUUUUAUAAUAUAUUAACAUGAUGGACGGUAAUUGAGGGUAGAAAAAAAAGAUGAGAAGAAUAAAAUAAUGUGAAUCCUCUCUAAAUGUUACAUCUUCUGACAAAUGAAGUCUAUAGAAAUGUGUAAAAAAAAAAAAAACACUUAAUUGUGAGGUUCACUUGAUUUAGCAAAAAAUUAAUAUUUUAUUUGUUGUGUGAUUUAAAAAUAAUAUUUUAUUUUUAAAAAUAAAAAAUUAUUUUUAAAGUUUUUUAACACUAUUUUACUAUUGUUCUUUGAAAUAAUUUUUAAAAUUAAAAUGAAAUAACUAAUAAUUUUUAGAUAAUAAAUUAAAGUUGUUUUUAUUAGAUUUUAAAAAUAAAAGAAAAAUAUAAAACCAUUUGAUCAAAUUUUUUUAAACUUAUUUUUAAAAGGUUUUUUUUUUUUUUUUUUUUUUUCUAUCCUAAGUUAAAAGAUAAAAAAUAAUUUUUAAAGAUAGGUUACGAGCAAAUGCCACAAACUUUUUUCUUCUCUUUCCCUUGUUCGGAUAGAAGUGAAAAAUAUCCUCCCAUGGAUCGACAUUACGUGAGCCAUCACCAUUCCCCAACUGCAAUUCAACCGCCAAAGCUGAGGUGUCAUUAUUAGUUUGAACAAAAGUCAGCAUUGUCCACGUGGUGACAAGCGGAACUGACCCAACUUGCAAGGCAAAAAAAUAAAUAAAAUAAAAUGAAAAAAUCAGAUCACCAUUAUGACGUCAGUCCAAUUGCUGACCUGGCCGCCGUCCCCCAUUUGACCCACGUGUUCAUUUAACCCAUUCGCCGUAUGCCGUGGCUCCCCACCCAUAUGGCCAUAUCUGCCAUUUAUUUUAUCCGUUGCCUCCAUUCGGUUUUUGGAUUUUACCCAUUCGCCCUCGUCUAUUCCCAUUUCCGUAUUUGCCCACCAAGGAAAUUCAAUUCCCAUGCUUUUGUUUUACAUUCAAAUCCUCCCCCCUCUAUAUAAAGGAGGGAGUAGGGCUUGAAAGUUUCUCAAGCCAACAUGGACUGUUGAGAGUGAAAGACAGAGGAGCCACAAACAAAUAUCACUCACUCAAACCAAAGCCAAAACCAAUACCGAAUUCAAUUCAAAUGACUUCUUUCUCUCUCAUCAAUUCCCUGAAUUCCGAUUCCGAUUUCAAUUUGUUAUCGGAUUCUUUUUCCUGGGAAAACUCCCUACCUUUCAAUGAAAACGACUCCCAGGAGAUGCUCCUCCUGGGCAUGCUGGCCAGCUCCACUCAGGAAACCUCAGAAACAGUUUCUUUGAAUCGAGUGAAGGAGGAAGAAGUGACUUCCCAGGAAAAUCCCGAGAAGGAGAAGUCAUACAGAGGCGUUAGGAGGCGGCCAUGGGGGAAAUUCGCAGCAGAAAUAAGGGACUCGACCAGGCAUGGCAUAAGGGUGUGGCUGGGAACAUUUGACAGUGCAGAGGCAGCUGCUCUGGCCUAUGAUCAAGCUGCUUUUGCGAUGCGGGGCCCUGCGGCAGUCCUCAAUUUCCCGGUGGAAAGAGUGAAGGAAUCGAUGCAGGAGAUCAAGUGCAUCUUGGAGGAGGGGGGCUCACCAGUGGUGGCCCUCAAGAAGAGGCACUCUAUGCGGAGAAAAAGUCCUUGCAAGAAACAUAAAAGUGAAGAGGUGAGGUUAGAAAAUGUGGUAGUGCUGGAGGAUUUGGGUACUGAAUACUUGGAACAGCUCCUCACUUUCUCUGAGACCUCUAGUCCUUGAUCAUCAUCAUCCAUCACCUGGAUAGCUUCUUCUCUUUGCUCUGUUUCUUACUUUUCUCUCUCUCUCUCUCUCUCUCUCUCUUUUUUUUUUAUGUAAUUUUUCUUAAUGUAUUUUUGGAGAUGGCGGGGGUGUAGUGGUGGCAAUUAUCCAUCUAGAAUUUUUCAAAAGAUAUGUUCUUUUGUUUCUUUGUAUAAAGUUGAAAAGUGGGGAUCAAUUGUGAUGGUGCUCUAUGUUCAUCCACCCAAUUUAUAUAAUCAAGGUGAUUAAUGUUUUUUGAUAUCAACAAUUUGUGAAUGACAUAGAGAGAGAGAGAGAGAGAGACCUUAUUUUCUACACUCAUUACGGUGGUUUCCAUUUGGGGAAGGAAAAGGAAAUGGCUAAGAAUGUUACCAAAAGAAGUGGGGUGGCUUUCAUAUGCGUGGUGGCAUACUUGCAUACAAACUUUUCAAUUGUGUUCUGCAUGCCACUCGGGUCAAUUUCAUUUCUUUUACUCCUAGUAGCCUAAUUGGAUUUCCUUUUUCUCAUGAGACAUCAAAUAAAUUUCAUUUUUUUAUAUUUAAAUAGUUAGGUAAGUUUGAUAGUGAGUUAUAUUUUAUACAUUAAUUCAUCUUUUAGAAUGUUGUCUACAAUAUAAACAGUGUAAUUAAUUUCAUCAUUACAGAACAGUCAUCUUAUAAAAUAACAUAAAAAUUAUUGGAUCACUUGUAUGGCACCACUGAUUUGGACUUGGUAUGGCUCUGUUUGGCUUCAUAGAAAAAAUUUGGACCCAAUUUGAAUGUCUUGCAUAAAAAGAGAUACGUCCCACUUUGAAUGAUAUUGAAGAAAAAAAUUUCUGAUGAAGAAUAUAUUGUUGGCAGGGUCAUGCAGGCCAAUAGGGAAACGAUAAAUUCAGAAGAAUGAGUCCAAACCAGUGGGCUUGAAAAUUAAGAAGAGAAUUGCUGUAUAAAACAAUCAUUUCUUAAUCGAGUUCACUUUCUGAAUAAUCGUCACUUUGAGAAUGCAUACUUAGGAAGAUGAUGAUCCUUAAUGGGAAUAAUCAAAGGCAUCAAAAAAUUGUUCUGGAACAAUUCUUGAUUGUCUCCAGUAAAAUUCAAAGUCAAAAGUCAAAAGUCCAGUCGGUCAACACCAAACCAGGCCAGUCCAAAAGACAUUAAUUUGCAAUCUAGAAUCUAUGAUGAGGUGGCGAAAUCAAACCUUGGCUUUUCACCAGGGAAUGGUACUCUGAAUUUGGUCAGUUCACUGUUUCGAGUGAAUAGGGUGUAGUAAUUAGUAAAUCAUAUUUUAGAUUUGUGUCACAAGUUACAAGGGAUAUGGGCUGACGUUCAAUUUUGGCGACAAUUUGUGGGCCCGUAUAUUUGUUGAGAUGUGGAAAUUGGGUGUGUGCUUUUUUCUGCUACCACAUAAAUAUAUUUCUUUGAAUUGAAGAGUGUUUCAGACCAUUUUUUUUCAAGUCACAAAUGGACAACUGAUUGAGAUUGUAUUGGUGAGAGUAGGAGUUUAUUUUGGGCUGGUUGAGCGAAGUUGAAAGUCGAGUUGGACCUAACCCUUGAAUUCAGCAGACUACAGUCCGAUCCUGUAUUUUGGAUUUAGGGAACCUUCUUUCCCAGAAGCUUCGUCUGGGUUUUAAAGUCUAAAUGUGGCUACUCUUAAACAUUGGAGAAAGGAUGAGCGUUCACAAGCAAAUGGGUAAUUGUGGAUGGUUCAAGGACCUGGCCAGCUGGUCUUCAAGUUUGGAUGCCGGUUUGGGCCUGAGAGAGUCUUUGCAAAGUGACUUCACUUCAGCCUAUGAGAUCAAGAUAUCAUGGUGAUGUCCGAUCACUUAGGUUUCAUUUUCACCUCGGAUUACCGUUACCAUGUUCAUGAAUAAAAAUAAAUAAAUAAAUGAAGCCUUAUAGAGAAAUUAAUGAAGUGAGCUAUACAAGCAACUGGGCCAGGAGCCUACAAGGCAGAAAUUCCCUGCCCUAGACUAGGCCGAAUAAAUUAGAUGAAUGAAUUGGGGAAACCUGGGCCAGCCACACAUCCUCCUGAAGGCUGAUGUCGAACUCGCUUACGAGGAAUGGACAUGGGAGAUUGGGCUGGGACCAAAUAACCAAUUGACAGCCCUAUCCUUGUGGCAAGACGUCAGUAAAAUGGUUCAUUCUGAUUUUACGCUGCCAUUCAAUUUAAUUUUAAUUUUUGUUUAAAGCGAUGUACAAAUUGAAUGGUGUCUAGUCACUUAAAGAGUGGUUCAUAAUACACUUAAUUUAAACAAAAAAGAAAUUAUUAGAUAGGGGAUUCUCCAAUAAAAACCACCCCAUCUUGUCAGCAAGUCCGGAAACUUCCUUCACUUAGGGCGUAUUUGUUUUUUUAACUUUAAUAUUAAAGAAAGUUGGUUAAACCUUAUGACACUUUUAUAUUAUUUUAUGAAUUUUUUUUAAUUUUUAUUUUAAUGGAAUUUUAACUUUAAUACAAGUUGGAGUAAUUCUUAUCUUAAAAACAAAUCAAAAUUACUUUAAUUUUAUAUAGAAAUAAACUUACAGUAAAUUUACCAUGAAAAUUUCUAAGUCAAAUACACCAUAAGUGCUAGUAUUUUAUAAUAUUUAGAAACAUGUUAAAUUAUUAUUAUUAUUUUUUAAAAUUAUUAGUUUUCAUAUUAGUUUUAGGGAAACUUGUGCUUUAGGUCUUUUAUUUGCAAAUAAUAUGGUUUUCAAAUCCUAAGAAUAGAAAAUAUGAGAAUCAACUGUUAAUGUGGAAAAUAAUAUCAAUUUUGUGCAAUCUCUAUUGACUCAUUUUUUUGUGCCUAGAUUGCCUUCACCCACUUCCAUGUCAACAACCACAUUAAUAGAUUGUUUUUUUUUUAUAAAACAAAUAAUUAUUAUGUUUAAAAUUUUGGGGAAACUCUCUAUCUCUCUUACUUCUUCACUACAUCCGAGACCCAUCUUCCUUAAACGUUUGCCUCUCAUUUUGCCCUAACCCCAAAUCUCAUAAAUUUCUCAUUUUCUUGCCUCAUUUGAAAUAUGAAGAUGACCGAUUCUCAAACAUCUCUGUCUCUCUCUUCACGUUUUGACCAGUCUAAUUGGAAACCCAUUUUCCAAAAACCUUCUUUCUUUCAUUUUGCCCUAACCCCACUAUCUCCCUCUUCAAGACCUAAUCACCCAAACUCGAUAUCUAUCUUCCCAAAACCUUCAAGCAAACUGAACUAGACCCAUAUCUUCUUUUUUCAUCAUCAAAGGUGAAAUUUUUUUAAGGCUUUUGGAAACCGAAUUGGAGCUUUCCCUUCUUCUGGGAUUAAUCAUUCGCAAGUGAGUUUUCCAUUUAAGGCUUUGUUUGGCUGUUGAAAUCUUGGGAUCAAAGGUCUUUUAUUUUCAGGUUUCUUGUAUUUUGCUUUAUUUUCUUGUAUAUAACAAUAAUCAUUGUAACAUAUGCUAGUAGUUACCCUUGGUGCAACUUUACAUUUCCAAAUACCCUAAAGUCCAAAGCUUUUAAUUCCCUUUUCAAAGCUUUCAACUUUGAAAGCAGACUAAACCAUAAGAACUAUGAAACUUAUAUCUCUAUCACCACUAAUUAAGCAUGUCUAUGAAUCCUUCCACUUUAAGUCACUUAUUCUCAAACCAAGAAGGGCUCCUCUCAUUCUCACCCCACCUCAUCUAAAUGAGGGAAAUGAUCAAUUGCAGCCAUGCUUUGCACCAAAUUAGAGAAGUGAUCCUCCCAAUCAUCCAUUACCAAAAAUUGAUCAUGCUGAUGAGAUCAUAAGAGUCUAUUCGGAACUCCCAGUUUACUUGCCUCUUAUCUCAGGAUCCUCCAUUACCCCCUGUCUUUCCAACAUCAAAUCAACUUGCAAACAAUUCCUUUGUAGAUAAAAUGUUUUUAAUAUUGCAAAAGGGGACUUAUCAUAAUGGUUGAAUCGAUUUAUUUGAUAUAAUCACUCAAAUUCAAGCUUAAAAUUGAUCAUAAUAAAAUGUUUUUAAUAUUGUUAAAAGGAGAUUAUAAUGGUUUUAUUUGAUAUCAUUACUAAAAUUCAAGCUUUCAAACAUGCUCUACAAAGAAGUUCUAAAAGACUACAAGAAAGAGUUUCCACUAAAGAAAAACAAUGAAACCAUUUCUACUAAAGACAAACAAUGAAACCACAGAUGCUUUGUGAAAUAUGUACCCGCACAAUCCAACAAACUUUAGAAAUUCACAAACACUACCUAGAAUUUUUGCUGACCAGCAAAAAAUUUAUGCAAUUUAAUUCUUAUUGUUAUUAUUAUUUUCAAUGUGAACAAAUAUGAUUGAAUUAUGAAGUAUUUGGCCAGAAGAGGAUCUUGCCUAAUUAUAGUCAUUAAACAACCAUUUAUACCAUAGCCUCUAGACUUUAAAAAGUUUAUAAAACUCAAGGGCUUCCACCCAAUUUCUAGAUAUCUCCAUAACAUUCUUCUGACUAUUAGAAAGCAAUUACCACUUUAAUUUUUCAUUUCAUGAGUGUUCAAUUCAGAAAAAGACCAGGAUCGAACUUGCGAUCAUGCAGUCGAAAAUCCACCUGUGCAUGAAACUAUUGCCUCACGAUUGCAAACUCAAGUUGGAGUCCAGUAACAACUCUAGGUUUGCUGAUGUGCUCCAUUUGAAAUAAAGGAACUAAAGAAUACUUUAUAAAGAUUAAUUACCUUCAUAUUUUAGGUUGGGGUUAAGGCAAAAUGUGAUAGAUUGAGAGGAAGAAAAUAUAUCUUGUUCAGGAAGCCAAUAUUUUGGAGUUCACCUUUCCAUUCGAGUCCACUCUGCUAUAGCAAAAUCAGAGUCACAACUAUGCCUCUUUAAGCUAUCCUUUAAUUGGAUGAAUUGCAGAUUUGGUUGCUGAGAAAGUGGAUAAGAAAGAAAAAUGCAUACUGUAGCUUGAGAUUAAGAGUUUGUUUUCUAAAAUGAGAGAAAGGGAAAGAGAAAAAAUGCAUAUUGUAGCUUGAGAUUAAGGGUUUGUUUUCUAAAAUGAGAGAAAGGGGAAGAGAAAUGUUCGACAACUUUGAGAUGACAAAUUUUUAGAUUUGGAAAAUUUGAGAUGAGUCUCAGGUUUUUUUUUUUUUUUUUUUGUCUUUGUCUUUGUUUUUUUUUUUUUUUUUUGUUUUUUUCCCAAAAACAACCUGUUAAUGUGGUUGUUGACAUAGAAGUGGGUGAGGGCAAAAUGGGCAUAGAAAAAAGAGUCAACACAAAGUGCACAAAACCCAUAUUAUUUUCCACAUUAAUGACUGAUUCUCAUAUUUCUUGUUCUUGGGAUUUGAAAACCAUAUUAUUUGCAAAUGGACCUCCCAAAGCACAGGUUUCCCUUAGUUUUAUGUCUCCAUCUACAUUUUACAUAUAAAUAGAUUAUUUUAUAAAAUUUGUUUUGUAGAUAUAUUAGUUAAUAAUUAUAUAAUUAAUGAUAUAGAAAACAUAUAAAAAUCAUAUUUAAAAAAGAUAAUUACAUAUUCCUCAACAAUCCAUCCCAAGAAUUCGAGGUUGAGUUGAAAACAUGUAGAGUCUUUGAUGUUAUUAUAAUCAUAUCCAACACAUAUGAUUAUUGUUUAUGAGAUAUUAUUAGAAAGUUUGUCUUAAAAUAAUUGAUUUAUUACCCACCUUUAGCAAAUGCCCAUUUUUGCGUCUUUCAAAAUUUUCAUUUUUUUUUUGUUUAAAAGAAGUAUUGUAAAGAAUGAUGAAAUAAGAAAUUUGUUGAGAAAGUGUGAGUAAAUAAUUUUACAUAAAAAGAGAUUUAAUACUUGAUAAAUAAAAUAAUAAAAUCAUGAUUUCUAGUUGUAUAGGGCCGGGUGGAUGGAGUGGCUAAGAUGUAAUUCUUGAAAUAGAGGAGACAACAUCAAUGUAUAAAAGUUUAACAGAGAAGGAAAGUGUGUUUGAAUGACUUUAUUUUCUUCAUUUAAAGUUUUGACGAUGAGUGUUUAUACAAGAUAAAUUUUCAAAUGAUAGGACUCCUAUUUACAUGGAGUUUGUGAUAUACUAUGAUUAUACAAAUUUAAAAUUCAAACAGAUUCAUGAGUUGAUAGGAGUCUGCUCAAUACGCCCCUUCAAAAUGGUGGGAGAUAGCACACCAAUCUUGACUCGAAGGGCCUAAACUCGUGCAGAAGAUGAGGGCUUUGUUAGAGCAUCGACAAGUUGAUCCGUGGUUGACAUAUGGGACACCUUGAGCUCACCUGAUUAAACCUUGUUUCAAACAAAAUGAAAAUCAAUCGCCGAUGUGUUUCAUGGAGAGUGAAACAUGGGAUUUGCACAAAGAUAUGUUGCACCCACGUUAUCACAAGAGAUAGGAGGUGGUGAUAAAUUUGAAACACUAAGUUUUGAGAGAAGAGAAUUAACCCAAAGAACCUUUGAGGCUGUAGAGGCCACGACGUGAUAUUUCGCUUCAGUGGAAGAGCGUGCUAUGAACUUUUGUUUCCUCGAUGACCAAUACACAAGAUUGUGACCAAGAAAAACAAUGGGAGCAUUGGUGGAGGAUCUGACAUAAGGAUUCCUUGCCCAUUCAACAUUCGAAUAUGCAUGUAGAUUGAUGGGCGAUUUCUUAUGCAAGAACAGACCAUGCACCAUUGUGCCGACUAAGUAUCUAAGCAAUCUUUUAACACAAGACCAAUGUGUUGAUGUUGGAUGGUGCAUAAAUUGAGAUAAUUUAUUCAUCAAGAAGGUGAUGUCAGGGCUAGUAAGAGAGAAGUAUUGAAGGCUUCCAACAAUUGACAUAUAUUUAGUGGGACCAGGAAAAGAGGUGUCAUCACACAGAUUUGGAACAUUGUUGAGGAACAUCAAUGAUUGAACUGGUUUGGUAGCCACCAUUUGUGUUUUCUUAAGAAGCUCUCGAAUGUACUUGAGAUAAAAAUAAUCCUUUGGAAGUAUGUAUCAUUUCAACACCAAGAAUAAAAGAUGAAGUCCUGAGAUCCUUAAUGGAGAAUUUGACUGCUAAUUGAGAGAUCACGCGAGCACGAAAAACAUUAUUGUUACUUGUUAAAAUAAGAUCAUCAAUAUAAAUAAGUAGGUAAACAAUGAGACCACUCUUUUUAAAAAUGAAGAGGGAUGUCUCGGUUUAGGAGUUGACGAAGGCUAUUGAGAGGAGAAAUUGGCAAAGUUCAUGAUACCAUGAUCGUGGAGCUUGUUUAAAGCCAUAAAAAGCCUUACAAAGUUGGCAAAUGUGAUGAUGUGUGUAUUCGUGAACCCAGGAGGUUGAAUCAUGUAAACAUCUUCAUGAAGUGUCCUAUGCUAGAAUGCAUUAUUAAUGUCCAAUUCAUGAGUUGAUAGGAGUCUGCUCAAUACAAUGUGGGAGUGUGAUUUCAAAAUUAGGGUAAUUUCGAAAUGGAUUUUGUAUUCACAAGUUGAAUUUCAAAAUUAUUUUGAAAUGGUCUUUUAACUUUAAGCAGUUGUGUUCAAAAGGUCAUAACUUCUUCGUUUCAAUUUUGAUUUACACAUUGUUUAAAACAUUGGACUCUUUACUUCCCGAGCUUCAAAACGAUAUAUAGUAUGCUCAAAAAUGACAUCAGGAUUGGUUCAAAUUUCAUCUUGAUAUUAGAGUACAUGUUGUGAUUAGAUUUUGAGUUCCAAAUUUCCAUGUAAACUUGAUUGCAUUUGCUUCAAACCUCCUUCAUUAUGGUUGCUUGCCCUCUAUCUCACUUUGCAACAUUUGUUACUAGUAUUUUAUGUCCAUGACUUACUCAUUUCAACCUUUCUUGGAUUCUUCAUGGUUCACAAAUUAUGGAUUCUUCAUGGUUCACAAAUUGAGUCUUUCAAUUAUGCAUGUUUAACUCCUAUUUCCUUGGUUGAUAAUGACUUUUACACUUAUCAUUUUCUUUUAUUCUUUAAACCUGAAUUUAGACUUACAAAAAAAAGUUAGAUCCAUAACUAGGGUCUUAGCAUCAAUUUGAGUUAAGUUGGAUGAUUUGAAAAUUUUAUAUUACAUAAAUCAUAUCAUACAUGUGCCAUUGGAGUGCACAUUUUGGCUCUAAUCAUGUUCCAACCCAUUGUUUUACUCUUGCAUGAAGUAUGUGGCCAUUGAUUUUAAUUUUAUUUGCGAUUAGGUUCAAAAUGGUGCUUUUGUGUUGCUCAUGUGUCAUCAGAAGAUCAACUAAUGGAUUCUCUAACAAAACUACUACAUCAUAGUCAUUUUUUUUUUUCUUAAGACCAAGAUUGAGAUCUCCAAUCGGAGCCAACUCCAUCUUGGGGGCAUGUUAGUGAAAGAUAAAAUUUAUCUUUAAUUUAAAUAUUAAUAUUUAUCAGUUAUUAGUUUUAAUUAGAGUAAAAGAUAGAGUUUAAAUUGGAGUAGGAGAUAAACUUGUGUUUGAACUAGAAUAGAAGAUAAAGUAUAAAGAUUUAUGUUUGAAUUAGAAUAAAAUAUAAAGUUUGAAUUAGAGUAGAAGAUAAACUUGUUCUUUAUUUGUAUAUAAAUAUUCAUCAAUUCUUGAGAAGAAGAUUAUUUCAUAGUUUUUCUAUCUUCUUUUUUCUUCAUACAUAUCUGCAAGAAAUUGAAGAUUUCAAGUAAAAUAUUUUCUGUUUUAAAUAGUGAAAAAAGCUAGAAAUUCACUUUGUUAUCUCUUGGGGUAAAUUGACAAGGUUUAACGUUAAGAAGGUGAAUUAUUUUUUCAGAAAAACUGAAGUAGCUAGGAUAUCUGGCCAGUUGUGAUCGAUAAAAAAGUUGUAAAAUCUCUCAUAUACUAAACAGGUUUUGGAUGUUGGUAUGGUAAAUCCAUCUGCAGUCAUUCGUCAUCUCAUCUAGUGAGAUGUUUGGGAGGUGGUGACCGCCGGAUUGGGUUUCAUUUGGUUAAAUCUGUCAGUGGGUUGGCUACUACCCGAGCCUCUUGCUUUGGGGGAGGUGGGUUCUAGAUAUAAUGUUCAAACCAUUUUAGUUAUCAUAUGCAUGACAUGUAAGCAUAAUCUCUUUAUCACUUCUUCAAUGGGAGUUCAUGGUUAGGAAUUGACUUCUUUUCUUCUGGGAUGCUUGGCAUGUAAUGGACAAAGUUACUUUUAUAUCGAUCGAAUUUCUAGUAUUAUAGUGAAGACUUACCCUUUUGACAUUUUAUAUCGAAUUAUAGAAGAUGAAAGGGACAUACAUGCAAUCGACUGACGCUUUAGUGAAUAUGCUGAAAAUAUGCUGAUGCUGUGGAGAUCGUAUGAGGACAGAGGAAAAAGAUAGAAAUGGAUAUAUAAUUAGACCUAGGUUUUUAUUAAAUGAGAUGGGGAACAUAGAGUGAGGGAAAAUCAAAAUUUUUGGCUGCAGUUCACAUUGGUGAUAUUUUGGAUUGACAAAGACUAACGACUUUUCUAUUUUUCUUUUCGGCCUGACUGGAUAGUUGGACAUGGACAAUACAGAAUCCACAGAAGGAUUGUUGGGACCGCUGAAAAUUAGCUAGAAGAAGCUGAGGAAGUAGUCUACGUAGUCAAAUACCAAACACAAAGAAAGAAAGAAAUGGAUAUCAUGGAUGCCUAGAGUUAUACUCCUAAUACCGUCACAGGUAUUUUUCUUUCCUCCUUUUUUUUUCUACGAUAAUUAGAGCAUUUCUCCUCCUCCUCCUCCUCCUCCCCCCACCCCACCACCAAAAAAUAAAAAAAUAAAUUAUUGCAAGUAACACUUCAAAUAUUAAUUUAUACAUUCUAAAGUAUAUAUUCAUGAAAUAACUUGAGUAUCAUACAUUAGUUCUCAAAAAAAAAAAAAAAAAAAAAAAAAAAUUACUGGAAGAGAAAAGUUUAAGAAAACAUAAAAAUAUUCAACUACUAUUUUAAAGAGAAAAUUUAAUUUUUACACUAUAAAUUUGAAGAGAACUUUUACAUGCAUCUUAUAUAAACUACCAUUUUUUGCUAAAAGGCUUAAAUUUGUCAAAAAUACCCCUUAGGUGCUUAACGUUCUGGUCAUAAUAUAAUUGGCAUCUUUUCUCAAACAUAAGGCCUGUGUGUGGGAACAAGAUUUAAUGUUAAUGAGCUUCGCCACCGACAUUUAGUUCCAGAAAUCAUUAUUUUAAUAGAGUGGGCUCAAUUUACAACUUUAAUUAAACUCUAACCAACUGCAUUGUGAAAUGAAUAUGUUUCUUUCGUGGUGAAUCCAAUGAGUUGGGAGUCAAACUUUGCUUCAUUGUGUAUAGAUGAAAUGUUAAGACUCCAUGUAACCUCAAACAUUUCCGCAAUNNNNNNNNNNNNNNNNNNNNNNNNNNNNNNNNNNNNNNNNNNNNNNNNNNNNNNNNNNNNNNNNNNNNNNNNNNNNNNNNNNNNNNNNNNNNNNNNNNNNUUCUUUCGUGGUGAAUCCAAUGAGUUGGAGUCAAACUUGCUUCAUUGUGUAUAGAUGAAAUGUUAAGACUCCAUGUAACUCAAACAUUUCCGCAAUGAGCGGGAGUUCUAAAUUUAAUAAUUGAAAUUGUCAGUGGAACCAGUGGACAAGAGUUGGUUUGUGGUUGACAAACUUAUCCGUUUGAUCUUUACUUGAACAGUUCCAGUGUGUGGAUGGGUACUGAUGAAGUGUGCGCAUUUAUUUUGAGAAGCCUGCUUGUUCGCAUAGAUUUUAACGACAUGAACAUUGUGGUAAGGUUAGAGAGUAAUGCGAAUGUAGGAGCUUAUAUUAGAAAUGACACAAACACGUAAAUAGAAGUAAUCUAUAUAUGAUAUUACUCAUGGACUACAAGCAAAGAAGUACAAUACAUGGAGUAAGUGAUGAAAUGAGCAUUCCUCACUACUACUGCUUGACUGAUGGAACAUGAUGCACGAGAUAGCAUAAGUAGUAGUAGGAAGCAGCUCUUAUUUGUGGCGUCGGUAUACAUCAUACUAGGUAGAUGGUUCAAUUGGCAUGGAUGGGUGGUGGAGCCUUGAAGUGCUUGUGAUGGGGAGCCCACGGCUUCUUCUCAGGAGUUGGUGGCUUCUUGUAUGGAGUUGAUGGAGGUGUUUCUACUGGAGGGUGGCCAGGGUAGUGACCCUGGGGUGGUGAAGGUUCUUUUGUCGGUGGUGGCCUCACUAUUAUUGGCGGUAGAGUUGGUGGCUUGGGCGUUGGCGGUGGUCUCACUACUCUUGGGGGUAGAGUUGGUGUCUUGUGUUUUGGUGGUGGAGGUGGCUUAACAGGAGUUGGUGGCUUGUAUUCUGGGGGUGGUUUCUCCACCGGAGGUGGCUUAUAAACUGGAGUUGGUGGCUUGUAUUCUGGGGGUGGCUUCUCCACUGGUGGUGGCCUGUAAACAGGGGUUGGUGGCUUAUAUUCUGGGGGAGGCUUCUCCACUGGAGGCGACUUAUAAACAGGGGUUGGUGGCUUGUAUUCCGGGGGUGGCUUCUCUACGGGAGGUGGCCUGUAAACAGGGGUUGGUGGCUUCUCCACCGGAGGUGGCUUAUAAACGGGGGUUGGUGGCUUGUAUUCUGGGGGUGGUUUCCCCAGUGGUGGAGACUUGUAAACAGGAAGAGGUGGUUUGUGCUCAUAUGGGGGUGGCUUGUGGUCAUUAGCAAGUGAGGGAGUGGUGAGGACCACCAAUCCAAGGAACAACACGAGUGAGCAAGCAGAAGACAUGUUUGGGCUCUGGUGAUGCACAAGUAGAAGAAAUGGGAACCAUUUAUAAUGCUUCGAGACCUUGGUUAGCACCAAAAUAUGUCAAAAUCUUGAUUACUUCAUUUCAUACAUAGAUUUAAAAUUAUUUCAAUCAACCAUGAUCCUUAAUUUUCUGGGUGGUCCAUAAAUGUAAUGGGGUCAAUUUGGGACCUAACAAGCUGAGAAGUUUGACAAUGCUGCAAGGCUUCAUCCGAAAGUCCGGGGAAGAAUAUUAGGAGUUACACUCCGUUUCCUUUUUUGGGUGCAUUUUUCUCCUUUAACAUUCUAUUCCCUUUUACAUUAGCAUUUGAUCUUAGCUCAUUUCAAGUACAAGUUUCUUGAACCCUAUACCAUUGUCAAAGUUGAGUAACCAUCUCUACUUUGCUCAAGAAACAUAAAAGACAAUGACAAUAAAGAAAAAGGAGAGAGACCAUACGUGACUUGGUUUAUAGGUGGCUUUGUGUUGACAUUUGAGUAUGGAAGCCGACAUGCAUCUUAGCUUCGAUUUUAAUUAAAUUUGUACAUUAGUGUCUGUGUCAUUCAUUUUGGUAUAAAAGGUCUCUUGAUUUCGUAAGUUUGGUAAGAACCGUUGAAAAUAGCAGUAGCAGCACAUGGUCCACUUUCUUUCACAAAAUAAUUUUAAAAGUUUAGAAGCAUAGGAGGUAACAUUAGUGGCCUUGUGGCUCAGCCACGAGUACUAUGUGGUGCUCGAGAAAUUGAGUUUAAUUUCCUUCCGAUAGUUCAUGAUAAGGUCCGUCACUGUCCUGAGACAGAUUGCGUUUUUUCUUUUUUCCUUUUUUAGUGUUUUAUUGACUAGCUAGGUGUGACUUUUCCUACUUUAAGGCACGAGGCAGAAAAGAAACUGGGAUUUAGUGCUUAAGAAGGCAAAUUUAAUUCGAUUUGGAUCUAAAAUUUGCCAGCAACAUGAGAUUUUCCAGCCUAUCGUUGCUCCACAUAUAGACAAGGCACUUGUAGAAGUGGCUUGUUUGUAGCCAUUCCCGAUAUUUGGACUCACUUGAUUCACCGGACACUUUGAUAAAAUUUAAUAUUUAUUAUUUAAUAAUUUAAAUUGAUUUAAAAUUAAAUUAUACCGAAGUUGUGAUUUAAAAAUUAUUAUUUAAUUCUUACUUUUAAAUAUGAAGAUUAUUUGAUAAAAAUAAUUUAAAAUUUAUUAUAAAUUAUCAAAUUAACAUAUUUAUCCUUAUAAAUUAUAAUUAAAACAGAAAAGGUCAAAUGAUUUGAGUAUCCAUAGAUGUGGUAAAAUAAUAAAAAAGAUUAUAAAAACAAUUAUGAUAAAUAAAGAUAAAAAGUAAAAUGAAUAUGUGAAUUUAAAGAAUAAAUUAAUUAUUUUUAUUUAUUACUUAAAAUUAUUUUUGACUUUAAAUUAUAUUAUUAAAUUAUUUUACCAAACAUACUUAAUUUAGUUAAUAAUUUAAAUUUAAUUUAAGUUAUUAAAUUGAUUCACCAAAUACCCACUUAAUCAAAGACUGAAGUAUACAUUAUUUGGCCAAAUGCAGCUAUUGAAAUUUAACUUUUUCCAAACUUAUUCAUUUUGUGGAAAUAUUUUUAGAAAUGAUUUUAAAAAUGCACUAUUCUGUGUGUUGAUUUUAUAUUUUGGCAUUAAUCCAACAUAGAAAACGGUUCUUAUUUUCGCUGUUAAAUAGGUACCAGAUCCUUAAUUAGUGCCGUGAAUCCGGCAGCUUCCAAUGAGUAAUUUGGACUUGGGUAUUGACAAUGUGUGGCCAUGCUUCUACUAUUUUAUUAUUCUUGAAACAUAUAUGAUAUAUUGGACUUUAUACAGGGAAAAAAAAAAAAAAAAGUCUUCACCAAAAAUGAUUCCUCCUAAAAAAUAGACUCCACAAACUAGGUUUAACAGGAAAAUGAUUCUAAUCUAGUAGUUUCCAGCCACAUGAGCAUUUACGUAACAAUAGUAUAGUUGAUAACGACUUUUAUUUUAUUUAUUUUUAAAUAGUUAAAGGGAUAAUUUUUGAGCUUAAAUUUUAUUUUUUUAUUUAGAAACAUUUUACUUUAUUUUUUAAUCAUAAUUCUAUUAUAUUAAUGUUUUAUUUUCUAUUUUUUAAUAUAUAAGGAGAUACUAAAUUUAUGUGAUUAUUUUUUAAAAAUUUAGUAUAUGAAAUUAAAUAAUUGGAUAUAUAUACAUAUAUCAUAUAAUGUUUUUUAAGUGUGAUUUUUGAACUUUUUAGUCAUUUUAUAAGUUUAAGCUUUUGAUUUUUUUUUUUAAACUUUGGUAUUUUUUAUUUUAUAUAAAACUAUUUUGAUUUAAUUUUAUUAAAAAAUAUUGGUAUUAUAAAUUAUUGUAUUAAUUAUUUUUUUAUAUUAUAAUGUAACUGGUAUAUACUAAAAAAUGUAUGCAAGUUCAAUUUAAGUUUCAAAUUAAAAAAUUUCAUUUAAAUAUUUAAUAACUUGUUCAUAAUAAAAAAUUAAACAACAUAAUACAAAUGAAAAGAAACAUAAAAGAAAAAGGAAAAAAUGGUCCUCUCUGUGUGUCACAUUACUAGGUCAUCCUCUUUUUCUAUGACCCUUACAAUAGAAUGGCAUAUUUGUCAAAUCUACUUAUGAAAGUUGGAAUGUUUCUACAUGUGUAGGGUCCAUUGGAACUAAUGGAGGAAAGGCUUAACGUCUAUGUAAAUCACAACGUUGCCUAGGUGGGCAUAGAUCUAGUUGUGUAACAUGAGAUGGUGUGAGAGUACAAUAUAUGCAUUGUAGUCUCUAUGGGAAGAGAGAUAGGUAAUGGUAGGGUGGUAGACGGUAGGGUGAUCUCUAAUAUAAUGACAUUUGAUGUGGUGGCUUCUAAGAGAGGAGAUAUAAGAGAUGGUAGAAUGACAUUUGGUGUAAUGGUCUCUAGUGCAAUGACAUGUGAUAUGGUGACCUAUAAAGAAGAGAUAUAGGUGAUGGUGAAGUGGUAUGUGGUGUAGUGACCUUUGAGAUAGAAAAUAGAGGUAAUGGUAGGUUGGCAGGUGGAGUGGUCUUUGGUGUAGUGACAUCAAUUAUAAAUGUCUCCAAGGGAGGAAAUAAAGGUGAUGGUAGGUAGUAAAUGUUGAGGUGGUCUUUGAUAUGUUAUGCUCUAAGAGAGAAGGUAUAGGUAAUGAUAAUAGGGAAUUUGACAUAGUGGUGUUGGAAAUAAAAAGUGAAAGUGACCGUAGAGGUGAAAGGGCAAGUGUAAAAGCCUCAAGUACGAAUGGAGUAAUUAAUGUGGAUGGUGCUAACAUAGUCUUAGGUGGAUACACAAAUAGUCAUAGUCAUCAACUAGCUUGCCCACCAUCUGUCUUUCUGCUAGUGAUAGGUUACAUCUUAAUAGUAAUGGCCAACAUAAGUGGUGUGGAUCCGAUUUUUUUACGUGUGUCCCCACUCAAUCGACAAGACUUAUUUUUUAUUAGUGAAAAAUUAAUUUUGGAAAAGUUGGAGUCACCACUUAUUUUAUUUUAUUUUAAAAAGGAAAGUAAAACAAGAAAGAGAACUCUAAAGAAGUGACUUCAUAGUUUUGGAAAAGUUAGUCUUAAAAAAUCCAAGUCUUGGUCCGGAGAUCAGGUUACUUAUUGGGAAGAUACCUCUAAGAGGUAAUACCCCUCUAAACCCUAAAGAAGUCUCUAAUGACUAAGUUGAGGAGAAUGUGGUAAUUAAUUAAUUGAUUGAGGGUACCUAGGUAGACUAAGGUGAUUUCAGAAUUAACAUACCAAGCUAGAAAGUCCAAUCAUGAUCAUAAAAGAGAGUCAAAGUAUGUACCUGAACUGCUUCUCAAACGCUAUCAUAAAACAUCAAAGUUAGUAUAGAAAUAUAACACAUAAUAUUUGUUUUAUCCAAGCAAAUAAAGCAUACAUCUAAGCACCCAAGAAUCACAUCAAGUAUGGAUAUAGUCAUCAAUAGCAUACGUGUCCAUAGAACUAUCGAAAGUAAAUGUGGAGGAGCGUAUCUGGACAACAUAGAUAACUUAUAAUGUGCUUCCACAAGACAUGGGGGUUAGAUAAAAGUUAUAAUAAUAAUUAGUAAAUGAAAGAAUUCUAGCAUGUUUGGUAUCUAAAUAACAUAGCAAAAAUGAACAAGAGUACACGAAAACAUCAAUUAUCACACGAGUCAUAUUGGCUAGUAUUUAAUCAAUAAACCAACAAUAAAUGACUAUAAACAUAUAAAAUGACAUAUUCAAAGAGACCCAAACAUAAAGAGCCUAGAACACAAGCUUACACUAAAUUUAGAAAACUAAAACAUGGAAUUUUAAAAGCAUAAAUUAGCAAACAAAUUGAUGGAAACUAAAUUUAGAUAACUUAAGAAUAUUUUUCUUAUCCUUCAAUUUAAAUCAGUAAGCCAACAAUAAAAAAUUAUAGAAACAUGGAAUAUCAAGAUCAAUGGGAUACCUAAACUAUAAUUUUUAAAAGAAAAUAAACUAAGCAUAAUAUCUACAAAGCAACUAAACUAACAUUUUUUUAAAAAUAAAUUAAACAUGACAUUAAUGGAGUAACCAAACUAAAUUAAAGUAAACUAAAAACAUUUAUGAAUUUUCAAACAUGGAAUCAGCUUUCUUAGUAAAUUAAAAUUAUUAAAAUAAAAUCUAAGCUUAAAAAUGAAUUAAAUACUAACUAAAGCAAAUCUAAAACCAAAUAUUUAACACAUAGGAUCAAUUAUAUUAACAAACUAAAAUUUUAUAAGAACACUUAAACCUAAAGUUGAAUUAAAAACUAACCAAUUUUUAAAACUAGAUCUUUAACCCAUAGGAUCAAUUAUAUUAACAAAUAAAUAAUAAAUAAUAAAUAAAUAAAACUCAAACCUAAAGAUGAACUAGAAAUGUACCAAAGUAAAUUCAAAACAAGAUCUUUAACACAUUAGAUCAAUUAUAUUGACUAACUAAAAAAAAAAAAAAAAAACACUCAAACCUGAAACGAUGUAUUAGAAACUAACCAAAGCAAAUUUAAAAUAGAGUCUUUAACACAUAGGAUCAAUUAUAAUCACUAACUUAAAUUACAAUUUUUGAAACAUGAACUAAUUAGUGUUGGAUUAAUUAAACUAAUUAACUAAAAAAAACUAUAAACUAGAAUACGGUGAAUCAAGAAUUCAAAUCAACAAACAUAAAAUAUGGGUACAAUGAAAUGAAAAUCUAUUAAACUAAUAAGACGGAAAUAUGACAAACUCAUGAACCCACAUUUUGAUCAACUAGGAAAUAGAAAUUAAUAGACCUGUAGCAUGGAUACAAUGAAAUGAGAUCAGUUAAAUUUAUUUGCCGAAAUUCUAAAAAACACAUACACUCAAAUAAGAUCUAAAUCUAAGACCAAGCAAAACUCAAACUUUCUCAAUCUAAUGCAAUGAAUCAAAACUAAAAUUAAAUAGAAAUCAAACCAUUUUUUUUUUAUCUAAUAUAAUAAAUCAAAGCUAAAACUAAACAAAAUCGAAUUUUCUUAAUUUAAUAUGAUGAGUCAAAGCUAAAAUUGAACAAAGUUCAAACCUUUAUAUAAUGGAUCAAAGUUAAAUCUAAAUGAAAUCCAUACUUCCACAAUUUGAUAUAACAAAUCAAAAAUAAAACUAGAUAAAAAAAAAGUCAAAGCCUUUCAACUUGACAUAGUGAAUCCAAACUGAAACGAAACAAAAUUUUAACUUUUCCAAUGAAACCCAAUAUAGAAAAAAUUAGCUUACCUUCUUUAGAAUAUAUGUAUGGGCCAUAAAGAAGUCACCUUGGUGCAUGUGUUCCUCACUUUGACGCCAAUGGACGACUUUCUAUGGUAGCAAAUGGAGAUCCUUUUUGGUGGUAACUUGCGUGUGGAAACCUAUGGUACAACCAAUGUCAUCUUUUAUUGUGCGUGUGGACCAAUUUCUUCUCGAGAACUCAUGUGUGUUGUGCUCAAAAUAUGUUGCCUGUGAGAAUCUAUUGGUAUACCCCACAUAUGGUUUCCUUGAGAGAAUCUGUGGUUGUGUGUGGGCGUUUUCUUCAUGACAGCAUGUGGAUGUUCCCAUCUAUGGUAGAUUGGUUGUGAUGCUUUAGUGCAUGGUCUCCAUAGGAAUAGUGUGUUAUGGAAAUUUGGUUUUUUUAUUGGUGCAUGUUGUCUAGACUUUCCCAUAUGCGUGGACUGUGUGUUCAUGCUUUUCUUUUCGGAUGGUCGCCUGUGUUAAUGUGUGGCGGUGUCUACAAUGAAAGAUACAACCCUUUCUCUCCUUCUGCGUGAUAGAAAAGUCAAUCCCCCAUGGUGCGACUAUGUUCCCUCGUCCUUUUUGAAAAAUUUUGGUGUUUUCCCCCCAAAAAAUCCCCUCCAAAAAUCUAAUUAUAAAUGUCUGCUUUGGCCUAAUGUGUGUGCUACUUUUUUUUUCCUUCUUUUUAUGGUUGUGCGUGCUUUUCUUGAUACGUGGCUUAUUUCUUAAGGAUAUGAUUCGCUCCCAAUUGGUGUCUCAGCUGAUUCAUGUCCUUUCAAUGGUCCCUGACAGUGGUGCCAUUUGAUUCGUGUCCAGCUGGUGUCCCUUGAUUGUGGUCCUCAGAAGGGAGUAAUCAAUAAAAUUUAUAACCUAUUACACCAUGUAUUAGGAUAGCCUUAGCUAGCAUAGCAUAGUGGCUCUAGGGUCGUUUAUUGGGAUGAGUUUUCACUUCACAAUUGAUAUUAAUUCAAGAGCUGAAUUGGUGCCUUUUCAUUUCAAGGUUAGCUUUAAAAGAAAACAUAAUCUUUGGUGGAAAAAGGUUUGGUUUUAAACUAACCAAAAAUAGUAACUGAUUUUACUUACAAAGAAAAGUGUUCUUUGGAGUUUAGAUCACUAGGCUCAGGUUCCUCAUACAAAAAGGAGAGUUCCGAUCAUUUGUUUCUUUUCCUCGCAUUAGAGAAUUAACAUAUAGUUAAUUCUCUAACCGGUGCGGUACAUAUGCUUCCCAUUAAUGGGUUCAAACACUAAAUACCUCUCACUGAUGCACCUUGCAAUGGCUCGUGCCUCUCACCUAGCAUUUAUCAUUCAAGGUGAUCUUUAACCUUGGAUUACCCAUCAAAAGCUCGCAAGAGAUAACUAAAGGAUGUCUCCUUAGAGUCCAAAAGCUUACCAAGUGUUGGUUAUUCUAGAAAAUCCUACCUUCAAACCACCUCCCAAAGGCUCGCAAGAGAUAAACAAGUGCAUCUCAAUGGAUGAAGAUCACUUGCCUUACCAAGUUUUGGCCCAGAUGAUUUAAUGACAUUUUAAGUUAACUAAAAAGAUAAAAACCAUUAACGGGUCACACUUUCUCUUCAUUAAAAACUAAAACAACAAAACUUCCAAUUUAUGCAUGAGGAAACUUACCUGGCUUUCUUCACUUCAAGAGAUGAAGAGCCUAGCCACUCAUCAUUUGAGGAAAAAUCCUCAGAGUUUGAUUUGCUAGAAAUAAAAAUAAUGAGAAAACAAAAAUAUAUAUAUGAAAAACAGAGCAAGUUCUCUGUAAUAUAUUUUUCUUCCUUAUACAAAAGGUUGUCUCUAAGAACAAGUUCCCGAGAUCUAUCUGAUUGUAAAUAAAAUUACAACUAUAUAUAAGAGGUUAUUCACCCCUUUGUUCUUUCUUAAAGACUAAGGAAUCCUAUGAUAGGUGGGUUACAAGGAGAGUUUGGGGAUUUAGACAUCAAAUAUCUAAAGCAAAAUAUCUCAAGAUGUUAGUCGGAAAUAUCAGGAAGCUUCAGGAGAACACCGCGACACUGUAUACUGAGAGAAAAACUCUCCGGGUAAGCUCUAUCAAAGGAUCCAGACAUGUCUGACUGGGAAAGUUGAAACGUCCUUCUCUCCCAUCCGGAUGUGAGAUAUCCGGAGAAAGUGAAAUGUCGGUCGGACAGAAUUCUUUCCCCGGGUGGAAUGAGUUGUGUUGCGCGUCGCAAGGGGGACCGUCUGCGUGUACAAGUUGUAGGGACCCCUCUCCCGGAUGACACCGAGCGCGUAAGGCUAUCCGGAUCAACUCCAUUCGGAUUCCCCAAGAGGACAUGUGGCGUGCUCCCCUAUCAGGACUCCCUUAGGGAGAAGCACACGACACUCGUGAACAUCAUACCCGGACGAUAGCAUGUCCUAUCCGGAUGUGUUGUCCGGAUCAUUGACUAAAGUGAGCAAGCCUUGCUACGUCAUUCGGACAGCUUGCCACAUACCAUGUUCCGUCGCCAUCUGAUGGUGUGUCCGAACGCCUUGUCCGGACAUCUUUUGCUCCUUGCAUUCCGGAUUUGCUUAUGACAAAGGACUUCAAAGCUUCGGUUCUUCAUGUUUCUGAGCUUUCCAUUGCUUUGCCAUGGAUUCCAAAGAACUCUCCUUAAUCACGGAUUGCUUUGGUGAUCAAAAAGUUAUCAAAACACAAAAACUUAACAUAGUUUGAUUAGAAUUGAUUGCAAGGGUUCUUAAUAUGUUAAUUGGGUUAAAAGGUGAUAACUACUACUCAAAAGUGUUUAUAAGAAUUAAUUACAAGCUAUGAAAUAACACUUUUUGAGUAGUAAUCAGGAUACAUCCUAGUUUUUCAUGGAAUUGAUAGUGGGUUGUUGUGCAUGAAUGCCACCAUUUCAACUAUGCUGUUGUUAUUUUUAAAAAAAAUAUGGAUUAUGCGCGAGUGGCAAUUCUCCACUAUGGAAAGUGGAUUGCUCCUUCAACCCAUGCAUGGCUACGUAUUCCUAUGUCUUUCUACUUGUGUUUGAUCCUCCAAAAAAAAUUUCGGUUUAGUGCUAGUAGAUUUUAAGUGGUGGAUCCCCAUUUUUUGAAAAUGAAGUGGCAGCCUCCCAUUUCAAGACAAAAUGGUAGCCUGCCUUUAAUCUUUGGAGAAAAAUCUGUGCAUGACCUUUUUUUUUCCCAAAAAAUCCGUGCAUGGUGUCCUUUAAUAUUUGGAGAAAAAUCUAUGUUGGAUCUUUUCUUUUCUAGAAACAUUUGUGUGGUCUUUUUUGUUAGCCCAAGGGUUCUUCUAAUCAAGUUUUGAUGAUAACAAACCAUGGUUAAGUGACUAAUUGGUUUAAUGAUUAAGAAUCUCAAACAUAAAAUCGAAAAUUCAUCAAAGGACCAAAUGGAUACAAGAUCGAGACGCUUGGAAGACUUGUAAUCAUAGGAAACUAAUGUAAGAUGAAUGCAUGAGUGCACUUAGGAUUUUCACACGUUUCAUGCAACUUAGAAAACCCAGUUUAUUCUUUAAAACUUCAUCCCAGUUUAUUCUUUUUAUGGUUGUGUGUGCUUUCCUUGAUACGUGGCUUAUUUAUUAAGGAUACAUCCCAGUUUUUCAUGGAAUUGACAGUGGGUUGUUGUGUGUGAAUGCCACCAUUUCAACUGUGCUGUUGUUAUUUAAAAAAAAAAAAAAUGGAUUGUGCGCGAGUGGCAAUUCUCCACUAUGGAAAGUGGAUUGCUCCUUCAACCCAUGCAUGGCUACGUAUUCCUAUGUCUUUCUGCUUGUGUGUGAUCCUCCAAAAAAAAUUUUGGUUUAGUGCUAGUAGAUUUUAAGUGGUGGAUCCCCUUUUUUUGAAAACUAAGUGGCAGCCUCCCAUUUCAAAACGAAGUGGUAGCCUGCCUUUAGUCUUUGGAGAAAAAUCUGUGCAUGACUUUUUUUUUCCCAAAAAAUCCAUGCAUGGUGUCCUUUAAUAUUUGGAGAAAAAUCUAUGUGGGAUCUUUUAUUUUCUAGAAAAAUUUGUGUGGUCUUUUUUGUUAGCCCAAGGGUUCUCCUAAUCAGGUUUUGAUGAUAACAAAUCAUGGUUAAGUGACUAAUUGGUUUAAUGAUUAAGAAUCUCAAACAUAAACUCGAAAAUUCAUCAAAUGACCAAAUGGAUACAAGAUCGAGACGCUUGGAAGACUUGUGAUCAUAGGAAACUAAUGUAAGAUGAAUGCAUGAGUGCACUUAGGAUUUUCACACGUUUCAUGCAAUUUAGAAAACCCAGUUUAUUCUUUAAAACUUCAAUUUCAUUAAAACCCGAGUUUUUAACUAAUGUACCUUAGGCAAAAUGUUUUAUAAUUGGCUUAAUAAUUCACCUAAAUACAUUUUCUAAGUGUUAGAAAAGAAAGGAAUUAAAAAAAGGUUUUCGGGGCAAAAAAGGCUCAACCGGUCGAGGCUAUGGUCAACCGGCUCAACCGGUUGAGGAACCAAUCGAUCGGUUGUGCUUGUCCGAUCGAAGACCAAUCGAGGGAUGCCAAAAAAUUUCUCUCUCUCCUAGUGGCCUUCUCUUCCCGGUCGAGGUUCGGUCUAGGCAACGGUAACAUGUCAAGCAUUAAAUGCUCCGACGACUAGUGAAUCGGUCGACCCCUAGCCCGAUCGGACGAGGUUGCCUUUUGCUGUUUUUGACUCCCGAGCUUAGAAACCUAUAAAUUGAGAGCUCCACUUCAUUUAUUGAUAAAAGAGAACACUUGCAUUCAAUAGUCUACCUACCUUUUCUUGAUCAAAAAGCUCUCAUUUCCUUCAUAGUGCAUUAAAUCAUCACUUGCAUAUCCUUUAGUGCACUAUUGUGUGUCAUCCUAGCUUUGUUUUGUAUUUGAGCUAUCCUUAAGCUAGGUUGAGGGAUUAUUUCUUAUAAAAAUCUGAGUGUUAAAGCCUUCAAGAGAUUUGAAUCUUGAAGAGAUUGUGUAAGAGCCCAUUGGAGCCGGAGUCCAAGUGUAAGAAGAUUGGAAGCUUGGUUGAAGCUUCAAGUUAGUGGAACCCUCACUCGGUUAGGAGGUUGAGGAGAGUGGACGUAGGUAAGGAAGUGUCGAACCAUUAUAAACCCGAGUUUGAAUUCUCUAACUCUAUCUCUUUAUUUUGCUUAUAUUGUGUUUGAAUUUGUUGUGAUUGAAAAGAUUUUAAAAACCUAAUUCACCCUCCCCCCUUUUGGGUUUUUUUUUCUUAAUUAAGCAUAACCUUUGUUUUCUAAUUUUCUUUUUAGGAAAAUCCAUGCGUGGUAUGUCCAAACUCUCCAAGUGGCAGUCUGCCUUCUUCUAAAAAAUUUGUUUCUAUUUCUUUAUUCGACUACCUUCCAUGUCUUCCUAAUGAGUGCUUGUGCUCAAUGGUCAAUCCCUGGUGGUUGCCUCCUUUUCCCAUAUAUACGUGUUGCAAAAUCAACAUCCCACUAUAUGUGGGUUGCCUCUAUGGCAAGUUCACAUUUCCCACAUGAAACCUAUGAGUUUCCACCAAAAAUUGCCAUGAAAAAGUCUUUAUAUGCAUCUCAUGCAAUAAAAAGUCAAGCCAAUACUCAUCUUAUCUCGAAAAAUAAGUAACCAAAAUCAAGAUCAUGCCUAAGUGAACUAUGCCAAAAGAAGUGUCCAAGUGACCUAUUAUGAAAAAAGUGCCUAAGUGACCUAAGGUGAAUGUGUGUAAGCUGGAAGGUGUCUAGGAUGUUUAGGACAAUGCCUAAGCCUAAAAUAGGGUUGCCAAGGGUCACAAUGGGGUUAGAUAAAUCUCUCAAUCAGAGUCUCCAAGGUGGCUCAUAAAAGAUAAGCUACACGAGUAAUGAUGGGCCACCAGGGAAUUAUUGUAAAGCACCAAACGAACACAUAAUAGGACAUGUGUUAGAAUGAAAAAAUGGAGGGUUUACAAGUGGUCUCAUGGAUGAGCUUGAUAAUUUAAAUGACUCACAUAAUGAACGUAUGUGAUGUUUCUCUCCAAUAACAAGCAAAACAUCACUAGCAAUAUGAUGAAUGUCUCCUAAAUCACUUGAAGUAGUCCUAGCAAAUCAAUUAGAAAAAUCACACAUAUUGCUCUAAUGUAAUAUUAUAUACAUCUGUCAAUGAAUGGGAGAACUAAUGACACAACCAUCAUGUUGAUAUCUCGAACCCUCUAAUCUCAUAUGUAGGUGGGAUCACACUUAGAAACUCAUAACACAGUAAUGACCAAUCUAAGUCAAAAUGUGUUGGUGAUCGGAGGCCCAUGAAUAUGAAGUUCUAGGAUGAUAAUGACAUCUUAUAAAGUAAUGAUCAUCUCCUUAAUAGAUAGGUGAAAUGUGUGUGUCUUAGGACACCAUCUCUCAACAAGACUUGUGAUCAAUCCCCAGUCUAGUGUAACAUGCCUAUUAUGACAUCCAUCGUAAAAUCUAGACUAGAUAAUAUAAGGACAAAUGUGAGGGUUCAUCUCCCUUUCCCACAUAAAUUUAAAAAAUUAUUAUUGACAAGUUAAGACCAAACUAAGUUGCAAAAUAUAAAUAAGUCCAUUAGAUAACAAAUUUAUGUUUUCUCAUUUUCUCAUUUUUAAAGAGAUAUUAUGUGCUUCCAUGUACAUACAUGCUAAAGUCAAUUAUACGAGACUUAUAUCCAUCUUGUAGAACCAAAUCGAACCUAUCUAAUAGAUCCAGAUUAGAAGUAUGUCCUCUAUACUCCAUAUUUAUAACACAUUUAUAAAGAUAAAUGCUAAAAAAAUGUUAAAGAUAUAAAUUUAAUGAACCAUACUUUAUGAUUUUAAUUCUCAAUUAUUGUUCAUAUUUAUAAGAGAAAAGUUAAAAAAAUUGAUAGAGUUUUCCCUCUAUCAUGGACAUUAUCCCAAAUAAAAAUAAAUUGAUUAUGCAAAUUACAUUAAUAUUUGUAACCAAAUGAUCAAUAACUAUCUUGUAUCAAUUUAGUAAAUAAAUUUAAGUAUAUCUUUUCAUUUAUGACUAACAAAUAACUCAUACUUGUCCAAUAAAAGCCACACCUAAUUUCUAAAAUUUUGUCUUCACCUCAAGUGAGUGUUACAUUGAGAAAGAAAAAAUAUGAAAGAAAAAAUGAACACCUUUUUCUUUUAAUAAAAAAAGGCCAUAACGAAACAUUAAAUCUCACUGUUACACCUAUCUUCAAUGGAAACAUGAGGAUGUGAAUGGUGGCGGUGAUAUUCUUUGCUUGAAGCUCAUAAACAAAUAUUCCUUACUAAGCCUAUGCCAUUUAGUAUUUCAAUAGUGGACCCCCCCCCCCCCCCCCCCCCCCUCCUUGCAUUUCAGAUUUAGCAAACUUAGAACCAAAUAACAAAGUGCAUUUGAACCCAUAAAGAAGUAAUGAGACUCUCCUAUAUUGGCAAUAGAAGAAAUUUUUGGAGGUAUAGGAGAUUCACGGAUGAAGAAGUUGGGCCCCAAUUGAGAUAAGACCCAAGAAAAGAUGGGGUAGAGAGGGAUGGUUGGAAAUUGUAAAGUAAGAUUUUCAAAAUGUAGUUGAUGACUAAGAUUUUGACAAUUUAAAAAAGGUUUAAAAAUGUAGUUAGCAAUCGGGGUUUUGUAACAUUUAAAAAAUAAAAUAAAAUCUCAGGCCACAUGGUAGCCCAUGUGAUUCAGAAGCUUGAGAAUUAUUUUAUAAGAAGACUUAAUUUGUGAUUUUUUUAUAACUAUAUUAUUUUUUUUCUUAACACACGAAAAAAAUUAUGAAAUAAGACAAUUUUCCUAAGAAAGCAUGUAAGUGACUCUUGGUUAUUUUAUUUAACUUCUUCUAGUUUGGAGAGGAUUAAUACCUUUGCUUUUACUCACUUGCUUGGAUAUGUACACGUUGUUCAUGUCACUUUUCAUUUAAUUUUCUGAUUAAGGGAAUUGGAACCGUACGUAACUGUCUUUAUUCCCUCUGAAACUUGGACUUGGAGUUGGACUUUCAAUCUCAUCAGUCGUGUUUCCAUAAAAAAGAAGAUGGAUUAACCAAUUUUCCUAUGCCUACUAAUCAUACACAAAACUCCACUUCCAAAUAAAAAGGAAUGGGAUAUCACUUGUUAAUAGUGGCUAAAGACUAUUAAUAACCAUGCAAAGAAAUGUCACAUUUUUUGUUCUACGCAAAUUUUAUUCAUCAACUACUAGAACCAUUUCAUACAAUAGUAGCUUUUCGAUCCUUUGAUAAAUGGACACUUGAUGUGAUAACACCAACUACACCUAUAUAUUCAAGCAAUCAUGCGUAUAUAAUAGUGGAUAUGGAUUACUUCUCUAAAUGGGCAAAAGUUUUGUCAUUCAAGGAAAGUGAACGAGGAAACACAAGUUUACUUUCAUCGGAACUAAUAUUAUAUAUUGAUAUGACUUCCCAUUAUUACUUACGAUGGAAUAUGCUUCCAUAAAAUGGCCUAGAUGAACAAACUAUCCAAGAAGUUUGGGAUCAAAUAAUAUAUAUAUAGUUCAUGUGUGAUUCUUUGGUUGACAACCUUGUUAAGGGGUGAGUGAAGCACUUUGGGCAUACCACAUACUACAUGCUAGACUUCCACCCAAGCUACCCUAUAUUCCUUAUGAACAAAGUAGAAGUUGUCAUCUCUCUUGAAUACCAAAUCCUUUCACCUAAUAAUGCUAUCUAAAAAGGUCUUAAAAAGGAUAAAAAUGCGCAUAUUUGAAUUUUUGAAUUAGGAGUGCUACUUAAAAAGAAGCUAGAUAUACAAUAAUAGAAUGUUAUCAAGCAUAUCUCUUCAAAGUUUUUGACCAAAAAAUAUAUGAUUUCUCAUUUUAGGUAGGAGACUUAGUACUCACUAUUCAAAAACCAAUUAUCAUUACUCAUAAAAACUAAUAGAAAGUUUGGGCCAAAGUAGGAUGGACCUUAUAUUAUGCAACAAUUAUGCCUAUAAAAUUGUUGCAAAAGAGGUUUUAGAAUCAAAUCAAUGAAUGAAAAAUUAUUAAAGCAUUACUAUGCUUGAAGGCUAGUCAUUUUCCCUUAAAGUGCAAUAUUAAGUUGCAUAGUACUAUGUGGAUCCGCAUUUUUCACAUGCGUUCCCACUCAUUGUCGAGACUCACUUUUUAGAAGUGAAAAAUUAGUUUUAUUAAAGUCGAAGUUGCCACUGGGGAUUUGAACCCUAACAAAAGGUUCAAUUUAAGGAUAAAAAUAUCGAUAAUCACAUAUAUAUAUAUUGGUACUUUGAUUUUAUGAAUAUAUUGAAGAAAUAUGGACAAAUAUUUUGACACAAAAUAUGUACAAAAUAAAAAUUAUAUAAAAAGUAAAAAUAAAUAUUUUAAAAUUAUUUUUUUAAAUAUAUAUAUAUAUAAUUUGACAUAUUUGAUAAUAAUAUAUAAGGGUCUCCAAAAAGCCCGUGGCCCGCUUUAGGCCCGGUCCGACCCGACAGGCUAAAGCCCGGCCCAAGCCCGCCGGGCCCAAGCUCGGCCCGAGCCCGUUUAUGGGUGGGCCGGGCCGCGAGCCCGUAGGCCUGCUCCUUUAAAAAAAAACUACAAAAAUAAAAAGUAUUAAAAAAAAUAUUCAUUUCAAAAUUUUAUUCAUUGAAUGUAUAAUUACAUUUGAAAAUGUGGGAAAAGUUUACAUCACUACAAAAUAAAUACAUCCCAACUAGGUUGGCACCUAUUUAUUUGUCAAUCAUCUGUAUUUUUCAACCACAAAAAAUAAAAAUAAAAAUAUAAUAUACAUUUAGUCAUUAUUUUCUGGCGGUGAUGGCGAACUAUCAUGCAUCCAUGAAGAUCUUGAUAAUUUUAAAGAUUCCAUAUCGGUAAGCAUCUUUGUUUCUCGAAUGGAAUCAUACAUCCUUUUAUCUGCUAUUUCCCAAUCUUUCACACAUAUCCCUGCUUUAAUAACAUCUGACGCUAAGUUGCAUCGUUUUUUACUAACUACUCUUCCACCUGCACUAAAAGCAGCUUCUGAUGCAACUGUACUCACAGGAACUGUUAGUACAUCACGAGCAAUUAUAGAAAGCACAGGAUAUUUGUGUUGAUGUGAUUUCCACCAUAUUAAAAUAUUAAAAUCUUCUUGAUCUUCAAAUGAAAUUAUAUCAGUAUUAAGAUAUUUAUCUAAAUCAGAUGUAUUAUUUGGAGAAUUAUUUGUUGUCUUUUUUCGACUUUUCAACAUUUCUAGAGCUCCUUUAUAAAAAGAUGAGGAGUUUGUAGAUGUAGGUGGUAAUUUAAUAGUAUUAAUAUCAUUACCAUAUUUUUCUUUAUAAUAGUUAUAUAAAUUAUAUAAUAAUGAAUUUAUUUCAUUUUUAAUUUCUUCAAUUUUUAUUUGGUCAUUAAAAUAAAUAAUUGUUAACCAUUCAUCCAAAGCUUCAAAUUUCAAUCUAGGGUCCACAAUUAAAGCAAUAUAAAAAAUUAAAGGUAUUUCUCCCCAAUAUUUUCUAAAUUUUUAUAUCAUUACAAAUAUUGUAUCAUUAAAUAUUUCAAAACUUAAAUAUUUUUGAAGUACAAUAAAAAUAUUAGUUAUUUGCGUAAUAACUCGAUUUGAAGUUGGAUAAUAUACACCACAAAAAAUGUUUGUUGAAGUAUCAAAAAUUUCAAAAAGAUCUCUUAAAACAUCCGCAAUAUGCCAAUCAUAAUCAUUUAAUGCAUAAAUAUCUGCUUCAUAAUCAUUGUUAAUUAAUUGUAUUUCAUAUAAUUCGACUACUUUUCUAUAUUUUGUAAUAUUUUCUAAAAGUUUAUAUGUGGAAUUCCAUCUAAUAGCCAUAUCCAAAUUUAUAUUUUUUCUUUUCAUAUUUAACAUUUUGCAACAAUCAAAAAAUAAUUCAUGUUUUGCUUGAAAACUAUUAAUACUAUAUGCAAUGCCUCUAAUUUUUUUCCAAUGUACUAUCAACAUUUUUUAAUCCAUCCUUUACAAUUAAAUUUAAAAUAUGUGCACAACAACGCACAUGAAAUAUUUUAGCAUGAUCUUCUUUUACUUGCCAAUAUCGUUUUAGUCUAUGUAUUGCUGCAUCAUUAUUAGCAGCAUUAUCUAAUGUUAUUGUCAAUAUUUUAUCACGAAUGCCUAAAUCUAUAAUUUCAUCAUUUAUUAAAGAUGCUAUAUUUUUACCACUAUGUGGAGUAUUUAUUAAUUUAAAUAAAAUUAUUCUUUUAUUUAAUUUCCAUUCAUUAUCAAUGUAGUGAACAAUUAUAUAUAAAAAACCAGUAUGAGUUAAAGAUGUCCAAAUGUCAGAUGUUAAACGAAUAUUUCCUUCAAAAUUUGCAAAAUUUUUUUUUAAAAUUUCUUUUUGUGUAUAAAUUUUUUUCAUAAUAUCUCUUUUAACUGUAUUUCCAGAUCAACCUUUAAAUUGAGGAUUAAUACCUCGUUGAAUUGUUCUUGCAAAAUCAUGAGUUUCCAUCAUGUUGAAAGGUUGUUCUGCUCUUAUUAUAUAAUCAAUCAUUUCUUCACAACAGUUAGAUUCAUCAUAAGAAAAUGUUUUUAAAUUUCCACUUUCAUUUUUACUUAAUUGCAUAUAAUUUCUAAUAUCUACAUUAUUUUUAGUUUUACAAUUUUCAUGAUGUCUUUUUAAAUGACUUGUAUCUGCAUUUGAGCCACCAGUAAGAAAUUUAUUACAAAUUUUACAUUUUGCUUUUAUUUUUUUUUUAUUAUUUUCUAAAAUUAUUUCUAUUCUAUCAAAAAAAUUCCAUAUAUUUAAAGUAAAUUUUUUGUUUGAUGAUAUUUCAUCACAUGGACUAGACGAAGAAGCACUUGUCAUAUUAUAAUUAUUGAUAAAAUAUUAUGCCAAAAAUAAUAAAGUAAUAAAUAUAAAAAAAAAUGUAACAAAAAAAAUAAAGUAGUAGGGGUGAAGUAUGUUACUCAAUUAGAGAACCUAUGCAGAAAUUCCUAGCAAAUUUGAACUCUUGGAGCCACCAAUGCUUGUUUUGCACCAUCAACAAUAUUGUAUAAUUUGAGGGAAAAAUAAAAGAAUUUAAAAUAUUGUAGAAUGUGAGAGAAAUAGAGAGAAUUUGAUGAAAAAAUGAAAAGGAAGAAAAUGUAUUUAUAGGAAGGUUAAAAAUAAUAAUAAUAAUAAUAAUAAUAAUAAUAAUAAUAAUAAUAAUAAUAAUAAUAAUAAUAAUUGGCCAUGUGACCGUUGGAGGCUUAGCUCCAACGGUCACAUGGGCUGGAGCUAGGCUCCAACAGUCACAUGACCGUUGGAGCCUUUAAUUUUUUUUUUUAAAAUAAUAUACUUUAUUUUUAUAUAUAUAUAACUAACUCAAUUAAUAAACAUAAAAAGAAUAUAGUUCAGUUGGUUAGAACCUUGAAGUUUAAACAUGAGGGGAGGGGUUUGAAUCCCUCCCUCUCCCUUAGGGGCUUUUUUAAAAGCCAUUUUGGCUUAUUUCAAAAAGCCUGUCGGCCCGACCCGCCCUGCAGCCCGCGGGCCUAGCAUUUUAGCAUGGCCUGGUCUGUUGACUAGUCAAAUGGCUCAUAGGCUCGGCCCGAACUGGGCCGCGGGCCUCUUAUUUACGGACCGGCCCGACCCGGCCCGCCCGUUGGAGACCCUUGAUAAUAUCUUCUAUAUUAAGUUACAUUAUAGUUUAUUUUACAAUAUUAUUAUGAUAAUAUGUCUAAUUUUAAAAUAUAUUUAAUAUUAAAAUUAUGAUCUAUUUUAAUUUAAAUGUAUUCAAUGAUAUCAAAUAAAUAAUAAUAUAUGUAUAAUUCUUUUAUUAUUUAUAUUUAUUAUUUUUAAUAAAUAUAUAGAUUAUAUAAAAAAGACCGGAUAUAUCUUUUCAAAUUUUGUAUCGCUCUCCAAGGAUAUUAGAUGUAUGGGAAUUUGUAUUGCUAUCUACGGAUACGUUGAUAUAUGGGUGAUUUAUCAGGAUAAUUAGAAAUUCUAAUUAUGUAAGCAGGUACGGAGUUCUGUGUCGGUGCGAUCUUGUCGACAACAGCUCCAAAUUGUGCAUCUUGCUCAUAGAGAGUAGCGGAAUGCACCAAUCGUAGGCUCAGAGUACCACUGAGUCGUCUGGCAGAGACCCAACUGAAGGUGCCUGUGUUGUUCCUGAUCUGAUCAGGCUUCAAACUACAAGGUGGAAUACUGGUUCCCCUAUAUCAGAAGCUGGAGAUACCCACCCCAUAUGCUCGUCUGGAUGUGCUCCUACCCUUUGAAGCCUUCUUCCGAGUCAAGUCCGAAUUGAUAAGGCUAGUGAGUUCCCAACCAACUGUACUCAGCAUGCUGCCAGGUGGAGACCCUCCAUAUUUGAUGGCUUCCUAAUAUUAAAAUGCUGACCACUGGUCUUCAUGUUCCACAGGCUUAAUUGUGUCCUUUGCUGAAAGAAUGGAUAGUGAUCCAUUUUAACACAUGAUUCACGCCGUCUUUGCCAUUCUUCAUGGUCUAGCCCUUUUAUAUAUAUGCUUCCUGAACUGUUGCUAUUAAUAAAAUGUGGUAUCUAUCCCGUACACCUUCCUGAUGGCCAGCGAAUGCAGAAGCUACAGAAACGGUUCCAUCUUUUGCUUCCGCCACUUUGGCAUCCUCCAUGAUGAGAUCGAAGGUGAAUAAUCAUAUUCUGGGGAUUUAUGUCCUGGAUAUUCUCAGUAAUGCCCAAUUUCCUGGUGCCGGCCUCAUUUCCAUGGGAACUGAUGGAUAACUUAAGGCUUCUACCAUCUGCGUGGUUCGCUUCUAACACAGGAAACUUCACGGCUAAAAGCAAGAUACCAAGAACAUCAAGGCUGUGACAAAAAUUAGUAUUUUUAACUUGUAGGAAUUUGAAAGGCAACCAACCAUCUAGCUCUGUUCUUAAAGCUCCCAUAGGAGGAUCAGAGGCUGGAUUGCUCAAGAUGAACUCAUCCAUUGUUGCACUUAAAAAGAAUUGGCAUGAAUUGUGGCCGCUCUAAUAGGUUCCCUAAACCAUCAUCCAAGUGGGCUUGCGGAAGGUAGCGAGUUUAAAACACCUAGGGCGAUGAACAGUGGACUGUGAUGCUCACAAAAGAGAAAAGGAAGAAUUCAAUAAUUCCUAAGAAUCCAUUUGCCUGUCAUCCAAAUUUUUAUAUUCUCUUCAGUCUGACGCGUUAUGCCAUAUAUUAAAAAUAGCGGCUUCUUCCAAGCCGAGACAGACUGUGCAAAGUUCGCAAGGCCAAUCAUCACCAUAAUCUGAAGUUGGCCUCCUCAAUCGCAGCUUGUAUCCGAAUGCUCACUUCACGGGAUGGAUUGUAAUGAAAACUAAUCUCAGUCCCAGCUAUGGCAGCAUCCUCACUUGACAGCAUUUUCUGCAUAUUCUAGAACAAAGCAAUAAACCCUCAAAGGCUCCUUCGGAUCAGAGUUAGAAGACUGUCCCUCAGGAACGUGAACACUAUGGUGGUUCUGAUAAGCAGUGAUAUUGCAUUAGAGCCUUUUGGAACAAGAGGAUCUUUUCAGGUGGAAACUGUAAACUGCUUCAUGUUGGGCUGCAACCUUUUCUUCAAGCAAUACUUUCUUUCUGUAUCACGACUUAUGUUGCUUCCGGAGCCAUCCCGUGUGGACUGCCCUUCAGUGAAAGAAUAUGUGUGUUGACAUGUUGGAUUGUAAUCUUUGUUCCACUCUAAUGGCUUUUGGUCCUCCUCUUUCUCUUUAUGACAGAGAACCAUUUAGUGAUCCAUCUCUAUAUUGUAGCAUUGCUGGUGCUUUGCAAUACUACACUCUCACCAAGCAUAACAUCUAUUUUUCCGUGACCAAAGUAUGUCGGUUUAUGCAUGCGCAAACUCUUAUUCAUUGGCAAGUUGUCAAGCGUAUCUCAUGAUUUCCCAAAGCCACAAGUUCUUAUGGUCUUUCUGUUCAAGCUUACAAUGAUCUAUCUUUUCUUGGUUAUACUGAUGUCGAUUGGGCUAGUUGCCCUGAUAACAAGCACAAUACUAGUGGGUACAACACUUUUCCUGGUCCUAAUCUCAUUUCAUGGGCAUUUUCAAAGCAGAAGGUUGUGUCUCACUCCAAUAACGAAUCUGAAUAUAGGGGACUCACUAAUUAAUGUUGUUGCCAAGGUCACUUGGAUUGAAUCUGUCUUACGUGAGUUGCGUGUUUCUCUACCCCAACCACCAAUUUUGUUGUGUGACAACAUUAGUGCUACACACUUGGACAAACCAUGUUGAAAUACACUAUCAUUUUAUCCAUGAAAGGCUUAUGCAUCACACACUCAAAAUUCAAUACACCUCUUCUAUAGACCAACUAGUCAAUGCUAUGACCAAAGCUCUUCCUUCAUCUCACUUGUACAAUCUUCAGUGCAAGCUGAUUGUUCUUCCCAAACCACUCAACUUGAGGGGAGAUGUUAAGCCAAUUUAAUAAAUUGAUUUCUUUUGGUUAAUUUGUUAGAAUCAUUUUUAUUAGAGGUUUGUUUGUACAAUUACAUCCAUUUAUCAGGAGAGUACACGUGUACAACUCCUCUUUUAAUCUCACCAUUGUAUAUAUAUGAUACACGACCUUACUCAGAAUUGCAUAACAUUUCCUCUGCUCAUUCCUUUUCUUCUUUGAAUUUUCCCUUACCUCACUGAUUUUGAUUUAUACCUGGUGUUUUCACCUUUGGUCUCUACCUUUCUAGCCAGUUUUCUAAUUAAUCCGUAUAUGGUAUACCUGUCAACUAAUGAGGAGAAAGAGAAAAGGGGAUUGCUGUUCCACCAGCUACAUAUAAUAAUUAAUUACAAUCAUGGUAAUGGAUCCUGAAAUCCAUCCUUUGUGGAUUUUGUACGGAAUAUUGUUGUUAUGUAUGUGGGCUCACUUAGAUGUAUAUUGCUAGCCUGUCUGGGAAAUGUGAUUGCAGGUCCAGAUUAUGAUGUUGAUAUUAGUGGGAUAAGCAAGAGAUGCAGUUAACACGUAUGUGAUGGACUUGAGUAACUUUUCCAUUUCAGUCCAUUUUUUAAGAUUAUGCUUAGUCUUAUUACAAGGAAAGACCAUAAGAAUCAUGAGUCAUUGGCAAGGUAAUAUCAUUCCCUCUUUACAGGCUUCUUCACCUUUUGGUUUUUUUAAUAUCCAUCAAGAUCUUUUAAUUGGAGGACAAUUACAAGUAUAUAUAUAUGUAUUAAAAGGGGAAAAUAUUAAAACAGGAAAUUUUAGGGAAAAUAUAAUAAUUAUUUCUUCCUUCUUUCCCAUAUAGAACUACACAAAAUAAAACUUUAAUAAUUUUUUCUUAUCUUUUUUAUUAUUAUUUUUUCUUAGAAACAUCCGUGGUCUCACAAGCUUGUAAUCCUAGAUUGUUAGGCUCCUUUAACAGUGCCCCAACAUCGUGGUCCAAUGACAAGCUUCCACGCCUUAAAAUCAGAAAAUGCCAUUAAACUUUAUCAGACAUUACAGUUCAAGACAAAGCUUUCAUUUGCUUAAUGUGAUAAUGAAAUUGUUAAUUUCAUUUCGUGGGCAUCUAAAUUUGGACGAGCAAGACCUCUGAAUUCCCUGUUUUUAUCACCAGCAGAGGAGAUAAAAUCUUAAUGGUGAGAAUCUCCACGUGAAAUUUAUGUGUACUGUCAACAUAUUUUUGUUUAUAUAGUCCAGUAGCUGCAGGAAGUCUAGAUUAUAUAGGUAGCAGUAGCACUAUUUAUAGCACUCGAUAUUCGCUGUAUGAAUACAUUAAACCUUGUUUUCAAUACGCAUCACAAGCAAGUACUAGAUACUACAAGGAGUGACAGUCGCAUCAACAUUUCUUGAUAAUAGCAGUGACUGAUUUAUACACAGAACAGUACUGUACACGUACCAGUCACCAGAGAUAGGAUCUUAUUCCUACAUACGACUCUUAUUGAUCGAAGUCACUCAGUUGGGGUAGCCUGGAGUUGGAGGUUUGUGUGGUGGCUUCUUCUUUGGAGGAGGCUUUAUCUUUGGAGGCAUCAUCUUUGGAGGCAUCUUGUGUGAGUCUUCUUCAGCAUUCUCUACAGGAGGAUGGCCAGGCUUAUGACCCUUAGGUGGUUUGCCAACUGGGAUUGGUGGCUUGUGUCCUGAGAGUGGCUCCUCUUCUUCGGGAGGUUUGCCAACUGACGUUGGUGGCCCGUGUCCUGGGGGUGGCUUGUGUUUUGGGGGUGGUUUCACUCCACCGGGAGGUUUACCAAUUGGUGUUGGUGGUUUGUGCUCAAUCGGUGGCCUCUCAACUGGGGGGCGCUUGGGGUAAUCAGCGAGUGAAGAAGUGGUGAGAACCACCACUCCAAGCAACAACACUAGCAAGUAUGUGGAAGACAUCUUUGAGUUUGGCUCAGAUGGUGUAGAACUAGAAUCCUGGGUGGCCUUUUAUAUUAGUUGGGCCCUAUGCCCGAACGACAAGUGUCAUGGUGACACAUAAAGUGAUGGGGUCGAUUUGGGCCUACCGGAUUUGAAAACUUGGACAAUUCGAGAAGCGUCUCCUGACUCCGGGUUGUAAAGUGAAAGAUUAGGUAUCGACCAUUGAAGUAUGAUCACAACUUUUGGCCUUUGGCUCUCUCUACUGCCGUAUAGCUUUUUUCCUUUGGAUAUUUUUCUUAGCUAGACACAAUUAUUGAGCAGUCUAAUCUCGAAAUGGGAUUAGUAUAGCUUUAAGCAAAUUUAUUAUAGUUAGUGGAGGACUUUUAAGAGUGCAGACGACAUUUAACACAUGCAUGCAGUAGUAUAGGGGACAUAACACUAUUCUUUUUCCAAAGAUUCACAUGAUUUUUAUAUUAUAGUAUUGGCACAUUGUAUGUAGCUGGUUUUGUGGUUAAAAUUCCAUAUGUAGACACUGGCGUUUCUCCAUUUCUCACAAUUGAUGUUUACCUCCACGAUUACUAGAUUAGAUAUACCAAACAAUAACACAUUGUAUAAUCUAUCCGCCCUUCAAAAUCUACUGUAUGAUGAAAUGUUUCAUGUGUGUGUGAAGUGUUAGAAAUGCACUAUAGGCAACAUCAUCUUCUUUUGUCUAGGCUUGGGCCUCAAAUUAUACUCCCAUGCCAUGAUAAAUUUUCAUGUGCAUUCUCUAAAGAAGAGUGUCUUGAAUGUGCCAAAUCAUUUUGAUUGAUUUUAUGAUGUUAAUUGCUCCGCAUAUGGAUGGGUAUGUGCUUUAUUUGCUUAUUCAAUCCACAAUUACCUUGAACUGAAGUCCUAUUGGAGCUCUAUUAUUUUAGCAACGUCCUGUCAAAUAGGCUGCUAACUUGGGGUGGUAUGGACCCAAUGAUCCAUCUUAAUCUUGGGUUGAUUUUGUCUGACUCUAUCUAUCUCAGAGAGAACCAGGAUCACCAGUGCUGGUCUGCUUAAAGAAGACUCAGUACUGGAUUAAUAUUGGUUUGGGUCAAUAGCUUAUAAUGCAUUGAAUGCAGAAUAAACAAGAUCAAUGAAACCCAAAACACACUGCCCACACAACUUCACUCUGGUGUCUGUUAUUCAUCAAUUCUAUUCCCACAUGAACUGGUUCAAGUUUAAGAAAAUGACAACGGAUCCACUGUAUUAACUUGGUUUUGCUUGGUUUUGAGCUAGUUGCCAAACCAGCCAUGAGUUUUACCUCUAAUGUCAAUGAACAAACCCCAAAUGAACAACUGCAACAGCUUAAAGAGAAGGAAUGGAGAUGAAAAUCCCUGUUUCUUCUCAUUCUGGGGACAAAUUAGAACAUAACUACAAAGGUUCUAUUAAUUGACUUACUCUACCAUGAAUUAUGGUUCUUUGGUUUUCCAAAUUUAAAUUGUACAUGAGAUUAUUUUUUUCCUUUAUAUAUAAACAUAUUAAGGUUUUCUUAUUUCGUGGGCAAAUGCGCUAAGGAUGAAAGUCAUUUCAUUUGGCUGCAACAGCAUCUUAUAAUCAACAUGCAUAAGCAGCAGUUUUAAUUGAUCGAUUGAACACCGACUCACAAGAAUAGAUAGAAUGGUACAAGACAGCUCUUAUUAAUUUAUACUCGUUACUCAUUUUAUGUAGCCCCAUUAAGAUGGCUGGCUGGACCACCGAGGUCUGGGGGUGGUGUUGCUUGUGUGAUGCAGCGGGCCGGGCAGACACUUCUCUAGUUGCUUCUAUUUGGAGUUAGAGGAUCAGUCUCUGCCAACCUUGAGGACUCUCUACCUCAGAGGGUCCAGGUGGUGGACUCUGGUGUCGGUAGCUUUGAACUCUCAGUAGACUAGUGUGUCUUAAUCAGUCACUGCCAGAGGCUGGCGUAGGCAGUGACGAUAAGGUGAGACAAAUUACCGAAUAGUCAAUAUCGACUGCACUUGACCAUUAUAGAUUUGUUCUGACAAAAGUGAGAAAAGGGAGAAAAUCGGAUGUUGACCUUUAUAGAAAAAGAUAAGAUUUACUGCAACACAGAGCACUGAUUUGUUACUUGGAAACCAAGUUAUGCUAUUAGCUAGCCUCCAUUAGCAGCAGGGUACCUUGCUGCCUGAUCCUAAUCUGAGUUCCCAAGGUUUCAAUCUUCGUUUGUUAACGCUUCAGGAUUUGGAUAUUUCAGCUUCGUUUCUCCAUUUAGCCAACGCUGCCUGGUUUGGAUUUCAAUCCUCAUCUGGAACAUUCUUUUUUCGGUCUGAUUCAGGAAGUGUUUGGUGAUAGUUGAUUAAAAUUAAACAGUACUAUCAUACAAAUAAAGCUGAUCUAAUUUUGGUGGGCAAUAUACCAACUCAUUUAUUCUUGAAAACACCAUGGGGAAUUGGAGGUCCAUCCGAAGUACUAUUUGAUGGGACUCACAAAAAGAACAGGUGCACAUUUAUGAGAUCCGUGGAAGAGAUAACUAUGACAGCUAUGCAUGUACAACAGAUUUAUGUCGAGUUCACCUCGUAGAUAUUUUGUUUUCAGUGUCGGUGGACCCCAAAAUGGAAAUCGGAAAUUAAGGUUAUAUUUAUUUUUUUAUUUAAUUUUAAAUAGAAUUUUAAUUUUUAAUAAUAUUAAGUAUUAAAUUAUUUUUUUAAGGGUAUUUUAUUUUUAUUAAGUAUUAAAAAGUAAAAAAAAUUAAUAUGUUGCUUUUUUAUUUUAAAAAAAUUAUAUAUUUUAAUUUUUUCUAUUUACUAAAAAGUUUAUAAUAAAUUAUAAAAAAAUAAAAAAAUAAAAAACUUAAAUUCUGAAAAUAAAUUAUUUUUAAUAAAAAAAUCCAAAAAAGCAAACACCACCUAAAUUUGAGAUGACUCAAAAUUUUAUAUUUUUUUUCACCUAAAUUAUAUUCAUAAAUUUAAAAUUAAAAAAUUAGGAAGUUGAAUUUUAUUUUGGAUAAUUGGAAACUACAAGAAAUCAAUAAAAAUAUUUGGAAAAAAAAGAAAAAGAAAAACUAUCUAUAUAUUCACCCCCUUCUAAGAAACAUAACUUUAGUUUUUAACUAUUUUUUAAAAUAAUUUUUGAAAAAUGUUAUAUAAUAUUUUAUAAAACAAAAAAUCUGUUUGACAAUUUGAUAUGUCUUUAACUUAUUUUUAAUAUUUAUAUAUAUAUAUUUUAAAAAUAAUUUUAUAUUUAGAACUUUAUCUUUAAUUAUUAUAUAUAUUUAUAUAAUUAUUUUUUUUAAAACAACUCUUAAAAAAUAAGUGAAAGUAAUUGAAAACAACUCAAAGAUAUUUGAUGAAAACACUCUAAUUUGUAUUUUUGAGAAUAAAAAAAUAAAUAAAUAAAUUUCUAGUUAUCAAAUGUAUUUUUUAAUUCUUUUAUUCUAAAAAAUAGAAAAUCGUUUUUGAAAAUAAUUAUUAAACAACAUUCUUAAAAAUUCACUCGUUACAAUCUAGAUUUAAUGCAAGAAUGAUUGAAGGAGUCCUCCAAUAGAACCCAAAGUUAUAAACAUGAACAAGAAGCCCUAGAAACACCAAAGAUCUCAUAUGGUAUAUAUAUGAGCUUGAUUGAGAACUGUUUUAAAUUCAGUUUUUUUUUUUUUUUUUUUUUUUUGUUUUCAAAGUCAAAACAAGUUUACUUUUAAUUUUUACUUCUUUUUUUUAAUUUUAUAAAUAACAGUUUUUUAAUAAUUUAUUUUGAAAACAUGAUUAUUUUUAAAACUUAUAAUGAAAAUAGGAAUUUUUUUUUUAAUAUCAUGGUUAUUUUCCCUUCUUUUAAGGAGGGCUAUUUUAAAAAUAAAUUUACAAAUAUGAAAAAUGAUUCAAACUAAAGCAGUACAAAUAAAAAACAUUUUUAAGAAAUAUUUAAAAAUAGAGAAAAUUAUUUGAGAACAUUUGAAGUCCUUAAAUAGACUUUUGUUUUAGAAAAGGCAAGAUAAUUAUUUUUGAAAAUUGUUUUCAUAAUGAUAUGCAAAAACCUACGUAAAAACCAUAAUUAUAAUCGGCCACAUAUCAAAUCUACUAAAUAUGAAAAGUAAGUACAUAAUUAUAUUUGACUUAGAUGCAAGGAGGAAAAUGUCGCGAUAUUAUCGCCGAAAUAUCGUGUGUCGAAGGGUAUCGACACGAUUUUUCUUGCAGAAAUAUCGGCCAGUCGAUUUUUCGGGAUAAAUCUCGAGAAAUCGGCAAUUUAUCGCGAUAUAUCGGCGAUUUUUCCUCGAUAUAUCUUCUGGUCAACGCGGGUCAACGGAGUCAACACGCUACAGUGAAAGUCAAAUGUGCUACAAUGUCCCCGCUACAAUCACCUCCCCAAACAAAUUGCCAAAUUGCUUCCGAGGGGAUUUGAACCAGCCUUCUUGCCAUUUGGGCUAACUCGCCCUUAUGAUAUAUAUUGCAUUAAACAUAUAUAUACUUAAAGUCCUUAUAUAAAGAAAAUGUUAAAAAAAUAUUUUAAAGAGCAAAUUAAUUAUAAUUAUUUUAUAAUUAAAAGCAAAAUUUUCUUUUAAUUAAUUACCAAAAAUAUAAAAAUUAUAUAAUUUUCUUCAUAAUGUUUUUAAUAUCAUUAAUAAUUAAUUAAAUAUUAAAAAAUUAUAUAUAUAUAUAUAUAUAUAUAUAUAUAUAUUAUAAUUUAUUUUAUAUUGUUUAAUACAAUUGAAUUAAAUGGAUCAUAUUUUAAUAUUAAUAUAUAUUUUAAAAUUAGACAUAUUGUAAUCAAAUAUCAUAAUAUUAUAUGUAAUUUAAUAAUAAAUGUACACUUAUAAAAUUCAUAUUUUUAUCGAUGCAUACAAUAUUAUUAUCAAAUAUGAUAAAUCAUGUUAUACAUAUAUCAAAAUUUUCAAUAAAAUAACUUUAAAAUGUCUAUUAUACUUCUAAUUAUAUUAUUAUGAGGUUUUCUUUACAUUUUCAUGAGUUUUAAACAAUUUUAAGCACCAAUAUUUUUUUCCAAAAUAUCCACCGAUAUAUCUCCGAUAUAUCCAAUAUAUCUCCGAUAUCUCCGAUAUAUCCGUAAAAUCGAAGUACCGAUAUAUCCGUGAUUACCGAUAUUUUCAUCAUUGCUUAGAUGCAACCUUCUUCCAAAUGACAUACUUUAGUCAAUACUUAUAUUUUUUCGUUUCACUUCUUUGAUACAACACCUCAUGGAUUUAUUGUUUAAUUUAUUUGUAAUUAUAAAACUAUUUUUCAUUUUUAAUAAGACUUGAAUUAAUUUAAUAAAUAUUAUAUAAUUUGAAUUUAUAAUUCUUUUUAUAAAAUCAAAGUAUAUUAAAAAAAAAACAAUUUAUCCGAAGAAAGUUUUUUAUUUUUUAUUUUUUAAAACCGAUUUUAAAAAUAACUAGCUAGACACCCUUAUUUUGAUAAAAUACGAAAUAAAAGUGUAAAAACAACAUGGCCAAAUAGGGGCUUAAAUUUUAUUUUUAAAACAUUUUUUUACACUAAAGUGCAUUUUAAAAACACCAUCAAAACCAACUACAAGUUAUGCUUCUUCCCGUAAUAGAAAUAUUUUAGGCCAAAAUAGAACCUCCCCAAAUAAAGACCCUAUACUAAACUCCUUUUCAUUUUAUUAAUACAAAAGUGGGGAAAAAAGGUCUAUGCUCACCUAAAAAACAUGAAUAUUGUGAAUUCACCAUUUCUAUAAGGAAGUUGAAAACUUCAAAAUUUUAUCAACAAAUUCUCUAAAAUCCUCAAAAUAUAUAGGGCCUGUUUCACAAAGUUUUUUAAAAUUUGUUUUUAUAAAUUGCUUUUAAAAUAUAGAAUAAAUAACAGUUUUUUAGAUUUUUUGAAAAAUAAGAGUGUUUGGUAAGAUGUUUUUUUUUUUUUUUUUUUUUUUAAGAAUUAAAUAAAAAAUAAAAAAAUUGUUUAGAUAAAAGAAUUUGUAUUGUUUUUAAAAACAAUGUCUUACUUUUAUGUUAUAAAAAUUUUAUUAAUUUAAUUUAUAAUAAUAUGAAAUGAAAUUCAAGUUAAGUCUUAUUAAAAAAUACAAAUUAAAUCUAUAAUUAUGCAUGAGUUAAAGAUAAAUAUAUAUUUUUUAAAACUAUAAAAUAAAUUUUCUAUUAUAGUGAAACAAAAAUUACUAUAAAAUAAAAAUAAUUUUAAUAUUCAUUUUUAAUACAAGUCAAAUAAGUACUUUAAUUAAUUUUUUUUAUCAUGAUUUCUUAUGUUUUUUUUUUUUUCUAGAAAUUAUUUUAAGUAAUAUAACUAAUUUUUUUUUUAAUGUUUUAUAAAAAUAAGGAUAUUUGGCAAGUUGUUUUUAUAAAAGGAUUUUAAAAAUAAAUGGAUUUUUUUUUUUUUUAAAAAAAGAACAAAAUGAUUUGUUUGAAUAAAUUGUUUUGAUUUUGUAAAAACAUUUUAAAUUCAAUUUAUAUAAUAUUAAUUAAUUAAAUUAAAUUGAAGUUUUAUUGAAAAUAAAAAUAAUUUUGUAAUUAAAAUUAGAUUAAAAAAUAUAUAGGUUUUAAUAAAUCGUAAAUAGUAAUAUUAUAAUAAAAUUAUAAAUUAUAUUUUUAACAUAAAAUAUACUAUUUAUUACAUAUUAAAAAAAAUAUUUUAUUAUAUUAAUAAUUUUAUGGUAUUAAUGAGUUUAUUAUUUAAGUUUUAAAUUAUUUUUAAAAAUUAAUAAAUUUGUUAACAAAUGCAAUGUACUAAAUGUGGUUUAAUUUGGAGUUAAUUUGUUUAGGGAAAAAAAUAAAAAAUAAAAAUCUUAUGUAAAAGAGAAAUAAUAGAGUGUGUGUGUUUUUUUUUAUUAUUUUUAAAAAUCAGUAAAAAGAACUUUUACUUAUUGCCUAAAAAUUAUUCUCUAUUUUAUUUUAUUUUUUAAAUCUAGAAAUAGAUAACAAUAAUAAAAAAAAUUAAAAAAGAAAAAUGUUUUUUAAAACUCAGACUUAUAAUUGCUUUUGUUUCUCAUUCGCACCCCUGGAUUCCUGGAUUCUAAACACAAAAUUAAGUUGAAUCGUCCAUCUAUCUUGUAAGCCAAGAAUUCACAUAGAAGAAAUAAUCGGAAUUUGAUUUGAUAUCAGAUUUAGAGUGGCUCACUACUCAUGCAUUGUCCCACAAUAGUAAUGCUUUGGGCCGAGAUAAACCCAUUUGUGGGCCCAAAUAAAACCCCUGGUUUGAAAACAUCGAUUUUACAGUGGCCCAAAAGAUUAUCUAUGAGGGGAAGAUAACUUGGAAGUCAAGCAAACACAUUUAUCGCUAACUUUUCUCUAAUUAUAAAAUUAUAACUUGGUCUUCUACACGUCUCACUUAAGAGGCGGAGCCACUUGGCACUACCUUUCCAUAUUGUAAAAGGAGAAGAAGCAGAAGGAGAAGAUUCUUAUGCCAUUCCACACACCAUGGCUAGUACUGCUAUGCUGCUUGGCCCGCCGGCUCUCCGCCAUCCUAAUUCUCCCGCCGGCACUGUCUUUGAAGAUGGGGUCAUUCUAACGGAUUCCCUGAUCGUCCGCACCAGUAAUCUGGAGCUUUCUGAAAAACCGCCACUGGAAUCCCUGGCGUAGUGCUCUGUCAGUGGGGAUAUUGCUAUGGAUUGUUUGGAUUCCCAAGCCCACAAUCUUCAUCUUCCCGGGAAACCGCCGAUGGGCUUAACGGAAAACAAGUCUCCGACCUUUUUGUCUUCCGGGAACCCGUGCUUGGACUUCUUCUUCCAUGUGGUUCCCGAUACGUCGUCUGAUGAUCUGAUCCGACGGUUUGAGUUGGCUUGGGAAUUCAAUCCGCUGACGACGUUAAAACUGAUAUGCAACUUGAGAGAGGUGAGAGGCACCGGAAAAUCUGACAAAGAGGGUUUCUACACGGCGGUUCUCUGGCUCCACGACCACCAUCCCAAAACCCUAGCCUGCAAUGCUAGGGUGUUGGCCAGCUUCGGUUAUUUCAAGGAUUUUCUCGAGAUUCUCUACCGGCUUCUGGAGGGCCCUAAAAUUCGAAGAAUCGAAAAGAAAGACUGGCUGGAUCGAAAAGGAAGGAAGAAAAAUUCCCGGAAAAGGAACUCAAUAUUCAAGCGAGAAAAUAGGCCUGGAGUUGAAUUUCCUGUAGAAGAGAAGGAUGUGGAGUAUAUGGUGGAAGAAUUUGUGGAUAAAGAAAAGGCUAGGGUACUGAGAAAGGAGAGAGAACUUGCUCUUGCCAAAAGAGCCCUGCACAAGUAUUCUACUGAUUCUAAUUAUCAGUUCUUACAUGAUCAGAUUUCAGAUUUAUUUGCUGAACUUCUGAAAUCUGAUAUUCAGUAUUUAAACUCCGGUGAGCUUUACAAGAUUAGUCUCGCAUCCAAAUGGUGUCCCACAAUUGAUUCUUCUUAUGAUAAAUCCACCUUGAUAUGUGAAAAUAUUGCUCGAAAGGUUUAUUCUCGCGAGGAAUAUAUAUCCAGAAUACCAAGGAAUUGAGGAGGCUCACUAUGUUAAUAGAGUCAGGGAUAGGUUGAGAAAACAAGUACUUGUUCCAUUACGUAAGGCCCUGGAGUUGCCAGAGGUUUUCAUGUGUUCGAACCAGUGGGGAUCACUUCCCUACAACCGUGUGGCUUCAGUGGCCAUGAAAUCAUACAAGAGCCUCUUCUCAAAACAUGAUACAGAGCGGUUUGGUGUGUAUCUUGAGAAAGUGCAAACUGGGAAGGCUAAGAUUGCAGCUGGUGCAUUACUUCCCCAUGAGAUUAUAGCUUCAUUGAAUGAGGAGGAUGGCGAGAAAGUUGCAGAGCUUCAGUGGGCGAGAAUGGUGGAAGAUUUAUCAAAGAAUGGGAGGCUCACAAAUUGCAGUGCGGUAUGUGACGUAUCAGGAAGUAUGAGUGGAACUCCAAUGAAGGUGUGUGUGGCUCUGGGGCUGUUAGUUUCAGAGCUCAGUGAAGAUCCAUGGAAAGGUAAUGUAAUUACUUUCAGUGCAAGUCCUGAGCUUCACAAGAUCCAAGGAGACAGCCUUGUAUCCAAGACUGAAUUUGUGAGGAUGAUGGAAUGGGGUGCGAACACUGAUUUUCAGAAAGUUUUUGACAGAAUCUUACAAGUAGCAGUGGAGGGAAAUCUGAGUGAAGAUCAAAUGAUAAAGAGGGUUUUCGUUUUCACUGAUAUGGAGUUUGAUGAAGCUUGUGGGAGGUAUAACUAUUGUGAAUAUGACUAUGAUAUGGAGGAAAUUGAUGAGAGUCAGAAGGCAUCUCAGAAGUGGGAGACAGAUUAUGAAGUGAUACAGCGGAAAUUCCAGGACAAAGGAUAUGGAAAAGUUCCGGAGAUAGUGUUUUGGAACCUUAGAAACUCAUCAGAGACUCCAGUGAUGGCCACAGAGAACGGGGUGGCCUUAGUAAGCGGGUUUUCGAAGAAUCUGUUAGACCUUGUUUUUGGAAGGAGGUGGAAUUCUGACCCCUCAGGAUGUGAUGGAAUUAGCCAUCUCUGGUGAAGAUUACAAGAAACUUGUUCUAUUUGAUUAAGAUAUCAAGAGAUUUAUCAAUAAUAAUAUGUUUUUUUUUUUCUAUGUGAAAUACAUGUAAUAUUAACUAUGGAGUUAUCAAAGUUCUGGAAAUUUAAUUAUUUCUUCUUUUCAAGUUUUGUUUGUCUUUGUUAGGAAUUCCCCUUGGGCGGACCCAGCUGGGGACUUGGAUUGAGGAAGUAAGGAGGCGAAAUUGUGUUCUUCUAUGGACAGAGAAAAAAGAUAAAAAUAAAAAAUAAAAAAGGAGGUUAUUUGCAUUUGGAUGUCAUGUGGUUUCAGGGUACAACUACAAGUUCGAAAUUGUACAUAAUGUGAAAAUUCCUGUGUGGAGAACAGCAUAAAUAUGUAUCUCAGUGUGUUUUGUUUGAGCUAAUUGGCAAAUUCGCUUUAAACAUGGUCACAUGGAUGCAUAUUUAUUUGUGAAAUGAUAGUAGUCGAUUACUUGGUCAGUAAGGUUUGUAUCUCUAACUCCAACAUCUUAUUGUAGUCUUUUAAAAUGUCAAAAGUUUAAUGCUAGCUUGAGAAAUUUUGGAAUGGAGACAUUCUAAACAAAGUUAAUAAUCCAUGAGACUUGGUAAAACCGAUCAGAUGAUGCUUACGUACAUGAAUGCCUUCUUUAAGCCGUAUCCUAUUUUCAUUGAAUGAGACGUGCCAUCUAGUUUUGUUCUUGUCUUGAUUGGAUCAUGAUCCCGGGAAUUGAUUACUGUUCUGAAUUUGCGAAUGUUCAAGGUAUUAGAGAAAGUUAAUAUUAUCGUUAAUUUACAUAUUAGUAUUUAUCUAGUUAUUAUAUAUUAGUUUGAAUUAUAAUAUAAUAUAGAAUUUGAAUCAAGUUUACUAUUAGUUUGAAUUACAAUAGGAAAUAAAGUUUGAAUUAUAGUAUAACUCAAAUAUAUUUGUAUAUAAAUAUCCAUCUUUAUCAAUGAGAAUAGUAAACCAUAUUUUUCUCUAUCUUCUUCUUUCUCUAUAUAUAUGGUAUCAAAGCCUCCAAAUCCUAAACCUAGUCUCAACUUAGAGCAAAUUUAGGGUGCAGGGUUUAGGCCCCGCCUCCCCCAACCCUUACCACAAAUGGUAGUGACCUUGUUAUGCCUAUGUAUUGUCAAUGCCUCAUUUUCUAUGGUCUUCAAUACAAUAUCUAGUUUCAAUGUCUCUUUCCUUACUAUCUCCAAUGCAAUAUAUUGAUUUCAAUAUCUCUUUACAACCAAGAGCUCCAAAUUUUCCUGGUUCAAAUCUACCAUAAUUUUUAUUCUCCUUUGCUUUUUACCAAUAUUAGUUCCCCUAAUUUAAUAUAUAUCUCUUUAUUACCUUCAACUCUACCUCUCUCUUUCUUUAAAAGCUUCCUCAAAGAUUUGAUUGCUUUCUUGCAUGUUUUGGGAAAACAAACAUGCUCAUAUUCUAUUACCUCUACUUGAGAUCUGCCUUAUACUCUACCUUCUUCUUUACCUCCUAUAUCAUCUACUACAUUAGCUUCAAAAACAUUAUUUAGUUUGAUGCUAAAUAAGGCUCCUAAUCCUACCCUUCCUUCAACUAACUUUCUUUUACAAGUCCCUCAAAGUUUUUUUUUUUUUUUUUUUGGAAAUUUGGCUUAGAAAGAUUUCAUUACUCUUACCUAAUCUUUCAACCAUCAAGUCGAAUCCACUUAUCUCUUGAAUCCAAGGAGACUACCCUCCACAAAAACAAGGAGAUUGACCCCCACAAUAACAAAGAGAUUGUCCUCCAUAGAAACAAAGAGAGCUUCCUUCAUGGAAGCCGAAUACAUCGCAAUCUAUUUUCUUUCUCUCAAGAUCAAAUCUCCAAUCGGAGCUCCAUCUUGUGGGGAUAUAUUAGAAAAAGUUAAUAUUAUCCUUAAUUUACAUAUUAGUAUUUAUCUAUAUUAUAUAUUGAAUUAGAAUAGAAUAUAGAAUUUGAAUUAAGUUUACUAUUAGUUUAAAUUACAAUAGGAAAUAGAGUUUGAAUUAUAGUAGAACUCAAAUAUAUUUAUAUAUAAAUAUCCAUCAUUAUCAAUGAGAAUAGUAUUCCAUAUUUUUCUCUUUCCCUGAGGCUUCAGAAUGUGAUCUUGAACAUUUGAUCUUUUGGAUUCUUCUUGUUUCGGUGGUUUAAUAUAAUGGAAUGUUUAAUUAUAGCCUACUUUAUCACCAUGGAUGUGCUCCUGCAGAUUUCUUGAGGGUGAUGGUUAUUUUGUCAUGUUUCUUGAAUGGUUUGCAUCAGCUGCCUGAGCUGUUGUUGCUGGUCACUUUUGCAACCAGGGAAAGAAUCAUGGCUUUGGAGAAGCCAGCUUCUGUUUUUGUUGCCCAGCUGUUAGUUCACUAAGAUUGGGGGUCCUAACAUGUAUGUAUAAUCAUAAGCAAGGAAAUUUUAUGUCUUACGCUAGAUAGGUACCAUGAUAUGAUGUUUGAUUGAUUUAUUAACUCUACCUGUUUCAAAAGGCAUCAACAUUAAUUUUACCCUUUUAACACAUUGGAUUGUUUGACCUUACGAGAUUUUCUAUUUCUGUACUAUUUGAACUGCAAUCGUUAUGGUCCUUAGGUCUCUAAACCUUCGUUUAAAAUAAAAGUAAGGAGCACACAUAGUAAAAGUUAAUUUUGGGUAACUUUUAAAACAAAGAGAAAAGUAAAAGUUGUUUUUGAGAAAAACAUAUAGAAAUUGAAAGAUUUUUUAUUUUGAGAAAAAAAAGUCAUAGAAAAGAAAUAAUAUCCCCAUAUAAGUAGAUAUGAUCUAUCCGAAGUGUAGCUACUCUCCUGGAUUUAUUCUAACAUUUUAAAAUUUUUCUCAAUGGGCAAAGGAAUAUCAAAUCAAGCUUGAGUAGGAUUAAUUUCUUAAUUUUUAAAAUAACUUAUAAUUAAAAUUUUUUGGUGUUUUCUUUUUUGGACAAUUUUUUAUGAAGACUCUGAAUCAUGCAAGAGAUAUGGUUAUUUUAAAAAAAAAAAUAAUUUAAAACUCAAAUACAUAAUCAAUGUCACAAAUUUAUAAACAAAAGGUUUUUAAAAAAUACUAUUAUUUCCCCUCUACACAUAAUUUUACUUUUCCGAUUUAUUUAUUUUUGUUGGAAAACAGUCUUCAAAUCAAGUAAAAUUAAUAUGUUAAAUUUGUUAAACAAAUAAAUUUUAAAAUACAAUUUGGAACUCAAAAAUCAAUUCAAGUAAUGCUAAAAUUCAAAAAAUCAAAUUUGGAAUAAAAUGACUUUGUAAAUUUUUUUACUAAACAAAUGAAUUUUAAAUCAAGUGAGAUUUAAUACAUUGGAUUUUUAUGAGAAUAGUAAUUUUAAAAAUUAAUUUGGAACUCAAAAAUAGACACAAUAAAUACCAAAAAUCAAUGAACCAAAAUUGGUUUGGAAUAACUCCAUAAUUUUUUAUUUAUUUAUAUAUUUAUUUUUUUGUGCACACGAAUUUCUUACUAAGCAUAUUGCUUCCAAAUUGAGAAAAAUUUACUAUUUAGAUUUUUUUAAUGAGUUUAAUGGUAUUUAAAAAUAAUUCAAAAAUUCGAAAAUUGACUAAUUUAAUAUUAUAAAUUCAUAAACCAAGACUAAUUCAAAAUGCAUUGGGGGCUAAGGGGGUUGAAAUUAAUGCUCCAUUUGGUUGUGGCCACCAAUUGGCAAUGGCCACCAAUCAACCAAUCAAGGUGGCUAAGGGGGUUGAAAAUAGGGACAAUGGGGUGGGUUUGGGACAGGACACUCAUAUCCCAUUCCCAUCCCAAUUACACAGUUAUUUCCCAUCCUUAUUCCAAACUUGUGUUGGGGCAAGUUGAUUUGUUCCCAUCUUUGUUAACGAAAUGACUAAUAACCUCAUCCUCUCCUUGUCUUAGAUGUACAUUUUCUCAAAUUUGGUCAGGUAUGAUUGAUUCAAGCCCUAACCUUAAUUGGUAAUGAGUGGAUACCACACCUAAUUGCAUUCUUCUUUCGUUGCAAAAUAAUGAGAUUAUAAUAAUCUAGCAAAUAAGAAAAAAUAGUAUGGAAGUUCAAAUUAACACCAUAACUAUCAAUAAUUUUAAGCUUAUAGAUGACUUAAAUGAUUGAAAACUAAUGCAAAAUACUAAAAAAAAAAAAAAUCAUCUAAAGAAUUCACAAGAGAAUAGAACGAACAAAACCAAAUAGGAACAUGGGUCAACAUUAGUUACAGAUUUUGAUCCCUUUCAAGGCCAAUCUUUGAACCAAGACUUCAUCAAAUCUACUACUUCAAAGGCUUUUGUGUUCUUCUUGAGUUGUACUCUGGAACAAAGACUUCGAGGUGAUGCUUUAGAUGAUUGCAUUACACAUAUUUAGGGUAGGGAGAUUGGAGAAGCUUGAAGAUGCCAACGAUGGGUACAAUUGAGUGGUCAAUAAGAACAAUGUGGCCUAUGACUAGUUUGAUGUCAUGGUAUAGGAGUUUUGGGCAUUGAGGUGAAAGCAAGAGCAACAUGGAAUUGAUUUCAAAGUCUUUCAAUUAGUGUAAAGGAGGAAGAAGAAGUGGUAUUGAUCCUAGAAAUAGUGUUUUAGGUGUUGCAUUAGAGGAAAAGAAAAAGAAAAAGAAGGAACCAUUGGAAUUAGUACGAGUGUGAAGAGAGAAGUGUAUACAUAAGGGGAAGUAAAAGCAAAGUUCUAAAAAUUUAUUUUUUUAUUGGUGGUGUAUGGUUGCAUGAUUAUCCCUAUAAAUAAUAGGAGUUUUUUGGUGUUCUACUAGUAGUUGAAGGAUAAUUUCAUAAGAUAAUAUUUAGAGCGGGGUGGGGUGAGUUGUGACAAAAUCCAUACCCGUCCCAAACAUUGGUUCAGGUUUUUAAAAUAUUUUCAAACUUAUCAUAUACCCAAUUUUAUAUUUCAUACUUGUCCUAAUAGAGACAGGUUAGUCAGGGUUACUUGAGUAGCCUACAAAACUAUCAUCCCUAGUUGAAAUGCUCUUUUUGGCAGUGGCAGCUAGAAGCUCGAUCGAUUGACCUACAAGACUAGUUGUCAUCAUUUUAAAAAGAGUUUUGGCUUUGGUUGUGAGUGCAAUUGAAUCUAAACUAACAUUUCCUUAAUGCAUCUACUUCAAUCCUAAACUUCUUACUUAAGCCUCAAUUGUUGUUAAGAUUUUGGAAAACCCAUUUCCUUAAAUUGUAAAUUUAAGAAAAAAAAAAUUAAAAGUGAGACAUUUCUUGAUUGAAUGUUGUUAAAGGUCCCUUGGAAUUAAGACUUGGUUGAAGCCUUGGAAGAUUAGCAGAACUCUCAACUUAUGUUUGAACCUUGAGGAGAGUGGACGUAGGCCAAAAUUUUGUCAAACCAUUAUACAAAUUGAGUUUGAAUUCUCAUUUCUUGAUUUCUUAUUUAUUUGCUUUUUCUUAUUAUUACUUGAAUUGUCAUUUGCAUUCAUUAAUGUUAAAAUUGGUUAUAAUUAGCCAACACUAAUUCUCUUUCCCCUUCCCUUAAUUUCUUGGGUGUAAACCUAGGUUGGAUUAACUAGAUUUUAUCAAAUCUAUUAAGAUGGUAAAAGAAUAAUUAUUCUUAACAUACAUAAGAUCAUCUUCAAUCAAAUGACUCAUUGGCUGAUAUGUUGAAUUUGCUUAUUACUUGCAACUCAAAAUUGUGUUCUAGUUGAUAUGUCAAGUCCUGAGUGUAUGGACAUUAAAUUUGUAGUACGUGAUGAGUAUUUAGAUGGUCCAAUUCCAAGAAAGUGAUUGAAAACUAGUUCAAGAAAGGUGCAAAAGGGAAUUGUUUUGGUAUUUUCGUUUUUAUUCUUGAAGGUGGCAGAGCUAAAAUUUGAGAAAUCAAGCAAAACAUACUGAAAUUACAUUGAAAGAAAGAAAAUGGGAGUUAAUGUCUUGCAGUACAUGAUAAGGACUUCAUGCAUGUAGUGUGACCCAUGUCUUGGACUGAUGCCACACUCACGGUUACACUUAUACCCUUAGUUCUCUCUUUACUACCUUAGCUAACCUAGAUCAGGUUAUGAGAUAGGCACCUCACCACACCAUUACUUGCCCAUUAAUUAGUGACAUUUUCAAGCAAUGAGGUAACAUGGUGACACCAAGAGGGUAUAUUCCUCACCCCCAACAAGCCUAGACCUGGUCUAAAAAAAAUGGAGAAAAAUGACGUGUUGUUAUGCAGAAAUAUAGCAACCAUGCCUUCCUCAUUACUUAGAUUCAGAAUGUGAAGGUGAAAUUGAGAAACAGAAACUCUUGAAACCAAAAUGAAAAUUGAUACUUUUACGAAGAAUUACAACAACAUUAGAGGAAGACUACAUUCUUCCUCUUUAUUCCUACAUUUCUACACUACUUCUACUCCACUCCAUAUUUCUACAUACAUCUUUAAUCAGUCUUCCCUCCUUUAUAUAGAGCCAUCUUCACACAAAUUCCGCAAGGUAGAAAAGAGGAAUGAAACUUGGAGCAAGGUUCGACUACUGGCUGUAGCUUGUCAAGGCUGAAAGUGAACUUUUUUUCUUGGCUUUUCUGGGCAUAGGUAGUAACUUGUAGGUUCCUUUUUGGAAUGAAAAUGGUACGGCUAGAACAUGUGGCACUCUCUUGUUGGAUGAUGUGUCAAGCAUGUGGCAGCCAUCUAGUGGAGAUUAUGUCAAUUUUGGGAUGGAGAGUUGGCAUCCAAUUGCAAAGAAAUAUGACAUCUACCAACAUGCAAUGUCAACCUAUGUAGAUCAUAUGAAGAUAGAGAGGAAAAAUAUAGAAAUGGAUAUAUAACUAGAACUAGCUUUUUAUUAAAUGAGACGGAGAGCCAACAAUGAAGGAAAAUCAAAAUUUUUGGCUCAUAUCAAAGAAUUCACAUUGUGUUACCCUAGGUUUUCUUAAAACUUACUUUUAUGAUAAUAAAAAAUCAUUAUUGUUUAAUCCUUUGUUUUAAACGCAUGUUUAGCAGGUUGUAAAAUGUAAAUAUCUUUCGAAAUUCAAAUAUGAAGAUAUGACAUCAUUUCAAGCAAUAUAGUCUCUAGGAAUUAAUGUAAAGCUAAAUUAAGGUGCAAUUAAGUUAGUUCAAUGCAUUAUUUUAAGAAACUUGACCUAUCAAAACCUUGUCUUACUUCAAAGCCUCUUUUUCUUUUCUUCCAACUAACAUUUUAAUAAGUGAUCGCAAAAGUACAAAAUUAGAUGAAAUCCAUUUCAAUGGUUAAAAUGAUCAAAUUCAAACUUUUUCUAAGUAUCUUUUAAAAGCAUCAAUAUUGAAAGACAAUUUUAUAUUUAGUCAAAGCUUGGACAGAGCCAAAAAGCACACAAAAAUUUAUAUUUUCUAGCUCUCUACCUUGGAUGGUCUCUUGAUCCUACUUGGAGAUGUGCAUAAAUAAAAGGAUUUGAAAAUGACAAUUGACUAAGUAUGUAGUCAAUCAAUUACUCAUUGAUUGACUAGUUGAUCAAUUAACUUUGCAACAUCAUAUGCAAUCCUAAUAGCUAGUCAUCUAAUCAACUAGGUAGUAAAUCAAUAGGCCAAAAAUAUGUUUAUAAUGACUAUUUUGUACAAAAACCACUUAUAUAGUUAAAUAUAAUGCAUUUCAUUUAUAAAUCUUCUAAUUCUUGAAUAACAAUCCUAUCAUCCUUUGAAAGUUUUUAUUACACCUUUUCUACAUUUGUUCUAAAACUUAUACAUCACCCUUAAUUGUACCAUGAGAACCUAGCAUUUUUUUUUUUUUUUUUGUAUUUCAUCAAAGUUAGCUCUUGUACUCAUUGUUGUAUUAUUUUUAUUGUAACUUAGAGAGCGAGUGUUUUCAAGUGAGUGAAAUUGACUUGUAAAUAUUGUAAAGAUUCAUUGAUAUGUAUCUCAAACUAGGUGUACAAGUUGAAACAUUUGCUAGUAGAUUUUCUCAAGAUUUAGAAUGAGCUUAAGGCUAUCGAAUUAGGUGGGGUUGCGCCAAACCAUAUCACAUCGUUGUUUGCACCUUUUUUUUCACUCUCUUUUACUUAGUUGCUCUAUAUAUAUUGUCUAGCAAUAUCCUAAAGGCUUGAUGGGCUAGGGAGCAUCCCUCUGAAUGAAAAAUUUUCAUUCAAUUCUUAGUUGUAUUACGCAUAUAUAAAAUGCCUCAUUGUUUUAAUGGUAUUCAGUCGUGGCACCACAGAUAUGGACAUCUAAAUUUUAAAAGUUUGAAACUUUUAGCUAAAGAAAAUAUGGUGCUUUGCCUUUUUGGAAAGCAUGUUGAUGAAAUCCAUGAGAAUUGUAUACUUGGAGAGCAACAUCGAGAUAACUUUUUUUUUUUCUUUUUUUAUAAUGCAUUGUUUGUCCAAAUUCCGUACAAAUUAGGCCACCACAUGUUCAUAAUUCUCCCUUCUUGAAUUUGAAAACUCGGACAAUUUGACAAUGCGACACCUAAGUCCGGUUUUUAAAUGCUAAAGUGAAAGGGCAGGUAUGGACCAUUGAAAUGUGAUAACAACUUUUGGCCUUUUCCUUUUCUCUGUAGCCAUGUUGUCUCUUUUUAAUUUCUUUUGCAUGAUUUUCUUACCUAAACAGAAUCAUAGACUUGUUUAAUCUCUAAGUGGGAUUUCAUCCACCUUAAGCUACUGUAUUAUAUCUCGGUGGAGGACAACCGACAUAGAGCACAUGCAAGUGGGUAUAUGGGACAUGAAAUAUCUUCUUAUAAAGCUUGUUUUGCAGUUAAAUUAAUUGGAUAAGUAGACACUGGCGUUUCUAAAUUUCCCACCUAAGAUAAUGACCUUAUCCUUGACUGCUAGAUACACAAACAAUUAUACCUUCAAAAUCUACUGUGAAGUGCUUCAUGUAUGUGUGAAGUAUUAGAAAUUUCUUUCUUGGCAACUUGUUUUUUUCUUUGCGGUCUACUGAUAGGUUUGACUAAAAUUAUAUUCCCUGUCCUGCUAAUUAAUUUUCACGUGCAUGCUCAAAAGAAGAGUAUGACCUUAGUGCACCAAAAUCACUUUCAAUAAUUUGUGAUAAGUUUUUUUGCAUGACAUUAACCUUAUUCAUUUAGAUAAUGUUUAGUUCUCAUAAAUAUUAAGAAAAUGAAAAUAAAUAUUAAGAAAAAUAUUCUUAUAUUUGAUUGUAUUAUGAAAAAUAUCAUAAAAAAUCAAAUAUAAUUAAAAUUAAUUAAUAAUUUAUAUAUUUUAAAAUUAUUUAAUUUUUAUAUUAAAGAUAUAAUAUAAAUGAAAUGAGUUUUAAGUAUUAUAUAAAAAUGAUUUAUUUAUUUAUUUAUAUAUAUAUAUAUAUAUAUAUUUAGUUUUUCUCUUUAUUUUAUUUUCCUUAUGUUUUCCUCACAUUUUCCGGAAUCAAAGAUAGGGAAAUCCACAAUUACCUUCAACUGAGUAGAUUCUAUUGUUUUAGCAAUGUUAGGCUGCUAACUUGUGGUGGUACGAACCAAAUGAUCCAUGUUAAUCUUGGCUUGAUUUAAUUUGGCUCUAUCUCAGAGAACUCAAGGAUCACGUCAACUCUGGUUUCUACUAUUCAGGUCCAUUCCCAGAUGAACUGGUUCAAAUUUGAGAAAAUGGUAACAGACCUUUAGUGAUAUUGGUUUGGAGCCAGUUGCCAAACCUGCCCUGAGCUUUACCACUAAUGUCAAGGGACAAAGCCAUUUGAACAAAAACAAUAGCUUCAAGAGACUGAAUCGUGGAUGAAAUCUGAUCCACAUUUCUUCUCAUUUUGGGAAAAAAUGAGGACUUAACCACAAAGAUUCUACUGCCUCAUAGUGCUUUUCCUGAUCUAAGGUUGGCUCGUUUCCCAAAUUGUGAGGUGCACGUGCCACUCUCACGCUCAGGAGUGUAUCCACGUGGUGGACAUAAGAUGGUGGCUUAAUAUCUGGUGUCGGUGGCUUUACUUUACUAGGAGAGUAGUGUGUCUUCAUCUCAUUCACUGCCAGAGGGUGGCGUAAGCAGUGACGCUAAGGUGGGGCACAGUCAAUAUCAUUUGCAUUUGACCAUUAUAAUUUUCUCCCGGCUUUAAAGUAACCUUAUCGUGAUAAUGGAUUACUAGCACUAGUUCAGAUGACAGUCAUGUUAAAUUCGGACCAUGUUUGUGUCACAUUAUCAGCAACCAUGUGCUUGUGGUUCAUGCUAUCUGCAACUAAACUUGAUAUAUAACCAGGUGAACUUCAAUCUAAAUUCUGGAAGUACUCAUGUGAUAGAUGGUGCCUGUCUGCAGUGAGUGUAUCUAUAAGAGGGAAGGCUUGGCAAAUGUUCAGUUUUCUGGGAAUUCAACAGGGAUCUAAAAUAGAUUGUUUUCUUUGCUGAUUUCAAUGGUUGAAAUUUGAGAAGAUUGUGUCCACAUAACACAACUAUUACUGGUCCUUCUGUUGCAAUUUAUCCUCUAAGGCUCUAACAUGUCUUCCAAUUCCCACUUCCCACUUCCCUGUUACUCCAGGAAAGCUGUUUCUGUCAUUGUGAAGAAGAAAAGAGACUGUACAUAUCGAUGCUUUUAAGUGGACUGGAGAAUUCAUAUCAGGUGGUCUGCAGCCAUACAUGCCACUUUGUGAAGGUUGGAACAGUCAAUCACUAGGCUAUAUUAGUGGGGCCCAGCCACUUCAAUCAAGGACAAGUCUUCAUACUUAAAGUCAAAUUCUGCCUUUAGUCUCAUUAUAAAUUGCUGUUUAAAUAUCAAGCAAACAUUUGUUUAAUGCGAUUAAGACAGCACUAACUCAAUACUUGUUCUAUUUUUGGAUGCAAAUGCUUGAUAGUUUCAUCAUUGGAGGGGAUAAAGGUGCAUUCAUGAUUAUGAAUACUUGUAGUUAUAUUUUCAUUCUCUUUUUUCUCAAUGGGACUUGUUGGCACAAUUUUGCUGUUCAGAAACCUACCUCUCCAUGGAAAAUCAGUUGUGAUUGAUAUUACUGGAUAUAUUCAAGAAAGCUAAAUGUAGAUAGCACAAAAUAUUAUCGACAUAAAUAGCAUUAACAGCGUACGUAUGUCUCAAUGCUCAUCAGCUAUAAGCAAGGGGCAAACACUUACUAUGAGCAACUUACGUCAAAAUUCCGGAAUAGGACAUAGAAGUGACAGGUCAGUAAAUAUAGAACACUGCAUAUGAGUCACAAGAAAGGAAAUUACGGGUACAUAGCAGCUCUUAUUUUACAUCCUACUCAUACUGAUCAAAGUCACUCAGUUGGGAUGGGUGGGAGUGGGAGGUUUGUGGGGUGGCUUGUGCGGAGGAGUUGGCAGCUUCUUUCCAGGACCUGGUUGCUUCUCUGCUGGAGUUGAAGGAGGCUUAAUCUUCCGAGGUGGCUUGUAUGAGUCUUCAGCAUUCUCAGCAGGAGGGUGACCAGGGUUGUGACCACAAUGUGGUGGCUUCUCUCCCUUAGGUGGUUUGCCAACUGGGGUUGGUGGCUUGUGUUCCGGAAGUGGCUUCUCUUUGUGUUCAGGAGGUGGCUUCUCCACUGGAGGCUUGUGUUCAGGAGGUGGCUUCUCCACCGGAGGCUUGUGUUCAGGAGGUGGCUUCUCCACCGGAGGCUUGUGUUCAGGAGGUGGCUUCUCCACCGGAGGCUUAUGCUCUGGUGGUGGCUUCUCCACCGGAGGCUUAUGCUCUGGUGGUGGCUUCUCCACCGGAGGCUUAUGCAAUGGUGGUGGCUUCUCCACCGGAGGCUUGUGUUCAGGAGGUGGCUUCUCUACCGGAGGCUUAUGCUCUGGUGGUGGCUUCUCCACCGGAGGCUUAUGCUCUGGUGGUGGCUUCUCCACCGGAGGCUUGUGUUCAGGAGGUGGCUUCUCCACCGGAGGCUUGUGUUCAGGAGGUGGCUUCUCCACCGGAGGCUUGUGCUCUGGUGGUGGCUUCUCCACCGGAGGCUUAUGCUCUGGUGGUGGCUUCUCCACCGGAGGCUUGUGUUCAGGAGGUGGCUUCUCCACCGGAGGCUUAUGCUCUGGUGGUGGCUUCUCCACCGGAGGCUUGUGUUCAGGAGGUGGCUUCUCCACCGGAGGCUUAUGCUCUGGUGGUGGCUUCUCCACAGGAGGCUUGUGUUCAGGAGGUGGCUUCUCCACCGGAGGCUUAUGCUCUGGUGGUGGCUUCUCGAAUGGGGGAUGCGUAGGGUAAUCAGCUAGUGAGGGGGCGGUGAGAACCACCAGGCCAAGCAACACUACUAGCAAGUAUGUAGGAGACAUCUUUGGGUUUGGGCUCAGAUGGUGCAAAACUAGGAGAAUUGGCUAGCCUUUUAUAGCGGAUCGUACCCAAUAAUGAAAUGACACGUGUCAUUAUGACCCAUGUGUCAUGUGGUCGAUUUGGGUCCUACAGUGUUGAAAACUUCGACAUCCACUUUUUUGGCCUUUUGCUUUCUCUACAGUCGCCUUGCUUUUUCCCUCUUUUCUUUUGUUUUCCUCCUGCCCCAUUCUAUCAACUAAUCACAAUUAUGUAGUUGUUUAAUUCUUAAAUGAGAUAUUAUCCGUCAAUCAUAUUAUCUUUUAUCAAGAGAGAACGGAGUGAAAAGUGGCAAUCCAAAGAAAGAAGAUCCAUAAUGCAGCUGUAAUUUUAUCGUUUACUUUUAUCUCUAGGACCACUGCAUUUUUGUUGAGAGGUGCAAUAAUACACGUCUUUAUCUGCCAUUCAAUGUUUACAGUAAAGAGAGGGCACAAAACUCUUCACUGCUCUGCAUGUGCCCCAAAAAUGCAAUUGGACAAAUUAUGAUUUGCAUGCUAAAAAGAGGCAAAUGAGGUUAAUUAGCACCAAAAUUAUUUUGUUUUCUGGACACCCCGGGGCCCUUUGGUUGGUUUGGGGGUCAGAAAAUGAACAUCAUAGGGGGUUUUUCCCUAAUGUGCAUUUGCAUUUGUAUCUGAUGGCUUUAACUCGCCUUGUUACUACAAAGAAAUUGUCACAGAUAGGAACUUAUUCCAGGCUGAGUAUCUCCGCAUGGACCCUAUAAAAGAAGACAAGUCAUAAUGAACAUCUAACCUUUGUUCAAUUUGAUUCAAUGCCCCUAUUGUGUCCAUCUCACAAAUCUGAAUUAUUAUAUCCAUUGAAUACAUAAAUUAAUGAAGAAAAUAUGAAACCCAAGAUACAUCUCUGCACAACCUCAACCCUGGUUGCUAUGUUUCACUUCUAUUCACAUGAGGAUAUUGAUUACGGAAUAAGGAAACCUAGCAAGGGUUUACUCGGCUCUGGUUUGAUGCUAAUUGCCAAACUUGCAACAAGCCCUGAGUUUGACACCUAAUCGAUGGGCGAAUUAAAAGUCUCCUCCAAACAUAUAUUCCACAGCUUGAAGCUCACAGAAGAUGCUAUACAGGCAGGGAAAAACCUUCAGAGUUAGCUACCAAAGAUAAUUAUCAAGGAGAUAUCACCAAGAGAAUUCCAUGGAGUCUGAAUCAAAGACAAAUUGCUCGCUCGUGGGGGUUCUUACUUAAUUUCUUUUGGGUAUAACUCACUGAGGGCACUGGCUUUGUUAUUUGCAUUUCGCAUUUAGAGUUCUGUUCUGGAAGGUUUGUUCUGGAAACAUAUAAAAGGAGCAUCAUUUUGUUCUAGGGUAACCCAUAGUUGUGAGUGGGUCCAUUUGCAUGCUACUUAGUUGAAAAGUUGGACAAUUUGCUCCGACGCCUACCUCCUGGAUUCCAUGCUCGGAUAAAGCAAGAAUAAUAAAAUAUUUAUAAUUUACAAAUGGGGGAAAGAAAAAAAUGUCAACAACAAACUAGGAAAAAAGAGUAGUAAAAUUUAUGCCACAUGCUAUUGAUAGAAGGGGCAUGUAUUAGAUCCAUCACCAUUUGGUAAGAUUUUAGUAUUAUAUUUUUCAAGGUUCAUUAUUUGAGGGUGUGUUCUUCAUCUCUGUUGCAUUGCUUCUUACUAGGCCCACUGAGGUGGGUUCUUCACCUUUUGUAUAUUCUCUGCACUAGAUCAAUGAGAAAGGGGGAAUUUUGGUGAAUUUGCAGCCGUUGGAUGAUUGAUUCUAGGCUCAGUCCACCAAUGAUGCUCUCUUCACUCUUUCUCAUCUAGUGUCAUUCACAACUAUGUUUUGAUUCAUAUUUGUACUAUCAAAGAUAUCUCAUUAUUCUAGCUCAUUAGGUAGAGUUCCUAAUCUUCCUCCUUUUUGGUCUAUGGACAGUAUUGGCUUCAUAUUAAGAUCAUGUUUCAAUAAUUGCACAUUAAUGAAUGGAUCAUGACCCACAUAAACAGAGUCAGGGUUGAGUCAGUGAACCCUAAAAUUUCACAAUUCUAAAUUUGGGUUCUUUAACAAUGCAGGGUCAAGGACGCGUGGUGAUGAAGGAAAGCUGGUAAGCUCAGUGUUACUUCAAUUCCUGCCAUGUAGGAUGGUGAGGAGAUAUUCACUAUGCAAUUAAUAAUAGACAAUAUUCACUAUGCAAUAAUAAAGCAUAAAUUAAGUUGAAUGAAAAGCAUUUUCUUUGCAAGGAGUUGAUUUUGGUUUCAUAGUUUGUUCAACUGCUAUUUUGGAUAGGAAAGUGUGAGGAGAAGAAAAUAAAAAAUAAAAAUAAAACAAAAAAUAAAAAAUAGAUUUUAUAAAUUCAUUUAAUUUAUUUUUUUUUUAUAAAAAUUAACUAAUUUAAAAUAUAUGUAAAUUUCUAAUUAAUUUAAUUACAUUUUUUUUUUCAGUUUUUCAUAAUAAACCAAAUAUUAGAAAAUUAUUUUUAUUAAGACACCCAAGAUGAGGUAAUAUGCAAUGAAAACAUGAAUUAUAUUAAAAUUCAAAACAAAUUAAGAGAAAUCGGAAAAUAUACAUAGAUAUCUAAACAAAGAAAUUUAAAGAGAAGGAACCACAAACUUUAUUUACAUAAUUUGAAAAUAAAAAACAUAAAACAUACUUAUAGUAAGGAGAAAUUGAAUAUCUUACAAUGGAAGAAGGGAGAAAAGCUUUGAAGAAAGCUUUUGCUUGGAAGCUUACAUGGUGAGAGGUAGAGAAAGGAGAGAGAGAGAAGAAAAUGAAAAAUGAGAAGUGGAGAAAAUUGGAAGUUUUGUGUGCUUACAACUGAGGAUAGAGCCUCCUUAAAUAGCAAAAAAUGGAAUAUUAAAUAGUACCAAUCAGGAGACAAAAUAUUGUUUGCUUUUGAAACCCGUGCAUGAAUAGUAAUCCCGUGAGUGAAUAGUGAAUAAUAAAAGUGAAUAGUAAAAGUCACUUUCUACUAUAGCACUUUAGACUUUUUCAUCGAGAAUCUUACUUUCGGCUGAGUGAUGAUAGCUGAUAGGUUGCUUUGGAUUGUGGAGUCAUAUGUUUGAUGUUUUCGGUGCUGAAACCGCUUAGUUGGAGAAUAAUCUCGUCAGUAGAGCAUCAUGAGAAGCUUGAAUGGAGAGAGCUUAAUGAUGCCAUAUGAUUGGAAGGAAUCCUAUUUUAAUUUCCUUAUUGGAGGGAGAAUACCCUCACAAUCAUCUUCAUUAUCUUGAAGGUAGUUUGAUAUAGAGUCAUCUGACUCAGCAUAAGAGUCCUCUUGGGAGAAGCUUGAACUGCUUUUGUCAAGGAUUUUCUGAAAUUCUUGAGGGGUUUUUGCUAUUGCUAACAUGGUUUGGAGUUGCUGUUUCUUAAGAAGAAACUGUGCAAUAUCAUAAGAUGAUGAAGCUUGUGUAGGAUGCUUUAGGAAAUAUUGCUUUAUUGCUUGUAGUGAGGUAUCAUUUUUCAAGGCAUCCCACCACUUAGACUUGAAAGUCCUUCCAAGGGUUGGAAAGGCUGCUGAUUCAUCUGCUAUAAUGAUAUAAUCCCACUGGACUAUCCAGGCAAGGCCAAAUUCACUAAAAAAGAAUAAUAAUUGGGGAAAACUGAAAGUUCUCUAGGGAUAACAAAAGAACUUUGGAAUAGCUCAAAGCCAUCCAAAAUGGGUUUUGGGAGAAUUUUAAUAGUUGGACCAAAAUAUGUCCACCAAUUGUGGAACCAAAAUGGAAAAGAGGGGAGUUGAUGCUUAGAUGGGAAAUAGAACAUCCCUGAAUGAUGGAAGUCCUUGUUCUGGAUCAGAAAAGCAUUGAACCAUACUCUUUGGUAGUCUCAAUAAUUGAAAAUUUUAGGUUUUGAAGGCUUAGAAAAUUCUCUUGAAAAAUUAGGAUUCCCACCCCACUGCUUAACUGUAAGGAUUUUAUAAAUAUGGUAAGUGGAGAAUGCCAAAUCCAAAUUGCUGAAUUUAUCAGCAUUGUGCUUGAUUUUAACAGAGCCGGUUUCCAUAAGGAUUGCUUCAUAAAAUUCUCUUGUUUUUAAAAGAUCACCAAAGGGAUAAUGAAAAUUUUCAUGAAAAGCUUUUGCUGCAAUAUCUCUAGGGUUUUUAGAGAAAAACUCUUUUUCAAUAACCAAAAGAGGUUGAUUUAAAUCUUUUUGCCAAUAUCUUGCUUUUGCUGAAAGAGGUGUGGGGUUGGCUACCACCACAAUUUGCUUAUUUGAAAAAGAAGAGCUUGAUGCUAAUUCAUUUUGAGAGGGAUUAGCUUUAGUAACCUGCUUAAAGGUCUGAGACACAGUAAUAGUUGGAUACUGAGUAGCCUUGACUGGUUUAGAAGGAUUCGAAGGAUCAUAGUACAAGGACAAAAUCUUAUUAGGCAUAUGGUCAGAAGAAUGAAGCCUUGCUUCUUCUUCUAGCUCAACUUGUUGGCUCCAAAGUAUUUUAUGGGGAGAAGGUUCUUUGCUGGUUUUAGAAGACUAGGAUUCUGGAAGUUUAGGAGCUUGGGUAUUCUUUUUAGGGGCCAUGGUUUCGUGAAUCCUGUAAAAUUCACAAGUUAAGAAAUCAGGGCUCGAAGAAUGUUCUCCUUUAAUAUACUCAAUUUGUAAAUUAAAAUUGCUUAAAAUAGCUUGAUAUAUAGCAAAAAUAUGCUUAGAAGUUAUAUUCUUAACAUCCUUUUGUAAAACUAAUUUUGCAAAUUUACAAUCAACUCUUAAUAAAAACUUUUGAUUCAAAAGAUCAUCUUGAAAUUUUGAAAUGCAUAAAACAACGCUUAAAGUCUCUUUUUUAAUGAUGUUAUGAAUGAGUUGGGUAGUAUUCCAGGUUCUUGAAGUAUACCUAACUAACAUCUCAAGGUUACCAACACUUUGCUUAAGAAUCCCACCAUAACCUAUGUCUGAGGUAUCGAUCCCAACAAACUCAAAGGUUUCUGGAUUGAUAGAGCCUAAACAUGGUAGGGUCUUGACUUUGGACUUAACAUCAAUAAUGAAAACAAUGGUGAAAACAGAAAACUGGUUAAAGUUUUCAUCCAUUAUAUUCUGGAAUUCUGAGGUGCAUUCUUAAGAUCAAAGGGCAUUAUGAACCAUUCAUAAUGUCCAAGAGAUACCACAAAGGUGGUCUUAUUUGGAAUAGGACACCUAAUCCAACUUAAUGUAUCAUUAAGAGGCAUGUAGUUGACGACUAGUCUAGGUGUUCCUUUUUCUGAUUCAACUUGUUCCUGAACAUAGAAGGUUGAACAACUCCAAAGGGACUUAGACUUCCUUAUCAACUUUUUAUCAAGAAGAUCCCAAAUCUCCUUAUCACAAUAGCUUAACAAACCCUUGUUCAUCUGGAUAGGUCUUGAUUUAGUGGGAAUAUUCUUGUCACUAAAGUCUAGUUCAUAAGGUAAUUCUACCUCAUGUUGUUUCCUAUGCCAAAAUGCAUUAGGAAUGUUAGAGCAAACUUCUUCAACAAUCAGAUUAAUUUCUUGCUCAUGACUUUCCUUAGCUUGAAUCACCUGAUCCCUUAAGGUGUUUAUAUUUUUCUUAUUAGGUGGUUGGCAAAUUCAAAAAUAAUUUCCUUAUCUAAGAGCUUUGUUCUUAUACUUUGGUCAUCUACCCACAUGGGAUAGAUGGAGCUUAAAAAGGGGAUUCCAAGGAGAGCUUUCUCCUUAAGAUCCUUAACUAGAAUGAAGGUUUGCUUGAUGCAAAUGCCUUGGUUAUUUAUGUGAGCAUCUGACAGCUUAUACUCAAUGUCAAGCCUUUUACCAUUAGCUCCAAAGAGAGAUUCUUUGGUUUUCUUACAAAACUUAAUAGGACCUAGACCUUCUUGUAGGCAAUUCAAAGCUGUUCCUGAAUCAAUCAAAGCAACAAUAUCAAUGACAAAUUUACUCUUAAUUACUAUAGUAAGGGAGACUUUCCACCUCUGGAAAAUAACCCUACUAACAGUAUUUAAGUAUCCAUCCGUCUUUUCAUCAUUAGCAUGUGAAGAUUCUAGAACCUCUUCAAGGUUUUCCUAGUUAUCAACAAGAUUUUCUAUAACAAUCCUAUUUAUUUGUUCUUGGAGAUCUGAAAAACCUAAGCUUGUGUAUUGUCUUAAAUCUUUAAUUUCCUUCUUAUACUGUCUUACUUCUUCUUGAAGAUCCUUAAUGGUUACGUCUUUGGUAGACUACUGGUUAAAUCUUCCUAAGAUUUCAUUUAAGUUAUAAGAAUUUACUGUCUUCUUAAUCUCUUGCUUAUCGACAAAUUUCUUAAAAACUUCAUAAAGAUCUUGUUUAGUUUUUUCAUCUUCAACUUUCCUUAAAACAUCUAGGACAAGUUCUUGAUCUUGGCUUAUGACAUUUAUAGUCUUAGGUUGGCAAUCACAAUUAUCCUUAAUGUAUUCUUCUUGGUCACUAGAAGUUUGGCUUGAGAUUUCCUCACCACUACUAUCUAGUUGGUUAAUACCAUUUUCAUUAUCUGAAUCAAUCCUUGAUUCAGACUCUGUGGAAUUUAACAUUACUUUACAAAGCAUAUCUUUUAAGUCUUCUGUGACAUUUAAGUUAUUAAUUUUCUGCUUAACCCUACAAUCUUUCUUAUAGUGGCCUAUCUUACCACACUUAAAACAAACUGGCUUAGAUUGUGAAGGAGCUUCUAGCUUUUUAUGGGCUUCUUUGUUCAUCAUUCUUUGGAUGUGCCUUUGUUUCUUAGUUUCAUUCAUCCUAUAGUUGCCAUGAGUUCCUCUCUUGUUGUGAUAGGACUUUUCCUUACUAGGCUUUGUACUUACUUGUUUCUUACGUUGCUUAGAGGGGGGCUUAGUUUCUUUUUGGUUGAAUCCAAACUAGCUACAAAAUGAACCAAACUCAUUCUUGUAGAUCCUUUGUUCAUUUUUCAUCUGUUGCUUAAGCUUAAAGUCAUUGCACAGUUUAAUUGCUUCUGAUGUGACAAUGCUUAUAAUUUCUCCAUAAGAAAGCUUAUCAUAAGGGAUUUGUCCAUUAAACUGUUCCCUUAUCUUAAUCCUAAUCCUCUCAGAGAAAAGUCUAGGUAGUCCUAAGAUGAAUUUUUCUUUCCAAAAAGACUGGUUAUAGUUUGAUCUUAGUAUGACUUUGGUUAGGAAAACUUCUCUAUACCAUCUAAAGUCAUGAAGCUUGGGACACUUAAGGUUGGUUAAGAGAUCUACAAUCUUAUCCUUAAUCUUUGCAGGAUCUCCAAUGAAGUGCUUUGAAAUUGAAUAGAUUAGAGUAGCCACUACAUCCUCUAUAUCUUGUCCAUCUUCAUCCUUAACCACUUCAUUUUCCUCAUUAAUCCUAUAGGCUUUUAGGAUACCAUUUCUAUCCUCAAAGGUGAGAUAAUUAUCCCACCAACCCUAAAGUUGACCUGUAAACCCAACAACAAUUGUUUGAGCUACAGCAUGGCCUGACAAUCUAUUGUUUAACUUAUAGGUUGUACUAACCAUGGUCAUUUCUUGAAGCUUAGUGAGUAUGUUGUACUCAAUCAUACCAUCUAUGUUCCAUUCAUAGAUAGUGUCACUAGUGUAGGAAGCUUGAGUAUGCUGGUUUCUUUCCUCAUACUACAUAUCAGGAAAAGUUGGUCUAGGGUAGUAAUUCCUAGUUCUUGGUUGUUGAUAAUCCUCAUAACUGUUUGGUUAGGAGGUUCCUUAAAAAUCUUAAUUAGUUCAUCAGCCUCUGCUUCAGAACUAAUUUCUCCUUUAACCAUAUUGAUUCUCUUGUGAGAUGGUUGAGGUGUCUCAGAGACAACAAGGCUAUCCUUAACCUUUUGGCUUAUCCUAUCAAUGAGGGCUUGAUCAAUAUGGAGAUUCUCUAGGAAUUUCUUAGAGAAUUCAAAAGGCUUAAAUAAAGACUUAUUAUCUUUCUUAACAAACGUAGUCUUAAUGUAGUCUUGUGUUUCAAUGAUAUCCUCAAACUUGUUGAGUUGAUCGCCUGUAGUCUUAAGAAACAUGUUAGUGUAGUUGUUUUGUUCCAUGAUUCUUCUAACGUCAACAACACUAUCAAUUCCUUUAUUCUUUGGCCUAGUCUUAAAAGGUGAAGCUUUGACUAUGGUUCAAUUAAUGUUCUUUUAUAUCUUAGCUUCUAGAGGGUGGAUGGAUUCUAUGAUAGUAUCGUCACUAGUUUUCCAUAUCUUAGUUUUUUUGGAUGUGUCAUUGACACGCUUACUAGGGUAAUCUAGAUAUUCCUCUUGUUUGAAGAGUUCAAACCAGAUCCAAUACUUAAUGUUCUUCUUUUCUUGUCUUAAGUAUGUGUAGAAUUCUUCUUGGUAGAGGGUUCUAAUGUCUUUAAGGACCUUGCUAAAGAACCAAACUCUCCUUUUCUUAUUGACUUCAGAAUAGAAGUCUUUCCUUAAGAGGUCCUUGUUGAUUCAAAGUCUUCGUUAAUUAGGCUUACAGUGUUAAUCAACUGAGAAUAAGUAGGAGACAUAUCAGGAGAUUCGUCCUGAUGUGAUUCUUGAGUAAACUCAUUUUCCUCCAUGUAAAAGGGUUUGGCCACGUUGGUGUGACUUCUAACACCUGUUAGCUUAAUAUUCUUAGGAUUUGCUGAACUAGAUCCUUCCUCUAUCCUAGUGGUUCUUAUUGGGAUAGAUGAACUUGAAGCUCUAGAGGGCUCAUAAUAUGAAAUUCUAAGGCUGCUAGAAUGAUGAAAAGAGUUGGAGAAAAUUAGAUCUCGUUCUCCAUCAGGAUAUUGAACAAUCUGUUCAAUUCUUUCAGAUCUUUGCUCUAUGGCUGGGACAACAUUAGCAAAAUGCCAAUUUUCUGGAAACUCAACCUCAUUCCACUUGAUUUUCAUGGGGACUAUGAAAUUAGACUUGUUUAUCAUAUCUAAGUGGAAGAUAGUGGUUUCACCCUUGGGACUGGUGCACAAUGCUCCAAAUCCAACGCUUAUGGUCAUGCUCUUAUAGGCAAAUCUGGUGAUGAUGGAAACAUGAUUGUUUCCUUGCUUGAACUUAAAGUCAUGGGUCUUAACAUGAAGGACAACUGAAUCUAAGAUGUUGACAUCUCUUAGUCUAACUGUGAAGUUAGGGAAACACUGGAAAUAAACAGGACCAUCAUUUAAUCCUGCUUGGGUAGCUCCAAUAAUAGAAUCUCGGUAAUCAAGAUGUCUAUUAUCUCUUAAACACAUGACAAUAAAGGUGUUUAGACCUAGUCUUGUCAAGGGCUUAGCUGCAACUUGAAUCAUGCCAAAGUGUAUGAAGUUGUAGUCUCGCUUAUGCUUAUCAAUGGACUUACUAUCCAAGAGUCUUAUGACUUGAUCGUCGUGUUCUAAACUUACUGACAUUUCAGGGGUUUUAAUGGUGUAAUCUGUAAAGAACUUAAAGGUUCCUUUCUUAUAAAUUUCUUGAUUAGGUACCUUGGGUAACUUCCAAUCAUCUAAAUCAUCUUGGAUCUUAGGAUAAUUGAUCUCUUCAUUGUUUACUCUUGAGAAUUUGUGGAUUUCCUAGACAUGGUUCUGAAAAUCAAACUCAUUUUAAGGUUUUAAUCUAGAGCCUAAUAGCAGAUUAACAGACCUAGUGAGUAAUCACCCCAACCCUUUUCCAACCUUAACAAACGCCUAUCUCCAGCUAACAAUGGGCUCAACUCGGCAAGGAUCGCACUCAGGCACACUACUAUCUUUCCUAGGAUAGAUCAAAACACCCAAAACAAACCCGACUUCCUUUUCCUAGGAUAUAUAUAGUAUUUUGGGUUUGAGUAGGAGUUCAUGUUUUGUAUGUAAUUGUAGUCUACGUUGGACUAGGUUGUUUGCUCCUAAUUGAAAUAGGAAUGGUUGGUGUCACAUCUCAUUCAUUUUCUCAUCUAUUUCCAUGUUUAGAUAACUCAAGUAAUCAUAGGAAUGAAAUUAAGAAUGAUUUGAGGGAAAUGAAAUCUCACUUGUAAGUGGGAUCUCAAUUCAUCAUUAAUAGAAGGUAUUUUGAUUACAUAGUGCAAGUUAUUUUUAAAAACACUUUUCAAAAAUUGAAAAACCAAAAACUCUCUUGGAUAAGUUGUUUUUAAAAAGAAUUUUUGUAUUUUUAUUUUGUAAAAAAAAAAAAUAGUAAUUCAAUUUAUAUAAUAUAAAUAGACUUUAAUUUUAUUAAAAAUAAAAAUAAUUUUUUAAUUACAAAUAAAUUAAAAAAUAAAUAUUUGUAAUAAAAUAUGAAUAGUAAUAUUAUAAUAAAAUCAUAAAUAAAUUAAAAAUAUUUUUAAAAACAAAUAAGUUUAAUUUUUUUGAGGUACAAAUGAGCCAAAUUUUUCAUUAGGUACACAACCAACAAUUUUUAUUGGAAACAUUCCUCAAAAAAGAAUUCGUUUCCCAUAUAGCAAAGAUAUUUAUUAUUUAGUAUCUAACCAUCCGUAGUAAUCAUAUCAAUUCUACUAAGUUAUUUAAUAAUUCAUUUAUAUAUAGUACUCAAUUAUGAAUUUUUUUAUUUGAUGUAUAAUUAAUUAAUCAAUGUUUUGAAUUUUGAAUUAUUCUUAAAAUUUAAAACAUUAAUUAUGUCUAUUACUUUUUAUAGUCAUUAUAUAUAUAUAUAUAUAUAUAUAUAGAGAGAGAGAGAGAGAGAGAGAGAGAGAGCUUAAAUUUAUCUUUAAAAAUUAUUAAAUUUAUUAAUAAAUUCAAUACAAAGACUCAUUUGAUUUGAAAUUCAUUUCUUUAGUGAAAAUUUUGAAACUAAAUAGUACUUUGUUUUACUUUGUUUUUAAAUCAUACUCACAAAUAAGUUUUUAUCAUUUAGCCAAAAAAUCUCAAAGAUGUUUCUAAUUUUAUUUAUUUAUUUAUUUGUAAAUGAAAAUAAAAAAUUAGUUUAAACUAAAUAUGCGGAUAUUAUUGUUAAUUUAUUUCAUUUUUUAUUUCCAUUGUUAUUUAACAUUGAAACGGAAACAAAUAAUCAUUCCAAUCUUACAUUCUUAUAUGCAUCUAAACACAAGAAUUGAAAUCACCAAAUUCAUAUUCAAGGCAAAAUAGAAAUGGAAAAAAAAUAUUCAUUUUCAUUCCUCAUUCUCAUGUGCUAAACAUGACAUUAGUUCUACUACCUAUUUCACCAUUCUUCUUGAUAAAUUUGGUAUAUGCAAUAUUGAUCUAAGUGUGAGGUGAAUAAGAAUGAUGAUGGGAUGGGCUUGGAAAUAAGGGCAAAGUUUCUAGGUGCUAUCUAGAGGGGCAACGCGACUUUUUCAAAUUUCGAAUAUUUGUUCUCAACAUAAAGCAAAACUUUACUCACACAAUAGAUAAGACUCUGUUUGUUUUCUUCAUCCACGACUAUAUAAUGUAUAGCUCUUACUCAAGGGAUGAGCUACUUACUAUUAAGGAUUGGGUAAGAUAUUGCCUAAUGGCCAAGAAGGCAUGUCAAAAAAUAAAUCUAAUCACCAUAAAAAAUAAUAGGGGAAAAUUAAUAUAUUAUGAAUGAUGACUUUACUAUUUCUCUAUAUACAUAAUUAUAUAUUUUGAAUUUUCUCACUAGGUAAUGAGAUUCUAAAUCAACUGAAACAUAAUUAAUAAUUUAUAUUUUUAAUGAAUCUUUUAAUUUUUAAAAAUAAUUUAAAAUUUUAAAAAACAAUUCAAUUAAUUACAUAUUAAAUCAAAACAUUUCAAAAUAUUGUGUUUGUAGAUGAGUACUAAAUGCUUGCAUAUAAUAAUAAUAAUAAAAAAAUUGACUCAUUUAGAUGUUAAAAAAGUUAAAUGUUUUUCAUUAUUCAUUUUAAGUAAAAUAUUAUUGACAUUAUUAUUAUAAAAUUAUUAUUAUUCAUUUUUAACAAAAAACAAAAUAAGUUAUUCUUUUACCAAGAUGUCAAUAUCUAUAUUUUUCUAACAUAUAUUAAAAUAGUAUACUUUUCUUUUAUUAAAAAUAAUAAUUAUUAUUAUAUUAUUAUUCAAGUUUUAUUAAAAAAAUUUAUCUUUUAAUUCAUUUGUAAUUACAAAAUAAUUUUAUUUUAUUAAGAAUUUAAUUUAAUUACGCUUUUUUUUUUUAUAAAAAAAACAGUUAUGCUUUUACCAAGAUGUUAAUAUUCAUAUUUUUCUAGCUAACAUAAAUAGAAUAGUACACUUUUUCAUAUAAAAAAAUAAUUUAUGAUUUUAUUAUAAUGUUACUAUUCACAUUUUACUAAAAAUAUUUAUUUAUUUUAUUUAUUUUUAAUUAUAAAAUAAUUUUAUUUUCAAGAAUUUAAUUUUAAAAAAAUAGAAAUCAUUUAUUCUUUUACCAAGAUGUUAAUAAACAUAUUUUUCUAACAUAUACUAAAAUAAAAAAGUUUACUUGUUCAUUAAAAAAUAUAAUUUAUGUUUUUAUUAUAAUACUACUAUCUAUGUUCUACUAAAAAUAUUUAUUUAUAAUUAAAAAAUAAUUUCAUUUUUAAUAAGACUUGAACUAAAUUAAAUUUAUAAUUUUUUUUUAAAAUAAAAUAGAAAAUUAUUUUUUAAAAACAACUUAUUGAAAGAAAUUUUUUAUUCUUUACUUUUAAGAACUGUUUUUAAAAGCAACCUAUAAACCCCUUUGGGUCUGUUUGGCUAUGUUUCAUGCAACUUGUUUUUAAAAAUUGUUUUUUAUUCUUUAAUUUAAUUUUUUUUAAGUUAAAGAAUAAAAAACAACUUUCUAGUGUUUUAUAAAAAUGAGAGCUUUUGACAAGUUGUUUUUAAAAACCAUUUUUAAAAAUAAAAAAUAAAAAACUUAUUUAGAUAAAUUGUUAUAUAUAUAUAUAUAUAUAUAUUUGUAAAAACAUUUUAAAUUCAAUUUAUAUAAUAUAAAUUUAAUUUAAUUUAAGUCUUAUUAAAAAAAAAUUGUUUGGAUAAGUUUUUUUUUUUAAAUAGUUUAUUAUUUUUGUUUUGUAAAAACAUUGCAAAUUCAAUUUAUAUAAUAUAAAUUAAUUUAAUUCAAGUCUUAUUAAAACCAAAAUAAUUUUAUAAUUACAAAUAAAUUUAAAAAUAAUUUUUUUAGUAAAACAUGAAUAAUAAAAUUAUAAAUUAUAUUAUUGUGGACCCUGCAUUUAUGCUCAUGCGCUUCCACUUGUUGGCGAACUCAUUUUUUAUUUGAAAAUGAUUUAUUUUUUUAGAAAAUGACUUAGAGUCGCCACUUAUUUUUGUUUUAUUUUUAAAGGGCAAGCAAAAUAAGAAAGAAAACCCUAAGUGUGACUCCUUAUUCGAAAAAGGUAGUCUGUGUAAAACCGGAUCAGGGUUCAGGGAUCAGGUUACUUAUUGGGAAGGUAUGACAAUGACCGUAGCACUCCUCUAAGUCCUUAAAAACGGGCCUCUACUAAAAAAAAUAAAGUAAUCAUGGCAAUCAGUAAGGAAAUCACUGGAUACCCAGAACAAUUAUGCACAUGUGAGAAUUAAAACAUGCAUAAGAAUGGACAAAGUGAGAGUGGGUGCGUACCUUGACAACGAACCACAAUGCGUUAUCAAGAAAUGGGGUUAGUGCACGAUCAAUGAACAUAAAACACGUCACACAUGUCACUAAGCAGAGUGAGAAAUCAUCAGAUAUUACAAUUCAAUCAAAUUUAUUUUUAGAAGAAACAUCUGUUGAUGUAGAGCCCCUACCAAAGCCUAAUUUAUUUUUGCAUGAAUCAAUUUCAUAAAUUCAAUCGCUUGGAAUUACAGAAUUAAAUUCAUGCUUAUUUUAAAACAUCUUUUUAAAAUCAUGGAAGAUGUGAAAAUGGUUUUCCAAAGAGAAAAUGACAACUGAUUUUAUUGAAAAUGGGAUUUUGGGGACCUAAACGUUAAAGAGGGAUUAGGAAUUGAAAAUUAAAUCAUUUGAAAAUUGAAUUUUUCAAAAAUCAGUUUUGAAAGCAUGCAUGCAAGUAUGGACUGUGAAAGUGGGCCUAGGGAGGGUGGCCAUGCAAAAUGAGGUCAUACACGUGGGCCUUGGGUACAAUUGGGACUACUUUGCUGGUGCCAGUGGUGCUUGCAGCUGUCAUCCAUGAUUUCUUCAUUGGGAUCAAUUUCCAUUCUUACUGCCAAACAUUCCAUAACAAUUGACCAAACUAGUAACCCUGACCUUGCAUGAAAAUGAACGUUACCUAGAAACUCACUGCCAGUGAGAUUCAUUGCUCUUUCAAAAGGUCUCAUUUUCUUUCUCAUCCAAUUGCUUUAAGGAGCAUUCUAGCGUCACGAUUGGUGACUGCGCAUCAUCUAGAGCCUUCUUUCUUCUCAGAAUCAGGUUUGCGUGCAGAGGCCUGUGCUUGUUCAAGGUUGACCUAAAUUCAUCUAGGUUUAGAACCGACCAGUUGAGCUUGGGGAGCAACGACAAGAAUAUCAGUCACUUGCGAAGAGAAAACUCGAGAUCUUUCAAGUAAUGCCUGACAUAGAUUCCUCCAACCUGUGGCCAAUAUCUCAUUCCUUGUUGGCCAGACGCCUAUUAGGGCGUAUCUCAAUCAAUAAUAUGAUUUUUCGUUUGUUCACAAUAAAGACCGGAAGCCAUGGUUGUGAUUUAUGCAGUACAGAAGAAGUUGCCAUGGCUGGUAUCCUUACAAAUUCUGGUGUUUCUGCUAUCUGUUCAAGUGCAAAACACAACAGCUUUAUCAAGUUUGUCCCUAACAACUGAUAUUGAGCCCUCUGGAGGAAACCUUGAUAAAUUCAUAAUCACUUUUGACUCAUGCAUGGGCUGCCCAUCAAAUUUUCCUAGCAACGAGACGACUGCUGUCAUCUACUGCAAAGAGAAUUUCUUCUCGCAAAGACAAGAGGAGUUUAAGAAUACACACUAUUCUGCCAUUUCAUUUCCUCUUUCUCCACAACCAACAUAAACCAUAGUGUCUACAUUAGAGUACUUAGAAAGAGCUUAACUGAUGACCGUUUUUCCACAACCAAAUGCCCCAGGUAUGGCACAAAUUUCACCGAAAACAGAAGGGAAAAGGGCAUCAAGAACACGCUGUCCUGUAAGUAGUGGGGUAUCAGGACUACUCUAGGGAAGUUAUUUCUGUCAUUUUGAAAAAGAAAAAUUAAAGAAUGUACACAUGCUUUCAAGUGGACUGGAGCAUUCUACAUAUCAGGUGGUCUGUAGCCACAUGUGCCACUUUGUGGAAGUUGGAACAGUCGAUCACUAGGCUAUUUAGUGUGGCCAAGCCACGUUAAUCAAGGACAAGUCUUCAUACUUAAAAGUCAAAUGGUGCCUUUAGUCUCAUUACACAUGGCUAUUUAAAGAUGAACUAAUCUUUAGUGUAAUGUGAUUAAGACAGUACUAACUGAUCAAUAUUUUUUCUAAUUUUGGAUGCAAAUGCUUGCUGGCUUCAUCAUUGGAUGGGAUAAAGGUGCAUUCAUGACUCUGAAUACUUGCAGUAAUACUUGCAGUAAUACUUCAUUCUCUUUUUUCUCGAUGAGACUUCUUGGCACAAUUUUGCUUCUCAGCAACCUACCUCUCCAUGGAAAAUGAGUUGCGAUUGAUGGUACUGGAUAUUUUCUAGGAAGCUAAAUAUAGAUAUAUAGCACUCAAUGUCAACGAUAUAUAUAGCAUUAACAGUAUAUGUCUCAAUGCUCAUCAGCUACAAGCAAGGGACAAACACUUACAAUGAAUAACUCACGUCAACAUUCCUAAACAGGACAUAGAAGUGACAGAUCUAUAUAUAGAACACUGCAUAUGAGUCACAAGAAAAGAUAAUACGGGUGCAUAGCAGCUCUUAUAUUACAUAUUACUCAUACCGUUCAAAUUCACUCAGUUGGGAUGGGUGGGAGAAGGAGGCCUCUGGGGUGGCUUGUGCGUGUGAGAAGUGGAAGAAAGUUGAAUGGAAUGAAACUGAAAAACAGGGUAGAAUAGAGGUUUCUUGAAUCUUCUGAAAUCUUUAUUUUUCUGAGAUUUAUUCUCUGUUUUUGUGAGUCGUGACUCUACAUAUAUACAUGUAUUUAAAGUUAGUUAUGCCUUAUAACUAAUUAUCUAACAGUACCAAAACUAAUCAUCUAGUUGCAUGUUUCUAAUUAAUGCUAUUUAGUUACAACUAUAUAUGGCUUAACAUCCUCUCUCAAACUCAAAAGUCUAGCUAGAACAGUGAGUUUGCUUCAUAGAUUGAGAAAUUGUUGAAUAGGUAAGGCUUUGGUAAGAGCAUUAGCAAUCUGGUCAUAAGAAGGAAUGUGUUGAACCACCAAAGUCUUAUUGAGCACCUUUUCCUGAACAAAAUGGCAAUCUAGUUCCACAUGCUUAACUCGAGAAUGAAAAUAGGAUUGGCAGCAAGAAAGGUGGCUGAAAGAUUGUCAUAGAACAAAACAAAAUAGGAGAAUAAGAAGAUGAGAUAGAAAACUCCUGAAGAAGAUGUUGAAUCCAUUGAAGUUCAAAAGCAACAUUUGCUAAGGCCCUAUACUCAGCUUCAUUGCUGGAACGAGACACAACUUUCUGCUUACUGGAGUUCCAGGAGACUAGAUUAGAGCUAAAAAAGAUGCAAUGACCACUUGUACUUCGACGAUCAUCAGGGCAACCAACCCAAUCAACAUCAGCAUAAGCAGUAAGUUGAAAAUCAGGAGAAGAAUAAAAGGAAAGACCAAAGGAAGUAGUGCCCUUAAGAUAAUGCAACAAUCGUUUAACAACUUGCCAAUGAAGAUCAGUUGGUUAUUGCAUGAAUUGGCAAAGUUUAUUGAUAGAGAAAGAGAUGUCAGGCCUUGUAAUGGUACAAUAUUGCAGGGCUUCAACAAUGUUGCGAUAUUGAGAAGGGUCAGCCAAGAGGGAACCUUUAGAGGCAGAUAAAGUGUGAGAGGUAGUCAUUGGUGUAUCAAUAGGUUUAAAAUAUGGAAGACCAGCACGAGUUAACAAGUCCUGAAUAUAUUUGGUUUGGGAAAGAUGAAGAGAAGAUCCUUGCCAACAUACUUCUACACCCAAGAAGUAAUUCAGAAUACCAAGGUCCUUGAGAGCAAACUGAAAGUGUAAAGACGAAACCAUUUGGUGGACUAGCACGGUAUUAAGACCACUAACAAUAAUGUCAUCAACAUAGAUGAGAAUAAUGAUCAUGUCAGUCCCUUUCCGAAGAGGAGCUUGCUUCAGACCCUACAAGGCUUUGCGAAGUUUACAGAAAAAACCGGGUUUAGAAUGAUCAACAAAGCCUGGAGGUUGAACCAUGUAAACCUCUUCUUCUAACUCACCAUUGAGAAAGGCAUUAUUAACAUCUAAUUGUUCCACUAACCAACCAUGAGAAAUAGCAAGAGAAAGAACAAUUCAUAUAGUAGUUGGUUUAACAACAAGGCAAAAGGUUUCAAAAUAAUCAAUACCAUAUGUUUGAUUAAAACCCUUUGCAACUAAGUAGGCUUUAAAACGAUCAAUUGAGCCAUUAGCUUUGAGUUUCAGCUUGUAUAUCCAUUUACAACUAAUAAUGCGUGUAUUAACAGGUUUAGGAACCAAUGUCCAUGUGGAAUUGGUGAGAAGAGCAUCAUACUCAGUCUUCAUAGCAGCUUGCCAAUUAGGAUGCAAUAUUGCUUCUUUGAAAGAGGAGGGUUCGACAACAGUAGUUUGGAUAGCAAGGCUAAAUAUUUUUUUGGGUUUAAAAAUACCAUUUUGGCUACGAGUAACAAUAGUUCGGUUUGGAAGUGAAAGAGGAUCAGUGGAGGAGGCUGGAACAAGGGAUUGUGGUAAAGUAGGAAAGGAAGGUGGAUGAGAUGGAACAAAAUCAGUAGGGACAAUAAUGGGAGAAGAAAAAUUAGGUGGAGAAUGAUGAGGAUUCCUUGAAGAUGGUGUAGGAAUAGAGAGAAUACCAGAAUCAAGAAGUGUUAAAGAAGAGUUGGAUGAUGAUACUGGUUGACAGGAUAAAGACUUUGUUAAAAAUGGAAAUCGAGUUUCAUCAAAUACAACAUGACGAGAAGCAUAUAUCCGAGAGGAAGCCAUAUCCAAACAGAGGAAUCCCUUGUGUUUAGCACUAUAACCCAAAAAACAGCAAACAACAAAUAUAUUUGCUAGCUUGUGAGAAGCAUAAGGGCGAAGAUAAGGAAAACACAAGCAUCCAAAACUUCAAAGAGAUGUAUAAUAAGGUAAACGAUUAUAAAGAACUCCAUAAGGAGAAUUUUGUGAAAGAACAGCAGAGGGAAGGCAAUUUAUGAGAAAAAUGGCAGUUUGAAAUGCAAAUGACCAAUAUUUGAGAGGGUAUACCAGCUUGUAUUAACAAAGAAAGACCAACUUCCACAACAUGACGAUUCUUUCUUUCAACUCUUCAAUUUUGCUAAGGAGUAUAAUGACAAGAGACUUGAUGAAGAAGACCAUUUGUAGCCAAAUAAUUCUGAAAAGCUGAAACUGAAACUCAUCAAAUUGAUUUUUAGUAUCAAAUUUUCUUCAGACUGAACACAUUGAUUUUUAGUAUCAAAUUUUCUUUCAACCAUGGCUUGAAAAUGUUGGAACAUAAGUAAAGCUUCAUCUUUAGUUUCCAAAAGGUACAACCAUGAGAAUAUGCUAAAAUCAUCAAUUAGCAAGAGGAAAUAUUGAGCAUUACCAUUGACAGAAACUAUAGGAGUUGCACCCCAAAGAUCAACAUGGAUGAGACCGAAUGGUUUUAUUGCUCUAGAAGUGGAUAUUUCAAAUGGAAAACGAUGGCUUUUAGCCAACUGACAAGACUCACAUACAGAGUUAUUAUUGUCAUGUUUCAAAGGUAUUUUAUAAAGAGAUAAGAUUUUGGAAACUACAUUAAUAGAGGGAUGACCAAGUCUAUUAUGCCAAAGCCUCAAAGAACCAACGGCUAAAGUACUACUAGUAGAGUAAAAUACUAGUGGAUGACCAACAACUCUUGGUGUAGCAAGAAGUUUAUAGAGACCCUUCUCAAUUUUUCCUUGAAGAAGAGCAAGUCUCGUUUCCUGAUCCUUUACCACAAAAUGAGAAGAACGAAAUUCAAUAAAGGUGCCAUUGUUUGAGUAAAAUCGUUGCACGCUAACUAAGUUGGUGGUAAUAGAAGGAACAUGUAAGACAUCAUUGAAAAACAAAGAACCACUUGAAGAGGCAAGAGAAAAUUUACCAAUAUUUGCAAUGGAUAAACCCUUACCAUCUCCAACAAUUACUUUGUCACCACUGGUAAAUGGAUUAUGGAUUGUUAAAUUGUUAAGAUCAGAUGUGAGAUGAUGGGUAGCCUUUGUAUCAAGAAACCAAUAAGUGUCUCCCAUUGUUGCAGAAGUUGUAGUCAUAGCCUCAGGAUUGUUAGAGGUGGAAUGUUUAGAAUCUUUUGGCUGAUAAUCAGAGUUAAACCGAUACCAGCAUUGUAAAGCGGUGUGUCCGAACUUACAACCGAGAGAAAUAAUCUUUACUUAUUCUCUAAAAACUGUUCUUUAUUCCACACAUUAUUUCUAAAAACUGUUUCUAGAUAACAAUGACAAAAUAGUAUUAGGAAUUUUUAAAAAUAAAAAUUGUUUUUAAAUUACAUGAUCUAUAUCAUUCACAUUUGACCAUUAUAGCUUUGUUCAGGAAAACACUUGAAAGUAACCUUAUCGUGAUAAGAGAUAUAAGUUGGCUGUAGUUUCAAACUGAAAACAGAGGAUGGCAAUAGAAAGCAAAGCAUUAGUUAUCUGCAAUCAGUGGUGAUCAUGCCCCAUGUCAAUUUCGGACCCAUAUCUUAAAACCGUAUAAUUUGCAUUUCAACAUUUCUGAUUUCUCAGAUGUUUCAUACUCCACAGAAGAACAUUGUUUGUGAAAGCAUGCAUUUAUGCUGGAUUUUGGAUGAUGUGGGAACUGGGGCAAGGAUCAUAUGGAAGAGUGGUCGAUUUUUUCUGUACUUUAACAUUUGAAAUAGGAGCAGCACGGGCAUUUGUGGGGCUUAAUUGAUUUUGAAGCCUGAAAUUGCGUUUCUGUCAUUUUGUAAAAAAUAUGGCAGAUUCCAUGCUCUCAUAUGUUUGGUCUGUGGCCAUGUAUAGAUGCCACUUAGUGACCAGUUUGUAACUGUCAAUCAUAGUGUUUUGACUCUGGCUCAACAACAUCAGCCAUUGACGGAUUUUCAUACAUGCAAAUCAAAUAGUCUUCUUCCUCCCUUAGGAAUUUCGGUUUAAAUGUUAUUAAGCAUACAUUUGGCUGACAAUUAUUAACCACUUCAUGAUAUGGUUUCUUACCCUUAAUCAAUGGUUUCUAAGUGAAUAUAUGCAGAAGGAAAUCUGAACUGUAGACAGCAGUAUUGAUAAUUAUCAAUAUUCUUUAUAUAAGAGAAUAAACAACGUCAUAGUGAUCGUCGCCUACAAGAAAGGUACAUUUCCCAACAAGAUGUAGUUGUGACUGGUACAUGGACGUAAUUAACUCGUAGAAAAGGAUAAGACCAGUGCACGGCAGCUCUUAUUUUACAUGCUAAUUAUGCUAACCAAAGUCACUCAGUUGGGAUGGGAGGGAGAUGGAGGUUUGUGCGGUGGCUUGUGGGGCGGAGUUGGUGGCUUCUUUUCAGGAGCUUGUGGCUUUUUCGGAGCUGAAGGAGGCUCAAUCUUAUGAGGCGGCUUGUACGAGUCUUCUUUACUCUCGACAGGAGGGUGGCCAGGGUUGUGACCAUAAUGUGGUGGCUUCUCUCCCUUAGGUGGCUUGCCAACUGGGGUUGGUGGCUUGUGUUCAGGAAGUGGUUUCUCUCCCUUGGGAGGUUUACCAAUUGGGGUUGGUGGCUUGUGUUCUGGGAGUGGUUUCUCUCCCUUGGGAGGUUUAGUGGGUGACUUGUGUUCUGGAGGUGGCUUCUCCACCGGAGGCUUGUGCUCCGGUGGUGGCUUCUUGGUUGGAGGGGGCUUGGGGUAAUCAGCAAGAGAUGGGGGGGUGAGAACCACCACUCCAAGGAACAACACUAGCAAGUAUGUGGGAGACAUUUCUGAGUUUGAGCUGAUCAGAUGAUGCAAAACUAGAAGAAUUACGUGACCUUUUAUAGCAAGUAGCUCCCAAUACCCACAUGACACGUGUUACUGUGACCAUAAAUAUUAUAGGGUCCAUUUGUGCCCUACCGGGUUGAAAACUUGGACGCUUGGCCGAGGACACACCGAACUAUGGAGGACUAUUGACGUGUGAUCACAGCUUUUGGAUUUUUCUUCCUGUGCAGCUGUCUAGCGGUUGGCAUUAUUUUUUUAAUCUUAAAUAAAGGCAUAGUUAUAGAGUACAUUUAUAUAUCUUCAGAUAGCCAUUAAUAUAUUUGAUGAAGAAAGACAAGUGCAUACAACAUGUAUACGGCUUGCUUCAAUCGAGUACAUUUAUGAUCAGUUUUCCAGUGCAAGUAAACCAGUUUUUUGUUCCACAACUAUUUUGGAAUCUUGUUUAUCAGUUUCUAUCAUUAUAAUGUCACAUAGGCUGCAAACUUGGGCACCCAAAGAUCUAGUUGGGCAAAUUUGUUUCAGAAUUUCAAUGGUGGAUUCAGUAAUUGUUAAAAGGUGUUUCUUCAUUAAGGAAAGAGUCCUGUAAAAAUAUUGUUAAAAGGUGUCAUAGAAACUAUAAUAAUUAAAUAACUUCUUUUCCCCGUGGGUGGUGUUUCUUCUGGGGAUACCCAAAAUGAGUUCAGAUUAAAAUUGGUUCGAGUCAAAGCUGUCUCUUUUGUCCAGAAAUCAACUAUUUUGCGCAUUGCAUGAAUCGAUAAAGAAAAAAUGAAAGCCAAAUCACACCUCCCCUGCAAAACCUAAACCCCGGUUGCUAACUUUCUAUGUUUCAGUCCUAUUCAUACAGGAAUAUUGGUUCAAGUUUGAGAAAAAUGGCAACUUACCUAGGGAUUACUUGGUUGUGGUUUGCGACGACUAUUUACGCAACCAACCAUGAGUUUGACUUUAACGUCAUGGGUUGAAGCCUCCUACAAUCGUGUAUGAUAGUUCAAAGCUCGUAGUAGAAAUUAUACAGGAAGGAAGAAACCUCCAAAGCUAGCUCCAAAAGAGAAUUAUCACAUCGAUAGCUCCAGAGAUUCCCAAGGGGACUGAAUCAAAGACAAGUUCCUCACUUUUUCUUCUUUUGAGGCCAAAUAUGAACCAAGGAUCACACGACCUCAUUCAACUUCAUAAGUUUGAUUUCAUGCAGUUGAACACUGGGUGAAGGCCAUGACAAGAAUUGAUUAAAAAAUUCUACCACUGUUUUAAGUAAUGGAAGAUUAUUAUCUCUGAUUGGCACCACAACAGCACAUGCUGCUAGAUCUUUCUAGACACUCCAUGCAAUGAAAGUACAAUGGAUCUUGUAACGAUAGAAACUAAGCCAUGCUACAGUACUAGAUGACGAGGUAAAACUAUUAGACAUGGGUGGCAGCCUAUAUGGGAGGGACACAAGUCUAAUUGAUUUGCAUUUCAGCGUUCUAGAUGGGUAUGUUUUGGAAGAUUUGUUCUGGAAAUACCGCACCAAGUAGGAUUCUUUUUUCUCUUGAGUGGGUCCACUUGCAUGCCAAUUAUCGAGUUGAAAAGUAGAGCACCUACCUCGUGCUCGUGGAACCGAAGGUCAGUGAAGUGGGGCUCCUUUUGGCCUCUUGUGUUUCUGUUCCAACCAAGGCGGCGGAGGGAAAAACAGCAAUAUGUCUCCGCUAAAUAUCAACGCAUGAUAGCGAAUGAGGGAGAAAAAAAGUAAUUGGCAUCUCAAUCUCACAAACUUGGUACAGUAGUGACAUUAAUAGUCUUCCACAUGGUUUUUAUUUUAUUUUAUUUUAUAUUUUAUAUUUUCCAUUUUUUUAUUUUUUUGUAUGUCAAGGCUAAUGAAUAAAAUGCGUUAGCUUGUUUUGUGAUUGGAACUGCAAAUGUCCAAAUUGGAGUUUCUCCAUUUCUCAGUUCGGAUGGUUAACUUUAUAAACAAGAUAUAGGAAACAUGUGAACGUCUUGAGGAACAAUUCGAAUUAUUGAUUAGAACUCCUAGGUUGAGUUCCAAGAUUUAAAUCAGACCCCUCUAGCAGCUUCAGGGGUACCUAGCAAUUAGAACAUAUUAAUGAAGAUUUAGGAUUUAGACUCCGGAAUACAAAUUAAUAUGUAUCUUAUGCUCUGACUAGCUUCCCUGCAUAUGCACAAAAUGGAGAUGACCCAAAAAAUAGCAGAAUCGCCUUAGUUUAUGUGGUUAAGGUGAUUCUCCGGUUAAUAUCCACAUUGGCUCAUUAUGCAAAUCAACUGAGCUAUUUUUUUUUUAAUGUCAAAUAGGAACUCCUAAUUAACCUAACCAUUGGCCUGUGUAAAUUGAUUUCACAUGCACAAUGUUGUAGUAGAAGUCCACAUUUUGAAUUUUAUUUUUGGAAAGGUAAGGAAAAUGAAGCAUUGUGUAAUUAUAAAAAUAACUUCAUUGGAAUUCACAAGGUUCACCCAAAAUGGAGCUACAUCCGUAUUCUAUCUUACAGUAGACUAUAUAGAUUGUACAAUAGUAAAUUGCAAAUACAAUUAAUAAGUCUUGUGUUUCCUUACUAAUAAUCCUUUGACAUAAACAUUGCAGCACUAAGGUCCUCUUGGGCAGACACCUUGCACCCAUGAGAGCACUAAGAGGAAGCAAGGCGGAGUCAUGGGUGCAAUGUCAUGACUUGUUGCACUAAGAGAGGCUUGGUGAUGGCAUAGUGCUGCAGUAGCAAGAAUGUUGCCUUGGCAGGGACACGAUCUAGGGACAGAUGCCAAGAAAGGCUUAGCACUCACAUGAGUUGCACAAAGAUGAAUGAAAUAGAACAUCAAAGAGACAUCUUGGCAAGCUCAAGAAAGACAUGUGGGUUGGUAAAUGAAUGGAUGCAAGAGGCAACAACAUGAGGAGUUUCAAAUGGAUAGGGAAUGAGUCAAAGACAUUUGAAAGCUACAAGUUGGAUUCUAAUUACGAUUGCAAUUUGAGUUUGAGUAGGAGUUUAUAUUAUGAUUGUAAUUGUAGUAUGAGUUGGACUAGGAUUGCUUAUCCCUAGUCAAAAUAGGAGUUGUUCAUGCCACACCCUAUGAAAAGAGUUUGAGUAGGGACUAGGAUUGCUUGCUCCUAGUCAAAUAUGGAGUAGGUGGUGCCACACCUAUAAAAAAAAAAGGGACAACAUGAGAGAGAGAGAGAAUGAAUUCACCAAAGAUAUUGUGGGAGUUUUGCUUUGUUACAUCUUGUAUUAUUAUUUAGAAUAGUAAUAAAAUACAAGUUGGGGCUAGAGCCCCAUAAUCUCGUGUGCCUUUGUGGGUUAUUCUUUAUUUGCCAUCUCGUGUGGAUUGGAUUAGAUUGAUGAGGCGAAAUAUUAUGUGGGAAAUUUAUGUUGGGACACUUACCAUAACCAGGUAAAAUCUACCAAGUCUUUUGUAAUAUCUUCUACAAAUAUUUUAGACCAGUUCUUCACAAAACAUCAUAAUAUGUUUUGUGUUUCUCUUGGAUUUUGAGUUGAAUUGUCUUAGAUCAAUUGAAUGCAUCUCAAUAUUAUUAUCUUGUUUGAAGGCUUGAUGAUUUUCCAUUUAACUUUACUUUCUUUAGGUUAUGCUUGAUUCCUUAAAAGUACUAAGGAAAACAAAAAAUAAAAAAAAAUAAAAAAUGCAGAGGGUUAGGACAUGUGUUAUCUAAUUGUCCUAUCCAAAGAUAUUAAGAAAGUCAUGUAGGAAAGUAAUUGAAAACUAGGUCAAGAAAGGAGCAAAAGGGAAUUGUUUUGGUAUUUUCUUUUUUAUUCUUGAAGGUGGCAGAGCUAAAAUUUGAGAAAUCAAGCAAAACAUACUGAAAUUACAUUGAAAGAAAGAAAAUGGUAGUUAAUGUCUUGCAGUACAUGAUAAGGACUUCAUGCAUGUAGUGUGACGACCCAUGUCUUGGACUGAUGCCACACUCACGGUUACACUUAUACCCUUGGUUCUCUCUUUACUACCUUGGCUAACCUAGAUCAGGCUAUGAGAUAGGCUCCUCACCACACCAUCACUUGCCCAGUAAUUAGUGACAUUUUCAAGCAAUGAGGUAACAUGGUGACACCAAGAGGGUUUAUCCCUCGCCCCAACAAGUCUAGACUCGGUCUCAAAAAAAUGGAGAAAAAUGAGGUGUCGUUAUGCAGAAAUACAACAACCAUGCCUUCCUUAUUACUUAGAUUCAGAAUGUGAAGGUGAAAUUGAGAAACAGAAACUCUUGAAACCAGAAUGAAAAUUGAUACUUUUACGAAGAAUUACAACAUUAGAGGAAGACUACAUUCUUCCUCUAUAUUCCUACGUUUCUACACUACUUCUACUCCACUCCAUAUUUCUACAUACAUCUUUAAUCAGUUUUCCCUCCUUUAUAUAGAGCCAUCUUCACACAAAUUCCGCAAGGUAGAAAAGAGGAAUGAAACUUGGAGCAAGGUUCGACUACUGGUUGUCGCUUGUCAAGGCUGGAAUUGAACUUUUUUUCUUGGCUUUUCUGGGCAUAGGUAGUAACUUGUGGUUCCUUUUUGGAAUGAAAAUGGUACAGCUAGAACAUGUGGCACUCUCUUGUUGGAUUAUGUGUCAAACAUGUGGCAGCCAUCUAGUGGAGAUUAUUUCAAUUUUGGGAUGGAGAGUUGGCAUCCAAUUGCAAAGAAAUAUGACAUCUACCAACAUGCAAUGUAAACCUAUAUAGAUCAUAUGGAGAUAGAGAGGAAACAUAUAGAAAUGGAUAUAUACCUAGAACUAGCUUUUUAUUAAAUGAGACGGAGAGCCAACAAUGAAGGAAAAUCAAAAUUUUUGGCUCAUAUCAAAGAAUUCACAUUGUGUUACCCUAGGUUUUCUUAAAGCUUGCACAAAGCCAAAAAGCACACAAAAAAUUAUAUUUUCUAGCUCUCUACCUUGGAUGGUCUCUUGAUCCUACUUGGAGAUGUGCAUAAAUAAAAGGAUUUGAAAAUGACAAUUGACUAAGUAUGUAGUCAAUCAAUUACUCAUUAAUUGACUAGUUGAUCAAUUAACUUUGCAACAUCAUAUGCAAUCCUAAUAGCUAGUCAUCUAAUCAACUAGGUAGUAAAUCAAUAGGCCAAAAAUAUGUUUAUAAUGACUAUUUUGUACAAAAACCACCUAUAUGGUUAAAUAUAAUGCAUUUCAUUUAUAAAUCUUCUAAUUCUUGAAUAACGAUCCUAUCAUCCUUUGAAAGUUUUUAUUACACCUUUUAUACUUUUGUUCUAAAACUUACACAUGUACAUCACCCUUAAUUGUACCAUGAGAACCUAGCUUUUUUUUUUUUUUUUUUUGUAAUUCAUCAAAGUUAGCUUUUGUAUUCAUUACUGUACUAUUUUUAUUGUAACUUAGAAAGCGAGUGUUUUCAAGUGAGUGAAAUUGACUUAUAAAUAUUGUAAAGAUUCAUUGAUGUGUAUCUUAAACUAAGUGUACAAGUUGAAACAUUUGCUAGUAGAUUUUCUCAAGAUUUAGAAUAGAGCUUGAGGCUAUUGAAAUAGGUGGGGUUGCACCAAACCACAUCACAUUGUUGUUUGCACCUUUUUUUCACUCUCUUUUACUUAGUUGCUCUAUAUUUGUUGUCUAGUAAUAUCCUAUAGGCUUGAUGGGUUAGGGAGCAUCCCUUUGUGAAAAAUUUUCAUUCAAUCCUUAGUUGUAUCACGCAUAUAUAAAAUGCCUCAUUGUUUUAAUGGUAUUCAGUCGUGGCAUCACAGAUAUGGGCAUCUAAAUUUUAAAAGUUUGAAACUUUUAUCUAAAGAAAAUAUGGUGCUUUGCCUUUUUGUAAAGCAUGUUGAUGAAAUCCAUGAGAAUUGUGUACUUGGGAAGCAACAUCGAGAUGACUUUUUUUUUUUUCAUUUUUUAUAAUGCGACACCUAAGUCCGGUUUCUAAAUGCUGAAGUGAAAGGGUAGGUAUGGACCAUUGAAAUCUGAUCACAACUUUUGGCCUUUUCCUUUCUCUGCAGCCAUGUUGUCUCUUUUUUCUUUUGCAUGAUUUUCUUACCUAAACAGAAUCAUAGACUUGUUUAAUCUCUAAAUGGUAUUUCAUCCAGCUUUAAGCUACUGUAUUAUAUCUUGGUGGAGGACUUUUAAGAGUGAAACCGACAUAGAGCACAUGCAAGUGGGUAUAUGGGACAUGAAAUUUCUUCUUAUAAAGACUGCAUGGUUUUUAUAUUAGAGUUGUUGAGGCGCAAUGUAUUUAGCUUGUUUUGCAGUUAAAUUAAUUGGAUAAGUAGACAUUGUCGUUUCUAAAUUUCCCACCUAAGAUAGUGACCUUAUCCUUGACUGCUUGAUGAGAUACACAAACAAUUAUACCUUCAAAAUCUACUGUGAAGUGCUUCAUGUAUGUGUGAAGUAUUAGAAAUUUCUUUCUUGGCAACUUGUUUUUUCUUUGCCCUCUACUGAUAGGUUUGACUCAAAUUAAAUUCCCUGUCAUGCUAAUUAAUUUUCACGUGCAUGCUCAAAAGGAUCACGUCAACUCUGGUUUCUACUAUUCAGGUCCAUUCCCAGAUAAACUGGUUCAAAUUUGAGAAAAUGGCAACAGCCCUUUAGUGAUGUUGGUUUGGAGCCAGUAGCCAAACCCGCCCUGAGCUUUACCACUAAUGUCAAGGGACAAAGCCAUUUGAACAAAAACAAUAGCUUCAAGAGACUGAAUCGUGGAUGAAAUCUGAUCCACAUUUCUUCUCAUUUUGGGAACAAAUGAGAACUUAACUACAAAGAUUCUACUGCCUCAUAGUGCUUUUCCUGAUCUAAGGUUGGUUCGUUUCCCAAAUUGUGAGGUACGUGCCAUUCUCACGCUCAGGAGUGUAUCCACGUGGUGGACAUAAGAUGGUGGCUUAAUAUCUGGUGUCGGUGGCUUUACUUUACUAGGAGAGUAGUGUGUCUUCAUCUCAUUCACUGCCGGAGGGUGGCGUAAGCAGUGACGCUAAGGUGGGGCACAGUCAAUAUCAUUUGCAUUUGACCAUUAUAGUUUUCUCCCGGCUUGAAAGUAACCUUAUCGUGAUAAAGGAUUACUAGCACUAGUUCAGAUGACAGUCAUGUUAAAUUCGGACCAUGUUUGUGUCACAUUAUCAGCAACCAUGUGUUUAUGGUUCAUGCUAUCUGCAACUAAACUUGAUAUAUAACCACGUGAACUUCAAUCUAAAUUCUGGAAGUACUCUUGUGAUAGAUGGUGCCUGUCUGCAGAGUCCAUCAAUUGAAAAAUGGAGUGAGUGUAUCUAUAAGAGGGAAGGCUUGGCAAAUGUUCAGUUUUCUGGGAACUCAACAAGGAUCUAAAAUAGAUUGUUUUCUUUGCUGAUUUCAAUGGUUGAAAUUUGAGAAGAUUGUGUCCACAUAACACAACUAUUACUGGUCCUUCUGUUGCAAUUUAUCCUCUAAGGCUCUAACAUGUCUUCCAAUUCCCACUUCCCUGUUACUCCAGGAAAGCUAUUUCUGUCAUUGUGAAGAAGAAAAGAGAAUGUACAUAUCGAUGGUUUUAAGUGACUGGGGCAUUCAUAUCAGGUGGUCUGCAGCCAUAUAUGCCACUUUGUGAAGGUUGGAACAGUCAAUCACCAGGCUAUAUUAGUGUGGCCCAGCCACUUCAAUCAAGGACAAGUCUUCAUACUUAAAGUCAAAUUCUGCCUUUAGUCUCAUUAUAAAUUGCUGUUUAAAUAUUAAGCAAACAUUUGUUUAAUGCGAUUAAGACAGUACUAACUCAAUACUUGUUCUAUUUUUGGAUGCAAAUGCUUGAUGGUUUCAUCAUUGGAUGGGAUAAAGGUGCAUUCAUGAUUAUGAAUACUUGUAGUUAUAUUUUCAUUCUCUUUUUUCUCAAUGAGACUUGUUGGCACAAUUUUGCUGUUCAGAAACCUACCUCUCCAUCGAAAAUCAGUUGUGAUUGAUAGUACUGGAUAUAUUCAAGAAAGCUAAAUAUAGAUAGCACCAAAUAUUAUCGAUAUAAAUAGCAUUAACAGCGUACGUAUGUCUCAAUGCUCAUCAGCUAUAAGCAACGGGCAAACACUUACUAUGAGCAACUUGCGUCAAAAUUCCAGAAUAGGACAUAGAAGUGACAGAUCUAUAUAUAUAUAGAACACUGCAUAUGAGUCACAAGAAAGGAAAUUACGGGUGCAUAGCAGCUCUUAUUUUACAUCCUACUCAUACUGAUCAAAGUCACUCAGUUGGGAUGGGUGGGAGUAGGAGGUUUGUGGGGUGGCUUGUGCGGAGGAGUUGGCAGCUUCUUUCCAGGACCUGGUUGCUUCUCUGCUGGAGUUGAAGGAGGCUUAAUCUUCCGAGGUGGCUUGUAUGAGUCUUCAGCAUUCUCAGCAGGAGGGUGACCAGGGUUGUGACCAUAAUGUGGUGGCUUCUCUCCCUUAGGUGGUUUGCCAACUGGGGUUGGUGGCUUGUAUGAGUCUUCAGCAUUCUCAGCAGGAGGGUGACCAGGGUUGCGACCAUAAUGUGGUGGCUUCUCUCCCUUAGGUGGUUUGCCAACUGGGGUUGGUGGCUUGUGUUCUGGGAGUGGCUUCUCCCCCUUGGGAGGUUUUUCCAAUGGGGUUGGUUUGUGUUCAGGAGGUGGCUUCUCCACUGGAGGCUUGUGUUCAGGAGGUGGCUUCUCCACCGGAGGCUUGUGUUCAGGAGGUGGCUUCUCCACCGGAGGCUUGUGUUCAGGAGGUGGCUUCUCGAAUGGGGGAUGCUCAGGGUAAUCAGCAAGUGAGGGGUUGGUGAGAACCACCAUGCCAAGCAACAGGACUAGCAAGUAUGUAGGAGACAUCUUUGGGUUUGGACUUAAGACAGUGGAAAACUGCGAGAAUUCUCUAGCCUUUUAUAGCGGGUCGACCCAGUACUCACAUGACACGUGUCAUUAUGACACAUGUGCCAUGGGGUCGAUUUGGGUCCUACAGUGUUGAAAAGUUGGGCAUUUGAGGUGUGAGCACAACUUUUGGCCUUUGCUUUCUCUACAGCCGCCAUGCUUUUCCCUUUUUUCCUUUUCCUUUUGUUUUCCUCCUGCCUCGUGUUCUCAACUAAACACAAUUAGGUUGUUUAAUUGUUAAAUGAGAUUUUUGUCUGUCAAUCAUAUUAUAUCCUAUCAAGAGAGAACAGAGUGUAAUGUAGUACACAUAACACGAGGCAGUAGUAAUUUUAUCAUUUAUUUUUAUAGCUUGGACCACCGCAUUUUUUCUUCUAAAAUAUUCUGUCUUGUUAAGAGACGCAAUAAUACACAAUUUUAUCUGCCAUUCAACAUUUACUGUAAAGUUCUUUUAUCUCUUUGUAGUUCUAGAAAAGUACAAAAUGGAACAUCAUGUAUAUGGUGCCUUCUGUCCUAAAAAAGAAACUGGACAAAUUAUGAACUGCAUGCUAAAAAGAGGCAAAGGAGCUUAAUUCGCAGCAUAAUUAUUUUGGUUUCUAGAGAGCCCGGGGCCUUUUGGUUGGUUUGGGGUCAGAAAAUGAACAUCAUAGGGAUUGUGCCCUUAACUGGCCUUGUUACUACAAAGAAAUUGCCAUAGAAAUUUAUUCCAGGCUGAGUAUCUCCGGAUAGACCCCAGAAAAGAAGAGUCAUAAUGAGAAUCAACCUUUGUUGAGUUUGAUUCCAUGCCUCCAUUGUGUUCAUUUCAUGAAUCUGAUUUGCAUUUAACAUUACAGUUUUGUUCUGGAAACAAUCAAAGGAGCAUCGUUUGCUUCUUGGGUGACCCAUAGUGGUGGGUGGGUCGAUUUGCUUAGUUGAAAAUUGGACAAUUGGCUCCAUCGCCUACCUCUUGGAUUCCAUGCUCGGAUAAAACGACAACAAAUAAAUAUUUAUAACUUACAACUGGGGAAAGGAAAAAAUAGUACUAAAUUCAUGGUACAUGAUAGUGAGAGAAGGGGGUGUUACACUCAGCUAAAGUUCUUUUCUAAAUAUUGCAUGGUGUUUAAUUUUAUGUGUCGGCGCGCGUGUGAAUGGAACCUGCAAAAGUCCAAAUUGGCGUUUCUCCAUUUUCCACAUAGGAUGGUGACGUUAAUAGACAAAGAUACAAUAUCUGUAGACAUUGCUUAAAAAUCGAUGUGAAGUAUUAGAAAUUACAGGCCACUGUACUGGGGGAGCGGCUGCCCCGCCAAAGGAAGAAUGUAGCAAUUUCUUCUGUUAGCCAGGCCUUAGGAUUUAUGCAUGGGAUGCCUAAUAACAAACAGAGAAAAUAUGCUUUUGGGGAAGGUAUCCAACAACAGACACCAUCAUUCAGAUGGUGGGAAGGUAUCCAACAGAUGCCAUCAUUCAGAUGGUAACAUAUAUAUACAUUUAUUAGUGAGUUUUUUUAAUACCUAUAAAAAAAAUAUACACUUUGAUAUUGUGGCUGAAUCCAUUACAUACUCAACUAACCUUGCUCAUUAGGGAUUUGACGUAACAAGGGCAACGUUGCAGUAAAAGCUCGAAACUUUAUGCAGGUGACAUUACAUUUGGUAAAGAAGAGGAAAAUAAGGAAAGCCAUCCAUAAAAGCAAAAUUCCUCAUGGGAUGAAAUUCACAAACUUCAUUUACGUUAGAGUCGCAUCCAGGCAAUUAAUUCCACAUUAGACCGCCUUUUGACAUGUGUACGGAUCUUUUUUCAAAAAUUAUUUAUAAAUAAUUGAUACUUACAAAAAUAAUUUAAGAUUUAUAAAGGAUAAAAAAAUAUUUUCAAAUCUAUGACAAUUUAUAAAAUAUUAAUAAAAAAUUAUCUCUUAAACUUAGUAUAGUUUUAUCGUAUUAAACUUUUAUUUUGAACAAAUAAUUUUAAUCUAAGUUUUAAAUUCUAAAAUUAUUUCCUUAAAAUAAAAUUUUAAAAUUCAACACUUCAAUUGAAAUUGUCUUUUAAAAAAAAUAUCUUCUUAUUUUAAUCCUUAUAAACUAUAGUUGAUUGAAAAUACUAUUGAAGUUCUCUCUUCAAAAAAAGUCUUAUUUUAAUCUUCAUAAAUUGCCCUUGAUUUGAAAAUAAACUUUGGGUUAUCAUAUUUUAAAUAAUAUAUAUAUAUAUAUAUAUAUAUAUAUAUAUAUAUAACAAAUACUCUAUUUUUUUUUUAAAUGAACUAAUUUUAAUUAUAUUUUAUUUUAUUUUUUUAUAUAUUUUUAAUGAUAAACCAAACAUAGAAAAUCAUUUUUCUAAAUAUUUUAAAAUUUCUAAGCAACCAAACAUAAUCUUCAAAAUAAAAGGAGAAUAAGGAGGGACAAGUGAGAAAUGGCGAUUAAAAAAAAGUGUACAAAAGCUCAAUUAAUUUUCUUCUAGUCUUUUAUAUAAAAAAGUAUUGGUAUGUAAAUUAAUAUUUGGAUUUUAAUAGUAUUUUAUUUGUCUUUCUCUAUCUCAUGUAAAAGAGAAUUUAAGAUAUUUCCUAAAGCAAAGCAUUAGUUAUCUGCAAUCAGUGGUGAUCAUGGUCCAUGUCAAUUUCGGACCCAUAUCUUAAAACCGUAUAAUUUGCGUUUCAACAUUACUGAUUUCUCAGAUGUUUCAUACUCCACAGAAGAGUAUUGUUAGUGAAAGCAUUUUGUAACUGUUACUCAUAGUGUUUUGACUCUGGCUCAACAACAUCAGCCAUUGACGGAUUUUCAUACAUGCAAAUCAAAUAGUCUUCUUCCUCCCUUAGGAAUUUCGGUUUAAAUGUUAUUAAGCAUACAUUUGGCUGACAAUUAUUAACCACUUCAUGAUAUGGUUUCUUACCCUUAAUCAAUGGUUUCUAAGUGAAUAUAUGCAGAAGGAAAUCUGAACUGUAGACAGCAGUAUUGAUAACUCUCAAUAUUCUUUAUAUAAGAGAAUAAACAACGUCAUAGUGAUCGUCGCCUACAAGAAAGGUACAUUUCCCAACAAGAUGUAGUGGUGACUGCUACAUGGACGCAAUUAACUCGUAGAAAAGGAUAAGACCAGUGCACGGCAGCUCUUAUUUUACAUGCUAAUUAUGCUAACCAAAGUCACUCAGUUGGGAUGGGAGGGAGAUGGAGGUUUGUGCGGUGGCUUGUGGGGCGGAGUUGGUGGCUUCUUUUCAGGAGCUUGUGGCUUUUUCGGAGCUGAAGGAGGCUCAAUCUUAUGAGGCGGCUUGUACGAGUCUUCUUUACUCUCGACAGGAGGGUGACCAGGGUUGUGACCAUAAUGUGGUGGCUUCUCUCCCUUAGGUGGCUUGCCAACUGGGGUUGGUGGCUUGUGUUCAGGAAGUUGUUUCUCUCCCUUGGGAGGUUUACCAAUUGGGGUUGGUGGCUUGUGUUCUAGGAGUGGUUUCUCUCCCUUGGGAGGUUUAGUGGGUGACUUGUGUUCUGGAGGUGGCUUCUCCACCGGAGACUUGUGUUCUGGAAUUGAUUAAAAAAAUUCUACCACUCUUUUAAGUAAUGGAAGAUUAUUAUCUCUGAUUGGCACCACAACAGCACAUGCUGCUAGAUCUUUCUAGACACUCCAUGCAAUGAAAGCACAAUGGAUCUUGUAACGAUAGAAACUAAGCCAUGCUACAGUACUAGAUGACGAGGUAAAACUAGUAGACAUGGGUGGUAGUUGAUUACUACUCAAAAAGUACUCUUUUAUAGUUUGAAACUAACUGUUUUAAACACUUUUGAGUAGUAGUUAAUAAAUUUUAACUCAAUUGGCACAUUAAGGAACCUAGCAAGGGUUACUAAUAAACUUUUGGCAAGUUUUGGUGUUUUUGGUAGUUAUUCGAUCAUUGAAACAAGCCAAGAAUGAGGGAGAAUUUUGUGAAGUCCAUGGCAAUGCAAGUUAAAGCUCAAAUACACGAAGAAUCCAAGCUUUGGAGCACUACAUAGCCCUUUGCCAAGCCAAUUAGAGAUGCAAGGAACAAAACCAAAGGAAGAAAUCCAACAACCAACAUUUUCGCAUGGUUGUGUGAAAUUUCGCACACCAUGCGAAACCACAAGAGGUAGCCAAAGAAUUUCACAUGGUAUGCGAAAUCUUCUCAUGCACCGACUCCGUUAGAUUUUUAUCUUCAGAUAUUUUGUGUAAUUUCCUAGUUUCUCCUUGUAACCAACCUAGAUAUUUUCUUUUAUAUCUUUUUUUAUAUUUUUUAGGUAACAUCAUAUAUAAGGGGAGAGACAUAAGGAGGAUAUGGAUGUUUUUCAUAGAACACUUGUAAAUUUUCAGUAGUAAGAAAUAUACAAAGCUUUUUGCUAUGCCUUACCUUCUCAUUUUGUUUUCACCUGUCUUUCUAGCCAAACAACCUCUAAGGAUGAUUUCUCAGGGGAUGAGUGGCUAGGUUUUACGUUUCUUGGAGUGAGGGAAGCUAGGUGAAGGACCUGAAUGCAAAGAUGAGAGUUUUCCUUGCUUUAAAUGAAAGUAGUUGUUAAACAUUAAUGGUUUUUAUUUUAAGGUUUAGCUUUAAAUCCCUUAAAAACACCUUGAAUGACCAAUACUUGGUAAGCUUUUCGGAUUCUAUGGAUGCUUAUUGCUAGAUCCAUGGAUGUCUAUUAGUUAUCAUUUACGAGCCUUUGGAAGGUGAUUCAAGGUGAGGGUCUUUAGUGUUUGAAGCCAUUAAUGGGAAGCAAUUACCAUUUUUUCAUGAAUCCUUUGGAUCAAAUCUUAAUUGCUAAAUAUAAAACCGAUUUGGGAAAUAACCAUCCUUUAUGUUAUUAUCCCCAACGCAAGGAGAAGAUCCGGAAUCUUCCCUUUUGUCUAAGGAACCCGAUCCUAGUGACCUAAAGCUCCAAGAGACCUUUUCUUUGUAGUUAACUUCAUUUAUUGUUUUUGCUUAACUUAAAAUCAAUCUUUGCAACCACAAUUCCAUUUUCUUUAAAAGCUAAUUUUUAUAAGGAAAAACACCAUUUUAUUUCCUUCACUAAGUCAACUGUACGAUGAAAACCCAUCCCUGUGGACGAUCCUAGAGCCAUUAUACUAUGUUAGCUAUGCUACCCUAGUGUGAGGUGAUUUAGGUUUUAUAAAUUUUGUUGAUAACACCCAUCUGAGCCAGAAUCAAAUGGCACAACUGAACCAGGGACGAAUCAAAUGGCGCCGCUAUCGAGGAUGGUGCCAAAGUACAUUGACAUGACUUUUGGUGAACACUUGUGAUCUUCAUCACAAGUUUGGUGAUUUUUCUAUUACUAAUUUUUUUCUUUGUUUUUAUUUUAGCUUAUCUUUUAUUUAGUUUUUAGCUAACCUUAACUUUUUCUUAGAAUUGUAUUUCUUCUAUUUUCUUUGUUUUUGUUUCAGUGAUCUUUAGUUGUGCAUGCCCUAUUGGAUAAGAAAUAUUGAGGGAAUACUUGUGAAGAUUGAAAAUCCUCGAGAAACUGAGUUGGAAGUGUGAUUGAACAUCAUGGAUGUUCCACCUGAAGACCAGAAUAGCCAACAUGGUUAAGAGGAUAAUUUCAAAGCAUACCGAUCCAUGAGGGACUGCAUGCAUCCACCUCGUAUGAGUGCACCGUCAUGCAUAGUGCCUCCCACUGAGCAACUAGUAAUCUGACCUCACAUUGUGCCACUCCUACCUACUUUCCAUGGGAUGGAGAGUGAGAAUCUCUACUCGCAUAUUAAGAAAUUCGAGGAGGUUUGUAAUACAUUCCAAGAAGGAGGAGCUUCAAUUGACUUGAUGAGGCUCAAGCUAUUUCCUUUCACUUUGAAGGAUAAGGCUAAGAUUUGGCUUAAUUCUUUAAGGCCAAGGAGUAUCCGAACUUGGACUAAUUUGCAAGCCGAUUUUCUUAAGAAGUUCUUCCUUACCCAUAGGACCAAUGGUUUGAAAAGGCAAAUUUCGAACUUCUCAGCUAAAGAGAAUGAGAAAUUCUAUGAGUGAUGGGAGAGGUACAUGGAAGCUAUUAAUGCUUGUCCUCACCAUGGCUUUGACACAUGGCUCUUAGUGAGUUAUUUUUACGAUGGUAUGUCUUCUUCAAUGAAGCAACUCCUAGAAACUAUGUGUGGAGGAUACUUCAUGAGUAAGAAUCCGAAGGAAGCCAUGGACUUUUUGAGUUAUGUGGCUGAAGUUUUAAGAGGAUGGGAUGAACCAAAUGCUAGAGAGGUGGAAAGAAUGAAGUCUCAACCUAAUGCUAAGGGUGGGAUGUAUGUUUUGAAUGAAGACAUUGACAUGAAAGCAAAGGUUGUAGCUAUGGCAAGGAGAUUGGAAGAGCUAGAAAUGAAGAAGGCACAAAAAGUGGAAGCCAUUUCUGAGACAUCAGUGCAAGCUAUGCCUUGUUCCAUUUGUCAACCUAAUGCUAAGGGUGGGAUGUAUGUUUUGAAUGAAGACAUUGACAUGAAAGCAAAGGUUGUAGCUAUGGCAAGGAGAUUGGAAGAGCUAGAAAUGAAGAAGGCACAAAAAGUGGAAGCCAUUUCUGAGACAUCAGUGCAAGCUAUGCCUUGUUCCAUUUGUCAAUCUUAUGAGUACCUAGUGGAGGAGUGUCCUACAAUUCCAGUAGUGAGAGAGAUGUCUGGUGAUCAAGCAAAUGUUAUUGAUCAAUUCAAGCCUAAUAAAAAUGCUUCAUAUGGCAACACCUACAAUUCAAAUUGGAUGAACCAUCCAAAUUUCUCUUGGAAACCAAAGCUACCUCAAUACACACAACCUGCUCAAGCACCUUAGCAAUCCUCGAAUCUUGAACAAGCUAUUGUGAACCUUAGUAAGGUUGUGGGAGAUUAAAAGUCCAUCAAUGCUCAACUGAAUCAGAGAAUUGACAGUGUAGAGAGUACAUUGAACAAAAGGAUGGAUGAGAUGCAAAAUGAUCUGUCUCAAAAGAUAGACAAUGUCCAAUAUGCAAUCUCAAGGCUUACCAACCUCAACACAGUGCAAGAGAAAGGAAAGUUUAUUUCUCAACCUCAUCAAAAUCCCAAGGGUAUCCAUGAAGUGGAGGCUCAAGAGAGAGAAUCUUCAAAGGUGAGGGAAGUCAAAGCAGUUAUCACCUUGAGGAGUGGUAAAGAGGUUGAUCAACCCACAUCCAAGCCAAAGCAUAAUGAAGAGAGUUUUGUAGAAAAAGAAAAGAGAGGAAAAUAAAGGAAAGAGAAUAGAGAAAAGUACAAAGAAAGAUGACCAUGAGUCUAGUGUGGAUGAAGAGCCCAAGAGGAUAGUGAUCAAGGAAAAUAUGAUGAAGAAACACAUGCCUCCACCUUUCCCCUAAGCUUUGCAUGACAAAAAAGGAACCAAUAAUACAUCGGAAAUUUUUGAAGUAUUGAGGCAAGUGAAGGUCAAUAUCCCUUUGCUAGAGAUGAUCAAACAAGUGCCGACAUAUGCAAAAUUCUUGAAGGACUUGUGCACUGUAAAGAGAGGGUUGAAUGUGAACAAGAAAGCUUUCUUGACCGAGCAAGUGAGUUCCAUCAUACAGUGCAAGUCUCCAGUGAAGUACAAAUAUCCGGGCUACCCUACCAUCUCAGUGAGUAUUGGAGGUACUUGUGUGGAAAAAGCUUUGUUGGACUUGGGAGCAAGUGUGAAUUUGCUACCCUACUCUGUCUAUAAGUAGUUGGGACUUGGAGAGUUGAAGUCAACAUCCAUCACCCUAUCUCUGGCAGAUAGAUCAGUGAAGAUUCCAAGAGAGAUGAUAGAAGAUGUCUUGGUUCAAGUUGACAAAUUCUACUAUCCAGUGGAUUUUGUUGUUCUUGAUACGGAUCCGAUUGUCAAAGGAACUAAUUAUGUUCCUAUCAUACGAAGACCCUUCCUAGCUACAUCAAAUGCAAUCAUCAAUUGUAGGAAUGGAGUCAUGAAACUCACGUUUGUCAACAUGACAUUAGAGCUCAACAUCUUCCAUUUGUACAAGAAGCAUAUCCAUUCAGAAGAAAAAGAAGGUCUAGAGGAAGUGUGCAUGAUUGACACUUUAGUGGAGGAGCAUUGUGAUCGACAAUGCAAGAAGAUUUAGUUGAGAGUUUUGGGGAUCUUGAUGAAGGGUUACUUGAACCCUCAGAUUUGCUUGCUACCCUACUCCAUUGGAGGAAGAGAGAAGAAAUUCUACCCUUAUUCAAUGAGGAGGAGACACAAAGAGCUGCUAAAGAUAAGCCCCCAAAGCUUAUUCUUAAGCCACUACCCACAGAGUUGAAGUAUGCAUACUUGGAAGAAGACAAGAAGUGCACUGUUGUUAUAUCUUUAGCUCUUACCAUUCAUCAGGAGGAUUGUCUACUUGAAGUCCUUAGAAGAAGUAAGAAGGUAAUAGGGUGGCAAAUUUCUGAUUUGAAAGGGAUCAGCCCUUUUGUCUGCACCCAUCAUAUUUACAUGGAGGAUGAAGCUAAGCCAAUUCAUCAACCUCAGAGAAGGUUGAACCCUCACAUGCAAGAAGUGGUGAGAGUUGAAGUUCUUAAGCUACUUUAGGCUGGUAUUAUUUACCCCAUAUCAGAUAGCCCAUGGGUGAGUCCUACUCAAGUUGUGCCAAAGAAGUCGGGGAUCACGGUGGUGCAAAAUGAUAAGGGAAAAGAUGUCUCUACAUGUCUCACUAUAGGUUGGAGGGUGCGUAUCAAUUACAGGAGGUUGAAUGUAGUGACAAGGAAUGACCAUUUCUCGUUGCCCUUUAUUGAUCAAGUGCUUGAGAGGGUCUCUGGGCAUCCUUUUUAUUGUUUCUUGGAUGGCUACUCGAGGUAAUUUAAGAUAGAAAUUGAUGUUGAAGACCAGGAGAAGACCAUUUUCACAUGCCCAUUUAGAACCUAUGCAUAUAGGAGAAUGUCUUUCGGCUUAUGCAAUGCACCCACAACUUUCCAAAGAUGCAUGUUAAGCAUUUUCAAUGAUAUGGUGGAGCAUAUUAUGGAAGUCUUUAUGGAUGAUAUCACCAUAUAUGGAAGUGCAUUUGAUGAAUGCUUGGUCAACUUAGAAGUUGUUCUGAACCGAUGCAUUGAGAAAGACUUAGUGCUUAAUUGGGAGAAGUGCCAUUUCAUGGUACACCAAGGGAUUGUCCUUGGGCACAUCAUCUCCAAGCAAAGCAUUGAAGUUGACAAAGCAAAGGUUGAACUCAUUGUUAAGUUGCCAUUCCCAACAAAUGUCAAAGGAGUAAGGCAAUUCCUUGGCCAUGCCGGGUUCUAUAGGAGGUUUAUCAAGGAUUUCUCUAAGCUUGCAAGGCCUCUUUGUGAAAUAUUGGUGAAGGAUGUUAAAUUCAUAUGGGAUGAUAGAUGCCAAAGGAGUUUUGAAGAAUUGAAGCUAUUUUUGACAACCUCACCAAUAGUGAGGGCUCCCAACUAGCAACUGCCCUUUGAGGUAAAGUGUGAUGUCAAUGACUUUGCUAUAGGAGCUGUUCUUGGGCAAAGAGAAGAUGGAAAACCUUAUGUGAUCUACUAUGCGAGCAAGACAUUGAAUGAGGUGCAAAGAAACUACAUAACCACCGAGAAAGAAUUGUUAGCUGUAGUUUUUGCCUUGGAUAAGUUUCGUGCUUACUUGGUGGGAUCCUUCAUCGUGGUUUUUAUUGAUCACUUUGCUUUGAAGUAUCUAUUGACUAAGCAAGAUGCUAAAGCAAAACUGAUUAGAUGGAUUUUCUUGCUUCAAGAGUUCAAUCUCCAGAUCAAAGACAAGAAAAAAAUGGAGAAUGUGGUAGUAGACCACAUUUCAAGGCUAGCUAUCGCACAUAAUUCCCAUGCUUUGCCCAUUAAUGACGAUUUUCUAGAGGGGUCUCUCAUGUUGGUGGAAGUUGUCCCUUGGUACGCUCACAUUGCUAACUACCUGGUCACAAGAGAAGUUCCAAGUGAGUGGAAAGCACAAGAUAAGAAGCACUUCUUUGCAAAAAUUCAUGCCUACUAUUGGGAAAAGCCAUUUCUAUUCAAGUAUUGUGCGGAUCAGAUAAUAAGGAAGUGAGUUCCUGAAGAAGAGCAACAGGGGAUCCUCAGUCAUUGCCAUAAAAAUGCAUGUGGAUGCCACUUUGCUUAUCAGAAGACAACCAUGAGGGUGCUGCAAUCGGGUUUCUGUUGGCCAUCACUUUUCAAAGAUGCCCACACCAUGUGCAAGAGUUGUGAUCGAUGCCAGAGGCUUGGGAAGUUAUCAUGUAGGAACAUGAUGCCUUUGAACCCCAUUUUAAUAGUUGAUCUUUUUUAUGUUUGGGGCAUUGACUUCAUGGGACUUUUCCCUAUAUCUUUUGGCUACUCUUACAUCUUGGUGGGAAUAGAUUAUGUUUCUAAGUGGGUUGAGGCAGUCCCAUGCAAACACAAUGACCAUAGAGUGGUUCUCAAGUUUCUUAAGGAGAACAUCUUCUCAAGAUUUGGGGUGCCCAAAGCCAUAAUUAGUGAUGGGGGUACUCAUUUUUGCAACAAGCCUUUUGAAACUCUCCUAGCCAAGUAUGGGGUGAAGCAUAAGGUAGCUACACCUUACCACCCUCAAACUAAUGGGCAAGUUGAGUUAGCAAACAAGGAGAUUAAAAACAUAUUGAUGAAGGUGGUGAACACAAACAGAAAAGAUUGGUCAGUCAAGCUCUUCGAUUCACUAUGGUCAUGUAGAACAGCUUACAAGACCAUUAUCGGGAUGUCUCUUUAUCACCUAGUCUAUGGAAAAAAUGCCAUCUCCUUGUGAAAUUGGAAUACAAAGCUUGGUGGUCAAUCAAGAAGCUCAACAUGGAUUUGAGCAGAGCUGGGUUGAAGAGGUUCUUAGACCACAAUGAGAUGGAGGAAUUGAGAAAUGAUGCCUACAUCAAUUCAAAAAUUGUAAAAGAAAAAUUGAAGAGGUGGCAUGAUCAGUUGAUUUCCCGCAAGAAUUUUCAAAAUGGAUAAAGAGUCUUGCUCUAUGACUCUAAACUCCACAUCUUUCCGAGCAAGCUGAAAUCAAGGUGGAUAGGUCCUUUUACCAUUCACCAAGUGCAUUCAAAUAGAGUAGUGGAACUACUCAACUCCAACAACAUCGGGAGCUUCAAAGUGAAUGACCAUUGUCUCAAGCCCUUUGUAGAGUCUUUUUUCUCGCGACAAGGAGGAAUUCAUCCUCCUUGAUCCACAUCAAGCUUGACAAGACCAGUUUUUUUUUAUGGACUUAGUCUUUCUAAAGACUAUCGAGUCCAUAACUUUUUAUUUUAUUUUUUAUUUGAGAGUUUUUCGGUAUUAUUACUUGUUUUGUUUUUUAUUUUUCGUUUUACUUUUAUUUGGUUUGAUUUAACUUAGAUUUUUUAUGAUCAAUUGCAGGGGGGAUUUCAAAUAGAGGAAAAACCAAGAUAAUUCGCACACCCUGCGAAAAUUUCGCAAGGCAUGCGAAAUUUAUGGCUCAUUUCGCAUGGGAUGCGAAAUUUCGCACACCCUACGAACCAAUUUCGCACACUUUGUGAAAAUAAACCAACCCUACGAAAUCAUUUCAAAUACUCUACGAAAUUUUCGCAGAGCAUGUAAAAAAUUUCGCAGACCAAACACCAUUUCGCAUACUAUGCGAAAAUGUAAGGGGUCUACAAAACCAUUUCGCACCUCCAAAGCCAUUUCGCACAUUGUGCAAAAAUGAAAAGUCGCCCUAUCAUCCAUUUUUAAACCCCUUGAGCCCUGAAAUCCCCAUUUCGCAAGCACCCCUGUCCUUGCGAAUCCCUCAUUUUCCUCUGCCACCUUGCGACCUUGUCCCUCUCCAUUUGAUAUCGUGCCCUGCGCACAUCUCAUUUCAAAGACUCGCACUCUGCGCCCUCUCAAAGCACGAACCCAAGGCUCACAUUCCAUUUCCGACAUGGCACAGACCCGAGGAGCCCUUCCCGCCCCUUCAUCGAGACGCACACCAAGGUAGAGAGCCUCUUUUGCUCAGAUGCCAAGUGAUUCUCCAUUUCAGGCCACGGAGGCCCUGCGGAUUCCACAUUCCAAGGGUAGAACAGCCACUGGUCCUUCCUCUUCUAUUCCUCAGCGUAGAUAUGAGACGAGGAGACCACCUACUACACAAAGGGCGACUACUUCGCGCCAUGAGAAUUCGGUACGACACCCUCCUGCCAAGAGGGCCAGGACUUCAGGCCCAGGCGAGUCAUCCAAAGCUUCACAGCCUGAGCCUCCUGCAGAUUCCGAGGUUCCUACUGACAUAUCAUCGGAGUCUAUUAUCAAACGCCCGAUGCUCACAGCACCGCCCAUUGAGGGCAACUCUGAUUGUAGAGCGAGACCUUUCCACUUGGAGCUAUAUUUUAAUUAAGAGGCCAUGCCACAGCAGCCUGAGCUCCAAGACUCUUAUGGCUUACUACAGAGGUACCAUCUUGAGGACCUUAUGACUCCUCGUGAGUUCUUUUAUCCCAGAGUAGCACUAGACUUUUACCAGUCCAUGACUACUCGUGGCGUCCCGAGUCCUACCGCGAUGCACUUCACCAUUAAUGGACGUCAUGGUAUCCUCGAGGCCAGACAUAUUGGAGAGGCUCUACAGAUUCCUUUCGAGCUAGAGGACCCAUCUGUUUUCUGCCAAUGGUCCCCAAUAUCUCAGAGGGACAUGGUCCAUAUUUUAUCCAGGGGGACAUCUACAUAUUCGAUCCUUCUACGGAAGGAGCUUCGACCUGGGAUACUCCUCGUAGAUGUGGUGCUACUUUCCAACCUCUUUCCCUUUUAGCAUUCGAUACAUAGGCGAGGAGCUAUUUUGGACGCUUUAUUCUGUAUAUCAGAGGGCUUCUACUUUGGCCCGCACCACUUGAUCAUGGUUUCCCUCAUCCAUUUUGAGGAGAAGGUCCAUAGAAAGAAGCUUCAGAGGGCGAACACCAUUCCAUUACUAUUCCCGAGGUUGCUCUACUAGAUCUUGGAGUACAUGGGCUUUCCUACUGAGCCUCGGCUUGUGUGCCGCCGCCUUUGUCAAGAGCGAUCCACUCUCGACAAAUGGAAUCAGUUGGCGGGCUAUUCUACACCUCCAGGAGCCCCUCCCAUGGUAGCACCUCUAGUGUCCCCACAGGCAGAGUAGGGCAAGCUCCCGGUAGAGACUGCACCCCUAGUGCCCACACCUGAGGCUACUUCUGCUGUUCCGCCUACGACUCCUACUGUUCCACCAGUUGGUCCUUUUACAUCUGAGUCUUCCAUCAACAUCUCGACUUCGGAGUUUCGCGCCCUUGUGCAUACCUUUCAGACACUCACCACCACACAUACUGCUCUCUUCUAGAAAAUGGCUGAGAUGCGUGCCCAUCAGGACCAGCAGACUACUAUACUCCGCCAAAUUCAACAGCACCUGGGACUUCUGCCUCUGCCUCAGCUUGACCUUCCCACAUCAUCAGAGCCUCUAGCUCCAGUUGAGGAUACUAUUCCACCUGAGGACACUACCACAGUAGAGGUUCAGAUUCCACCACCUCAGGAGGCCACCACAGCUACAUUAGAGGAUGCAUCAUCUCCACCUGAGGCUCCCACUACUUGAUCAUAGGACAUCUCUUUAUCUUAUUGUAUUUACAUAUUAUAUUACUGGAGAUUUGUCUUUGUUUUGAUACUUUAUAUUCUGGCAUUGAAUGUAUUGCCUAAUGAUAUCUCAAUUGUACUUUCUCAUAUUAAUAUAUAGACAUCAAUUUUUUUUAGUAUACUUAGGAUUUUUCUAUUUACUCUACUCAUUACUCUUUUGUUUUUUUUUUUUUACUCAUGUGGUUUCUCCUAUACGACUCAGACUCCAUUUCACUCAGGAGGUACCACUUCUUCCCUUUAUUUUCAAUUGCUCUUGAAACAUUGAGGGCAAUGUUGAUCUUGGUUGGAGGGAGAGUUGAGGAAGGAAGUGAUUACUACUCAAAAAGUGCUAUUUCAUAGCUUGUAAUUAACUCUUUUAAAACACUUUUGAGUAGUAGUUAUCACCUUUUAACCCAAUUAACAUAUUAAGGACCCUUGCAAUCAAUUCUAAUCAAAUUGUGUUAAGUUUUGGUAUUUUGAUAGCUUUUUUAUCACCAAAGCAAUCCGAGAUUGAGGAUAUUUAUUUGGAAUCCAUGGCAAAAGAUGUUUGGACAGGACGUCCGGACACACCAUCGGAGGGCGGCGGAACGUGGGCUGUGGCAGGCUGUCGGAAUGACGUAGCAAGGCUUGUGCACUUUAGCCAAUGAUCGGGAUAACAUAUCCGAAAUUCUGCUCCGCCGACAUUCCACCCGGAUGUCUCACAUCCGGAAUUCUGCUCCGCCGACAUUACACCCAGAUGUCUCACAUCCAAAAUUCUUCUCCGUCGACAUUCCAUCCGAAUAUUUCACAUCCGACGCUUGACGCCGGAUGGGAGAGGAGGGCGUUUCAACUUCCCCGGUCAGACAUAUCCGAAUCCUUUGAUAACGCUUACCCGGAGAGUUUCGCAGCCAUUUUGCACAGUGCCGCGGUGUUCUCUUGAAGCUUCCCGAUAUGUGCGACCGACAUUUUGAGAUAUUUUGCUUUAGAUAUUUGAUGUCUAAAUCCCCAAACUCUCCUUGUAACCCACCAAUUAUAGGAUUCCUUAGUUAUUAAGUUUGGAAAAAUGGUGAAUAACCCCUUAUAUAUAGUUUGCAAUUUUCAUAAAAAAGAUAUGUAGAAUCUCGGGAGCUUGUUCCCAGAGAGACGCAUCCUUUGUACAGUUUUGGAAGGAAGUAAAAUACAGAGCACUUGCUCUGCUUUUCAUAUAUAUUUUUGUUUUCUCGUUCUUUUUAUUUCUAGCCAAUCAAAGUCUGAGGAUUUUUCCUCAGAGGAUGAGAGGCUAGGCUCUUCGUCUCUUGGAGUGAAGAAAACUAGGUAAGUUUCCACAUGCAUAAAUUGAAAGUUUUGUUGUUUUAGUUUUUAAUGAAGAGAAAGUGUGACCCGUUAAUGGUUUUUAUCUUUUUAGUUAACUUAAAACGCCUUUAAAUCACCCGGGCCAACACUUGAUAAGGCAAGUGGUCUCCAUCCAUUGAGAUGCACUAGUUUAUCUCUUGCGAGCCUUUGGGAGGUGGUUUGAAGGUAGGAUUUUCUAGAAUAACCAACACUUGAUAAGCUUUUGGACUCUAAGGAGACAUCCAUUAGUUAUCUCUUGCGAGCUUUUGACGGGUAAUCCAAGGUUAAAGAUCACCUUGAAUGGCAAGUACUAGGUGAGAGGUAUGAGCCAUUGCAAGAUGCAUUAGUGAGAGGGAUUUAGUGUUUGAACCCAUUAAAGGGAAGCAUCUGUACCACACCGGUUCGGGAAAUAACUAUAUGUUAAAUCCCCAAUGAGAGGAAAAGAAACAAGUGACCGGAACUCCCUUUUUGUAUAAGGAACCUGAGCCUAGUGAUCUAAACUCCAAGAAACACUUUUCUUUGUAAGUAAAAUCAGUUACUAUUUUUGGUUAGUUUAAAACCAAACCUUUUUCAUUCAAACAUCUUUAUGUUUUCUUUUAAAGCUAACCUUGAAAUGAAAAGGCACCAAUUCAUAUUUGAAUUAAUAUCAAUUGUGAAGUGAAAACCCAUCCCAGUGAACGAUCCUAGAGCCACUAUGCUAUAGUAGCUUUGUCUUUGCUACCCUAGUUCAUGGUUUAAUAGGUUAUAAAUUUUGUUGAUUACUCCCACAAUCAAAGGAGCACCAGUUGGACAUGAAUCAACUGAGACACUAAUUGGGCACAAAUCAGGAAGUUUUGUUAAUAAUGCUAGGUUAAUUUGUUAAUUUAGUUACUUUCUGCUUAAUUUUAAAAGUUUUCACUUUACUUUCCAUAGUUAUUAAGGAAAAAUUCUCAAAAUGAAAUGGGAGAAAUUGAAUUCUUACAUUUUUACUUGAAUUUUAGAAUUUGUAUUAUGCUUAUUGAAGCUGAUGAAUUAUUGAAACUCCUAUUGAAUUCAACCUUAUUUCUUCCACUUUAAUCUUACCACACACGGUGCACAUUAGGUUCCGAUUAUAAGAGGUGCGUUCUUAGCCUAUUGGAGGUUGGUCAAUUUGUUAAAGUUUGAGAAAGAUCUAGGUUAGGGGAGAGAGAAUAGUCUGACAUACUAUAAUCGAAAACUAAUAAACUUAACACUUAGAUCUUUGUGGAAGAGUAAGGAUUGGACCUUUGGGAGUGGAAAUUCGUUUGAUGCUUAAAUUUGCAUAAUGCUUACACUUUAUAAAUUGUGAUUAGGCAAGAGAUUUGAUGACUCUUGUUCAAGGUUGGGUUUUGCCUCUUUGAUGUUCCAUGAGAGAGUAUAAUCCUCAUCAUGCCACUUGAAAUUUUUUUUGGAGUGAUUAACAUGAUUUUGUAAAUUACUUUACUGUCUAUUUUUUUUUUAUCUCUCCUUCAUUGCUAAUGGACUAGCAAUAUGUCAGUUGAGGGGAGUGAUUACUACUCAAAAAGUACUCUUUUAUAGCUUGAAACUAACUGUUUUGAACACUUUUGAGUAGUAGUUAAUACCUUUUAACUCAAUUGGCACAUUAAAGAACCUAGCAAGGGUUACUAAUUAGUUUUUGGCAAGUUUUGGUGUUUUUGGUAGCUAUUUGAUCAUUGAAACAAGCCAAGAAUGAGGGAGAAUUUUGUGAAGUCCAUGGCAAUGCAAGUUAAAGCUCAAAUACAUGAAGAAUCCAAGCUUUGGAGCACUUCAUAGCCCUUUCCAAAGCCAAUCAGAGAUGCAAGGAAGAAAACCAGAGGAAGAAAUCCAACAAUUAGCAUUUUCGCAUGGCUGUGCGAAAUUUCGCACACCAUGCGAAACCACAAGAGGCAGCCAAAGAAUUUUGCACACUAUGCGAAAUUUCGCAUGGUAUGCAAAAUCUUCUUGUGCACCAACUCCGUUAUAUUUUUAUCUCAAAUAUUUUGUGUAAUUUCCUAGUUUCUCCUUGUAACCAACCUAGAUAUUUUCUUUUAUAUAUUUUUUAGGUAACAUCAUCUAUAGGGGGAGAGACAUAAGGAGGAUAUGGAUGUUUUUCAUAGAACACUUGUAAAUUUCCGGUAGUAAGAAAUAUACAGAGCUUUUUGCUCUACCUUACCUUCUCAUUUUGUUUUCACUUGUCUUUCUAGCCAAACAACCUCUGAGGAUGAUUUCUUAGGGAAUGAGUGGCUAGGUUUUACGUUUCUUGGAGUGAGGGAAGCUAGGUGAAAGACCCGAAUGCUAAGGUGGGAGUUGUCCUUGCUUUAAAUGAAAGUAGUUGUUAAACAUUAAUGGUUUUUAUUUUAAGGUUUAGCUUUAAAUCCCUUAAAAACAUCUUGAAUGGUCAAUACUUGGUAGGCUUUUUGGAUUCUAUGGAUGCUUAUUGCUAGAUCCCUGGAUGUCUAUUAGUUAUCAUUUAUGAGCCAUUGGAAGGUGGUUCAAGAUGAGGGUCUUUAAUGUUUGAAGCCAUUAAUAGGAAACAAUUACCAUUCUUUCAUGAAUCCUUUGGAUCAAAUCUUAAUUGCUAAAUAUAAAACUAGUUCGGGAGAUAACCAUCCUUUAUGUUAUUAUGCCCAACGCGAGGAGAAGAUUCGGAAUCUUCCCCUUUGUCUAAGGAACCCGAUCCUAGUGACCUAAAGCUCUAAGAGACCUUUUCUUUAUAGUUAACUUCACUUAUUGUUUUUUCUUAACUUAAAAUCAAUCUUUGCAACCACAAUUCCAUUUUCUUUGAAAGCUAAUUUUCAUAAGGAAAAUCACCAUUUUAUUUUCUUCCCUAAGUCAACUGUACGAUGAAAACCCAUUCCCAUGGACGAUCCUAGAGCCACUAUACUAUGUUAGCUAUGCUACCCUAAUGUGAGGUGAUUUAGGUUUUAUAAAUUUUGUUGAUAACACCUGUUUGAGCCAGAAUCAAAUGGCGCAACUGAACCAGGGACGAAUCAACAACUUAUAUGGGAGGGACACAAGUUUAAUUGAUUUGCAUUUCAACGUUAUAUAUAGGUAUGUUUUGGAAGAUUUGUUCUGGAAAUACUGCACCAAGUACGAUUCUUUUUGUCUUGAGUGGGUCUACUUGCAUGCCAAUUAACGAGUGGAAAAGUAGGAGCACCUACCUCAUGCUCGCGGAACCGAAGGUCAGUGAAGUGGGGCUCCUUUUGGCCUCUUGUGUUUCUAUUCCAACCAAGGCGGCGUAAGGAAAAACAACAAUAUGUUUGUGCUAAAUAUCAACGCAUGAUAGAUGUUUUUGUUUUUUGGUAUGUCAAGGCUAAUGAAUGAAAUGCUUUAGCUUGUUUUGUGACUGGAACUGCAAAUGUCCAAAUUGGAGUAUCUCCAUUUCUCACUUCGGAUGGUUAACUUAUAAACAAGAUAUAGGAAACAUGUGAACAUCUUGAGGAACAAUUUGAAUUAUUCAUUAGAAGUCCUGGGUUGAGUUCCAAGAUUUAAAUUAGACCCCUCUAGCAGCUUCAGGGGUACCUAGCAACCUAUAGCAUAUUAAUGAAGAUUUAGGAUUUAGACUCUAGAAUACAAAUUAAUAUGUAUCUCAUGCUUUGACUAGCUUCCCUACAUAUGCACAAAAUGGAGAUGACCUAAAAAAAUAGCAGAAUCUAGCUUCCCUACAUAUGCACAAAAUGGAGAUGACCCAAAAAAUAGCAGAAUUUCCUUAGUUUCUGUGGUUAAGGUGAUUCUCCGCUUAAUAUCACAUUGACUCAUUAUGCAAAAUCAACUGAGCUAAUUUUGUUUAUUUAUUUAAUGUCAAAUAGGAACUCCUAAUUAACCUAACCCUUGGCCUGUGUAAAUUGAUUUCACAUGCCCAAUGUUGAAGUAGAAGUCCAUAUUUUGAAUUUUAUUUUUGUAAAGGUAAGGAAAAUGAAGCAUUGUGUAAUUAUAAAAAUAACUUCAUUGGAAUUCACAAGGUUCACCCAAAAUGGAGCUACAUCCGUAUUCUAUCCUGCAGUAGACUAUAUAGAUUGUACAAUAGUAAAUUGCAAAUACAAUUAAUAAGUCUUGUGCUUCCUUACUAAUAAUCCUUUGACAUGAACAUUGCAGCACUAAGGUCCUCUUGGGAAGACACCUUGCACCCAUGAGAGCACGAAGAGGAAGCAAGGCAGAGUCAUGGGUGCAAUGUCAUGACUUGUUGUUGCACCAAGAGAGGCUUGGUGAUGGCAUGGUGUUGCAGUAGCAAGAAUGUUGCCUUGGUAGGGACAUAAUCUAGGGAUAGAUGCCAAGAAAGGCUUAGCACUCACAUGAGUUGCACAAAGAUGAAUGUAAUAGAGCAUCAGAGAGACGUCUUGGCAAGUAAAUGAAUGGAUCCAAGAGGCAACAACAUGAGGAGUUUCAAAUGGAUAAGGAAUGAGUCAAAGACAUUUGAAAGCUACAAGUUGGAUUCUAAUUACGAUUGCAAUUUGAGUUUGAGUAGGAGUUUAGAUUCUGAUUGUAAUUGUAGUAUGAGUUGGACUAGGAUUGCUUAUCCCUAGUCAAAAUAGGAGUGGUUCGUGUCACACCCUAUGAAAAGAGUUUGAGUAGGGACUAGGAUUGCUUACUCCUAGUCAAAUAUGGAGUAGGUGGUGCCACACCUAUAAAAAAAAAGGGACAACAUGAGAGAGAGAGAGAGAGAGAGAGAGAGAGAGAGAGAGAGAGAGAGAGAGAGAAAGAGAUAAUGAAUUCACUAAAGAUAUUGUGGGAGUUUUUCUUUGUUACGUCUUGUAUUAUUACUUAGAAUAGGAAUAAAAUACAAGUUUGGGCUAGAGCCCCAUAAUUAAUCUCGUGUGCCUUUGUGGUUAUUCUUUAUUUGUCAUCUCGUGUGGAUUGGAUUACAUUGACUUAGAGGGCUUCUAAGCACCACCUUUGUGGGUUAUUAUUUAUUUUCCAUUUCUUGUGGAUUAGAUUAGGUUGACUUUGAGGGCUUUUAAGCACCACCUUUGUGGGUUAUUCUUUAUUUUCCAUAUCGUGGGGAUUGGAUUAGGUUGACGAUGAGAAAAAUUAUGUGGGAAAUUUGUGUUGGGACACUUAUCAUAACCAGGUAAAAUCUGCCAAGUCCUUUGUAAUAUCUUCAACAAAUAUUUCAGACUAGUUCUUCACCAUAAACAUCAUAUUGUGUUUUGUUUUUCUCCUGGAUUCUGAGUUGAAUUGUUUCAAGUCAAUUGAAUGCAUCUGAAUAUUAUUAGCUUGUUUGAAGGCCUGGUGAUUUUCCAUUUAACUUUACUUUCUUUAGGUUAUGCUCACUAUAAGAAAAAUGAGAAAUAAUGACGCUUUUUACGCGUUAAGAAAGGCAACAGAUGAUGCUUCUCUAAAGCGUCCUCUUCGGCUCUGUCAUUAUAUGUGUUAGCCAAUAAUGACGCUUCUAGGAAGUGCCAUCUUUGAAUAAUGUUAAUAACGACACUCGUAAAAAGUGUCAUCUUUAAACAUAUUCUGGUCAAAUAAUUUUUACAAAAUUAGUAAUCUUCAAGCCGUUUCUGAAUCAUAUCUGAGCCUAUUUCUGGGGACCAGAAAACCAUCUUUUUUCCAUUCGCCUGAGAGGUCUGAUUAGCAUUUCUGGAAUCAAUCUCUAAACCCAAGCUUCCCUCAUCUACCCAUUUAACCCUCAUGCCCUCCUGUUUGAACAACUUUCCCACUAUAUACACAAAUUUUUUACCUUCUGUUGUUGGUAUUCGACCUCUUCCCAUUCCCAGCACAGAAUCCACCAUUAGUGCCACUUUGUGAAUAAAAUCAUCGAACCAGAUCUUUCGGGCGGAAGAUGAGCUCCAGAGAAAUAAAAUUUUUGGGGUCUUCCCAGCAUGAAAGUCAUAGGUAGCAUUAAUGACAUCAAGAAAUGGGGCACUGUUGAGAAAAAACAUGUUCCCAUCAACCACCCAAGAAUUGUACCAGACUCCAAACACUUCUGGAUUACAUAUGCCUUUACUAAGAUAUAUUUCUUGAUCUCCAUAUCAGAAUCUUGGAGACUCUUCAUUUUAUGAGCUCUGACACUACUGUGAAAUUGGUCCACAUCAAUCACAGGAUGACCCCUUCUAGCAAGAUCAAGCAGGAAGUCUGAAUUCGGGCCCAUAAAAAUGUAGUUCUGAAUAUUGAAACUCUCAAAGUGGCACAACAAAUUCCUUAUGACUCUUUCAGAUGCUCCAAACAGGCUCACAAGUAUAAUGGUAUCCUGUUUUUGCACAGAGUAAAGAAAAUAUCCGAGUUCUUCAAAACUCCUUACAACUAUUCCAGGAUGUACUUCUUUGAAACAGAAAUCGUACCACUUUAGCUUAGUCAGAGGUUGAAUCUAAAAUAACAAAACCCAAACUGAAAUCAAAAUCGAAAUCAACCCUAAUAGAUUUCAGAAACAACAAAUUAAAAGAGUAAAGCACAAAAGGGGGAAAACACAUAUGAAGCAAUCUCCAUACAAGCCCUAACCUUAGAUAAACCCAAAAAAAAAAAUCAAAGCAGAGAGUUACCAUAGAGCAUCUCUGUUUCAAGCUUAGAAAAUGUUUAAUGCCAUUGAUAACUAGUUGGCUAGUGGUGGACUUCAAGCUUCUCUAUUUCGGUGUUAGUAGCUCUCAAUGGCUAUGGUGAGAACAAAGAAAUGAGAGGCUUAGGGUUUGGGAUGUGAGGUUAUUGAUGAUGAUGAGGAUAAAGUUAUGGGCUCUUGGAGGGGUUAGGGAAAUUGAAGAUGGCUGAGAGUAAAGGCUAGGGUUUUUGAGAUAGUUAAUAGCUUUUUAGGGUGUGACUGUCCAUAGAUAGAAGAUAAAUGAGGGUGUGAGAAUUUAUAGAUCUCUAGGUGAUAUGGCGGGUGUGAGAAUGAAAUUUUAGAGGGAAUUGUGUGUUUGGUAGAAAUUUCACACAUGCAUAUAUAAUGUUUCAGAACAUGGCACUUUAAAAAUACGACAAGGAAGAAAUUAUUUAUUGACGCUUAAAUAAAGCGCCAAGGUCUCCAACAUUUUUGCAAUCAAUGACGUUUGUAAAAGGUGCCAUUGAAUAGGAGUGCCAUUGCUUUCCCACAAAGCAUCAUUGUUAAUCAAGCCUUUAAAAAACGCCAAGAUAUGUUGCCACUUAGGUUAAAUAUUGACGCUUUUAAAAAACGCCAAGGAAAAAAACGUCAUUAUUCAUGUUUUUUGUAGUAGUGGCUUGAUUCCUAAAAAGUAAAGGAAAGCAAAAAGUAAAAAAAUAAAAAUGUGGAGAGUUAGGACAUGCGUUAUCUAAUUGUCCUAGUCCCAAAUAUAUUAAGAAAGUCAUGUAGGUUACUUGGAGUAACGAGUCAAGUAAAGCAAGCCUUCUAGUGUUUAAGACAUUAGAUAUUACCGAACUGAUUAUGUCAUUAAUGUAUUGCAUUUGUUGUUUCUAAUAUAUAGAAGAAGAUGAAAUUAUUGGAAUAAGUGGGAAAUAGGAAUAAAUCCAAGGUACCAAAAAGUCACUUUAUCUUAGAUGUUGUUGGAAACAUAAGUGAUUUCACAAUAACGACUAUGAGACAAUCAAGGAUUAAUAAGAUAGACUUUAUAUGAUAUACCUCCCAAUUAGAGCCUAAAAAUAUGGAUGAAGCACUUAGAGAUGAAUCUUCAAUUUUUGUACUAUAGGAAGAAUUAAAUCAAUUUGUUAGCUAUUCUUUGGAUAUUUGAUUCAUCACAAGCUACAAAUCACUUUUGAUGACCAAACACGAAACUAAGAGGAUUGGGCCCAAUUCGAUGCCUAUCAACAAUGAUUUGUAUUCCACCUCAUUAAUUAUUCAAAGUUGGGAAGCUAGGUCUAACCACUUUCUCUACCUGUUCACCCUUAGAGGAGCAGAAGAAAAUUCUAACUUUGGUGCCUAAUGCCUUUGACAAUCUUUCGACAAAGAGAGUUCACUAAUUACUUUGAUUAUUUCUCUGUUGGUCACUGGGGGACAAGACUUUUGUAAUGAAGUCAACUAGAACUUGCCCUUUGAGGGCCAUUCAUGGACGAUAUUACACCAUGAAUUCCCUUAGGUCAUGUUUGGUAUGUGAGAAUGAGGAGUGGAAUGGACAUCUUAUUCAUUUUUUCAUCUAUUCAAAUGUUGGGAUAACUCAAGUGACCAUGAGAAUGAAAUCAAGAAUGAUUCAAGGGAAAUGAAAUCUUACUUAUAAGUGUGAUUUCAAUUAAUCUCUAAUAGAAAUUAUUUUGAAUCAAUAGUGCAAGUUAUUUUUAAAAACAUUUUUCCAAAAUUAAAAAAAUCAAUUUUUUUUUUUUCGAUAAGUUGUUUUUAAAAGGAUUUUUUUUAUUUUGUAAAAAGAAAAUUGUAAUUCAAUUUAUAUAAUAUAAACUAAAUUUUAUUUUAUUCAAAAAGAAAUAAUUUUUUAAUUAUAAAUAAAUUAAAAAUAAAUACUUUUAAUAAAAUAUAAAUAGUAUUAUUAUAAUAAAAUCAUAAAUAAAUUUAAUUUUUUUUAUAAAUAUUAUAAAAAUAUGGAUAUUAACAUUGGAUAAUUGAUUUAUUUUGUUAAAAUAAAAAAUAAUAAUUUUUAAUAUUAUUUUAUGUUAAAUGAAUUUUAAAAUAAAGAAAGUUUAAUUAUUUUAAGGUAUAGAAGAGCCAAAUUUUGCAUUACAUACAUAACAAACAAUAUUUAUUAGAAACAUUUCUCAAGGAGAAUCUUAUUCCAUCUCACAAAGAUACUCGUUUAUUCGAUGUUUGACCAUCCGUAACAAUCAUGUCAAUUCUACUGAUUUAAUAAUUCCUUUACAUUUAUUACUCACUUAUGAACAUGGUAUUGUGAUUUAUUUAUUUAUUUGAUGUAUAAUUAAUUAAUCAAUUUUUUAAAUUUCAAAUUAUUUUUAAAAACUAUUCAUUAAGGAAUUUAAAGCAUUAAUUAUGUCUAUUAUUUUUUAUAGUCAUUAUAUAUAUAUUGAGUUUUAAUUUAUUUUUAAAAAUUAUUAAACUUAUUAAUAAAUUCAAUAUAAAGUCUCGUUUCAUUUGAAAUUCAUUUCUUUAGUGAAAAUUUUGAAAAAAAAAUUGUUAUUUAUUUUACUUUGUUUUAAAAAAAUUGUUUCUAGAGAACAAUAAUCAAAUAAUGGUAUGAAUUUUUAAAAACAAUUUUGUUUUUAAAUCAUAUGCCCAAAUAAUUUUUUUUUAUUUAGCAAAAAACUUUGUUGUAGUAUGUGGCUCAUAUUGAGGGAAAGACAUAUAUGGAGAAAAAUGUGCAAAUGUUGGAGUGGAGCGGAGUGGAAUGACGACAUUUGUCAUUCAAACUUGUAUUUUUAUUGUUAAGGGUGACCGAUAGGUUGGUACGGUUUAGGGGUAUUUUUGGAAUUUCAUUACCUGAGGGUUAGUAUAAAUACCAUUUUAUGUAACCCUAAUUUUACAUAUAAUGUAAGUUUUCUUCCUUGUUCUUGUGGACAUAGGCAAUCCGUCGAACCACGUUAAAUCUGUGUGUUUUUUUUUCUUUUUUCUUUUUCUCUAAUUUCUUCACCAGGAAUCGUUACACUAAGAUCAACAAACUCUCAAAGAUGAUUUUUAAAAUGAAAAAAAUAAUGUAUAGUGUGAGAAUUUUUUAUUUUUUAUUUUUUUAAAAUGAAAAUAAAAAAUUGCUUUAAGGUAAAAGUGUGGAUAUUAUUGUUAAUUUAUUUCAUUUUUCAUUUUCAUUUCCAUUGUUACCUACAAUUGAAAUGGAAACAACUAAUCAUUACAACCUUACAUUCUUAUAUGCAUCCAAAUACAAAAAUUGAAAUCACCAAAUUCAUAUUCAAGGCAAAAUAGGAAUGAAAACAAAUAUUCAUUCUCAUUCUUUAUUCCCACGUGUCAAACAUGACCUCAAAGUUAUAAACAUGAACAAGAAGUCCUUGAAACACCAAUGAUCUCUUCUGGUAUAUAUAUGAGCUUGAUUGACAACUGUUUUAAAUACAGUUUUUUUUUUUUUUGUUUUCAAAAUCAAAACAAAUUUAUUUUUAUUUUUUAUAAAUAGUAGUUUUUUAAUAUUUUUUUUAAACCUUAUUAUGAAAAUAGGAUGUUUUCUAAUAUCAUAUUUUAAUUAUUUUCAAUUAUUUUCCCUUCUUUUAAGGAGGGCUAUUUUAAAAAUAUGAAAAAUGAUACAAAAUAAAGCAUUACAAAUAAAAAUCAUUUUUAAGAAAUAUAUGAAAAUAAUUUGAGAACAUUUGAAGUUCCUUAAUUAAACUUUUGUUCUAGAAAAUGCAAGAAAACUGUUUUUGAAAAUUGUUUUCAUAAUGAUAUGCAUUGAUCGUUUAAAAUUUAAUUACAUGAUAAAAAGACCUAUGUAAAAACCAGAGUUAUAUAAUCAGUCAUAGAUCAAAUCUACUAAAUAUGAAAAGUAAGUACAUAGUUGUAUAUGACUUAGAUGGAGCCUUCUCCGAAUGACAUUCUUUAGUCGGUACUCAUAUUUUUUUGUUUCGUGUCUUCAACAUAACACCUCAUGAUCCUUAAUAAAUCACCUGAAAACUAUAUUAGCACCUUAUUGUUUAAUAUUUCUCUAAAUUUUUUUAUUAAGCAAAUAAAUUCCAAAUUUAAAAUGACAAAUAAAAUUUAUUAAUUUUUAAAAAUAAUUUAAAACUCAAAAACCAAUUUAAUUGAUAUUAAAAGUCAUGAAACUUAAUAAUAUUAGAAAGUCAUGUAUCCAAAUUUAUUUUAAAUGACUUGUUUAAUUUCUUGUUUAUAUAUAUUAUAUUUUUAUAAUUUUUUUUACUAUACAAAUAAAUUUUAAAUUAAACAAAACUUAAUGCGUUGAAUUCAUUAACGAGUCUAAUAAUUUUUAAAAGUUACUUAAAAUUUAAAUACUAAAUCAAUUAGUACCACAAAUUCAUGGAAAAAAAUUGAUUUAUUACUACUAUAUUGUUUCUCUAUUGCAUAGAACCAUUAUUUUUCAAUUUUUUCAUUUGGCAAAUGAACAUCAAAUUAAACAAGACUAAGUGUAUUAAAUUCAUUAAUGGGUCUAGUAAUUUUUUAAAAUAAUUUAAAAUUCAAAUAUUGAUACUCCAAAUUAAACAAGACUUAGGUGGUGUUUGUUUUUUGGUUGAAUAGAAAAAGGUAAAAUAUUUGACUUUUUCUAUUUAGUUAAAAGUAACUUGUUGACAUCGUCCAAUAUAAUUAAAGUAAACCUAUUGAGGGCAAGUUCACUUUAAUUAUGUUGGACGAUGUCAACAGGUUACUUUUAACUCAAUAGAAAAAAUCAAAUAUUUUGACUUUUUUUUUAACUCAAAUAAUAAAUCCAUUAAUACAAAAAAAUUAUGGAUAAUUUGAAACUUUCUUUCUUUUUUUUUUUUUUUUUGCUACACAUAGCUAUAUUUUUAUAAAUUUUAUCAUUAGAGAAAUGGAUUUCAAAUCAAGUGAAACUUUGUAUUGAAUUAAUGGAUUUAACAUUUUUUAAAAAUAAUUUGGAACUAAAAAAAAAAGAUUUAAUUACUAAGAAAAUCAUAGAUCAAAACUAAUAUAUUCUGAUCCAUGAUUUUAUUAUUUUUCCUAUACAUACAAUUAUAUUUUUAUAAUUUUCUCACUAGGUAAAGAUAUUAUAAAUUAAGUGACACAUAAUUAAUAAUUUAAAUUUUUGAAUGAAUCUUUUAAUUUUAGGAAUAAUUUGAAAUUUAAAAAGUUGAUCCAAUUAAUUGUAAAUUAACUUAAAAUAUUAUAAAAUAUUAUGUUCAUAAUUAAGUACUAAAUGUAUAUAUGUAAUGAAAACUUAACUAGUUACAUGUUACAAAAGCCAAAAUUUAUUCAUUCUUUAUUUUAAAUAAAAUAUUAUUAAUAAUUAUUUUUUUUAAAAUAAUAUUUAGUAAUUAUUGUUUUUAAAUUAUUAUUAUUAAUUUUUAAUAAAAAAAUUGCAAAGUUAUUAAUAUCAUUAUAUUUCUAACAUAAAUUUAAAUAGUAUAUUUUUUAAUAUAUAUAUAUAUAUAUAUAUAUAUAUAUAUAUAUAUAUAUAUAUAUAUAUAUAAUUUAUGAUUUCAUUAUAAUAUUUUUAUUCAUGAUUGACGAAAAAUUAUUUAUUGUUUAAUUUAUUUGAAUUGCAAAACUAUUUUUCAAAAUUCAAGCGAGAAAAUAGGCCUGGAUUUGAAUUUCCUGUAGAAGAGAAGGAUGUGGAGAAUAUGUUGGGAGUAUUUGUGGAUAAAGAAAAGGCCAGGGUACUGAGAAAGGAGAGAGAACUUGCUCUUGCCAAAAGAGCCCUGCACAGGUAUUCUACUGAUUCUAAUUAUCGGUUCUUACAUGAUCAGAUUUCAGAUUUAUUUGCUGAGCUUCUGAAAUCUGAUACAGUAUUUAAACUCCGGUGAGCUUUACAAGAUUAGUCUCGCAUCCAAUUCCAAAUGGUGUCCCACAAUUGAUUCUUCUUAUGAUAAAUCCACCUUGAUAUGUGAAAAUAUUGCUCGAAAGGUUUAUCCUCGCGAGGAAUAUCCAGAAUACUAAGGAAUUGAGGAGGCUCACUAUGUUUAUAGAGUCAGGGAUAGGUUGAGAAAACAAGUAGUUGUUCCAUUACAUAAGGCCCUGGAGUUGCCAGAGGUUUUCAUGUGUUCGAACAAGUGGGGAUCACUUCCCUACAACCCUGUGGCUUCAGUGGCCAUGAAAUCAUACAAGAGCCUCUUCUCAAACCAUGAUACAGAGCGGUUUGGUGAGUAUCUUGAGAAAGUGCAAACUGGGAAGGCUAAGAUUGCAGCUGGUGCAUUACUUCCCCAUGAGAUUAUAGCUUCAUUGAAUGAGGAGGAUGCCGAGAGAGUUGCCGAGCUUCAGUGGGCAAGAAUGCUGGAAGAUUGAUCAAAGAAAGGGAGGCUCACAAAUUGCAUUGCAGUAUGUGACGUAUCAGGAAGUAUGAGUGGAACUCCAAUUGAGGUGUGUGUGGCUCUGGGGCAGUUAGUUUCAGAGCUCAGUGAAGAUCCAUGGAAAUUAAGGUAAUGUAAUUACUUUCAGUGCAAAUCCUGAGCUUCACAAGAUCCAAGGAGACAGCCUUGUAUCCAAGACUGAAUUUGUGAGGAUGAUGGAAUGGGGUGCCAACACUGACUUUCAGAAAGUUUUGACAGAAUCUUACAAGUAGCAGUGGAGGGAAAUAUGAGUGAAGAUCAAAUGAUAAAGAGGGUUUUCGUUUUCAGUGAUAUGGAGUUCGAUGAAGCUUGUGGGAGGUAUAACUAUUGUGACUAUGACUAUGAUAUGGAGGAAAUUGACGAGAGUCAGAAGGCAUCUCAGAAGUGGGAGACAGAUUAUGAAGUGAUACAGAGGAAAUUCCAGGAGAAAGGAUACAGAAAAGUUCCAGAGAUAGUGUUUUGGAACCUUAGAAACUCAUCAGCGACUCCAGUGACGGCCACAGAGAACGGGGUGGCCUUAGUAAGCGGGUUUUCAAAGAAUCUGUUGACCUUGUUUUUGGAAGGAGGUGGAAUUCUGAUCCCUCAGGAUGUGAUGGAAUUCGCCAUCUCUGAUGAAGAUUACAAGAAACUUGUUCUAUUUGAUUAAGAUAUCAAGAGAUUUAUCAAUAAUAAUAUAUUUUUUUUCUAUGUGAAAUACAUAUAAUAUUAACUGUGGAGUUAUCAAAGUUCUGGAGGUUUAAUUAUUUCUUCUUUUCAAGUUUUGUUUAUUUAAGGUUUUCUUUGUCUUUGUUAGGAAUUCCCCUUGGGUGGACCCAGCUGGGGAGUUGGAUUGAGGAAGUAAGCAGGCGAACUUGUGUUCUUCUAUGGACAGAGAAAAAAAAUAAAAUAAAAAAAUAAAAAAGGAGGUUAUUUGCAUUUGGAUGUCGUGGUUUGAGGGUACAACUACAAGCUCGAAAUUGUACAUAAUGUGAAAACUCCUGUGUCCAUUGCUGAGAACAGCAUAAAUGAUGGUGAUUUUCAAGUUGUGCCUGGUAUUCUACAGGAUGAAACAAGAAAGGAUCCAGGUGGUAUAUUGAACAAUAUCCCAAUCAUGUUGGUGGCAUCUUUAUUUAGUUAAUGGUAUUCAUUUGGUGGAAGCUGGUUGUUUAUGAUGUUUUUAAUUUUUUUUAACAUGAAGUUCGAUCAAAUACGUAUCUUAGUAUGUUUUGUUUGAGCUAAUUGGCAAAUGCGCUUUAAACAUGGUCACAUGGAUGCAGUUUUAUUUGUGAAAUGAUAAUAGUCGAUUACUUGGUCAGUAAGGUUUAUAUCUCUAACUUCAACAUCUUAUUGUAGUCUUUUAAAAUGUCAAAAGUUUAAUGCUUGAGAAAUUUUGGAAUGGAGACAUUCUAAACAAAGUUAAUAAUCCACAAGACUUGGUAAAACCGAUCAGAUGAUGCUUACGUACAUCAAUGCCUUCUUUAAGCCAUAUCCUAUUUUCAUUGAACGGGAUGUGCCAUCUAGUUUGGUUCUUUAAGCCUCCAAAUCCUAAACCUAGUCUCAAUUUAGAGCAAAUUUAGGGUGCAGGGCCUGCAUGCCUCCCCCUCCCCCUUCCACAAAUAGUAGUGACCUUGCUAUGCCUAUGCAUUGUCAAUGCCUCAUUUUCUAUGGUCUCCAAUGUAAUAUCUUAGUUUCAAUGUCUCUUUCCUUACUAUCUCCAAUGCAAUAGAUUGAUUUCAAUACCUCUUUACAACUAAGACCUCCAAAUUUUCUUGGUUCAAACCUACCAGAAUUUUUCUUCUCCUUUGCUUUCUAUCAAUAUUAGUUCCCCUAAUUUAAUAUAUACUUCUUUAUUACCUUCAACUCUACCUCUCUUUCUUUCUCUAAAAGCUUCCUCAAAGAUUUAAUUGCUUUCUUGCAUGUUUUAAGAAAACAAACAUGCUCAUAUUACAUUACCUCUACUUGAGAUCUACCUUAUACUCUACCUUCUUUCUUUACCUCCUAUAUCAUCUACUACAUUAGCUUCAAAAAUAUUAUUUAGUUUGAUACUAAAUAAGGCUCCUAAUCCUACUCUUCCUUCAACAAACUUUCUUUUUACAAGUUCCUUAAACUUUAUUUUUUAUUUUUUAUUUUUUGGAAAUUCGGGUUAGAAAGAUUCCAUUACUCUUACCUAAUAUUUCAACCAUCAAGUUGAAUCCACUUAUUGCCUAAAUCCAAGGAGUCUGCCCUCCACAAAAACAAGGAAAUUGAUCCCACAAUAACAAGGAGAUUGCCUUCCACAGAAACAAAGAGAUCUCCCUUCACAGAAGCCGAAUACAUUGCAAUCUAUUUUCUUUCUUGUAAGAUCAAAUCUUCAAUCGAGCUCCAUCUUAUGGGGGCAUAUUAGAGAAAUUUAAUAUUAUCCUUAAUUUACAUAUUAAUAUUUAUCUAUUUAUUAUAUAUUGAAUUAAAAUAGAAUAUAGAAUUUGAAUCAUAGUAGAAGUUUACUAUAAGAUUGAAUUACAAUAGUUAAUAGAGUUUAAAUUAUAAUAACUCAAAUACAUUUAUAUAUAUUUGACCUUACGAGAUUUUCUAUUUAUGUAUUUGAACUACAAUCCUUAUGAUCCUUAGGUCUCUAUACCUUCGUGAUGGGCUCCUUGACAUUUCAUAGGUUGUGCUACACAUGCAUUUGAAAUUUAGAGUGCAUUUGACAGUGAUUCUGGGAAGUGUUUUUGGCAUUUCUAACACUUAAAAUUUUUUAUUUUUCAAGUAUUAGAAAUGCUACAAACACUUUUGAAAAUUACUGUCAAACACACUCUUAGGAGCGCAUAUAGUAGAAAACUAGAAAUUGUGGUUUUUUUAGGAUUUACUGUAAUGUCAUUAGGAGGGUAGUAAGUUGAAACUGAGUAUGAAUAAAUAUUUCUUUCUUUGGGAUGUUCUUCUGGUAGGUGCUGAUGAAACUGUUCUUUUUACUGCCAAUGUCACAUAUCAGCCAGAAAUUGAAAAUUUCAGUCAAGGUGUCCUCGGUUUUAGUGGUGAGGAAAGCUAGAAAUUUUAAGGUGAAGUUCUGUUAAAAACCUUAAGUAGCUGGGAUAUCAGGCCUGUUUUGCUUGAAAAAAAAAGUUGCAAGAUAACUCAUAUGCCAAACAGGUUCUGAUAUUGUGAAUCUAUCGGCAGACAUCAGUAAUCUCAUCUUCUGAGAUGGAUGUUGGGGGUGCAUGUGGUGGUGGAGGGGCAAGGUUUCAUUUGGUUUAUUUUGUUGAUGGAUAUUGUCUAGCCCCCUGCGCCAAGUUUGAGGGGUGGUGGGUUGUGAUGGCCCUACAAUUACUAUUAAUUUCUUCCUCUUUUACCGAUUAAAGUGUCCGAACAGUCGAAGUUACCCUUAUGCAUGUCAACUUGAUCACUUACCUCUUCAAUGGAGUUUAUGCUGGUUCAUUUAGGAACUGAUUUUUAUUGUUAUGCAUUCUAUGCUGAUGUUUAGGCCUCUCCAUCAUCACUAUAUACAAAAAUUCUAGGUUGAUACUAUAGGUUGAGAUUUAUUUUUUAAAUAAAAAAUAAUAAAAAUAAAAAUUAUGGUGAUGUUUAGUUGUUUUAUGGAAAAUUUUAACAAGUUAUUUUUGGGCAAGUUUUCAAACAAAAAGAAAAGUAAAAGUUGUUUUGACAAAAACAUAUAGAAAAAAAAAAUCAUAGAAAAGAAAUAAUUUCCCCAUAUUCUAACUUUUUUUAAUUUUUCUCAAUGGGCAAAGGAAUAUCAAAUCAAGUUUGAGUAGGAUUUCUUAAUUUUUAAAAUAACUUACAAUUAAAAAAUUUUGGUGUUUUCAUUUUUGGACAAUUUUUUAUUAAGCAAAUGGACUCUGAGUCAUGCAAGAGAUAUGGUUGAUUAAUGGGUCAAACAAUUUUUUUAAAAUAAUUUAAAACUCAAAUACAUAAUCAAUGUCACAAAAUUUAUAAACAAAAAUAGGUUUAGAGAAGAUCUACACAUAAUUUUACUUUUCUAAUUUUAUUUUAUUUUAUUUUUUUGUUGGAAAAUAGUCUUCAAAUCAUGUAAGAUUUAAUAGGUUAAAUUUGUUAACAAUAAAUUUUAAAUUAUAAAAUAUAAUCUGGAACUUAAAAAUCAAUUCAAGUAAUGCUAAAAAAAAUCAAAUUUGGUAUAGAAUGACUACGUAAAAUUUUUUACAAAACAAAUGAAUUUUAAAUCAAGUGAGAUUUAAUGCAUUAGAUUUUUAUCAAAUAUAGUAAUUUUAAAAUUUAAUUUGGAACUCAACAAUAGACACAAUAAAUACCAAAAAAUAAUGAACCAAAAUUGGUUUGGAAUAACUCCACAACCUCUUUUUUUUUUUUUUGGUGCACACGAAUUUUCUUACUAGGUAUAUUGCUUUCAAAUUGAGAAAGAUUUACUAUUUAGAUUUUUUUUUUUAAUGAGUUUAAUGGUAUUUUAAAAUAAUUCAAAAUUUCAAAAAUUGACUAAUUACUAUUAUAAAUUCAUAAACCAAGACUAAUUCAAAAUGCAUUGGGGGCUAAGGGGGUUGAAAAUAGGGACAAUGGGAUGGGUUUGGGACAUGACACUCAUAUCUCAUUUCCAUUCCAAUUACAUAGUUAUCUCCCAUCCUUAUCCCAAACUUGUGUUGGAGCAAGUUGAUUUGUUCCCAUCUUUGUUGAUGAAAUGACUAAUAACCUCAUCCCCUCCUUAUCUUAGAUGUACAUUUUGUCAAAUUUGAUCAGGUAUGAUUGAUCCAAGCCCUAACCCUAAUUGGUAAUGACUGGAUACUACACCUAAUUGCAUUCUUCUUUCGUCGCAAAAUAAUGAGAUUAUAAUAAUCUAGCAAAUAAGAAAAAAUAGUAUGGAAGUUCAAUUUAACACCAUAACUAUCAAUAAUUUUAAGCUUAUAGAUGACUUAAAUGAUUAAAAACUAAUGCAAAAUACCAAAAAAAAAAGUUCAUAUAAAGAAUUCACAAGAGAACAAAAUGAACAAAAACCAAAUAUGAACAUGGGUCAACAUUAGUUAUGGAUUUGGAUUCCUUUCAAGGCCAAUCUUUGAACCAAGACUUCAUCAAAUCUACUACUUCAAAGGCUUUUGUGUUCUUCUUGGGUUGUGCUCUCAAACAAAGACUUCAAGGUGAUGCUCUAGAUGAUUGCAUUACACAUAUUUAGGGUGGAGAGAUUGGAGAAGCUUGAAGAUGCCAACGAUGGGUACAAUUGAGUGGUCAAUAAGAACAAUGUAGCCUAUGACUAGUUUGAUGUCGUGGUACAAGAGUUUUAGGCAUUGAGGUUAAAGCAAGAGCAACAUGGAAUUGAUUUUGGAGUCUUUCAAUUAGUGUAAAGGAGGAAGAAGUGGUAUUGAUUCUAGAAAUAGGGUUUUAGGUGGUGCGUUAGAGGAUGAAGAAGAAGAAAAAGAAGGAUCUGUUGGAAUUAGUGUGAGUGUGAAGAGAGAAGUAUAUAAAUAAGGGGAAGUAAAAGCAAAGUUCUAAAAGCUAUAUUUUUUUUUAUUGUUGGUGUAUGGUUGCAUGAUUAUCCCUAUAAAUAAUAGGAGUUUUUUUGGUAUUCUACUAGUAGUUGAAGGAUAAUUUCAUAAAUUUAUAUUUAGAGUGGGGUGGGGUGAGUUGUGACAAAAUUCAUACCCGUCCUAAACCUUGGUUCAGAUUUUUAAAAUAUCCUCAAACUUAUCAUAUACCCAACUUUUAUAUUUCAUACUUGUCUUGAUAGAGGCAGGUUAGGCCGGGUUACUUGAGUAACCUACAUAAUUGUCAUCCCUAGUUGAAAUACACUUUUUUGGCAGUGGCCACCAACUGAGCUAGAAGCUUGAUCGAUUGACCUACAAGAUUAGUUCUCAUCAUUUUAAAAAAAGUUUUGGCCUUGGUUGUGAGUGCAAUUGAAUCUAAACUGGCAUUUCCUUAAUGCAUCUACUUCAAUCCUAAAUUUCUUACUUCCUAAGCCUCAAUUGUUGUUAGGAUUUUGGAAAGCCCAUUUCCUUAAAUUGUAAAUUUAAGAAAAAAUAAAAUAAAAGUGAGACAUUUCUUGAUUGAAUAUUGUUAAAGGUCCCUUGGCAUUAAGACUUGGUUGAAGCCUUGGAAGAUUAGUGGAACUCUCAACUUGUGUUUGAAUCUUGAGGAGAGUGGACGUAAGCCAAAAUUUUGUCAAACCAUUAAACAAAUUGAGUUUGAAUCCUCAUUUCUUGAUUUCUUAUUUAUUUGCUUUUUCUUAUUAUUACUUGAAUUGUCAUUUGCAUUCAUUAAUGUUAAAAUUGGUUAUAAUUAACCAACACUAAUUCUCUUUCCCCUUCCCUUUCUUGGGUGUAAACCUAGGUUGGAUUAACUAGAUUAAUUUAUAAAAUCUAUUAAGAUGGUAAAAGAAUAAUUAUUCUUAACACACAUAAGAUCAUCUUCAAUCAAAUGACUCAUUGGCUAAUAUGUUGAAUUUGCUUAUUACUUGCAACUCAAAAUUGUGUUCUAGUUGAUAUGUCAAGUCCCCAGUGUAUGGACAUUAAAUUUGUAGUACGUGAUGGUAAUUAGAUGGUCCAACUCCAAGAAAGUGAUUGAAAACUAGUUCAAGAAAGGUGCAAAAGGGAAUUGUUUUGGUAUUUUCGUUUUUAUUCUUGAAGGUGGCAGAGCUAAAAUUUGUGAAAUCAAGCAAAACAUACUGAAAUUACAUUGAAAGAAAGAAAAUGGGAGUUAAUGUCUUGCAGUAGAUGAUAAGGACUUCAUGCAUGUAGUAUGACCCAUGUCUUGGACUGAUGCCAACUCACGGUUACACUUAUACCCUUGGUUCUCUCUUUACUACCUUGGCUAACCUAGAUCAGGCUAUGAGAUAGGCUCCUCACCACACCAUUACUUGCCCAUUAAUUAGAGACAUUUUCAAGCACUGAGGUAACAUGGUGACACCAAGAGGGUUUAUUCCUCGCCCUCCUCGCCCUCAACAAGUCUAGACUUGGUCUCAAAAAAAUGGAGAAAAAUGAGGUGUCGUUAUGUAGAAAUACAACAACCAUGCCUUCCUCAUUACUUUGAUUCAGAAUGUGAAGGUGAAAUUGAGAAACAGAAACUCUUGAAACCAAAAUGAAAAUUGAUACUUUUACGAAGAAUUACAACAACAUUGGAGGAAGACUACAUUCUUCCUCUUUAUUCCUACAUUUCUACACUACUUCUACUCCACUCCAUAUUUCUACAUACAUCUUUAAUCAGUCUUCCCUCCUUUAUAUAGAGCCAUCUUCACACAAAUUCCGCAAGGUAGAAAAGAGGAAUGAAACUUGGAGCAAGGUUCGACUACUGGCUGUAGCUUGUCAAGGCUGGAAGUGAACCUUUUUUCUUGGCUUUUCUGGGCAUGGGUAGUAACUUGUGGGUUCCUUUUUGGGAUACAAAUGGCUAGAACAUGUGGCACUAUCUUGUUGGAUGAUGUGUCAAGCAUGUGGCAGCCAUCUAGUGGCGAUUAUGUCAAUUUUGGGAUGGAGAGUUGGCAUCCAAUUGCAAAGAAAUAUGACGUCUACCAACAGGCAAUGUAAACCUAUGUAGAUCAUAUGAAGAUAGAGAGGAAAAAUAUAGAAAUGGAUAUAUACCUAGAACUAGCUUUUUAUUAAAUGAAACGGAGAGCCAACAAUGAAGGAAAAUAAAUUUUUUUGGCUUAUAUCAAAGAGUUCACAUUGUGCUACCCUAGGUUUUCUUAAAACUUACUUUUAUGAUAACAAAAAAAAAAAAAAACAUUAUUGUUUAAUCCUUUGUUUUAAACGCAUGUUUAGCAAGUUAUAAAAUGUAAAAAUCUUUCUAAGUUCAAAUAUGAAGAUAUGACAUCAUUUCAAGCAAGAUAGUCUCUAGGAAUUAAUGUAAAGCUAAAUUAAGGUGAAAUUAAAUUAGUUCAAUGCAUUAAUUUAAGAAACUUGACCUAUCAAAAGUACAAAAUUAGAUGAAAUCCAUUUCAAUGGUUAAAAUGAUCAAAAUCAAACUUUUUCUAAGUAUUUUUUAAAAGUAUCAAUAUUGAAAGACAAUUUUAUAUUUAGUCAGAGUUUGGACAAAACCAAAAAGCACACAAAAUCCAAGCGACCAUCUCUAGCUUGGAUGGUCGCUUGAUCUCUAGCUUGUGUACUUGGAAAGCAACAUCGAGAUGAUAUAUAUAUAUAUAUAUAUUUUAUAUAAUAUUGUUUGUCCAAAUUCCCUAAAAAUUAGGCCACCACAUGUUCAUAAUUCUCCCUUCUUGAAUUUGAAAACUCGGACAAUUGGACAAUGCGACACCUAAGUCCGGUUUCUAAAUGCUAAAGUGAAAGGGUAGGUAUGGACCAUUGAAAUGUGAUCACAACUUUUCUCUGUAGCCAUGUUGUCUCUUUUUUCUUUUGCAUGAUUUUCUCACCUUAACAGAAUCAUAGACUUGUUUAAUCUCUAAAUGGGAUUAAUUUCAUCCAGCUUUAAGCUACUAUAUUAUAUCUAGGUGGAGGACUUUUAAGAGUGCAACCGACAUAGAGCACAUGCAAGUGGGUAUAUGGGACAUGAAAUUUCUUCUUAUAAAGAUUGCAUGAUUUUUAUAUUAGAGUUGUUGGGGCGCAAUGUAUGUAGCUUGUUUUGCAGUUAAAUUAAUUGGAUAAGUAGACAUUGGCGUUUCUAAAUCUACUGUGAAGUGCUUCAUGUACGUGUGAAGUAUUAGAAAUUUCUUUCUUGGCAACUUGUUUUUUCUUUGCGGUCUACUGAUAGGUUUGACUAAAAUUAUAUUCCCUGUCAUGCUAAUUAAUUUUCACGUGCAUGCUCAAAAGAAGAGUAUGACCUUAGUGCACCAAAAUCACUUUGAUUAAUUUGUGAUAGGUUUUUGUGCAUCAUGACAUUAGCCUUAUUCAUUUAGAUAAUGUUUAGUUUUUAGAAAGUAUUAAGAAAAGGAAAAUAAAUAUUAAGAAAAAUAUUCUUAUAUUUGAUUGUAUUAUGAAAAAUGUCAUAAAAAAAUCAAAUAUAAUUUAAAUUAAUUAAUAAUUUAUACAUUUUCAAAUUAUUUAAUCUUUAUAUUGAAGAUAUAAUAUAAAUGAAAUGAGUUUUAAGUAUUAUAUAAAAGUGAUUUAUUGAUCUUGCAUAUAUGUAUUUCUUUUUUUUUUCUUCUAUUUUUUUUCUUUAUUUUAUUUUCCUUAUGUUUUCCUCAACAUUUUCCGGAACCAAACAUAGCCUUAGGAAAUCCACAAUUACCUUCAACUGAGUAUAUUCGGUUGUUUUAGCAAUGUUAGGCUGCUAACUUGUGUUGGUACGAACCUGUUAAGCCUAAAGAUGUAAUUAGUUAGGAUAUUCUUUUCCCUCUAGUCUUGUAGCUCCACGUGUAUAGUUGGUUAGGACCUCAUUGUAUAUAAUGCCUGCCCUGUUAUUGUUGAAGACAACAGAGAUAAAUAAUAUUAACAUUUUUCCUCUCAUCUCUCUUUGUUUCCCUCUGUUUUCAUCUCCUCUCUCAUCUUGGUAUCAGAGCCUCCAUGGAUUCUUUCAAAGAAACCUCCGAAUCACCUUCUGCUAGCAUUGUUAAUGUGCAAAACCCAUUAUCUCAGUCAAACAACCUUCCUUCACCAGCAGCCACACCCUCUUUUUCUUUCUUGUCUAUGAAUCAACCUCUCACAGUGAAGCUGGAUAAUGGAAACUACCUCAUCUGGAAGAAUUAGCUUCUGAAUGUCAUCAUUGCGAACAGACUCGAUGAUUUCAUUUAUGGAACUCGACCCUGCCCUCCUUGAUUUCUCAAUCUGCAACAACAAACCCUCACUCCAGAGUACUCGGUCUAGCAGAGAUACAAUCGACUUCUAAUGAGUUGGCUGUACGCAUCCUUGUCCGAAGAUAUAAUGACUCAGAUUGUUGGGUAUUCAACAACUGUGGAGAUUUGGAACGUCCUUAAUCAGAUUUACUCUGCCUCUUCAAUGGCGUGGGUUACCGAGCUUCACACCAAGCUUCAAACGCUCAAGAAAGAUGGACUCUCAGUUGGUGAAUAUAUUCAAAGGCUCAAAUCCAUUUGCAAUAGUCUUGCAGCAAUAGGAGAACUAGUUUCUGAGAAAGACCAGCUUAUCUAUUUGUUCAAUGGAUUAUAUUGUGAGUAUAAUUCUUUUGUUACCUCCAUUCAAAAUCGAUCUGACCAACCAACUAUUGAGCAAAUCCAUAGCCUAUUGCUUAGCUAUGACUUUCGGCUUGAACAACAAAACUCUGUUUCUCUCCAUUAUGCCCAAGUCCGUAUGGCUCAUCUGAACAAGAAACCUUAUAAAUCAACUCCUCAACCUACAUUCAAUCAUAUUCACAUUCAACCUAGAUACUCUUCUCCACCUUUUAAGCCAACCACUAGUCAAUAUCAACCCAGGAUUUUGGGCAAACCACAACCACAACCAUGACAGCCUCAACCUCAAUGGAAACCACAUUUUUCAAUCCAGAAUCAAAAGCCUCAGUGCCAAAUUUGUGGUAAAUUUGGACACACUGCUCUUAUUUGCUUCCAUUGCACAAAUUUGAACUAUUCACCCCAACCUUCUCCUAAAUCUUUCAAUACUGUUCUCACCACAAAUUCCCAGCUCCCUAAUCCUCCAAAAUUUUCUUACCCUACAAUGGCUCAUCCUGCUGCUACGCAUAACACGAUUCCUGAUACAAAUUGGUACAUGGACUCAGGUGCUACACAUCACUUUACUCCGGACAUCAACAUGCUUGACACUGUGACACCAUUUAGUGGUUUAGAACAGGUGACAGUUGGGAAUGGUAAGCAACUCUGUAUCUCACAUCUUGGUACUGCAAAACUACCAUCCUCGUAUUCUCCUCUUGUUCUACAUCAGGUAUAUCACACUCCAAAAAUUUCAAAUAAUCUUAUUAGUGUUAGAAAAUUGUGUUCUGAUAAUAAAGUUUUUGUUGAAUUUUAUGCCACUCAUUUUCUUAUCAAAGAUCAAGUUUCGAAGAGAGUUCUCUUUCAAGGUCAACUUGAUAAUGGCUUAUACAAAGUUCAGUCGUCAUGCUCUCCUUCUACUAUUUCCUUUCAUCCUCAAGUUUUCAUAGCCAACAUCAAGGAUCAAAAUUUGUGGCACAAGAGACUAGGCCACCCAGCUUUAUCUGUUAUUAAUCAAAUCUUGGAUUCUUGUAACAUUGCUCGAACACAGAAAAUUGGUUUUAAUUUUUGUAGUUCUUGUCAAUUAGCAAAAAGCCACAGGCUUCCUUUUUCUCUGUCUCCAUCCAUUGCAGAAAAACCUUUUGAGUUAAUUCAUACAGACCUAUGGGGUCUUUCUCCUGUUCGCUCUAUUUCUGGUGCUCGUUAUUUUUUACUUUUCAUUGAUGAUCAUACUCGUUUUACUUGGUUUUAUUUGCUCAAAACAAAAGAUGAAGCAUAUCCUACUUUUCUCAAGUUUCAAGCUCUCAUUGAAAAUCAAUUUAAUACCAAGAUUAAGGUUGUCCAAUCUGAUUGGGGAGGUGAGUUUCGAUCUCUCUCCAUACUGUUUUCAAAUAUGGGCAUUGUCUAUCGUUUAUCAUGUCCAUACACCUCACAACAGAAUGAGUGGGUUGAGCGAAAAAAUCACCAUGCGGUUGAAAUGGGAUUGUCCUUUCUUGCUCGCUCGGGUAUGCCCUUAUCUUAUUGGCCUUAUGCCUUUCAAACUGCCACUUACCUUAUUAAUCGUCUCUCUACCCCUGUGCUGCACCAUCAAUCCCCUUACUUCGCACUCUAUCACAAAUUCCCAGCUUAUACUCAUCUUAAGGUCUUUGUUCCUCUUGUUUUCCAUAUUUACGCCCUUAUAAUACCCAUAAACUCCAAUACAGGUCACUGGAGUGUGCUUUUCUUGGUUGCAGUUCACACCACAAAGGUUAUCUAUGUCUUGACAUUCAUUCUAGCAGGGUGUAUAUUUCUCGCCAUGUGAUUUUUAAUGAAGAUUCUUUUACAUUCAAGAAUUUGAAAUCUUCUCUCUCUUAGUCUAUUUCUUCUUCCUCUUCUUUAUUAGUUCCUCUGUUCAUUUCCUUGCCUCCCCUCUCCCCAUAUCCUCCUAUUUCUCCAUCUAUAUCUCAUUCUUUUCUCUCUUCUUCUUCUACCUCUAGUACUUGUUCCCCUCUCGUUGCUCCUACCUCUCUUCCUCCCUCUUCACACUUUGUGUCCCAUCUAUUCCACCUCCUUCUCCACCUUCUUCGAGUGUGGACCUGCUUGUACCUUGUGUGAAUACAAAUUUACUUACUUUUUCUCGCACUCACAAUAUUCAUCCUAUGGUGACCAGAUCUAAGGGUUUGUAUCUAUAAACCUAAGUUGCUAUUGAGUGUCUCCAUAGGUUCUCUCACUAAGCCUACUUCCUUUCUUCAAGCUAUUAAAGAUCCUUCAUGGAAGCAAGCCAUGGAAUUGGAGUUUGCUGCCCUUCAACACAACAAGACCUGGCAUCUAGUUCAUUCACCUUCCUCAGGCAAAGUAAUUGGUUGUAAAUGGGUCUAUAAGAUAAAGCUUUAGCCUGAUGGCUAAUUGAGAGAUACAAGGCCCGCUUAGUAGCUUAGGGUUAUCAUCAAACUGAAGGUAUUGACUACUUCGAAACAUUCAGCCUGGUUGUCAAGCCUUCUACUACCGUAUUGUGCUCAGUCUUACUUUUUCCCAGAAUUGGUGUAUUAGACAGCUGGAUGUUCAUAAUGCCUUCUUACAUGGUGACUUAGCUGAAGACGUUUUCAUGGAACAACCACCUGGAUUUGUUGAUCCUCUCUAUCCUACUCAUGUCUGCAAGUUGGAUAAGUCUCUCUACGGUCUUAAUAGUCACCUCGGGCUUGGUAUACUAAGCUGAGUACUUCUCUACUACACUUGGGAUUUGUUACUUCUAAGAAUGACUCUUCCUUAUUUAUUUGUCAUUCGUCUCAUGGGUUACUUCUUGUUCUUGUCUAUGUGGAUGAUAUAAUCGUCACUGGGAGCCACUCUCCUCAAGUUACUCACCUUAUCCAAUAGUUGCAUCAUCAGUUUUCUUUAAAGGAUCUUGGUCAUUUACACUAUUUUCUGGGCUUGGAGGUUCAUCACACCCCUACUGGUAUUCACCUCAGCCAAGCAAAGUAUAUCACUGAUCUCCUUACCCGGGCGGCUAUGUUGGAUGCCAAGCCAUGUCCCACUCCUAUGUCCUCCAACACAUAUCUUUCUCUUCAUGAUGGAGUGGCUCUUGAAAAUGGUUCAGAUUAUUGAAGUUUUGUUGGUGCCCUUUAGUAUUGUACCAUGACACGCCCAGAUAUAGCUUUUGCAGUAAAUAAAGUGUGUCAAUUCAUGCACCAUCCCUCUGAUGUUCACUGGCAGGCUAUAAAACGUAUUCUCCAGUACUUAAAGGGCACAUCUCAUUUUGGUCUCUUCCUACAGCCUUCCUAUGACUUCAACAUCACUUGCUAUACAGAUGCCGACUGGGCUUCCUGCCUUGAUGACAAGUGUAGCACCAGUGGCUACUGCCUCUUUCUUGCCUCUAAUCUGGUUUCUUGGUCAUCUUCCAAACAAAAAGUGGUCUCCCGCUCCAGCGCCAAAUCAGAGUACCGAGGGGUAGCAAAUGGGGCUGCUGAAAUUGCUUGGACUGAAUCUCUUCUUUGUGAACUUUCCACCCACUCGACCUCCCCUCAUUGUCUGUGACAAUAUCAGUGCCACAUACUUAGCUGUCAAUCCUAUUUUGCAUGCCCGCACCAAAACAUGUGGAAAUCGACUAUCACUUUGUCUCGGAACGUGUUCUUCAACGCUCUCUCUCUCUCCAGUUUACACCUUCGGAUGAUCAACUUGCUGAUUGCAUGACCAAGCCUCUCUCCACCCAACGUUUCAUCACUCUACGCUCCAAGCUCACUGUUCUCACUAGACCAAUGAGCUUGAGGGGGGAUGUUAAGCCUAAAGAUGUAAUUAGUUAGGAUAUUCUUUUCCCUCUAGUCUUGUAGCUCCACGUGUACAGUUGGUUAGGACCUCAUUGUAUAUAAUGCCUGCCCUGUUAUUGUAGAAGACAACAGAGAUAAAUAAUAUUAACAUUUUUCCUCUCAUCUCUCUCUCUGUUUCCCUCUGUUUUCAUCUCCUCUCUCAUCUGAACCAAAUGAUCCAUGUUAACCUUGGCUUGGUUUGAUUUGGCUCUAUCUUAGAGAGCUCAAGGAUCACGUCAACUCUGGUUUCUACUAUUCAGGUCCAUUCCCAUAUGAACUGGUUCAAAUUUGAGAAAAUGGUAACAGACCUUUAGUGAUGUUGGUUUGGAGCCAGUUGCCAAACCCGCCCUGAGCUUUACCACUAAUGUCAAGGGAGAAAGCCUUUUGAACAAAAACAAUAGCUUCAAGAGACUGAAUCGUGGAUGAAAUCUGAUCCACAUUUCUUCUCAUUUUGGAAACAAAUGAGAACUUAACUAAGAAGAUUCUACGGCCUCAUAGUGCUUUUCCUGAUCUAAGGUUGGUUCGUUUCCCAAAUUGUGAGAUGCACGGGCCAGACUUCAGAACUCUCACGCUCAGGAGUGUAUCCACGUGGUGGACAUAAGAUGGUGGCUUAAGAUCUGGUGUCGGUGGCUUUACUUUACUAGGAGAGUAGUGUGUCUUCAUCUCAUUCACUGCCGGAGGGUGGCGUAAGCAGUGACGCUAAGGUGGGGCAUAGUCAAUAUCAUUUGCAUUUGACCAUUAUAGUUUUCUCCCGGCUUGAAAGUAACCUUAUCGUGAUAAAGGAUUACUAGCACUAGUUCAGAUGACAGUCAUGUUAAAUUCGGACCAUGUUUGUGUCACAUUAUCAGCAACCAUGUGUUUAUGGUUCAUGCUUUCUGCAACUGAAAUUGAAAUUGAUAUAUAACCAGGUGAACUUCAAUCUAAAUUCUGGAAGUACUCAUGUGAGCGAUGGUGCCCAUCUGCAGAGUCCAUCAAUUGAAAAAUGGAGUGAGUGUAUCUAUAAGAGGGAAGGCUUGGCAAAUGUCCAGUUUUCUGGGAAUUCAACAAGGAUCUAAAAUAGAUUGUUUUCUUUGCUGAUUUCAAUGGUUGAAAUUUGAGAAGAUUGUGUCCCACAUAACACAACUAUUACUGGUCCUUCUGUUGCAAUUUAUCCUCUAAGGCUCUAGCAUGUCUUCCAAUUCCCACUUCCCUGUUACUCCAGGAAAGCUAUUUCUGUCAUUGUGAAGAAGAAAAGAGAAUGUAGAUAUCGAUGCUUUUAAGUGACUGGAGCAUUCAUAUCAGGUGGUCUGCAGCCAUAUAUGCCACUUUGUGAAGAUUGGAACAGUCAAUCACUAGGCUAUAUAUUAGUGUGGCCCAGCCACUUUAAUCAAGGACAAUUCUUCAUACUUAAAAGUCAAAUUCUGCCUUUAGUCUCAUUAUAAAUUGCUGUUUAAAUAUUAAGCAAACAUUUGUUUAAUGCGAUUAAGACAGUACUAACUCAAUACUUGUUCUAUUUUUGGAUGGAAAUGCUUGAUGGUUUCAUCAUUGGAUGGGAUAAAGGUGCAUUCAUGAUUAUGAAUACUUGUAGUUAUAUUUUCAUUCUCUUUUUUCUCAAUGAGACUUGUUGGCACAAUUUUUCUGUUCAGAAACCUACCUCUCCAUGGAAAAUAAGUUGUGAUUGAUAGUACUGGAUAUAUUCAAGAAAGCUAAAUAUAGAUAGCACAAAAUAUUAUCGACAUAAAUAGCAUUAACAGCGUACGUAUGUCUCAGUGCUCAUCAGCCAUAAGCAUGGGGCAAACACUUACGAUGAGCAACUUACGUCAAAAUUCCAGAAUAGGACAUAGAAGUGACAGAUCUAUAUAUAUAGAACACUGCAUAAGAGUCACAAGAAAGGAAAUUACGGGUGCAUAGCAGCUCUUAUUUCACAUACUACUCAUACUGAUCAAAGUCACUCAGUUGGGAUGGGUGGGAGUAGGAGGUUUGUGGGGUGGCUUGUGCGGAGGAGUUGGCAGCUUCUUUCCAGGACCUGGUGGCUUCUCUCCCUUAGGUGGUUUGCCAACUGGGGUUGGUGGCUUGUAUGAGUCUUCAGCAUUCUCUGCAGGAGGGUGACCAGGGUUGUGACCAUAAUGUGGUGGCUUCUCUCCCUUAGGUGGUUUGCCAACUGGGGUUGGUGGCUUGUGUUCUGGGAGUGGCUUCUCCCCCUUGGGAGGUUUUUCCAAUGGGGUUGGUUUGUGUUCAGGAGGUGGCUUCUCCACUGGAGGCUUGUGUUCAGGAGGUGGCUUCUCCACCGGAGGCUUGUGUUCAGGAGGUGGCUUCUCCACCGGAGGCUUAUGCUCUGGUGGUGGCUUCUCCACCGGAGGCUUAUGCUCUGGUGGUGGCUUCUCGAAUGGGGGAUGCUUAGGGUAAUCAGCAAGUGAGGGGGCGGUGAGAACCACCAGGCCAAGCAAGACCACUAGCAAGUAUGUAGGAGACAUCUUUGGGUUUAGACUCAGAUGGUGCAAAACUAGGAGAAUUGUCUUUUAUAGCGGAUCGCACCCAAUAAUGAAAUGACACGUGUCUUUAUGACCCAUGUGUAAUGGGGUCGAUUUGGGUCCUACAGUGUUGAAAACUUCGACAUCCACUUUUGGCCUUUUGCUUUCUCUACAGCCGCCUUGCUUUUUCCCUCUUUCCUUUUGUUUUCCUCCUGCCCCAUUCUAUCAACUAAACACAAUUAUGUAGUUGUUUAAUUCUUAAAUGAGAUAUUAUCCGUCAAUCGUAUCAUAUUUUAUCAACAGAGAACGGAGUGCAAUGUGGCAAUCCAAAGAAAGAAGAUCCAUAAUGCAGCUGUAAUUUUAUCGUUUACUUUUAUCUCUUGGACCACUGCAUUUUUGUUAAGAGGUGCAAUAAUACACGUCUUUAUCUGCCAUUCAAUGUUUACAGUAAAGAGAGGGCACAAAACUCUUCACUGCUCUGCAUGUGUCCCAAAAAUGCAAUUGGACAAAUUAUGAUUUGCAUGCUAAAAAGAGGCAAAUGAGGUUAAUUCGCACCAUAAUUAUUUUGUUUUCUGGACCCCGGGGCCCUUUGGUUGGUUUGGGGGUCAGAAAAUGAACAUCAUAGGGGGUUUUUCCCUUAUGUGCAUUUGUAUCUGAUGGCUUUAACUCGCCUUGUUACUACAAAGAAAUUGUCACAUAUAGGAACUUAUUCCAGGCUGAGUAUCUCCGCAUAGACCCUAUAAAAGAAGACAAGUCAUAAUGAACAUCUAACCUUUGUUCAAUUUGAUUCAAUGCCCCAUUGUGUCCACCUCACAAAUCUGAAUUAUUAUAUCCAUUGAAUACAUAAAUUAAUGAAGAAAAUAUGAAACCCAAGAUACAUCUCUGCACAACCUCAACCCUGGUUGCUAUGUUUCCCUUCUAUUCACAUGAGGAUAUUGAUUACGGAAUAGGGAAACCUAGCAAGGGUUUACUCGGCUCUGGUUUGAUGCUAAUUGCCAAACUUGCAACAAGCCCUGAGUUUGAAGCUCACAGAAGAUGUUAUACAGGCAGGGAAAAACCUUCAGAGUUCGCUGCCAAAGAUAAUUAUUAAGGAGAUAUCACCAAGAGAAUUCCAAGGAGUCUGAAUCAAAGACAAAUUGGUCGUUCGUGGAGGUUCUUACUUUCUUUUGGGUAUAACUCACUGAGGGCACUGUCUUUUUUAUUUUCAUUUCACAUUUAGAGUUCUGUUCUGGAAACAUAUAAAAGGAGCAUCAGUUUGUUCUUGGGUAACCCAUAGUCGUGAGUGGGUCCAUUUGCAUGCUACUUAGUUGAAAAGUUGGACCAUUUGCUCCGACGCCUACCUCCUGGAUUCCAUGCUCGGAUAAAACAAGAAUAAAAAAAUAUUUAUAAUUUACAAAUGGGGGAAAGAAAAAAAUGUCAACAACAAACUAGGAAAAAAGAGUAGUAAAAUUCAUGUCACAUGCUAGUGAGAGAAGGGGUUGUUACACUCACUCGAAGUUCUUUUCAAAAUAUCGCAUGGUAUUUUAUUUUAUGUGUGAGCGCAGUUGUGAAUGGAACGUGCAAAAGUCCAAAUUGGUGACCUUUAAUAAAUAUUUAAAACAAAAAACGAAAAAAAGGAGGGAAAAGGGAUCAGAAAAGAUAAAACAAUGUGUACAAAAGCUCAAUUAGUUUGCAAAUUACUGUUUGGAUUUUGAUAGUAUUUUAUUUGAUGUAAAAGAGAAUUUAAGAUAUUUCCGAAACAAAAGCAUUAGUUUGCUCCAUGUCAAUUUCGGCAUUUCUCAUAUGUUUCACACAUACACAGAAGAGCAUCGUUUUUUAAAGCAUGCAUUUAUGUUGGAUUAAUUUGGAUUUUGUGGGAACUGGGGCAAGGAUCACAUGGAAGAGAGGUUGACUUUUUUCAGUACUUCAAUGGUUGAGACAGGUGAAGGCCUGAUUGAUACUGAAGCCUGAAAUUGCGACUCCGUCAUUUGUCAAAACAUAUGACAGCUUCCAUGCUCUCGUUUGGUUGCAUUGUUCUGUGGUCAUGCAUACAUGCCACUUAGUGAUCAGUCUGUAACUGUCAAUCAUUGGGCUUUGACUGAACAACAUCAGCCAUGUAUAAAUACUUGCAAAUCAAACGGUCUUCUUCCUCCCAUAAGGAAUUUCGGUUUAAUUAUGAAGCAUGCAUUUGGCUGACCAUCAUAAACCACUUCUUUAAAUUGAUGAAUGAUAGUUUUUCAUUCAUUCUUUCAUUCGUUCAUAUACAGAGUAUAUAUAGAGGGUAAUCAUCAUUCUAAGAAUGGGAAAGAAUGAUACAAGGAAAUAAUGAUAUAAAGAAAUAACAACUAAUAUUCUAAUAUCUCAACUUUCCUAAUAUCUAAACAUUCCUAAUAUCUCAACACUAAAUGAUAUAAAGAAAGAAUGAUAUAAGGAAAGCAUUCCUAAUAUCUCAACACUCCUCCUCAAGUUGGUGCAUAGAUGUCAAACAUGUCCAACUUGUCUAAAAAUUUUGAGAACAGUUGACUUGAGACAUCUUUGGUGAGGAUAUCGGUCAAUUGAUCUUCUGAUCGAAUCUUAGGCAAUUCCACAAUCUUAUCAUCCAACUUUUCCUUAAUGAAAAAUCUAUCCAUCUCGACAUGCUUUGUACGAUCAUGUUGUACUAGAUUAUGAGCAAUGUCACAUGCUGCUUUAUUGUCACAAAACAAUCGGAUUGGUUGCCUAGAUAGGUAACCUAAAUCCUAUAAGAGGAGUCUUAGCCAUAAUGCCUCACAAAGUCCUAAAGUCAUACCUCUAAAUUCCGCUUCUGCACUUGAACGAGCGACGACAUUUUGCUUCUUACUUUUCCAUGUCACAAGAUUACCACCUACAAAGGUAAAGUAACCAGAUGUAGAUCGCCUAUCAUCCACUGCACCGACCCAAACAGCAUUAUACUUCUAUACUCUGAUGAUCAACAUUUUUAGCGAACAAAAUUCCCUUCCUAGGAGCAUUCUUCAAAUACCUCAAAAUACGCAUGACUACAUUCAUAUGUUGCUCUCCAGGAUUAUGCAUGUAUUGACUCACUACACUCAAUGUAUAAGCAAGAUCUAGUCUUGUAUGAGCUAAGUACAUUAAUCUCCCCACAAGUCUCUGGUAUCUUCCCUUAUCGAUUGAUACUUGAUUAGGCUCAACACACAAUUUCAGACCUUCUUCUAUUGGUGUAUUAAUAGGUUGACAUCCCGACAUUCCAGUUUCCUGUAGAAGAUCUAAGGCAUACUUUCUUUGAGACAGAAAAAUUCCUUCACUUGAUCGAGAAACUUCAAUCCCAAGAAAGUAUUUCAGACGACCAAGAUCUUUCAUUUCAAAUUCUCUAGAUAGAUACUUUUGCAAAGCUUUUCUUUCUUCAGGAUCAUUUCCUGUAACUACAUGUCAUCCACAUAUAUCAUAAGUGUCGUAAUCUUACCAUGUUGCUUUUUCAAGAACAAAGUGUGAUUUGAAUUACUUUGAUGAUAGCCAAAAGCUCUCAUUGAUUUUGUGAACCUUCCAAACCAUGCUCUCGGGGAUUGCUUCAACCCAUACAAUGACUUCUUCAAUUCGCACACCUUCUGACAUUGCUUUUCUGACACCAUGCAUCCUGGUGGAAGAUCCAUAUAUACUUCUUCAGAUAAAUCGCCAUGCAGAAAGACAUUUUUUACAUCGAACUAUUGUAAUGGCCAAUCUAGGUUUGCAGCUAAAGACAAUAAUACUCGAACUGUGUUGAUCUUAGCUACAGGUGCAAAUGUCUCUGUGUAGUCAAUUCCAUAAGUUUGAAUGUACCCACUAGUCUUGCUUUAAAUCGUUCAAUACUACCAUCUGCCUUGUACUUCACAGUAUAGAUCCAACGACACCCAACUAGCUUCUUUCCUGGUGGACAUUCUACGAGUUCCCAUGUUUCAUUUUUCUGCAAUGAUUUCAUCUCUUCAUUCAUGGUUGCUUUCCACUUUGGAUCAGCUAAAGCUUCCUGCACACUAUUAGGAAUAGCUACAGUAGAUAAUUGAUUUACAAAUGACUUAUUUGAUUCAGACAAACCAUGGUGUGGACCCGCAUUUUUCACGUGCGCCUCUACUCGAUCGGCGAGACUCGCUUUCUAUUUGUGAAAAAUUAAUUUUAGAAAAGUUGGAGUCGCCACCUAUUUUAUUUUUAUUUUGAAGGGAAAAUAAAACAAGAAAGAAAAACCCUAAAAAGUGACUCCAUAGUUUUGGAAAAAGCAUGUCUUUGGGAAACCUGAGUCUAGGUCCGGGGAUCAUGUUACUUAUUGGGAAGGUACCUCUAGGAGGUAGCACCCCUCUAAGCCUUAUGAAGGUCUCUACUAACUAAAUUAAGGGAAGUGUGGCAAUAAAUCGAUUGAUCAUAGAUACCUAAGUAGACUAGGUGAUUUUAAAGUGUGGCAUGUCAAACACAAUCAAAUUGCAAUAAAGGAGAGUUAGGGCGCGUACCUGAACCGCUUCUCAAGCGCUAUCAUAAAACAUCAAUGGUUAAUUUAAAUAAUAUAUCAUCCAGCAUGUAUUUUAUUAGAAAUAAUCAAACAAUGAAACAUGUAUAUCAGAACACUCAAGCAUUAUUAGACAUAAGCAUUAUUUCACUAUUCACAGAAUUCAGAAAGUAGGUGAUAGAGGACAUACCUGGAUAGCAUAGAUAAUUUGUAAUGUGCUUCCUCAAGUUGUAAGGGGUUAGAUAACAAAUAAUAAAAUAUAGAAAUCCUAGCAUGCUCGUUAUCUAAUUAGCAUAGCAAAAGUGAUCACAGUAUACAGAAUCAUCAAUUAUCACAUACAUCUUGUAUAUAAUUCCUAAAAAAAAUAGAUAGACAUGAUUUCAACAAGUGUCAAAUGUGGCAACAAAAAUAAAUUUUGAAAAGAUUUUCUUAUGUAGGGGUUUCACCAAUUCCCCAAAUUAAUAUACACGAAUUUAGCUUAGAAUUAUCCCAUUUAUUUGGGACUACAAGCUUUGAUUCGUGUUUUUGUUCAAAACCAAAAAUUUUUGUUGAAAAUCAAGAAGGAUGCGAACCGAACAAGAUAUGGUUGCAUAUUAUUUUUAAAUAAAUAAAUAAAUAAAUAAAGGAGAUUUUGAUCCUGAGGACUUUAAUGAGUUUUUUUUUUUAAAAUAGAUUUUUAAAAUGAUUUUUUUGAGAAAAGUAUUUUAUUUUAAAAUAAAAGGGAUUAAUUUGGGAAAAAAAUAAAAUAUAAGAAAUAAAAUACCAAACAAAACAAAAAUGAAACCUCAAAGUAAAAUUUUUUUAGUAAUUAACAAAAAUGAUAAUGGUGAUGGUAGAGGGCAAUCUUCAUGAUUUUCCAAUGGCCUCAGAAAGAAAAUCAAAUUAAAUGAAGGAUCACUAACAGGCAAGACAUUCUAAAUUAGACAAACUAACAAAGUAUCAAUUCAUGAACUAACCGCUAGGAUUUUGAAAGCAUAUAAGCUAAGAUAAGGGUGAUCAGGAACUAAUAUUAAUGAUUUUGAAAUAAAAACUAAAAAAAAGGAUCAAUUCGGGUAAGGAACUAAAAUUAUAAAAGUACCUAAACUAAUUAUGACGAGUUUGACUAAAUUAAACUAAAAACAUGAACUUUCAAACAUAGAAUUAAUUUUACUAAUGAACCAAAGCAAACUAAAAAUAUGUACUUUCAAGCAUAGAAUUAAUUUUAUUGAUGAACUAAACUAUAACAAAUAUCUAAACUAAAUAUAAUGAAUCAAAUUAAAUUAAAGCAACUUAAAAACGCAAACUUUCAAACAUAGAAUCAAUUUUAUCAAUGAAUUAAAACUAUAAAUGUAUUUGAACUAAAUAGAUGAAUCAAACUAAAUCAGAGCAAAAUUAAAAAAAAAAAAGAACUUUCUAACAUGAAAUCAAUUUUAUCAACAAAUAAAUGAAUGAAUAACAAGUAAUUAAAAGAAUAGCUACUACAUGAAUAACUGAAUGAAUAAAAUUCAAAUGUUUUCAAUCUGAAGCAAUCAAUCAAAAUUAAAUAGGGAUCAAAUCAAAAUAAUCGAAAUCGGAAAAACAAUAUGCAAUCUUUCUAAAGGUUUAACCAGACAAUUGAAUUAAAAUUAUGAAUAGAAUAAAUUAAUAAACCAAAUCGAAACCUAAAUUGUACCUAAAAAGAUUAAUUAAUUAAACUAAGAAAUCAAAAUCAAUAACAAAACUAAACUAAGGAGUAAAUUAAGACAAGACUAAUUAAAUUAAACUCACAAACACGUUUUAACUAUCAUAUGGAUUAAAACAAAAUUAGCAUGGACUUAUGAAUUACGAACAAAAAUAAUCAAAACUAUUUUAAAAAACUCACCUCUAUUAUAAGAAAAAAUCUGCCUUUGAUGCGUUGAGGUGGCUCCCCUCUCUGUGUGGAUCUCUCUGCUCCCCAGAAAAAAAAUGUCUCUUCCUCCGUUCUCUUUUGUUUCAGCAAAAUAAUAUAUCCCCUGCUGUGGAUCUCUCUACUCCCAGAAAAUAAUAUAUUCUCUCCGUGUCCUAAAGUGGACCUAGGGUGCCUAAGUGGACCUAGGGUGCCUAAAUGGGCCUAGGGUGCCUAAAUGGGCCAAGUGUAUCUAAAUAGGCUUAGGGUGCCUAAGUGGGCCUAAGUCUAAGUGAGCCUAAGUCUAAAUCAAGACUACCAAGGAUCAUAAUAAGGGGUUAGGCAAUCCCUUAACCAAAGUCUCCAAGGUGGCUAAAAAAAAGUAAGUAGUAUGAGUAGCUAUGGGUCACCAAGGAACUACUGUGGAGCAUUGAAAACGAAUUUAAAGACAUGUGCCAAAGGGACAAAAUUGAGGGUCUACAGAUGGUUAGACACAUAGUUGCUCAUGGGAUAUUUGACUUUGGUAAACAAUUCAGAUUCAUAUGUGGGUUUAGGAAUACCUUUAUUAUGACGGUGUGGUAAUCGUUUCAUGAAUGGAUCAGGUUGCAAAUUAAGAACACCCUCAGCAAACAACGAUUGGUUUGGUAUUUCAGUGAAGACAUCUUCGAACCCAAAUUGUUGACCACUCAUAUCCAACUCACCCGCUUCCUGGUUCACUAGUUCAGAUUGUCCAAAUUCAUCAUUCUCAUAGAUAUGAUAAUCAUAAUCGAGAGUCUGAAUUUCCUUAUGGUACUCCCCCUGAAGUUCAGACUUAGAUGAAAAAUACAUCGAAUAUUCAUGAAACAGCNNNNNNNNNNNNNNNNNNNNNNNNNNNNNNNNNNNNNNNNNNNNNNNNNNNNNNNNNNNNNNNNNNNNNNNNNNNNNNNNNNNNNNNNNNNNNNNNNNNNNNNNNNNNNNNNNNNNNNNNNNNNNNNNNNNNNNNNNNNNNNNNNNNNNNNNNNNNNNNNNNNNNNNNNNNNNNNNNNNNNNNNNNNNNNNNNNNNNNNNNNNNNNNNNNNNNNNNNNNNNNNNNNNNNNNNNNNNNNNNNNNNNNNNNNNNNNNNNNNNNNNNNNNNNNNNNNNNNNNNNNNNNNNNNNNNNNNNNNNNNNNNNNNNNNNNNNNNNNNNNNNNNNNNNNNNNNNNNNNNNNNNNNNNNNNNNNNNNNNNNNNNNNNNNNNNNNNNNNNNNNNNNNNNNNNNNNNNNNNNNNNNNNNNNNNNNNNNNNNNNNNNNNNNNNNNNNNNNNNNNNNNNNNNNNNNNNNNNNNNNNNNNNNNNNNNNNNNNNNNNNNNNNNNNNNNNNNNNNNNNNNNNNNNNNNNNNNNNNNNNNNNNNNNNNNNNNNNNNNNNNNNNNNNNNNNNNNNNNNNNNNNNNNNNNNNNNNNNNNNNNNNNNNNNNNNNNNNNNNNNNNNNNNNNNNNNNNNNNNNNNNNNNNNNNNNNNNNNNNNNNNNNNNNNNNNNNNNNNNNNNNNNNNNNNNNNNNNNNNNNNNNNNNNNNNNNNNNNNNNNNNNNNNNNNNNNNNNNNNNNNNNNNNNNNNNNNNNNNNNNNNNNNNNNNNNNNNNNNNNNNNNNNNNNNNNNNNNNNNNNNNNNNNNNNNNNNNNNNNNNNNNNNNNNNNNNNNNNNNNNNNNNNNNNNNNNNNNNNNNNNNNNNNNNNNNNNNNNNNNNNNNNNNNNNNNNNNNNNNNNNNNNNNNNNNNNNNNNNNNNNNNNNNNNNNNNNNNNNNNNNNNNNNNNNNNNNNNNNNNNNNNNNNNNNNNNNNNNNNNNNNNNNNNNNNNNNNNNNNNNNNNNNNNNNNNNNNNNNNNNNNNNNNNNNNNNNNNNNNNNNNNNNNNNNNNNNNNNNNNNNNNNNNNNNNNNNNNNNNNNNNNNNNNNNNNNNNNNNNNNNNNNNNNNNNNNNNNNNNNNNNNNNNNNNNNNNNNNNNNNNNNNNNNNNNNNNNNNNNNNNNNNNNNNNNNNNNNNNNNNNNNNNNNNNNNNNNNNNNNNNNNNNNNNNNNNNNNNNNNNNNNNNNNNNNNNNNNNNNNNNNNNNNNNNNNNNNNNNNNNNNNNNNNNNNNNNNNNNNNNNNNNNNNNNNNNNNNNNNNNNNNNNNNNNNNNNNNNNNNNNNNNNNNNNNNNNNNNNNNNNNNNNNNNNNNNNNNNNNNNNNNNNNNNNNNNNNNNNNNNNNNNNNNNNNNNNNNNNNNNNNNNNNNNNNNNNNNNNNNNNNNNNNNNNNNNNNNNNNNNNNNNNNNNNNNNNNNNNNNNNNNNNNNNNNNNNNNNNNNNNNNNNNNNNNNNNNNNNNNNNNNNNNNNNNNNNNNNNNNNNNNNNNNNNNNNNNNNAACCAAAGGAAGCAUGUUCCAGACGUCGAUGCCACAACCAAAUUUCAGACUUUUUCUUCUCCUCCUUAGAUCCAUCUGCCAUCAAGGCUUGUUGCAACUUAUUUGAAUCCUUUGAUUGCAAGUCCAAGUAUAGAGUUUCCCCCGCUUAAUACGACAACCAAUCGUCUGUCUUGUUUGAAUGUCCUUAAUCACACAAAAUUCAGGCCAAAAAAUGACAAUACAAGAUAAGGCUGCAGUGAUUUGAGAAACUAACAAAAGAUUGUAAUCUAAAGAUGGAACAACUAAAACAGAAUCCAAAUUCAAAGUAUCAGUAAGAGUUAAGGAUCCUUCCCCAAUGACUGGGGUUGUGUUACCAUUGGCUGUGGAAACAAUUUUUUGUGAGGAAGGUCUAAGGGGUGAAACCUGUCUAGAAUCAAAAGUCAUAUGAUCUGUAGCACCAGAAUCAAUUAUCCAUGCACUAUUAAUAACAGGUGUAAAAGUAUUUAAAAACUUACCACAAUGAUCUGUAGCGGCUACUAAUGCAGAGACUUUCUCAACAACAUUAGUCUUUGUUUUUAUUUCGGUAACAGUUGCAAUCAAGGUUUUCUUGGAAUUCUUCUUCCGUUGAUCACGAUUAUUAUCAUUAAUAACAAAGUGUUGAUAGCCUAAACAUGAUCUAAAGGUCCAUGGUGCAAACCCUCGGUUCCUCAUUGUUUUCCUGGUCAUACCAAGAGUUGUUGCUUUGAAAUUGUGGGAUAUCCAGACUGGUGGGAUCAGUUUUAUUGCAGUGAGUGCAUUUGAAUGUUGACUUAUCAAUAUUAGGGCUUGUCUUCGGAUGGUUGAUUGCUGUUGGACUACCAUAGCGACAAAAUAUCCAGGAUUUCAAUUCCAGGGCUCUGAUACCAUCUUCAAAUUGAUGAAUGAUAGUUUUUCAUUCAUUCUUUCAUGUACAGAGUAUAUAUAGAGGGUAAUCACCAUUCUAAGAAUGGGAAAGAAUGAUACGAGGAAAUAAUGAUAUAAGGAAAUAAUAACUAAUAUCCUAAUAUCUCAACUUUCCUAAUAUCUCAAUAUUCCUAAUAUCUCAACUUUCCUAAUAUCUAAACAUUCAUAAUAUCUCAACACUAAAUGAUACAAGGAAAGAAUGAUAUAAGGAAAACAUUCCUAAUAUCUCAACACCACUUCAUGAUAUAUAUAGUUUCUUACCCUUAAUCAAUGGUUUCUAAGUGAAUUUAUAUAGAAAGAAAUCCAAACUGUAGACAGCAGUAUUGGUAACACUCAAUAUUCUGUAUAUAAUAGAAUAAAUAGCGUCACAGUGAUCGUCGCCUACAAGCAAGGUACAAAUACCACAAAGAGUGACCCACAUAGACAUUCCCCAACAAGAUGUAGUAGUGACUGACACAUAGCCACAAUUAACACGUAGAAAAGGAUAAGACCGGUGCACAGUAGCUCUUAUUUUACAUACUACUUAUGCCAACCAAAGUCACUCAGUUGGGAUGGGAGGGAGAUGGAGGUUUGUGCGGUGGCUUGUGGGGCGGAGUUGAUGGCUUCUUUCCAGGAGCUUCUGGCUUUUUCAUCGGAGCUGAAGGAGGCUCAAUCUUAUGAGGCGGCUUGUACGAGUCUUCUUUGCUCUCGAAAGGAGGGUGGCCAGGGUUGUGACCAUAAUGUGGUGGUUUCUCUCCCUUGGGAGGUUUACCAAUUGGGGUUGGUGGCUUGUGUUCUGGGAGUGGUUUCUCUCCCUUGGGAGGUUUAGUGGGUGACUUGUGUUCUGGAGGUGGCUUCUCCACCGAAGGCUUGUGCUCCGGUGGUGGCUUUUUGGUUGGAGGGGGCUUGGGGUAAUCAGCAAGAGAUGGGGUGGUGAGAACCACCAGUCCAAGGAACAACACUAGCAAGUAUGUGGGAGACAUUUUUGAGUUUGGGCUGAUCAGAUGAUGCAAAACUAAAGCAUUACGUGACCUUUUAUAGCAAGUAGCUCCCAAUACCUACUUGACACGUGUUACUGUGACCCAUAAAUAUUAUGGGGUCUAUUUGUGCCCUACCGGGUUGAAAACUUGGACAAUUGGGCAAGGACCCGCCUGACUAUGGAGGACUACUGAGGUGUGAUCACAGCUUUAGGAUUUUUCUUCCUCUGCAGCCGUCUUGCCGUUGGCAUGAUUUUCUUAAUCUCAAAUAAAGGCAUAGUUAUAGAGUUGUUUAAUCUCUAAAUGGGAUUUUAUAUAUCUUCAGAUAGCCAUUAAUACAUUUGAUGAAGAAAGAAAGACAAGUGCAUACAACAUGUAUACGACUAGCUUUCAUGGAGUUCAUUUAUGAUCAGUUUUCCUGUACAUGUAAACCAAGAUCAUAUAUGUUUUUGUUCCACAACAAUUUUGGAAUCUUGUUUAUCCGUUUUUAUCAUUAUAAUGUCACAUAGGCUGCCAACUUGGGCGCUAAAUUAAAGAUCCAGUUGGGCAAGUUCGUUUCAGAAUUUCAAUGGUGGAUUCAGGAAUUGUUUUAUAAGAUAUGCAAAAUAGUAGAGGGAUGAAUAGUGUUUCAUUAAGAAAAGAGCCCUGUAAAAAUAUUGUUUAAAGGUGCCAUAGAAACUAUAAUCAAUAAAUAACUUUUUUUCCCCAUGGGUGGUGUUUCUUGUGGGGAUCAGUGACUGGUUUGAGUCAACGCCGUGUCUCUUUAGUCCAGAAAUCAACUAUUUUAUGCAUUGAAUACAUCAACAAAGAAAAUAUGAAAGCCAAAUGACACCUCCCCCGCAAAAACUAAACCCUGGUUGCUAACUUUCUAUGUUUCAGUUCCAUUCACACAAGAAUAUUAGUUCAAGUUUGAGAAAAAUGGCGACUUACCUAGUGAUAACUCGGUCUUGGUUUGCGAUUUGACUUUAACGUCAUGGGUUGAAGCCUCCUACAAUCAUCGUGUAUGCUAGUUCAAAGCUCGUGGAAGAAGUUAUACAGGGAGGGAGAAACCUCCACAGCAAGCUCCAAAAGAGAAUUAUCACAUUGAAAGCUCCAGUUGAACACUGGGUGAAAGCCAUAACAAGAUUGGUUUUCUAUCGCUCUUUUAAGUAAUGGAAGAUUAUUAUCUCUGCUUGUCACUACAACCGUGCAUGCUGCUAGAUCUUUCUAGACACUUCAAACAGUGAAACCAAGUAUGAUUCUUUUUCUCUUGAGUGGGUCCACUUGCAUGCCAAUGAACGAGUUGAAAAGUUGGACAAUUGGCCACAGCGCGCACUUACCUUCUGGAACCGAAGGUCAGUGAAGUGGGGUUCCUUUUGGCCCCUUGUGUUUCUGUUCCAACCUACUCCAGGAACCGAAGUUCAGUGAAGUGGGGCUACUUUUGGCCUCUUGUGUUUCUGUUCCAACCAAACAAAAAUGGGAGGGAAAAAUAGCAUUAUGCUUGUGCUAAAGAUCAACGCAUGAUAGCUGAAUAAGGGAGAAAAAGGCAUUGCUAUCUCAAUUUCAUAAACUUGAUAAGUAGUGACAUUAAUAGUCUUCCUCAUAGAUGGAUACAUGGUUUUAUUUUAUUUAUUUAUUUUUAUUUUUUUGUUUUAUGUCAAUGCUAAUGAAUGAAGUGCAUUAGCUUGUUUUGUGACUAGAACUACAAAUGUCCAAAUUGGAGCUUCUCCAAUAUAUUUCUCAGUGAGUUAUUGAUUAGAACUCUUGGAUUGAGUUCCAAGAUUUGAAUCAGACCCCUCUAGCAGCUUCAGGGGUACGUAGCAACCUAUAGCAUAUUAAUGAAGACUUAGGAUUUAGACUUAGGAAUACAAAUUAAUAUGUACCUCAUGCUCUGACUAGCUUCCCUGCGUAUGCACAAAAUGGAGAUGACUCCCAAAAAAAUAGCAGAAUCGCCUUAGUAUGUUUUUGUGGUUAAGAUGAUUCUCCACUUUAUAUAUCCACAUUGGUUCAUUAUGCAAAUUAAUCAACUAAGCUAUUUUUAUUUUUUCUUAAAUGUGAAAUAGGAGCUCCAAAUUAACCUAACCAUUGGCCUGAUUGAAUUGAUUUCACUUGCAUAAUGUUAUAGUAGAAGUCCGUAAUUUGAAUUUUAUUUUUGCAAAAGGUAACGUAAAUGAAGCAUUGUAAUUAAAUUUAUUUGUAAUUACAAACUAAUUUUAUUUUAUUAAGAAUUAAUUUAAUUACUCAUUUAAAAUAAAAAUCAGUUAUACUUUUACCAAGAUGAUAAUAUUCAUAUUUUUCUAGUUAACAUAUAUAAAAUAGUACACUUUUUCAUAUAAAAAAAUAAUUUAUGAUUUAUUAUAAUGUUACUAUUCACAUUUUACUAAAUUGAUGGUACAUGAUAGUGAGAGAAGGGGGUGUCACACUCAGCUAAAGUUCUUUUCAAAAUAUUGCAUGGUGUUUAAUUUUAUGUGUCGGCGCGCGUGUGAAUGGAACCUGCAAAAGUCCAAAUUGGCGUUUCUCCAUUUUCCACAUAGGAUGGUGACGUUAAUAGACAAAGAUACAAUAUCUGUAGACAUUGCUUAAAAAUCGAUGUGAAGUAUUAGAAAUUACAGGGCACUGUACUGGGGGAGCGGCUGCCCCGCCAAAGGAGGAAGAAUGUAGCAAUUUCUUCUGUUAGCCAGGCCUUAGGAUUUAUGCAUGGGAUGCCUAAUAACAAACAGAGAAAAUAUACUUUUGGGGAAGGUAUCCAACAACAGACACCAUCAUUCAGAUGGUGGGAAGGUAUCCAACAGAUGCCAUCAUUCAGAUGGUAACAUAUAUAUACAUUUAUUAGUGAGUUUUUUUAAUACCUAUAAAAAAAAAUAUACACUUUGAUAUUGUGGCUGAAUCCAUUACAUACUCAACUAACCUUGCUCAUUAGGGAUUUGACUUAACAAGGGCAACGUUGCAGUACAAGCUCAAAACUUUAUGCAGGUGACAUUACAUUUGGUAAAGAAGAGGAAAAUAACGAAAGCCAUCCAUAAAAGCAAAAUUCCACAUGGGAUGAAAUUCACAAGCUUCAUUUACGAUAGAGUCGCAUCCAGGCAAUUAAUUCCACAUUAGACCGCCUGUUGACAUGUGUACCAAUCUUUUUUCAAAAAAUAUUUAUAAAUAAUUGAUACUCACAAAAAUAAUUUAAUAUUUAUAAAGGAUAAAAAAAUAUUUUCAAAUCUAUAACAAUUUAUAAAAUAUUAAUAAAAAAUUAUCUCUUAAACUUAGUAUAGUUUUAUCAGAUUAAACUUUUAUUUUGAACAAAUAAUUUUAAUCUAAGUUUUAAAUUCUAAAAUUAUUUCCUUAAAAUAAAAUUUUAAAAUUCAACACUUCAAUUGAAAUUGUCUUUUUAAAAAAUAUCUUCUUAUUUUAAUCCUUAUAAACUAUAGUUGAUUGAAAAUACUAUUGAAGUUCUCUCUUAAAAAAAAGUCUUAUUUUAAUCUUCAUAAAUUGCCCUUGAUUUGAAAAUAAAUUUUCAGUUAUCAUAUUUUAAAUAAUAUCUAUAUUUAAAAUACUCUAUUUAAAAAAAAAUGAACUAAUUUUAAUUAUAUUAUAUUUUAUUUUUUUAUAUAUUUUUAAUGAUAAACCAAACAUAGAAAAUCAUUUUUCUAAAUAUUUUAAAAUUUCUAAGCAACCAAACAUAAUCUUCAAAAUAAAAGGAAAAUAAGGAGGGACAUUUGAGAAAUGGCGAUUAAAAAAAAGUGUACAAAAGCUCAAUUAAUUUUCUUCUAGUCUUUUAUAUAAAAAAGUAAAGGAAUUGAAAAGUAUUGAUAUGUAAAUUAAUAUUUGGAUUUUAAUAGUAUUUUAUUUGUCUUUCUCUAUCUCAUGUAAAAGAGAAUUUAAGAUAUUUCCUAAAGCAAAGCAUUAGUUAUCUGCAAUCAGUGGUGAUCAUGCCCCAUGUCAAUUUCGGACCCAUAUCUUAAAACUGUAUAAUUUGCAUUCAAACAUUACUGAUUUCUCAGAUGUUUCAUACUCCACAGAAGAGCAUUGUUUGUGAAAGCAUGCAUUUAUGUUGGAUUUUGGAUGAUGUGGGAACUGGGGCAAGGAUCAUAUGGAAGAGUGGUCGAUUUUGUUCUGUACUUUAACAUUUGAAAUAGGAGAAGCUCGGGCAUUUGUGGGGCUUAAUUGAUUUUGAAGCCUGAAAUUGCGUUUCUGUCAUUUUGUAAAAAAUAUGGCAGAUUCCAUGCUCUCAUAUGUUUGGUCUGUGGCCAUGUAUAGAUGCCCCUUAGUGACCAGUUUGUAACUGUCAAUCAUAGUGUUUUGACUCUGGCUCAACAACAUCAGCCAUUGACGGAUUUUCAUACUUGCAAAUCAAAUAGUCUUCUUCCUCCCUUAGGAAUUUCGGUUUAAAUGUUAUUAAGCAUACAUUUGGCUGACAAUUAUUAACCACUUCAUGAUAUGGUUUCUUACCCUUAAUCAAUGGUUUCUAAGUGAAUAUAUGCAGAAGGAAAUCUGAACUGUAGACAGCAGUAUUGAUAACUCUCAAUAUUCUUUAUAUAAGAGAAUAAACAACGUCAUAGUGAUCGUCGCCUACAAGAAAGGUACAUUUCCCAACAAGAUGUAGUUGUGACUGGUACAUGGACGCAAUUAACUCGUACAAAAGAAUAAGACCAGUGCACGGCAGCUCUUAUUUUACAUGCUAAUUAUGCUAACCAAAGUCACUCAGUUGGGAUGGGAGGGAGAUGGAGGUUUGUGCGGUGGCUUGUGGGGCGGAGUUGGUGGCUUCUUUUCAGGAGCUUGUGGCUUUUUCGGAGCUGAAGGAGGCUCAAUCUUAUGAGGCGGCUUGUACGAGUCUUCUUUACUCUCGACAGGAGGGUGGCCAGGGUUGUGACCAUAAUGUGGUGGCUUCUCUCCCUUAGGUGGCUUGCCAACUGGGGUUGGUGGCUUGUGUUCAGGAAGUGGUUUCUCUCCCUUGGGAGGUUUACCAAUUGGGGUUGGUGGCUUGUGUUCUGGGAGUGGUUUCUCUCCCUUGGGAGGUUUAGUGGGUGACUUGUGUUCUGGAGGUGGCUUCUCCACCGGAGGCUUGUGCUCCGGUGGUGGCUUCUCCACCGGAGGCUUGUGCUCCGGUGGUGGCUUCUUGAUUGGAGGGGGCUUGGGGUAAUCAGCAAGAGAUGGGAUGGUGAGAACCACCACUCCAAGGAACAACACUAGCAAGUAUGUGGGAGACAUUUCUGAGUUUGAGCUGAUCAGAUGAUGCAAAACUAGAAGAAUUACGGGACCUUUUAUAGCAAGUAUCUCCCAAUACCCACAUGACACGUGUUACUAUGACCAUAAAUAUUAUAGGGUCCAUUUGUGCCCUACCGGGUUGAAAACUUGGACGCUUGGCCGAGGACACACCUGACUAUGGAGGACUAUUGACGUGUGAUCACAGCUUUUGGAUUUUUCUUCCUGUGCAGCUGUCUAGCGGUUGGCAUUAUUUUCUUAAUCUUAAAUAAAGGCAUAGUUAUAGAGUUGUUUAAUCUCUAAAUGGGAUUUUAUAUAUCUUCAGAUAGCCAUUAAUAUAUUUGAUGAAGAAAGACAAGUGCAUACAACAUGUAUACGGCUUGCUUCAAUCGAGUACAUUUAUGAUCAGUUUUCCUGUGCAAGUAAACCAGUUUUUUGUUCCACAACUAUUUUGGAAUCUUGUUUAUCAGUUUCUAUCAUUAUAAUGUCACAUAGGCUGCAAACUUGGGCACCCAAAGAUCUAGGUGGGCAAAUUUGUUUCAGACUUUCAAUGGUGGAUUCAGUAAUUGUUAAAAGGUGUUUCUUCAUUAAGGAAAGAGUCCGGUAAAAAUAUUGUUAAAAGGUGUCAUAGAAACUAUAAUAAAUAAAUAACUUCUUUUCCCCAUGGGUGGUGUUUCUUCUGGGGAUCAGUGACUGGUUAGGGUCACCCAAAAUGAGUCCAGAUUAAAAUUGGUUCGAGUCAAAGCAGUCUCUUUUGUCCAGAAAUCAACUAUUUUGCGCAUUGAAUGAAUCGAUAAAGAAAAAAUGAAAGCCAAAUCACACCUCCCCUGCAAAACCUAAACCCCGGUUGCUAACUUUCUAUGUUUCAGUCCUAUUCAUAUAGGAAUAUUGGUUCAAGUUUGAGAAAAAUGGCAACUUACCUAGGGUUUACUUGGUUUUGGUUUGCGACUAUUUACGCAACCAACCAUGAGUUUGACUUUAACGUCAUGGGUUGAAGCCUCCUACAAUCAUGUAUGAUAGUUCAAAGCUCGUGGAAGAAAUUAUACAGGAAGGAAGAAACCUCCAAAGCUAGCUCCAAAAGAGAAUUAUCACAUCGAUAGCUCCAGAGAUUCCCAAGGGAACUGAAUCAAAGACAAGUUCCUCACUUUUUCUUCUUUUGAGGCCAAAUAUGAACCAAGGAUCACACGACCUCAUUCAACUUCAUAAGUUUGAUUUCAUGCAGUUGAACACUGGGUGAAGGCCAUGACAAGAAUUGAUUAAAAAAUUCUACCACUCUUUUAAGUAAUGGAAGAUUAUUAUCUCUGAUUGGCACCACAACAGCACAUGCUGCUAGAUCUUUCUAGACACUCCAUGCAAUGAAAGCACAAUGGAUCUUGUAAUGAUAGAAACUAAGCCAUGCUACAGUACUAGAUGAGGGGGUAAAACUAGUAGACAUCUUUCUAGACACUCCAUGCAAUGAAAGCACAAUGGAUCUUGUAAUGAUAGAAACUAAGCCAUGCUACAGUACUAGAUGAGGUGGUAAAACUAGUAGACAUGGCUGGCAGUUGAUUACUACUCAAAAAGUACUCUUUUAUAGCUUGAAACUAACUGUUUUAAACACUUUUGAGUAGUAGUUAAUACCUUUUAACUUAAUUGGCACAUUAAGGAACCUAGCAAGGGUUACUAAUCAACAUUUGGCAAGUUUUGAUGUUUUUGGUAGCUAUUUGAUCAUUGAAACAAGCCAAGAAUGAGGGGGAAUUUUGUGAAGUCCAUGGCAAUGCAAGUUAAAGCUCAAAUACAUGAAGAAUCCAAGCUUUGGAGCACUUCAUAGCCCUUUGCCAAGCCAAUCAAAGAUGCAAGGAAGAAAACCAAAGGAAGAAAUCCAACAAUCAGCAUUUUGGCAUGGCUAUGUGAAAUUUCGCACACCAUGCGAAACCACAAGAGGCAGCCAAAGAAUUUCGCAUGGUAUGCGAAAUCUUCUUGUGCACUGACUCUGUUAGAUUUUUAUCUUCAGAUAUUUUGUGUAAUUUCCUAGUUUCUCCUUGUAACCAACUUAGAUAUUUUCUUUUAUAUCUUUUUUUAUAUUUUUUAGGUAACAUCAUAUAUAAGAGGAGAGACAUAAGGAGGAUAUGGAUGUUUUUCAUAGAACACUUGUAAAUUUUUGGUAGUAAGAAAUAUACAAAGCUUUUUGCUCUGCCUUACCUUCUCAAGGGAUGAGUGGCUAGGUUUUCUUGGAGUGAGGGAAGCUAGGUGAAGGACCUGAAUGCAAAGGUGGGAGUUUUCCUUACUUUAAAUGAAAGUAGUUGUUAAACAUUAAUGGUUUUUAUUUUAAGGUUUAGCUUUAAAUCCCUGAAAAACACCUUGAAUGGCCAAUACUUGGUAAGCUUUUUAGAUUCUAUGGAUGCUUAUUGCUAGAUCCAUGGAUGUCUAUUAGUUAUCAUUUACGAGCCAUUGGAAGGUGAUUCAAGGUGAGGGUCUUUAGUGUUUGAAGCCAUUAAUGGGAAGCAAUUACCAUUUUUUCAUGAAUCCUUUGGAUCAAAUCUUAAUUGCUAAAUAUAAAACCGGUUUCGAGAGAUAACCACCAUCCUUUAUGUUAUUAUCCCCAACGCGAGGAGAAGAUCCGAAAUCUUCCUUUUUAUCUAAGGAACCCGAUCCUAGUGACCUAAAGCUCCAAGAUACCUUUUCUUUGUAGUUAACUUCAUUUAUUGUUUUUGCUUAACUUAAAAUCAAUCUUUGCAACCACAAUUCCAUUUUCUUUAAAAGCUAAUUUUUAUAAGGAAAAACACCAUUUUAUUUCCUUCACUAAGUCAACUGUACGAUGAAAACCCAUCCCUGUGGACGAUCCUAGAGCCACUAUACUAUGUUAGCUAUGCUACCCUAGUGUGAGGUGAUUUAGGUUUUAUAAAUUUUUUUGAUAACACCCAUCUGAGCCAGAAUCAAAUGGCACGACUGAACCAGGGACGAAUCAAAUGACGCCGCUACCAAGGAUGGUGCCAAAGUACAUUGACAUGACUUUUGGUGAACACUUGUGAUCUUCACCACAAGUUUGGUGAUUUUUCUUUUACUAAUUUUUUUUAUUUUAGCUUAUCUUUUAUUUAGUUUUUAGUUAACCUUAAAUUUUUCCUAGAAUUGUAUUUCUUUUGUUUUCUUUGUUUUUGUUUCAGUGAUCUUUAGUUGUGCAUGCCCUAUUGGAUAAGAGAUAUUGAGGGAAUACUUGUGAAGAUUGAAACUCCUCGAGAAACUGAGUUAGAAGUGUGCUUGAACAUCAUGGAUGUUCCACCUGAAGACCAGAAUAGCCAACAUGGUUAAGAGGAUAAUUUCAACACAUACCGAUCCAUGAGGAACCGCAUACAUCCACCUUGUAUGAGUGCACCGUCAGGCAUAAUGCCUCCCACUGAGCAGCUAGUAAUCUGACCUCACAUUGUGCCACUCCUACCUACUUUCCAUGGGAUGGAGAGUGAGAAUCCCUACUCGCAUAUUAAGGAAUUCGAGGAGGUUUGUAAUACAUUCCAAGAAGGAGGAGCUUCAAUUGACUUGAUGAGGCUCAAGCUAUUUCCUUUCACUUUGAAGGAUAAGGCCAAGAUUUGGCUUAAUUCUUUAAGGCCAAGAAGUAUCCAAACUUGGAUUGAUUUGUAAGCCGAGUUUCUUAAGAAGUUCUUCCCUACCCAUAGGACCAAUGGUUUGAAAAGGCAAAAUUUGAACUUCUCAGUUAAAGAGAAUGAGAAAUUCUAUGAGUGUUGGGAGAGCUACAUGGAAGCUAUUAACGUUUGUCCUCACCAUGGCUUUGACACAUGGCUCUUAGUGAGCUAUUUUUACAAUGGUAUGUCUUCUUCAAUGAAGCAACUCCUAGAAACUAUGUGUGGAGGAGACUUCAUGAGUAAGAAUCCGGAGGAAGCCAUGGACUUUUUGAGUUAUGUGGCUGAAGUUUCAAGAGGAUGGGAUGAACCAAAUGCUAGAGAGGUGGGAAGAAUGAAGUCUCAACCUAAUGCUAAGGGUGAGAUGUAUGUUUUGAAUGAAGACAUUGACAUGAAAGCAAAGGUUGCAGCUAUGGCAAGGAGAUUGGAAGAGCUAGAAAUGAAGAACAUACAAAAAGUGCAAGCCAUUUCUGAGACAUCAAUGAAAGCUAUGCCUUGUUCCAUUUGUCAAUCUUAUAAGCACCUAGUGGAGGAGUGUCCUACAAUUCCAGCAGUGAGAGAGAUGUUUGGUGAUCAAGCAAAUGUUAUUGAUCAAUUCAAGCCUAAUAACAAUGCUUCAUAUGGCAACACCUACAAUUCAAAUUGGAGGAACCAUUCAAAUUUCUCUUGGAAACGAAAGCCACCUCAAUACACACAACCUACUCAAGCACCUUAGCAAUCCUCGAAUCUUGAACAAGCUAUUGUGAACCUUAGCAAGGUUGUGGGAGACUUUGUGGGAGAUCAGAAGUCCAUCAAUGCUCAACUGAAUCGGAGAAUUGACAGUGUGGAGAGUACAUUGAACAAAAGGAUGGAUGAGAUGUAAAAUGAUCUGUCUCAAAAGAUAGACAAUGUCCAAUACGUAAUCUCAAGGCUUACCAACCUCAACACAGUGUAAGAGAAAGGAAAGUUUCCUUCUCAACCUCAUCAAAAUCCUAAGGGUAUCCAUGAAGUAGAGGCUCAAGAGGGAGAAUCUUCAAAGGUGAGGGAAGUCAAAGUAGUUAUCACCUUGAAGAGUGGUAAAGAGGUUGAUCAACCCACAUCCAAGCCAAAGCAUAAUGAAGAGAGUGUAGCAGAAAAAGAAAAGAGAGGAAAAUAAAGGAAUUAGAAUAGAGAAAAAUACAAAGAAAGAUGACCAUGAGUCUAGUGUGGAUGAAGAGCCCGAGAGGAUGGUGAUCAAGGAAGAUAUGAUGAAGAAACACAUGCCUCCACCUUUCCCCUAAGCUUUGCAUGACAAAAAAAGAACCAAUAAUACAUCAGAAAAUUUUGAAGUAUUGAGGCAAGUGAAGGUCAAUAUCCCUUUGCUAGACAUGAUCAAACAAGUGUCGACAUAUGAAAAAUUCUUGAAGGACUUGUGCACUGUAAAGAGAGGGUUGAAUGUGAACAAGAAAGCUUUAUUGACCGAGCAAGUGAGUUCCAUCAUACAGUGCAAGUCCUAGUGAAGUACAAAGAUCCGGGUUGCCGUACCAUCUCAGUGAGUAUUGGAAGGACUUGUGUGGAGAAAGCUUUGUUGGACUUGGGAGCAAGUGUGAAUUUGCUAUCCUACUCUGUCUAUAAGCAGUUGGGAUUUGGAGAGUUGAAGCCAAUAUCCAUCACUCUAUCUCUAGCGGAUAGAUCAAUGAAGAUUCCAAGAGGGAUGAUCGAAGAUGUCCUGGUUCAAGUUAACAAAUUCUACUAUCCAGUAGAUUUUGUUGUUCUUGAUAUGGAUCCGGUUGUCAAAUGAACUAAUUAUGUUCCUAUCAUACUUGGAAGACCCUUCCUAGCUACAUCAAAUGCAAUCAUCAAUUGUAGGAAUGGAGUCAUGCAACUCACAUUUGUCAACAUGACAUUAGAGCUCAACAUCUUCCAUUUGUACAAGAAGCAUAUCCAUCAGGAGGAAAAAGAAGGUCUAGAGGAAGUGUGAAUGAUUGACACUUUAGUGGAAGAGCAUUGUGAUCGAGAAUGCAAAAAGAUUUAGUUGAGAAUUUUGGGGAUCUUGAUGAAAGGUUACUUGAACCCUCAGAUUUGCUUGCUACCCUACUCCAUUGGAAGAGAAGAGAAGAAAUUCUACCCUUAUUCAAUGAGGAGGAGACGCAAAGAGCUGCAAAGGAGAAACCCCCAAAACUUAUUCUUAAGCCACUACCCACAGAGUUGAAGUAUGUAUACUUGGAAGAAGACAAGAAGUGCCCUAUUGUUAUAUCUUCAACUCUUACCAUUCAUCAGGAGGAUUGUCUACUUGAAGUCCUUAGAAGAUGUAAGAAGACAAUAAGGUGGCUAAUUUCUUAUUUGAAAGGGAUCAGCCCUUUAGUCUGCACCCAUCAUAUUUACAUGGAGGAUGAAGCUAAGCUAAUUCAUCAACCUCAGAGAAGGUUGAACCCUCACAUGCAAGAGGUGGUUCGAGCUGAAGUUCUGAAGCUACUUCAGACCAGUAUUAUUUACCCCAUAUCAAAUAGCCCAUGGGUGAGUCCUACUCAAGUUGCGCCAAAGAAGUCUGGGAUCAUGGUGGUGCAAAAUGAUAAGGGAGAAGAUGUCUCUACACGCCUCACUACAGGUUGGAGGGUGUGUAUCAAUUACAGGAGGUUGAAUGCAGUGAUAAGAAAGGACCAUUUCUCAUUGCCCUUUAUUGAUCAGGUGCUUGAGAGGGUCUCUGGGCUUUUUUUUUUAUUGUUUCUUGGAUGGCUACUCCGGGUACUUUCAGAUAGAAAUUGAUGUUGAAAACCAAGAUAAGACCAUUUUCACAUGCCCAUUUGGAACCUAUGCAUAAAGGAGAAUGCCUUUCGGCUUAUGCAAUGCACCCGCAACUUUCCAAAGAUGCAUGUUAAGCAUUUUCAGUGAUAUGGUGGAGCGUAUUAUGGAAGUCUUUAUGGAUGAUAUCACCAUUUAUGGAAGUGCAUUUGAUGAAUGCUUGGUCAACUUAGAAGCUGUUCUGAACCGAUACAUUGAGAAAGACUUAGUGCUUAACUGGGAGAAGUGCCAUUUCAUGGUACACCAAGGGAUUGUCCUUGGGCACAUUAUCUCCAAGCAAGGCAUUGAAGUUGACAAAGCAAAGGUUGAACUCAUUGUUAAGUUGCCAUCCUCAACAAAUGUCAAAGGAGUAAGGCAAUUCUUUGGCCAUGUCGGGUUCUAUAGGAGGUUUAUCAAGGAUUUCUCUAAGCUUGCAAGGCCUCUUUGUGAAAUAUUGGUGAAUGAUGUUAAAUUCAUAUGGGAUGAUGGAUUUGAAAGGAGUUUUGAAGAAUUGAAGCUAUUUUUGACAACCGUACCAAUAGUGAGGGCUCCCAACUGGCAACUGCCCUUUGAAGUAAUGUGUGAUGUCAAUGAUUUUGCUAUAGGAUUUUUUCUUGGGCAAAGAGAAAAUGGAAAACCUUAUGUGAUCUACUAUGCGAGGAAGGCAUUGAAUGAGGCACAAAGAAACUACACAACCACCGAGAAAGAAUUGUUAGCUGUAGUUUUUGCCUUGGAUAAGUUUCGCGCUUACUUGGUGGGGUCCUUCAUCAUGGUUUUUACUGAUCACUUUGCUUUGAAGUAUCUGUUGACUAAGCAAGAUGCUAAAGCAAGGCUGAUUAGAUGGAUUCUCUUACUUCAAGAGUUCAAUCUCCAUAUCAAAGAUAAGAAAGGAGUGGAGAAUGUGGUAGCAGACCACAUUUCAAGGCUAGCUAUCGCACAUAAUUCCCAUGCUUUGCCCAUUAAUGACGAUUUUCUAGAGGGGUCUCUCAUGUUGGUGGAAGUUGUCCCUUGGUACGCUCACAUUGCUAACUACCUGGUCACGGGAAAAGUUCCAAGUGAGUGGAAAGCACAAGAUAAGAAGCACUUCUUUGCAAAAAUUCAUGCCUACUAUUGGGAAGAGCCAUUUCUAUUCAAGUAUUGUAUGGAUCAGAUAAUAAGGAAGUGCGUUCCUGAAGAAGAGCAACAGGGGAUCCUUAGUCAUUACCAUGAAAAUGCAUGUGGAGGCCACUUUGCUUAUCAAAAGACAGCCAUGAGGGUGUUGCAAUCGGGUUUCUGUUGGCCAUCACUUUUCAAAGAUGCCCACACCAUGUGCAAGAGUUGUGAUCGAUGCCAGAGGCUUGGGAAGUUGACACGCAGGAACAUGAUGCCUUUGAACCCCACUUUAAUAGUUGAUAUUUUUUAUGUUUGGGGCACUAACUUCAUGGGACCUUUCCCUAUGUCUUUUGGCUACUCUUACAUCUUGGUAGGAGUAGAUUAUGUUUCUAAGUGGGUUGAGGCAGUCCCAUGCAAACACAAUGACCAUAGAGUGGUUCUCAAGUUUCUUAAAGAGAAUAUCUUCUCAAGAUUUGGGGUGCCCAAAGCCAUAAUUAGUGAUGGGGGUACUCAUUUUUGCAACAAGCCUUUUGAAACUCUCCUAGCCAAGUAUGGGGUGAAGCAUAAGGUAGCUACACCUUACCACCCUCAAACUCAUGGACAAGUUGAGUUAGCAAACAGGGAGAUUAAAAACAUAUUGAUGAAGGUGGUGAACACAAACAGAAAAGAUUGGUCAGUCAAGCUUCUUAAUUCACUAUGGGCAUAUAGAACAACUUACAAGACCAUUCUCGGGAUGUCUCCUUAUCGCCUAGUUUAUGGCAAAGCAUGCCAUCUCCCUGUGGAAUUGGAAUACAAAGCUUGGUGGGCAAUCAAGAAGCUCAACAUGGAUUUGAGCAGAGCUGGGUUGAAGAGGUUCUUAGACCUUAAUGAGAUGGAGAAAUUGAGAAAUGAUGCCUACAUCAAUUCAAAAAUUGCAAAAGAAAAAUUGAAGAGGUGGCAUGAUCAGUUGAUUUCCCGCAAGGAUUUUCAAAAUGGACAAAGAGUCUUACUUUAUGACUCUAAACUCCACAUCUUUCCGGGCAAGCUGAAAUCAAGGUGGAUAGGUCAUUUUACCAUUCACCAAGUGCAUUCAAAUGGAGUAGUGGAACUACUCAACUCCAACAAUAUCGAGAACUUCAAAGUGAAUGGCCACCGUCUCAAGCCCUUUGUGGAGUCUUUUUCUCACAACAAGGAGAAAUUCAUCCUCCUUGAUCCACAUCAAGCUUAACAAGACCAAUUUUCUUGAUGGACUUAGUCUUUCUAAAGACUAUCGAGUCCAUAACUUUUUGUUUUAUUUUUUAUUUGAGAUUUUUUCGGUAUUGUUACUUGUUUUGUUUUUUAUUUUUCGUUUUAAUUUUAUUUGGUUUGAUUUAACUUAGGUUUUUGAUGAUCAAUUACAGGGGGGAUUUCAAAUAGAGGAAAAACCAAGAUAAUUCGCACACCCUACGAAAAUUUCGCAAGGCAUGCGAAAUUUAUGGCUUAUUUUGCAUGGGGUGAAAAUUUUCGUACAUCUUACGAACCAAUUUCGAACACUUUGCGAAAAUAAACCAACCCUGCGAAAUCAUUUCGAUUACUCUACGAAAUUUUCGUAGAGCAUGCGAAAAAUUUAGCACACCAAACACCAUUUCGCAUACUAUGCAAAAACCUAAGGGGUCUGCGAAACCAUUUCGCACCUCCAAAUCCAUUUCGCACAUUGUGCGAAAACCAAGAGGCGCUGUGCGAAAAUGAAAAGUCGCCCUGUCAUCCCUUUUUAAACCCCUCGAGCCCUAAAAUCUCCAUUUCGCAAGCACCCCUGUCCUUGCGAAUCCCUCAUUUUCCUCUACUACCUUGCAACCUCGUCCCUUUCCAUUUGAUAUUGUGCCCCGCGCACAUCUCAUUUCAGAGACUCGCACUCCGCGCCCCCUCAAAGCAUGGACUCGAGACCCACCUUCCAUUUCCGACGUGGCACGGACCCAAGGAGCCCUUUCUGCCCCUUCACUAAGACACACACCAAGGCAGAAAGCCUCCUUUGCUCAAGUGCCUAGUGAUUCUCCAUCUUAGGCCUCAGAGGCCUCGGAGGCCCCGUGGAUUCCACCUUCCGAGGGUAGAGCAGCCAUUGGUCCUUCCUCUUCUACUCCUUAGCGUAGAUACGAGACGAGGAGACCACCUACUACACAAGGGGCGACUACUUCGAGCCUUGAGAAUUCAGUACGAUGCCUUCCUGCCAAGAGGGUCAAGACUUCAGGUCCAAGUGAGUCAUCCAGAGCUUCAUAGCCUAAGCCUCCUGUAGAUUCCAAGGUUCCUACUGACAUAUCACCGGAGUCUAUUAUCAGAAGCCCGAUGCUCAUAGCACCGCCCAUUGAGGGCAACUCAGAUUAUAGAGCGAGAUCUUUCCACUUGGAGCUAUAUUUUGAUCAGGAGGCCAUACGACAGCAGCCUGAGCUCCGAGACUCUUAUGGCUUACUGCAGAGGUACCAUCUUGAGGAACUUAUGACUCCUCGUGAGUUUUUUUAUCCCAGAGUAGCACUAAACUUUUACCAGUCCAUGACUACUCGUGGCGUCCCGAGUCCUACCACGAUUCACUUCACCAUUGAUAGACGUCAUGGUAUCCUCAAGGCCAGACAUAUUACAGAGGCUCUACAAAUUCCUUUCGAGCUAGAGGAUCCAUCUGUUUUUCGCUAAUGGUCCCCAGUAUCUCAGAGGGACAUGGUCCGUAUUUUAUCUAGGGGAACAUCUACAGAUUCGAUCUUUCUACGGAAGGAGCUUCGACCUGGGAUGCUCCUCUUAGAUGUGGUGCUAUGCUCCAACCUCUUUCCCUUACAACAUUCGGUACAUAGGUGAUGAGCUAUUUUGGACGCUUUAUUCCGUAUAUCAGAGGGCUUCUACUUUGGCCCGCACCACUUGAUCAUGGUCUCCCUCAUCCACUUUGAGGAGAAGGUUCAUAGGAAGAAGCUUCAGAGGGUGGACACCAUUCCAUUACUAUUCCUGAGGUUACUUUGCCAGGUCUUGGAGUACAUGGGCUUUCCUACUGAGCCUCGGCUCGAGCUUUGCCGCCUUUGUCGAGAGUGAUCCACUCUCGACAAAUGGAAUUAGUUGGCGGGCUAUUCUGCACCUCCAGGAGCCCCUCCCAUGGUAGCACCUCCAAUGUCCCCACAGGCAAAGUAGGGCGAGCUCCCGGCAAAGACUGUACCACCAAUGCCCACACUUGAGGCUAUUUCUGCUGCUCUGCCUAUGACUCCUACUGUUCCACCAGUUGGUCCUUUUACAUCCGAGCCUUCCAUCACCAUCUCGGCUUCGGAGUUUCGCGCCCUUGUGCAUACCUUUCAGACACUCACCACCACACAUACUCCUCUCUUCUAGCAAAUGGUUGAGAUGUGUGCCCAUCAGGACCGGAAGACUACUAUACUCUGCCAAAUUCAGCAGCACCUAAGACUUUUGCCUCAACCUCAACCUAACCAUCCCAUAUCAUCAGAGCCUCUAGCUCCAACUGAGGAUACUAUUCCACCUGAGAACACUACCACAGUAGAGGUCCGGUUUCCACCACCUUAAGAGGCCACCACAGCUACAUCAGAGGAUGUGUCAUCUCCACUUGAGGCUCCCACUACUUGAUCAUAGGACAUAUCUUUAUCUUAUUGUAUUUACAUAUUAUAUUACUAGAGAUUUGUCCUUGUUUUGAUACUUUAUAUUCUGGGAUUGGAUGUAUUGCCUGAUGAUAUCUCAAUUGUACUUUCUCAUAUUAAUAUAUAGACAUCAAUUUUUUUUAGUAUACUUAGCAUUUUUCUAUUUCCUCUACUCAUUACUCUUUUGUUUUUUUUUACUCAUGUGGUUUCUCUUAUACAACUCAGACUCCAUUUCACUCAGGAGGUACCACUUCCUCCCUUUAUUUUCAAUUGCUCUUGAAAUAUUGAGUGCAAUGUUGAUCUUGGUUGGGGGGAGAGUUGAGGAAGGAAGUUUUGUUAAUAAUGCUAGGUUAAUUUGUUAAUUUAGUUACUUUCUGCUUAAUUUUAAAAGUUUUCACUCUACUUUCCAUGGUUAUUAAGGAAAAAUUCUCAAAAUGAAAUGGGAGAAAUCGAAUUCUUGCAUUUUUACUUGAAUCUUAGAAUUUGUAUCAUGCUUAUUAAAGUUGAUGAAUUAUUGAAACUCCUAUUGAAUUCAACCUUAUUUUUUCCACUUUAAUCUUACCACACACGGUGCACAUUAGGUUCCAGUUAUAAGAUAAAAAACUAUCUCACCCCCUAAACUUAGAAAAAUUUACACUUGGUACCUUUGACAUCGUUUUAAUAGUGUUGGGACACCUUAUAAAAGGCCAAUGAGCCUUUAAAAAAAAAAAAAAAAAAAAAAAGAGAAAGAACAAAGUAUUGCACUUGCCUUGAAACCUGAGCAAGAUCCGAGGGGUAUACAGUGAAAGUCUUUAAAACCUGGUGCCCUAAGCCUUGAUUGGUUGGGAGUCACCGACCUCAAUGCUCGUUAUAAGGGUGAAUAGGUGGAGUUUAACAUAUUGUAGGUGCUUGGGUAUUGAAUUUCAAUCUCAAAAGUCCGGGAAAAAAUCUAAGGAGUUAGUGGUCAAAAGAUCCUUAAAGCUUGAUGCCCUAAACCUUGAUUGGUUGAGAGUCAUUGAUGGAUCCCCGCUACAUGGACAUUUUAGAAAACAAUACCUUUAGCAUUGCACGCCUACAAUGAAAAAAAAAUGUGAAAUAAAAGAGGUGCGUUCUUAGCCUAUUGGAGGUUGGUCAGUUUGCUAAAGUUUGAGAAAUCUAGGUUGGGGGGAGAGAAUAGUCCGACAUACUAUAAUAAAAAACUAAUAACCUUAACACUUAGAUUUUUGUGGAAGAGUAAGGAUUGGACCUUUAGGGGUGGAAAUUCUUUUGAUGCUUAAAUUUGCAUAAUGCCUACUCUUUAUAAAUUAUGAUUAGGCAAGAGAUUUGAUGACUCUUGUUCAAAGUUGGGUUUUUCCUCUUUGAUGUUCCAUGAGAGAGUAUAAUCCUCAUCAUGCCACUUGAAAUCUUUUUGGAGUGAUUAACAUGAUUUUGUAAAUUAUUUUACUGUCUAUUUUUCUUUAUCUCUCUUUUAUUGCUAAUGGACUAGCAAUAUGUCAGUUGGGGGGAGUGAUUACUACUCAAAAAGUACUCUUUUAUAGCUUGAAACUAACUGUUUUAAACACUUUUGAGUAGGUGUUAAUACAUUUUAACUCAAUUGGCACAUUAAGGAACCUAACAAGGGUUACUAAUAAGUUUUUGGCAAGUUUUGGUGUUUUUGGUAGCUAUUUGAUCAUUGAAACAAGCCAAGAAUGAGGGAGAAUUUUGUGAAGUCCAUAGCAAUGCAAGUUAAAGCUCAAAUACAUGAAGAAUCCAAGCUUUGAAGCACUUCAUAGCCCUUUGCGAAGCCAAUCAGAGAUGCAAGGAAGAAAACCAGAGGAAAAAAUCCAACAACCAGCAUUUUCGCAUGGCUGUGCGAAAUUUUGCACACCAUGCGAAACCACAAGAAGUAGCCAAAGAAUUUUGCACACCAUGCGAAAUUUCGCAUGGUAUACGAAAUCUUCCUAUGCACCAACUCCGUUAUAUUUUUAUCUUCAGAUAUUUUGUGUAAUUUCCUAGUUUCUCCUUGUAACCAACCUAGAUAUUUUCUUUUAUAUCUUUUUUUUAUAUUUUUUAGGUAACAUCAUAUAUAGGGGGAGAGACAUAAGGAGGAUAUGGAUGUUUUUCAUAAAACACUUUUAAUUUUCUGGUAGUAAGAAAUAUACAAAGUUUUUUGCUCUGCCUUACCUUCUCAUUUUGUUUUCACCUAUCUUUCUAGCCAAACAACCUCUGAGAAUGAUUUCUCAGGGGAUGAGUAGUUAGGUUUUACGUUUCUUGGAGUGAGAGAAGCUAGGUGAAAGACCCAAAUGCUAAGGUGGGAGUUGUCCUUGCUUUAAAUGAAAGUAGUUGUUAAAUAUUAAUGGUUUUUAUUUUAAGGUUUAGCUUUAAAUCCCUUAAAAACACCUUGAAUGGCCAAUACUUGGUAAGCUUUUCGGAUUCUAUGGAUGCUUAUUGCUAGAUCCAUGGAUGUCAUUAGUUAUCAUUUAUGAGCCAUUGGAAGGUGGUUCAAGAUGAGAGUCUUUAGUGUUUGAAGCCAUUAAUGGGAAACAAUUACCAUUUUUUCAUGAAUCCUUUGGAUAAAAUCUUAAUUGCUAAAUAUAAAACUGGUUCGGGAGAUAACCAUCCUUUAUGUUAUUAUGCCCAAUGCAAGGAGAAGAUUUCGAAUCUUCUCAUUUGUCUAAGGAACCCGAUCCUAGUGACCUAAAGCUCCUAGAGACCUUUUCUUUGUAGUUAACUUCAUUUAUUGUUUUUGCUUAACUUAAAAUCAAUCUUUGCAACCACAAUUCCAUUUUCUUUAAAAGCUAAUUUUUAUAAGGAAAAGCACCAUUUUAUUUCCUUCACUAAGUCAACUGUAUGAUGAAAACCCAUCCCUGUGGACGAUCUUAGAGCCACUAUACUAUGUUAUCUAUGCUAUCCUAGUGUGAGGUGAUUUAGGUUUUAUAAAUUUUGUUGAUAACACCCGUCUGAGCCAGAAUCAAAUGGAACCACUGAACCAGGGACAAAUCAACAGCCUAUAUGGGAGGGACACAAGUUUAAUUGAUUUGCAUUUCAGCGUUAUAGAUAAGUAUGUUUUGGAAGAUUUGUUCUGGAAAUACUGCACCAAGUACGAUUCUUUUUCUCUUGAGUGAGUCCAUUUGCAUGCCAAUUAACGAGUUGAAAAGUAGGAGCACCUACCUCGUGCUCAUGGAACCGAAUGUCAGUGAAGUGGGGCUCCUUUUAGCCUCUUGUGUUUCUGUUCCAACCAAGGCGGCGUAGGGAAAAACAACAAUAUGUCUGUGCUAAAUAUCAACGCAUGAUAGAUGUUUUUUUUUUUUUUUUUGGUAUGUCAAGGCUAACGAAUGAAAUGCAUUAGCUUGUUUUGUGACUAUAACUGCAAAUGUCCAAAUUGGAGUAUCUCCAUUUCUCACUUCGGAUGGUUAACUUUAUAAACAAGAUAUAGGAAACAUGUGAACAUCUUGAGGAACAAUUCAAAUUAUUCAUUAGAAGUCCUGGGUUAAGUUCCAAGAUUUAAAUCAGACCCUUCUAGCAGCUUCAAGGGUACUUAGCAACCUAUAACAUAUUAAUGAAGAUUUAGGAUUUAGACUCCGGAAUACAAAUAAAUAUGUAUCUCAUGCUUUGACUAGCUUCCCUACAUAUGCAUAAAAUGGAGAUGACCCAAAAAAAAUAGCAGAAUCUAGCUUCCCUACAUAUGCACAAAAUGGAGAUGACCCAAAAAAUAGCAUAAUCGCCUUAGUUUCUGUGGUUAAGGUGAUUCUCCGCUUAAUAUCCACAUUGACUCAUUAUGCAAAAUCAACUGAGCUAAUUUUAUUUAUUUAUUUAAUGUCAAAUAGGAACUCCUAAUUAACUGAUUACUGUCGAAAAGUGCUAUUUUGUAGACCUAAUUAUAAGGGUUUUAAGCACCUUUGAGUAGUAAUCAUAUUCAUUUAACCUAAUUAAUUCAUUAAGCUCCUUAGUAAUUAGUUCUAACCAUUUUUAGUGGCAAGUUUACAUGUUUUUCAUCAGCUUAUGAACCAAUUCAAGCAUGCCAAUUGAUGGAGGAGCUACUUGGGCGAGUUAAGCAAGGAUUUUGGACGUUUACAGGCUUGAAUUUCAAGUGGAAACACGAGCACAAGCAAUGGGAACACCAUUUCGCAAGGGGAGGCAAUUCACCUUGCCAAAUGACCAAUUUCGCAAGGGGAUUUUCCUCAUGGUGCAAAAUUUGGUCAUUUCGCACCAUGAAGAAACCACCUUGCAAAAUUUCGCAAGGUGGAUUUAGGCACCUUGCGAAAUGCCAAAUUUCACAAGGUGGCUUUUCACCUUGCGAAAUUUGGACCUUUCAUCUUCCCCCCUUGCGAAAUGCCUUUGAAAUCCCCUGUUUUGAGACGCUGUUGAUGAUAUUCCACUGCCGGUUCUCCAAGAUAUUUUGCUUGACUUUUAGCUUUAUAAAUACCUAUUUUACCCUUGUAAUCAACCAAUGAAAAGGUUGCUUUUGUAAUAGCUCUUGUAAUUUAGCUUUUUAUUGUCUUUAAAUAGAGGUGAAGAGCCUCAGACACGAUCAUCUUGUAACCUGUAACUUUAUAAGUUAUAAGAGCACUUUUGUUCAUACGCUUCUUUUCUCUUUUCUUUCUCAUUUUCUUAGUAGCCAAACAUCCUUGGAGGAUGAAAUCCCCAAGGAUGAGAGGCUAAAACCUUUUAGUUUCUUGAAGUAAUGGAUGCCAUGUGAAGCUCCCGUGUCAGGAUGGAGAUUUCCAAGCCAUAAAUGUAAGUAGCUGAGCGUCAUAAAUGUUUUCAUUCAAAGUAAAGCUUUUAAUCCCUCUGACUUGCUUUGAAUGGCCAAUACUUGAUAACCUUUUGGUCUCAAUGGAUUCUUAUUGUUAGAUCCACUGACGUUCAUUAGUUAUCUCCUACGAGCCAUUGUAUUGCAAGUCGAGGAGAUGACCUAUACCAAUAAAAGAGCAUUUAUGAGGUUCAACUACCCUUUUUGUAAGUUUUCAAGGACUAAAACUCAGUUGUUAAACUCAUACCGGUUCGAGAAGUAAGCAUCACCUUAGUUGCUUCCCCAACUCGAGGUGAAAAGUCCCAAAAUCUCCAUUUUUACACAGUGAGUUAAGCAUGGCUAUCCAAAGCUUUAAGAAACUUCUUUUUCCAUCUUUUAACCUAUUUUCAUGUUAGUUUAGUUUACAACACCUUCAUCUUUUUAUGUUUUCAUCUUAACCUAAUUUUUAUUAAGAAAAGUUCACUCCAUCCUCCGAACUUCACCAGUUAAAGUAAAAACCCUUCCCAGUGUUCGAUCCUAGAGCCACUAUGCUAUAGUAGCUUUGCUACUUUAGUGUAAGGACCUUAGGUAUAAAUUUUGUUGAUACCCUUACAUGCCAAGCUACCAAGAGUCGGGUUAUCAUUAACCUAACCAUUGGCCUGUGUAAAUUGAUUUCACAUGCACAAUGUUGUAGUAGAAGUCCAUAUUUUGAAUUUUAUUUUUGUAAAGGUAAGGAAAAUGAAGCAUUGUGUAAUUAUAAAAAUAACUUCAUUGGAAUUCACAAGGUUCACCCAAAAUGGAGCUACAUCUGUAUUCUAUCCUACAGUAGACUAUAUAGAUUGUACAAUAGUAAAUUGCAAAUACAAUUAAUAAGUCUUGUGCUUCCUUACUAAUAAUCCUUUGACAUGAACAUUGCAGCACUAAGGUCCUCUUGGGAAGACACCUUGCACCCAUGAGAGCACUAAGAGGAAGCAAGGCAGAGUCAUGGGUGCAAUGUCAUGACUUGUUGUUGCACCAAGAGAGGCUUGGUGAUGCCAUGGUGUUGCAGUAGCAAGAAUGUUGCCUUGGCAGGGACACGAUCUAGGGAUAGAUGCCAAGAAAGGCUUAGCACUCACAUGAGUUGCACAAAGAUGAAUGUAAUAGAGCAUCAGAGAGACGUCUUGGCAAGUAAAUGAAUGGAUCCAAGAGACAACAACAUGAGGAGUUUCAAAUGGAUAAGGAAUGACUCAAAGACAUUUGAAAGCUACAAGUUGGAUUCUAAUUACGAUUGCAAUUUGAGUUUGAGUAGGAGUUUAGAUUUUGAUUGUAAUUGUAGUAUGAGUUGGACUAGGAUUGCUUAUCCUUAGUCAAUAUAGGAGCGGUUCGUGUCACCCUAUGAAAAGAGUUUGAGUAGGGACUAGGAUUGCUUACUCCUAGUCAAAUAUGGAGUAGGUGGUGCCACACCUAUAAAAAAAAGGGACAACAUGAGAGAGAGAGAGAGAGAGAAAGAGAGAGUGAAUUCACUAAAGAUAUUGUGGGAGUUUUGCUUUGUUACGUCUUGUAUUAUUACUUAGAAUAGGAAUAAAAUACAAGUUGGGGCUAGAGCCCCAUAAUUAAUCUCGUGUGCCUUUGUGGUUAUUCUUUAUUUGUCAUCUCGUGUGGAUUGGAUUAGGUUGACUUAGAGGGCUUCUAAGCACCACCUUUGUGGGUUAUUAUUUAUUUUCCAUCUCUUGUGGAUUAGAUUAGGUUGACUUAGAGGGCUUCUGAGCACCACCUUUGUGGGUUAUUAUUUAUUUUCCAUCUAUUGUGGAUUAGAUUAGGUUGACUUAGAGGGCUUUUAAGCACCACAUUUGUGGGUUAUUCUUUAUUUUCCAUAUCGUGUGGGUUGGAUUAGGUUGACAAGGAGAAAAAUUAUGUGGGAAAUUUGUGUUGGGACACUUACCAUAACCAAGUAAAAUCUACCAAGUCCUUUGUAAUAUCUUCAACAAAUAUUUUAGACUAGUUCUUUCAGUUAGUGUAAAGGAGGAAGAAGUGGUAUUGAUUCUAGAAAUAGGGUGUGUGUAUUUGAACUACAAUCCUUAUGAUCCUUAGGUCUCUAAACCUUCGUGAUGGGCUCCCUGACAUUUCAUAGGUUGUGCUACACAUGCGUUUGAAAUUUAGAGUGCGUUUGACAGUGAUUCCGGGAAGUGUUUUUGGCCUUUCUUACACUUGAAAAUUUUUAUUUUUCAAGUAUUAGAAAUGCUACAAACACUUUUGAAAAUUACUGUCAAACACACUCUUAGGAGCGCACAUAUAUAGUAGAAAACUAGAAAUUGUGGUUUUUUUAGGAUUUACUGUAAUGUCAUUAGGAGGGUAGUAAGUUGAAAUUGAGUAUGAACAAAUAUUUCUUUCUUUGGGAUGUUCUUCUAGUAGGUGCUGAUGAAACUGUUCUUUCUACUGCCAAUGUCACAUAUCAGCCAGAAAUUGAAAAUUUCAGUCAAGGUGUCCUCUGUUUUAGUGGUGAGGAAAGCUAGAAAUUUUAAGGUGAAGUUUUGUUAAAAACCUUAAGUAGCUGGGAUAUCAGGCCUGUUUUGCUUGAAAAAAAAAGUUGCAAGAUAACUCAUAUGCCAAACAGGUUCUGAUAUUGUGAAUCUAUCGGCAGACAUCAGUAAUCUCAUCUUCUGAGAUGGAUGUUGGGGGUGCAUGUGGUGGUGGAGGGGCAAGGUUUCAUUUGGUUUAUUUUGUUGAUGGAUAUUGUCUAGCCACCUGCGCCAAGUUUGAGGGGUGGUGGGUUGUGAUGACCCUACAAUUACUAUUAAUUUCUUCAUCUUUUACCGAUUAAAGUGUCCGAACAGUCGAAGUUACCCUUAUGCAUGUCAACUUGAUCACUUACCUCUUCAAUGGAGUUUAUGCUGGUUCAUUUAGGAACUGAUUUUUAUUGUUAUGUAUUAUAUGCUGAUGUUUAGGUCUCUCCAUCAUCACUAUAUACAAAAAUUCUAGGUUGAUACUAUAGGUUGAGAUUUAUUUUUUAAAUAAAAAAUAAUAAAAAUAAAAAUUAUGGUGAUGUUUAGUUGUUUUAUGGAAAAUUUUAACAAGUAAAAGUUAUUUUUGGGCAAGUUUUCAAACAAAAAGAAAAGUAAAAGUUGUUUUGACAAAAACAUAUAGAAAAAAAAAUCAUAGAAAAUAAAUAAUUUCCCCAUAUUCUAACUUUUUUGAAUUUUUCUCAAUGGGCAAAGGAAUAUCAAAUCAAGUUUGAGUAGGAUUUCUUAAUUUUUAAAAUAACUUACAAUUAAAAAAUUUUGGUGUUUUCAUUUUUGGACAAUUUUUUAUUAAGCAAAUGGACUCUGAGUCAUGCAAGAGAUAUGGUUCAUUAACCGGUCGAACAAUUUUUUUAAAUUAAUUUAAAAGUCAAAUACAUAAUCAAUUUCACAAAAUUUAUAAACAAAAAUAGGUUUAGAGAAGAUCUACACAUAAUUUUACUUUUCUAAUUUUAUUUUAUUUUAUUUUUUGUUGGAAAAUAGUCUUCAAAUCAUGUAAGAUUUAAUAGGUUAAAUUUGUUAACAAUAAAUUUUAAAUUAUAAAAUAUAAUCUGGAACUCAAAAAUCAAUUCAAGUAAUGCUAAAAAAAAAUCAAAUUUGGUAUAGAAUGACUUUGUAAAUUUUUUUACAAAACAAAUGAAUUUUAAAUCAAGUGAGAUUUAAUGCAUUAGAUUUUUAUCAAAUAUAGUAAUUUUAAAAAUAAAUUUGGAACUCAACAAUAGACACAAUAAAUACCAAAAAAUAAUGAACCAAAAUUGGUUUGGAAUAACUCCACAACCUUUUUUUUUUUUUUUUGGUGCACACGAAUUUUCUUACUAGGUAUAUUGCUUUCAAAUUGAGAAAGAUUUACCAUUUAGAUUUUUUUUUAAUGAGUUUAAUGGUAUUUUAAAAUAAUUCAAAAUUUAAAAAAUUGACUAAUUAAUAUUAUAAAUUGAUAAACCAAGACUAUUUCAAAAUGCAUUGGGGGCUAAGGGGGUUGAAAAUAGGGACAAUGGGAUGGGUUUGGGACAUGACACUCAUAUCUCAUUUCCAUUCCAAUUACACAGUUAUCUCCCAUCCUUAUCCCAAACUUGUGUUGGAGCAAGUUGAUUUGUUCCCAUCUUUGUUGACGAAAUGACUAAUAACCUCAUCCCCUCCUUAUCUUAGAUGUACAUUUUGUCAAAUUUGAUCAGGUAUGAUUGAUCCAAGCCCUAACCCUAAUUGGUAAUGAGUGAAUACUACACCUAAUUGCAUUCUUCUUUCAUUGCAAAAUAAUGAGAUUAUAAUAAUCUAGCAAAUAAGAAAAAAUAGUAUGGAAGUUCAAAUUAACACCAUAACUAUCAAUAAUUUUAAGCUUAUAGAUGACUUAAAUGAUUAAAAACUAAUGCAAAAUCCUAAAAAAAAUAAAAAUCAUAUAAAGAAUUCACAAGAGAACAGAAUGAACAAAAACCAAAUAUGAACAUGGGUCAACAUUAGUUAUGGAUUUGGAUUCCUUUCAAGGCCAAUCUUUGAACCAAGACUUCAUCAAAUCAACUACUUCAAAGGCUUUUGUGUUCUUCUUGGGUUGUGCUCUCAAACAAAGACUUCGAGGUGAUGUUCUAGAUGAUUGAAUUACACAUAUUUAGGGUGGAGAGAUUGGAGAAGCUUGAAGAUGCCAACGAUGGGUACAAUUGAGUGGUCAAUAAGAACAAUGUAGCCUAUGACUAGUUUGAUGUCAUGGUACAAGAGUUUUAGGCAUUGAGGUUAAAGCAAGAGCAACAUGGAAUUGAUUUCGGAGUCUUUCAGUUAGUGUAAAGGAGGAAGAAGUGGUGUUGAUUCUAGAAAUAGGGUUUUAAGUGGUGCGUGAUUACUACUCAAAAAGUGCUAUUUGAUAGCCUUUAAUUAAUCCUUUUUAACACUUUUGAGUAGUAGUUUAGGCCUUUUAACUCAAUUGGCAUGUUAAGGAUCCUUUAAAGCAAUUUUGAUCACUUUGUGCAAGUUUUGGUGUUUUUGUUAGUAUUUUGAUCACCAAAGCAAGUCAAGAAUGAGGAGAACUAUGAGGAAUCAUGGGCAAAGCUUAGAAUUCAAUUGCCAAGAGUGAAUCCGGAUUGCAAGGAGAAAAAGCAAAGAGAAUCUGUCAUGAAGCCUAUUCUUGAUGACAGUCGUAGCAGCCACUUUUGGAGCACUUUCUGAAGUCCAAAUGAUGCAAGCUAUAUACCAUUUCAAAGAUCAGGAAGUCAACAAUCCAAUGCUUCAAACGGUGCGCGAUUCGGAGUUGAAACGAAGAAGUUGCAGCCAUUACAAGCCAGUCACUCUAAAGUGUUGCGGAAUCAGCCUUUUGUUGCGAGAAUUUCGCAGCACUUUUGUACAGUAAGGUGUUUCUCCUUCUGACGAUGCACGAACCAUGCCGCGAGAGGGAAGCUAGGAACUUCAAGAUGGAAGCCAACUUUGCAGCCUGGUGAAGAUAGCUUGGUCUUGCGAAAUAAUUUCGCAGCCCUCUUGGGUGUCUGCGAAAUUUCGCAGGCACCACUUUUUUCCUGCGAAAUGGCUCCGGAAGCCUCCCGAAGCUUGCUACCGACAUUGGGAGAUAUUUUCCAUUAGAUUUUUGUUGUCUAAAUUCCAAAAUACUCCUUGUAAACCACCAAUUACAUGAUUCCUUAGUUUUUAAGUUAGUAAAAAGACCAAAUAUCUAUGUAAUAAUUAGUUUUAUAUUAGUUUGCUAUAAAUACCUCUCGGGAGCAUGUUCUCAGAGAGGAGUUCCUUCUGUAACCAUUUUGGUAAGCAAGUAAAGUCUUUUCUUUCUACUGCCUUACCUUCUCACUUUGUAUUUUCAUUUUAUUUCUAAGUUAUGAAUUCUCUGAGGAGCUUUCCCCAGAGAAUGAGUAACUAAACCUCCAAUUCCUUGGAGCUAAGGUUGCCGGGGAAGGUUCCAAGUGCAAGAAUGCAAAGCUCUGUGGUUUUAGCUAGUAAUGAAGAGGAAGUGAAAUCCUUUAGUGAUUUCAAUGUUUUUAGUUAACUUAAAACACCUUGGAGUCACCUGGGCCAACACUUGGUAAGGCAAGUGAUUUCCAACCGUGGAAAUGCACUAGUUUACCCCUUGCGAGCCUCUGGUAGGUGACUUCAAGGUAGGAUUUUCUGGAAUUACCAACACUUGGUAAGCUUUUGGACUCCUAGGAGACAUCCAUUAGUUAUCUCUUGCGAGUUUGUGAAGGGGAAUCCAAGGUUAAAGAUCACCUUGAAUGGUAAGUGCUCGUGAGAGGCAUGAACCAUUGCAAGUUGUAUCAGUGAGAGAAUUAAAGUGAAAUCUAAUUGAAGGAGUCUCUGUACAUCACCGGUUAGAGAAUUGACUAUAAGUUGAAUCUCUAAUGCGAGGAAAUGAACCAUCUGACCGGAGCUAUGUCUUUUGCAUGAGGAACCACCCCAGUGAACCUAAAUCUCCAAGGAAUGCUUUUCUUCCUAAAUUAUUCCAAACUUCUGUUAAGUUAGUUAGUUUAAGUCUAAACCUUUACCAAUCAAACUUUGUGUUUUAUUUCUUAAGCUAACCGUGAAAUGAAACAAAACCAAUUCACUUGGAAUUGGUAUCCUUGAUUGCUUGCAAAUCAUUCCCAGUGAACGAUCCUUAGAGCCACUAUACUAUAGUAGCUUUGUAUUUGCUACCCUAGUGUAUGGUGUUAUAGGUAUAAAUUUUGUUGAUCACUUCCUCAAUCAAGGAACACCAGCUGAACACAAAUCAGCUGAGACACCAAUUGGGCAUGAGUCAAAUGGCGCCGUUGCCGGGGAAUGAGUGUCAAGAUCAUUGUGAUACCAUUUUUGAGCACUUGUGAUUUUCAUCACAAGUUGGUAAAGUUUCUUUCACUUUACUAAUUUUCAUUCUCUCUUUGUUUAUUUACAAUCUAAGUUUAUCUUUUUAAAAUUUAGUCUAGUUUAAUUUUGCUAUUGUAGCCUUGUUUCUCUUGUUGUCCUCUGUUCUUGUUGUCCUCUGUUUUCAUUUUAGUUGCAGCUGAAUACUAGUUGUGUAUGCCAAAGUGGAUACGAGACAUUGGAGGUAGGCUUAUUAAGUGUGAUACACCUCAGAGAGGAGAAUUGGAAGUAAUCUUGAAUAUCAUGGAGGCUGCACCUGAAGAUCAGCAUAGUCACCAAGGUCGUCAAGACAAUCUCAAUGAAUUCAGAUCAAUGAGGGACCGUAUGCAUCCACCUCGUAUGAGUGCACCAUCAUGUAUAGUGCCCCCUACAGAGCAACUAGUGAUCAGACCAUAUCUUGUUCCACUUCUACCAACUUUCCAUGGGAUGGAAAGUGAGAAUCCGUAUGCACACAUCAAGGAAUUUGAAGAUGUUUGUAAUACAUUCCAAGAGGGAGGAGCUUCAAUUGAUUUGAUGAGGCUUAAGUUAUUUCCUUUUAAUUUAAAGGAUAAGGCCAAAAUUUGGCUUAAUUCUUUAAGGCCAAGGAGUAUCCGCUCUUGGACUGAUUUACAAGCUGAAUUCCUCAAGAAAUUUUUUCCUACUCAUAGAACAAAUGGCUUGAAAAGGCAAAUUUCAAACUUCUCAGCUAAAGAGAAUGAGAAAUUCUAUGAGUGUUGGGAAAGAUACAUGGAAGCUAUAAAUGCUUGUCCUCACCAUGGCUUUGAUACUUGGCUACUGGUGAGUUAUUUUUAUGAUGGUAUGUCCUCCUCAAUGAAGCAACUCCUCGAGAAAAUGUGUGGAGAAGAUUUCAUGAGCAAAAAUCCAGAGGAAGCUAUGGAUUUCUUGAGCUAUGUAGCUGAUGUUUCAAGGGGAUGGGAUGAACCAACUAAAGGAGAAGUGGGAAAGAUGAAGUCUCAGUUGAAUGCUUACAAUGCAAAGGCUGGGAUGUAUACUUUAAAAGAGGAUGAUGACAUGAAAGCAAAGUUGGCAGCUAUGACAAGAAGAUUGGAGGAGCUGGAGCUGAAAAGAAUGCAUGAAGUGCAAGCUGUUGCUGAAGCACCAGUGCAAGUGAAGUUGUGUCCCAAUUGUCAAUCGUUUGAACAUUUGGUAGAGGAAUGCCCUGCAAUUUCAGCUGAAAGGGAAAUGUAUAGAGAUCAAGCAAAUGUUGUUGGACAAUUCAGGCCCAAUAACAAUGCUCCUUAUGGAAAUACCUACAAUUCAAGUUGGAGGAAUCAUCCAAAUUUUUCAUGGAAGGCCAGAGCAACUCAAUACCAACAGCCGGAUCCACCAUCUCAACAAUCUUCAAGUAUUGAACAAAUAAUAGCUAAUCUCAGCAAGGUAGUGGGAGAUUUUGUGGGAAAGCAAGAAGCCACCAAUGCUCGAGUGGAUCAAAGAAUGGACAGAGUGGAUCAAAGAAUGGACAGAAUGGAGAGUAUGUUGAACAAAAGAAUGGAUGGAAUGCAAAAUGAUAUGAAUCAAAAAUUUGAUAACAUCCAAUAUUCAAUUUCAAGGCUUACAAAUUUGAAUACACUGCAAGAAAAGGGAAGAUUUCCUUCUCAACCUAACCAAAAUCCCAAAGGUGUCCAUGAAGUGGAAAGCCAUGAGGGAGAAUCAUCACAGGUGAAAGAUGUGAAAGCUUUGAUCACUCUAAGGAGUGGUAAGAAAAUUGAGCAGCCAACACCCAAGCCACAUGUUGAGAAAGAAGAAGAGAUGAAGAAAGGGAAGGAAAUGGAAGAUAAAGGCAGUGAGAUCAGUGAAGAAAAGAAGGACUCUGAUGCAACAAUGAAAGUAAUUCCAGAGAAGGAGCUUCUGAAGGAAGAAAUGCUGAAGAAAUCAACUUUUCCACCUUUUCCUCAAGCAUUACAGGGGAAAAAGGGGGUUAGAAAUGCAGCUGAAAUCCUAGAAGUAUUGAGGCAAGUGAAAGUUAAUAUUCCACUGCUGGAUAUGAUCAAACAAGUUCCAACGUAUGCAAAAUUCCUAAAGGACUUGUGUACUAUCAAAAGAGGGUUGACUGUAAACAAGAAAGCCUUCUUGACUGAGCAAGUAAGUGCAAUCUUACAGUGUAAGUCUCCUUUGAAGUACAAAGACCCUGGAAGUCCUACCAUUUCAGUCAUGAUUGGAGGAAAGGUAGUGGAGAAAGCCUUGCUAGACUUGGGAGCAAGUGUGAAUUUGCUUCCAUAUUCUGUCUACAAGCAACUGGGACUUGGAGAGUUGAAGCCAACAGCAAUCACUUUGUCUCUGGCAGAUAGAUCAGUGAAAAUUCCAAGAGGGGUAAUUGAGGAUGUAUUGGUUCAAGUAGAUAAUUUCUACUAUCCUGUAGAUUUUGUUGUUCUUGAUACAGAUCCUACUGUAAAGGAAGCUAAUUUAGUUCCUAUCAUCCUUGGAAGGCCAUUUCUUGCAACUUCAAAUGCAAUCAUCAACUGUAGAAAUGGGCUUAUGCAACUCACUUUUGGUAACAUGACACUGGAUCUAAAUAUUUUCUAUAUGUCUAAAAAGCAAAUCACUCCAGAAGAAGAAGAGGGUCCAGAAGAGCUAUGUAUUAUUGAUACUUUGGUGGAGGAGCACUGCAAUCAACAUAUGCAAGAUAAGUUGAAUGAAAGUUUUGUGGAUAUUGAGGAAGGUUUUUCUGAAUCUCCUAAUGGGCUUGCUACUCUACAAAGUUGGAGAAAGAUAGAAGGAAUUCUACCUUUGUUCAAUGAAGAAGAGGAGGCAGCUGUUGAAAAAGAAAUUCCAAAACUCAAUCUGAAGCCUUUACCUAUGGAGCUGAAAUAUACAUAUCUUGAAGAAAAUAAUCAAUGUCCUGUCGUAAUAUCUUCAUCUCAAACCAAGUCUCAAGUGAAGGAUGCAAGCUUCAAAUGGGAUCCGGGCAAACUGAAUCAGGAAGGGCAAAAAGUUUUGAUGUAUGACACAAGACUCCAUAUCUUUCCUGGGAAGCUCAAGUCAAGGUGGAUUGGUCCAUUUGUUAUUCACCGAGUAUAUUCCAAUGGAGUGGUGGACUUAUUGAAUUCCAAUGGCAAGGACAGCUUUAGAGUCAAUGGAUAUCGUCUUAAGCCGUUCAUGGAGUCAUUCAAAUCAGAAAAGGAGGCAAUCAACCUCCUUGAACCUCAAAAAGCCUAAGUGAAAUGGGUUUGCUGGACGUGGUUUUACCACAGUCCAAAAAUUUUUGUAAAUUUUGUAAAUUUUCAAGUUGUUUCCAUGCUUUUAAUCUUAGUUUUUGAUUUUAAAUCAUGUUUUUAGGUGUGUUUUAAUCGUUUUAUAUGAUCCCAGGCGGAAGAAAUUUCAAGGGGAUUGAAAAGAAAAAAAUCGGGUCGAAAUUGGAGCCGAAACAGAGCAAAAACAGGGGAAAAACAGAGCUCUGCGAAAUUUCGCAGGGUGAAGGAAACUUCUGCGAAAUUGGCAUUUUGCUGCCAAACCAUUCCGCAGCACUGUAGAAGCCUCUGCGAGUGUAUUUCGCAAUUGCGAAAGUGGAUUUGGCACACGAGUGCCACUUCGCAGCACAGUGACAUCAAUUUCGCAGCUGCGAAACUCACUGCGAAGUUGCUGCGAAAAUGGCAAGUUGCUGCGAAAUUGGCGUUUUGUUGCGAAACGUAAUCUGACCCCUGGGCUUCCGUUUUUCCUAUUUAUACCUGUCAAAAGUGCUGCGAAAAAGGUUUCAAAAAUUAGAGCACCAUUCUCGCAGCCCUUUCAUCUUCUUCGCCAAGCCACGCCGUCCGUUUCUCCGGUCGUCUUCUCCGUUUAGCAGCGCCGGCCAAAGAUCGAUAGCCCAAAAAUGGCACGAACGCGAGGGGCAAAGUCUUCAUCCCCUUCGAACCGCAAAAGGAGUCUGCGAAAGGAGCCAAGUUCAGGCUCUGUUCCAGAACCUGCUCCAAAGCCUUCGCCGUCGAGACCACAACCUUCUCCAGUGAAGCCGGCGCCACCAAAGCCGCCGGCAAGGCGAUAUUUAACCAGGUCAGGUGGUCAGCCAUUGAAGAAGAAAGCCAGAGUUGAGAGCUCUGAACCAAUCGAUUUGACUGAGCAAUCCCCUGAGAAAUCACCAAAUCCUUCACCGGUACAAAUUCCAGUGCCAUCACCGGUUCCCUCGCCAAUUCCCUCACCAGAAGCAACUCCAAUUCCAUCGCCGGUACCAUCUCCGGCACCCCAAGAAAAAGCUCAGGAGCCUCAAGCGCCAAUUCCAGAGCCCCAAAUUGCAGCUGAAGCACCUCUGGAAGAAGUGAUCCGAAGGCCAAUGCUGCCUCAGCCCCCAAUCGAAGGAAACCUGGAUUGCCGAACUCGGGCAUUCCAUUCUGAGCUUUGCUUCGAUUUAACAGCAUUCAGAGUGAGGCCAGAGCUUGCCCAAUCCUUCCAACUGCUGAGGAGAUAUCAUAUGGAGCAUCUGCUAGCUCCAAGGGAUUUUUUCUAUCCCCGGGUAGUCACGGAUUUCUACCAAACCAUGACAACCAAAGAAGUAAGAAAUCCAACUCUGAUUCAUUUCAUAAUUGAUGGAAGGCAUGGUAUUUUGGGAGCAAGACAUAUUGCUGAAGCCCUGCAAAUUCCUUUUGAGCCAACUCAAUUCGACAAUUUUAAAGCUUGGACAAAUCCUACUGAGUUAGAGAUGGUUAGCACACUAACCAGAGGAGCUGCAAAUCGAUCGCAUUUGUUGAGGGGGGAGCUACCUCCAGUUAUGUUUUUGAUUGAUGCCUUUUUGAGGCAUAAUAUCUAUCCCCUGCAGCAUUGGACCCAAAGAAGGGGAAUUCUCCUAGAAGCCUUGUACAAAAUGUCUGAAGGAUUCUUCUUUGGGCCUCAUCAUCUGAUCAUGGCAGCCCUUCUAUACUUUGAGGAGAAGGUUCACAAGAAGAAGCUUCAAAGAGCAGAUUGCAUUCCACUCCUCUUCCCAAGGCUGCUAUGCCAAGUUUUGGAGCAUCUCGGAUACCCCUCUGAGCCUCAGCAGGAAAGAAAGAGAAUAUGCCGUGAGCCUUUUACCCUUGAUAAAUGGAAUAAUAUGACGGCCUACAAAAUUGAUCAGCCUGGGCAGCCUCAGCCAGCAGCAAGGAGAGUCUCCCCAAGACAUAUACCUGAAGGUAUAACACUUGCUACUCCUGCCAUCCCUCGAGCUCCACCAGCUGCACCUGCUCCAUCACAGCCAUCCACAUCAGCUGAGCCGAGGAUGGCCAUCCCUAUAUCCGAAUAUCGAGAGCUGUGCCGUGCAUUGGAGACUCUUACAGCUUCUCAGAGCAAUCUUGCUCAGGAGUUGGCAGCCAUUAAAGCAUGCCAGGAGCAGAUGUUAGCCUCUCAGACUCAACAAGCUGCCAUCCUAAGGCAGCUUCAAGUCCAUUUCGAUCUGCCACAAGCUGUAGAGCCCUCUAUUCCUACUCCACCAGAGCCACACUCUCAGCCUUCAGAGUCUCAUCCUCCAGAACCCGAAGCACCAGCUGAUCCACCUACUGAGGAGGCAGAUCCUUCUGCCUAGCACCAUCACCCCCCUCAUCAGACAUUAUAUAUAUAUUUGCUGUUUAUGUUUUUAUGCAUGUUUGUUUUGUUUUAGUUGAAAAGAAAUCCCAGUAUUUUGGUACUAUAUAUGGGAUUCCUUGUGUUACUUGUCUUUAGUAUUGUAAUCACAUGAACUCAAAGUAAUACAAGUUGACUAUUUCUUGUUAAAAGUUAGCAUUAAAGUUUCCUUAUUUCCUUUUCUCACAUAUUCUAUUCUUUUUGAAACAUGUGGUUUUCCCCAAUCAAUAUUCGAAUUUGAUAUCAGCAUGGAGGUACCACUUCCUCCCUUUUAUUACAGUCACUCAAAUCACAUUGAGGACAAUGCUCAGUUCGGUUGGGGGGUAUGAGGAAGGAAGUAUUCUAAACCUUUUUGGUAUUGCAAUUAUAUUGGUUAAUUAGUUGUAGAUUUUACUUUUUACUAGUGUUACUCUAUUCUCCAUGAAUUUUGAGGAAAAAUUUUCAAAUUAAACCAAGAGAAAUUGAACUGUUGUUUUUCACUUGACUUAGAGUAUGGAUUAUGCUUACUAAAGUGGUUCAAUUGUUGAAACUUCUACUGAAAUUGAAUUGAGUUCUUCCACUUUAAGCUAUCCACACACUGUGCACAUUAGUUUCCGAUUAUAAGAUGAAAAGCUAUUUCCCUCUUGACUUAGUAUAUUUUUGGGACUUGGUAUAUUUGACCUCAUUUGAUAAAAAUUGAAACACCCUGCAAAAGGCCAAUGAGCCUUUGAAAUAAAGAAAGUUGUUUGCUUGCCUUGAAACCCGAGCAAGGUCUGAGGGGUAUAUGGUGAAAAUCUUUAAAGCCUGGUGCCCUAAGCCUUAAUUGGUUGGGAGUCACCGACCUCAAUGCUCGUUACAAGGGUGAAUAGGUAGAGUUAGCAUAUGGUAGAUGCUUGGGUAUUAGAAAUUCAUUCUUAAAAGUCCGGGGAAAAAUCCGAGGAGUUAGUGGUUGAAAGAUCCUUAAAACUUGGUGCCCUAAACCUUAAUUGGUUGGGAGUCAUCGAUGGACCCCCAUUACAUGGACAAGUCAGAAAGAGUACCCCAUAAAGCUACCUUAAAAAAAAAAAAAAAAAAAAAAAAAAAAAAAAAGAUGAAAGUGUGUUCUUUUCUUAUUGAUUUUGGUCAGUUUGCUAAAGUGUUGAAAAGAGAUAGGUUGGGGGGUGAGAUUAGUAGCAUAUUAUUCUCGGAACCUAAGGAACCAAUACACAUAGAUUUUUGUGGAAGAUUGAAGUUUAGUUCUUAGAAAAUGAAAUGAUUUUAAAACUUCAGUUUGCAUAAUGCACUCCCUUGAUUGACAGUGUUUAGCAUAGGUGUUAUGACUCUUGUUGAGAUUUGGGUUUGUAUUUCUUUAAUGAUUCAUGUGAGAAAUAGAUCAUCAUGCCACUUGAGAAUUAUUUUCCUUUUAGCAUGAUGUUGUAAAUUUUAGAUUAGUUUGCUAUUUAUUUUUUAUUUUCUCUCCUAUAUUGCUAAGGGACUAGCAAUAUGUCGGUUGGGGGGAGUGAUUACUACUCAAAAAGUGCUAUUUGAUAGCCUUUAAUUAAUCCUUUUUAACACUUUUGAGUAGUAGUUUAGGCCUUUUAACUCAAUUGGCAUGUUAAGGAUCCUUUAAAGCAAUUUUGAUCACUUUGUGCAAGUUUUGGUGUUUUUGUUAGUAUUUUGAUCACCAAAGCAAGUCAAGAAUGAGGAGAACUAUGAGGAAUCAUGGGCAAAGCUUAGAAUUCAAUUGCCAAGAGUGAAUCCGGAUUGCAAGGAGAAAAAGCAAAGAGAAUCUGUCAUGAAGCCUAUUCUUGAUGACAGUCGUAGCAGCCACUUUUGGAGCACUUUCUGAAGUCCAAAUGAUGCAAGCUAUAUACCAUUUCAAAGCUCAGGAAGUCAACAAUCCAAUGCUUCAAACGGUGCGCGAUUCGGAGUUGAAACGAAGAAGUUGCAGCCAUUACAAGCCAGUCACUCUAAAGUGUUGCGGAAUCAGCCUUUUGUUGCGAGAAUUUCGCAGCACUUUUGUACAGUAAGGUGUUUCUCCUUCUGACGAUGCACGAACCAUGCCGCGAGAGGGAAGCUAGGAACUUCAAGAUGGAAGCCAACUUUGCAGCCUGGUGAAGAUAGCUUGGUCUUGCGAAAUAAUUUCGCAGCCCUCUUGGGUGUCUGCGAAAUUUCGCAGGCACCACUUUUUUCCUGCGAAAUGGCUCCGGAAGCCUCCCGAAGCUUGCUACCGACAUUGGGAGAUAUUUUCCAUUAGAUUUUUGUUGUCUAAAUUCCAAAAUACUCCUUGUAAACCACCAAUUACAUGAUUCCUUAGUUUUUAAGUUAGUAAAAAGACCAAAUAUCUAUGUAAUAAUUAGUUUUAUAUUAGUUUGCUAUAAAUACCUCUCGGGAGCAUGUUCUCAGAGAGGAGUUCCUUCUGUAACCAUUUUGGUAAGCAAGUAAAGUCUUUUCUUUCUACUGCCUUACCUUCUCACUUUGUAUUUUCAUUUUAUUUCUAAGUUAUGAAUUCUCUGAGGAGCUUUCCCCAGAGAAUGAGUAACUAAACCUCCAAUUCCUUGGAGCUAAGGUUGCCGGGGAAGGUUCCAAGUGCAAGAAUGCAAAGCUCUGUGGUUUUAGCUAGUAAUGAAGAGGAAGUGAAAUCCUUUAGUGAUUUCAAUGUUUUUAGUUAACUUAAAACACCUUGGAGUCACCUGGGCCAACACUUGGUAAGGCAAGUGAUUUCCAACCGUGGAAAUGCACUAGUUUACCCCUUGCGAGCCUCUGGUAGGUGACUUCAAGGUAGGAUUUUCUGGAAUUACCAACACUUGGUAAGCUUUUGGACUCCUAGGAGACAUCCAUUAGUUAUCUCUUGCGAGUUUGUGAAGGGGAAUCCAAGGUUAAAGAUCACCUUGAAUGGUAAGUGCUCGUGAGAGGCAUGAACCAUUGCAAGUUGUAUCAGUGAGAGAAUUAAAGUGAAAUCUAAUUGAAGGAGUCUCUGUACAUCACCGGUUAGAGAAUUGACUAUAAGUUGAAUCUCUAAUGCGAGGAAAUGAACCAUCUGACCGGAGCUAUGUCUUUUGCAUGAGGAACCACCCCAGUGAACCUAAAUCUCCAAGGAAUGCUUUUCUUCCUAAAUUAUUCCAAACUUCUGUUAAGUUAGUUAGUUUAAGUCUAAACCUUUACCAAUCAAACUUUGUGUUUUAUUCCUUAAGCUAACCGUGAAAUGAAACAAAACCAAUUCACUUGGAAUUGGUAUCCUUGAUUGCUUGCAAAUCAUUCCCAGUGAACGAUCCUUAGAGCCACUAUACUAUAGUAGCUUUGUAUUUGCUACCCUAGUGUAUGGUGUUAUAGGUAUAAAUUUUGUUGAUCACUUCCUCAAUCAAGGAACACCAGCUGAACACAAAUCAGCUGAGACACCAAUUGGGCAUGAGUCAGUGCGUUAGAGGAUCAAGAAGAAGAAAAAGAAGGAACUGUUGGAAUUAGUAUGAGUGUGAAGAGAAAAGUAUAUAAAUAAGGGGAAGUAAAAGCAAAGUUCAAAAAGCUAUAUUUUUUUAUUGUUGGUGUAUGGUUGCAUGAUUAUCCCUAUAAAUAAUAGGAGUUUUUUGGUAUUCUACUAGUAGUUGAAGCAUAAUUUCAUAAAUUAAUAUUUAGAGCGGGGUGGGGUGAGUUGUGACAAAAUUCAUACCCGUCCCAAACCUUGGUUCAGAUUUUUAAAAUAUUCUCAAACUUAUCAUAUACCCAACUUUUAUAUUUCAUACUUGUCCUAAUAGAGGCACGUUAGGCCGGGUUACUUGAGUAACCUACAUAAUUGUCAUCCCUAGUUGAAAUACACUUUUUGGCAGUGGCCACCAACUGAGCUAGAAGCUUGAUUGAUUGACCUACAAGAUUAGUUCUCAUCAUUUUAAAAAAAGUUCUGGCUUUGGUUGUGAGUGCAAUUGAAUCUAAACUGGCAUUUGCUUAAUGCAUCUACUUCAAUCCUAAACUUCUUACUUCUUAAGCCUCAAUUGUUGUUAGGAUUUUGGAAAACCCAUUUCCUUAAAUUGUAAAUUUAAGAUAAAAUAAAAUAAAAGUGAGACAUUUCUUGAUUGAAUAUUGUUAAAGGUCCCUUGGCAUUAAGACUUGGUUGAAGCCUUGGAAGAUUAGUGGAACUCUCAACAUGUGUUUGAAUCUUGAGGAGAGUGGAUGUAAGCCAAAAUUUUGUCAAACCAUUAUACAAAUUGAGUUUGAAUCCUCAUUUCUUGAUUUCUUAUUUAUUUGCUUUUUCUUAUUAUUACUUGAAUUGUCAUUUGCAUUCAUUAAUGUUAAAAUUGGUUAUAAUUAACCAACACUAAUUCUCUUUCCCCUUCCCUUUCUUGGGUGUAAACCUAGGUUGGAUUAACUAGAUAAAUCUAUUAAGAUGGUAAAAGAAUAAUUAUUCUUAACAUACAUAAGAUCAUCUUCAAUCAAAUGACUCAUUGGCUAAUAUGUUGAAUUUGCUUAUUACUUGCAACUCAAAAUUGUGUUCUAGUUGUGUCAAGUCCCCAGUGUAUGGACAUUAAAUUUGUAGUACGUGAUGAGUAAUUAGAUGGUCCAACUCCAAGAAAGUGAUUGAAAAGUAGUUCAAGAAAGGUGCAAAAGGGAAUUGUUUUGGUAUUUUCGUUUUUAUUCUUGAAGGUGGCAGAGCUAAAAUUUGAGAAAUCAAGCAAAACAUACUGAAAUUACAUUGAAAGAAAGAAGAUGGGAGUUAAUGUCUUGCAGUACAUGAUAAGGACUUCAUGCAUGUAGUGUGACCCAUGUCUUGGACUGAUGCCAACUCACGGUUACACUUAUACCCUUGGUUCUCUCUUUACUACCUUGGCUAACCUAGAUCAGGCUAUGAGAUAGGCUCCUCACCACACCAUUACUUGCCCAUUAAUUAGAGACAUUUUCAAGCAAUGAGGUAACAUGGUGACACCAAGAGGGUCUAUUCCUCGCCCGGAACAAGUCUAGACUUGGUCUCAAAAAAAUGGAGAAAAAUGAGGUGUCGUUAUGUAGAAAUACAACAACCAUGCCUUCCUCAUUACUUAGAUUCAGAAUGUGAAGGUGAAAUUGAGAAACAGAAACUCUUGAAACCAAAAUGAAAAUUGAUACUUUUACGAAGAAUUACAACAACAUUAGAGGAAGACUACAUUCUUCCUCUUUAUUCCUACAUUUCUACACUACUUCUACUCCACUCCAUAUUUCUACAUACAUCUUUAAUCAGUCUUCCCUCCUUUAUAUAGAGCCAUCUUCACACAAAUUUCGCAAGGUAGAAAAGAGGAAUGAAACUUGGAGCAAGGUUCGACUACUGGUUGUAGCUUGUCAAGGCUGGAAGUGAACUUUUCUUGGCUUUCUGGGCAUGGGUAGUAACUUGUGGGUUCCUGUUUGGCAUAAAAAUGGCUAGAACAUGUGGCACUAUCUUGUUGGAUGAUGUGUCAAGCAUGUGGCAGCCAUCUAGUGGCGAUUAUGUCAAUUUUGGGAUGGAGAGUUGGCAUCCAAUUGCAAAGAAAUAUGACGUCUACCAACAUGCAAUGUAAACCUAUGUAGAUCAUAUGAAGAUAGAGAGGAAAAAUAUAGAAAUGGAUAUAUACCUAGAACUAGCUUUUUAUUAAAUGAAACGGAGAGACAACAAUGAAGGAAAAUAAAAUUUUUUGGCUUAUAUCAAAGAGUUCACAUUGUGUUACCCUAGGUUUUCUUAAAACUUACUUUUAUGAUAACAAAAAAGAAAAAACCAUUAUUGUUUAAUCCUUUGUUUUAAACGCAUGUAAGGUGUAAUUAAGUUAGUUCAAUGCAUUAAUUUAAGAAACUUGACCUAUCAAAAGUACAAAAUUAGAUGAAAUCCAUUUCAAUGGUUAAAAUGAUCAAAAUCAAACUUUUUCUAAGUAUUUUUUAAAAGCAUCAAUAGUGAAAGACAAUUUUAUAUUUAGUCGGAGUUUGGACAAAACUGAAAAACACACAAAAUCCAAGCGACCAUCUCUAGCUUGGAUGGUCGCUUGAUCCCACCUAGAGAUGUGCAUGAGUAAAAGGAUUUGAAAAUGGAAAUUGACUAUGUAGUCGAUCAAUUAACUUUGCAACAUCAUAUGCAAUCCUAAUUGCUAGUCAUCUAAUCAAUUAGGUAGUCAAUCAACAGGCCAAAAAUAUGUUUAUAAUGACUAUUUUGUACAAAAACCACCUGUAUAGUUAAAUAUAAUGCAUUUCAUUUAUAAAUCUUCUAAUUCUUGAAUAACGAUCCUAUCAUCCUUUGAAAGUUUUUAUUACACUUUUUUUACUUUUGUUCUAAAACUUACACAUCACCCUUAAUUGUACCAUGAGAACCUAGCUAUUUUUUAUUUUUUUUUUUGUAAUUCAUCAAAGUUAGCUUUUGUAUUCAUUGUUGUAUUAUUUUUAGUAUAACUUAGAAAGCUAGUGUUUUCAAGUGAGUAAAAUUAACUUGUAAAUAUUGUAAAGAUUCAUCGACAUGUAUCUUAAACUAAGUGUACAAGUUAAAACAUUUGCUAGUAGAUUUUCUCAAAAUUUAGAAUAGAGCUUGAGACUAUUGAAAUAGGUGGGGUUGCACCAAACCACAUCACAUCGUUGUUUGCACCUUUUUUCACUCUCUUUUACUUAGUUGCUCUAUAUUUGUUGUCUAGUAAUAUCCUAUAGGCUUGAUGGGUUAGGGAGCAUCCCUUUGUGAAAAAAUUUUAUUCAAUCCUUAGUUGUAUCACGCAUAUAUAAAAUGCCUCAUUGUUUUAAUGGUAUUCAGUCGUGGCAUCACAGAUAUGGGCAUCUAAAUUUUAAAAGUUUGAAACUUUUAUCUAAAGAAAAUAUGGUGCUUUGCCUUUUUGUAAAGCAUGUUGAUGAAAUCCAUGAGAAUUGUGUACUUGGGAAGCAACACCGAGAUGACUUUUUUUUUUUUUUUAUAAUAUUGUUUGUCCAAAUUCCCUACAAAUUAGGCCACCAGAUGUUCAUAAUUCUCCCUUCUUGAAUUUGAAAACUCGGACAAUUGGACAAUGCGACACCUAAGUCCGGUUUCUAAAUGCUAAAGUGAAAGGGUAGGUAUGGACCAUUGAAAUGUGAUCACAACUUUUCUCUGUAGCCAUGUUGUCUCUUUUUUCUUUUGCAUGAUUUUCUUACCUUAACAGAAUCAUAGACUUGUUUAGUCUCUAAAUGGGAUUAAUUUCAUCCAGCUUUAAGCUACUAUAUUAUAUCUAGGUGGAGGACUUUUAAGAGUGCAACCGACAUAGAGCACAUGGAAGUGGGUAUAUGGGACAUGAAAUUUCUUCUUAUAAAGAUUGCAUGAUUUUUAUAUUAGAGUUGUUGAGGCGCUAUGUAUUUAGCUUGUUUUGCAGUUAAAUUAAUUGGAUAAGUAGACAUUGGCGUUUCUAAAUCUACUGUGAAGUGCUUCAUGUACGUGUGAAGUAUUAGAAAUUUCUUUCUUGGCAACUUGUUUUUCUUUGCGGUCUACUGAUAGGUUUGACUAAAAUUAUAUUCCCUGUCAUGCUAAUUAAUUUUCACGUGCAUGCUCAAAAGAAAAGUAUGACCUUAGUGCACCAAAAUCACUUUGAUUAAUUUGUGAUAGGUUUUUGUGCAUCAUGACAUUAGCCUUAUUCAUUUAGAUAAUGUUUAGUUUUUAGAAAGUAUUAAGAAAAGGAAAAUAAAUAUUAAGAAAAAUAUUCUUAUAUUUGAUUGUAUUAUGAAAAAUAUCAUAAAAAAAUCAAAUAUAAUUUAAAUUAAUUAAUAAUUUAUACAUUUUCAAAUUAUUUAAUCUUUAUAUUGAAGAUAUAAUAUAAAUGAAAUGAGUUUUAAGUAUUAUAUAAAAGUGAUUUAUUGAUCUUACAUAUAUAUAUUUCUUUUUUUUUUCCUUCUAUUUUUUCUCUUUAUUUUAUUUUCCUUAUGUUUUCCUCAACAUUUUCCGGAACCAAACAUAGCCUUAGGAAAUCCACAAUUACCUUCAACUGAGUAGAUUCUGUUGUUUUAGCAAUGUUAGGCUGCUAACUUGUGUUGGUACGAACCUAUUAAGCCUAAAGAUGUAAUUAGUUAGGAUAUUCUUUUCCCUCUAGUCUUGUAGCUCCACGUGUACAGUUGGUUAGGACCUCAUUGUAUAUAAUGCUUGCCCUGUUAUUGUAGAAGACAACAAAGAUAAAUAAUAUUAACAUUUUUCCUCUCAUCUCUCUCUGUUUCCCUCUGUUUUCAUCUCCUCUCUCAUCUUGGUAUCAGAGCCUCCAUGGCUUCUUUCAAAGAAACCUCCGAAUCACCUUCUGCUAGCAUUGUUAAUGUGCAAAACCCAUUAUCUCAAUCAAACAACCUUCCUUCACCAGUAGCCACACCCUCUUUUUCUUUCUCGUCUAUGAAUCAACCUCUCACAGUGAAGCUGGAUAAUGGGAACUACCUCAUAUGGAAGAAUUAGCUUCUAAAUGUCAUCAUUGCUAACGGACUCGAUGAUUUCAUUGACGGAUCUCGACCCUGCCCUCCUCGAUUUCUCGAUCUGCAACAACAAACCCUCAAUCCAGAGUACUCAGCUUGGCAGAGAUACAAUCGACUUCUGAUGAGUUGGCUGUACGCAUCCUUGUCCAAAGAUAUAAUGGCUCAGAUUGUUGGGUAUUCAACAGCUAUGGAGAUUUGGAAUGCCCUUAAUCAGAUUUACUCUGCCUCUUCUAUGGCGCGGUUUACUGAGCUUCGCACCAAGCUUCAAACGCUCAAGAAAGAUGGACUCUCAGUUGGUGAAUAUAUUCAAAGGCUCAAAUCCAUUUGCAAUAGUCUUGCAGCAAUAGGAGAACCAGUUUCUGAGAAAGACCAUCUUAUCUAUUUGUUCAAUGGAUUAGAUUGUGAGUAUUAUUCUUUUGUUACCUCCAUUCAAAAUCGAUCUGACCAACCAACUAUUGACAAAAUCCAUAGCCUAUUGCUUAGCUAUGACUUCCGGCUUGAACAACAAAACUCUGUUUCUCUCCAUUCUGCCCAAGUCCAUAUGGCUCAUCUGAACAAGAAACCUUAUAAAUCAACUCCUCAACCUACAUUCAAUCAUAUUCACAUUCAACCUAGAUACUCUUCUCCACCUUUUAAGCCAACCACUAGUCAAUAUCAACCCAACAUUUUGGGCAAACCACAACCACAACCAUGACAGCCUCAACCUCAAUGGAAACCACAUUUUUCAAUCUAAAAUCAAAAGCCUCAGCGCCAAAUUUGUGGUAAAUUUGGACACACUGCUCUUAUUUGCUUCCAUCACACAAAUUUGAACUAUUCACCCCAACCUUCUCCUAAAUCUUUCAAUACUGUUCUCACCACAAAUUCCCAGCUCCCUAAUCCUCCAAAAUUUUCUUACCCUACAAUGGCUCAUCCUGCUGCUACGCAUAACACGGUUCCCGAUACAAAUUGGUACAUGGACUCAGGUGCUACACAUCACUUUACUCUGGACAUCAACGUGCUUGACACUGUGACACCAUUUAGUGGUUCAGAACAGGUGACAGUUGGGAAUGGUAAGCAACUCUGUAUCUCACAUCUUGGUACUGCAAAACUACCAUCUUCGUAUUCUCCUCCUGUUCUACAUCAGGUAUAUCACACUCCAAAAAUUUCAAAUAAUCUUAUUAGUGUUAAAAAAUUGUGUUCUGAUAAUAAAGUUUUUGUUGAAUUUUAUGCCACUCAUUUUCUUGUCAAGGAUCAGGUUUCGAAGAGAGUUCUCCUUUAGGGUCAACUUGAUAAUGGCUUAUACAAAGUUCAGUCGUCAUGCUCUCCUUCUGCUGUUUCCUUUCCUCCUCAAGUUUUCAUAGCCAACAUCAAGUAUCCAAAUCUGUGGCACAAGAGACUAGGCCACCCAGCUUUAUCUGUUGUUAAUCAAAUCUUGGAUUCUUGUAACAUUGCUCGAACACAGAAAAUUUGUUUUAAUUUUUUAAAUUCUUGUCAAUUAGCAAAGAGCCACAGGCUUCCUUUUUCUCUGUCUCCAUCCAUUGCAGAAAAACCUUUUGAGUUAAUUCAUACAGACCUAUGGGGUCUUUCGCUCGUUCGCUCUAUUUCUGGUGCUCUUUAUUUUUUACUUUUCAUUGAUGAUCAUACUCGUUUUACUUGGUUUUAUUUGCUCAAAACAAAAGAUGAAGCAUAUCCUACUUUUCUCAAGUUUCAAGCUCUCAUUGAAAAUCAAUUUAAUACCAAGAUUAAGGCUGUCCAAUCUGAUUGGGGAGGUGAGUUUCGAUCUCUCUCCAUACCGUUUUCAAAUAUGGGCAUUGUCUAUUGUUUAUCGUGUCCAUACACCUCACAACAGAAUGGGCGAGUUGAGCGAAAAAAUCGCCAUGCGAUUGUCCUUUCUUGCUUGCUCUAUGCCCUUAUCUUAUUGGCCUUAUGCCUUUCAAACUGCCACUUACCUUAUUAAUCGUCUCUCUACCCCUGUGCUGCAUCAUCAAUCCUCUUACUUCGCACUCUAUCACAAACUCCCAACUUAUACUCAUCUUAAGGUCUUUGGUUCCUCUUGUUUUCCGUAUUUGCACCCUUAUAAUACCCAUAAACUCCAAUACAGGUCACUAGAGUGUGCUUUUCUUGGUUACAGUUCACACCACAAAGGUUAUCUAUGUCUUGACAUUCAUUCUAGCAGGGUGUAUAUUUCUCGCCAUGUGAUUUUUAAUGAAGAUUCUUUUCCAUUCAAGAAUUUGAAAUCUUCUCUCUCUCAGUCUAUUUCUUCUUCCUCUUCUUUAUAAGUUCCUCUGUUCAUUCUCUUGCCUCCCCUUUCCCCAUCUCCUCUUAUUUCUUCAUCUAUACCUCAUUCUUUUCCCUCUUCUUCUUCUACCUCUAGUACUUGUUCCCCUCUCGUUGCUCCUACCUCUCUUCCUUCCUCUUCACACUCUGUGUCUCCAUCUAUUCCACCUCCUUCUCCACCUUCUCCGAGUGUGGACCUGCUUGCACCUUGUGUGAAUACAAAUUUACAUACUUCUUCUCGCACUCACAAUAUUCAUCCUAUGGUGACUAGAUCUAAGGUUUGUAUCUAUAAACCUAAGUUGUUGUUGAGUGUCUCCAUAGGUUCUCUCACUAAGCCUACUUCCUUUCUUCAAGCUAUUAAAGAUCCUUCAUGGAAGCAAUCCAUGGAAUUCGAGUUUGCUACCCUUCAACACAACAAGACCUGGCAUUUGGUUCCUUCACCUUCCUCAGGCGAAGUAAUCGGUUGUAAAUGGGUCUAUAAGCUAAAGCUUCAGCCUGAUGGCUAAAUUGAGAGAUACAGCCUGCUUAGUAGCUAAGGGUAUCAUCAAAUUGAAGUAUGGACUACUUCGAAACAUUCAGCCUGAUNNNNNNNNNNNNNNNNNNNNNNNNNNNNNNNNNNNNNNNNNNNNNNNNNNNNNNNNNNNNNNNNNNNNNNNNNNNNNNNNNNNNNNNNNNNNNNNNNNNNAGCUUCAGCCUGAUGGCUAAAUUGAGAGAUACAAGGCCUGCUUAGUAGCUAAGGGUUAUCAUCAAAUUGAAGGUAUUGACUACUUCGAAACAUUCAGCCUGAUUGUCAAGCUUUCUACUAUCUGUAUUGUGCUCAGUCUUACUUUUUCCCAGAAUUGGUGUAUUAGACAGCUGGAUGUUCAUAAUGCCUUCUUACAUGGUGACUUAGCUAAAGACGUUUUCAUGGAACAACUGCCUGGAUUUGUUGAUCCUCUCUAUCCUACUCAUGUCUGCAAGUUGGAUAAGUCUCUCUACUGUCUUAAAUAGUCACCUCGGGCUUGGUAUACUAAGCUGAGUACUUCUCGCUACACUUGGGAUUUGUUACUUCUAAGAAUGACUCUUCCUUAUUUAUUUGUCAUUCGUCUCAUGGGUUACUUCUUGUUCUUGUCUAUGUGGAUGAUAUAAUCGUCAUUGGGAGCCACUCUCCUCAGGUUACUCACCUUAUCCAACAGUUGCAUCAUUAGCUUUCUUUAAAGGAUCUUGGUCCUUUACAUUAUUUUCUGGGCUUGGAGGUUCAUCACACCCCUACUGGUAUUCACCUCAGCCAAGCAAAGUAUAUCACUGAUCUCCUUACCCGGGCGGCUAUGUUGGAUGCCAAGCCAUGUCCCACUCCUAUGUCCUCCAACACAUAUCUCUCUUUUCAUGAUGGAGUGGCUCUUGAAAAUGGUUCAGAUUAUCGAAGUUUUGUUGGUGCCCUUUAGUAUUGUACCAUGACACGCCCAGAUAUAGCUUUUGCAAUAAAUAAAGUGUGUCAAUUCAUGCACCAUCCCUCUAAUGUUCACUGGCAGGCUAUAAAACGUAUUCUCCGGUACUUAAAGGGCACAUCUCAUUUUGGUCUCUUCCUACAGCCUUCCUAUGACUUCAACAUCACUUGCUAUACAAAUGCCGACUGGGCUUCCUGUCCUGAUGACAAGUGUAGCACCAGUGGCUACUGCCUCUUUCUUGCCUCUAAUCUGGUUUCUUGGUCAUCUUCCAAACAAAAAGUGGUCUCCCGCUCCAGCGCCGAAUCAGAGUACCGAGGGGUAGCAAAUGGGGCUGCUGAAAUUGCUUGGACUGAAUCUCUUCUUUGUGAACUUUCCAUUACUCCCCCUCCCCUCAUUCUCUGUGACAAUAUCAGUGCCACGUACUUAGCUGCCAAUCCUAUUUUGCAUGCCCGCACCAAACAUGUGGAAAUCGACUAUCACUUUGUCACGGAACGUGUUCUUCAAUGCUCUCUUUUUGUCCAGUUUACACCUUCUGAUGAUCAACUUGCUGAUUGCAUGACCAAGCCUCUCUCCACCCAACGUUUCAUCACUCUACGCUCCAAGCUCACUGUUCUCACUAGACCAAUGAGCUUGAGGGGGGAUGUUAAGCCUAAAGAUGUAAUUAGUUAGGAUAUUCUUUUCCCUCUAGUCUUGUAGCUCCACGUGUACAGUUGGUUAGGACCUCAUUGUAUAUAAUGCCUGCCCUGUUAUUGUAGAAGACAACAGAGAUAAAUAAUAUUAACAUUUUUCCUCUCAUCUCUCUCUCUGUUUCCCUCUGUUUUCAUCUCCUCUCUCAUCUGAACCAAAUGAUCCAUGUUAACCUUGGCUUGGUUUGAUUUGGCUCUAUCUUAGAGAGCUCAAGGAUCACGUCAACUCUGGUUUCUACUAUUCAGGUCCAUUCCCAUAUGAACUGGUUCAAAUUUGAGAAAAUGGUAACAGACCUUUAGUGAUGUUGGUUUGGAGCCAGUUGCCAAACCCGCCCUGAGCUUUACCACUAAUGUCAAGGGAGAAAGCCAUUUGAACAAAAACAAUAGCUUCAAGGGACUGAAUCGUGGAUGAAAUCUGAUCCACAUUUCUUCUCAUUUUGGAAACAAAUGAGAACUUAACUAAGAAGAUUCUACGGCCUCAUAGUGCUUUUCCUGAUCUAAGGUUGGUUCGUUUCCCAAACUGUGAGAUGCACGUGCCAGACUUCAGAACUCUCACGCUCAGGAGUGUAUCCACGUGGUGGACAUAAGAUGGUGGCUUAAGAUCUGGUGUCGGUGGCUUUACUUUACUAGGAGAGUAGUGUGUCUUCAUCUCAUUCACUGCCGGAGGGUGGCGUAAGCAGUGACGCUAAGGUGGGGCACAGUCAAUAUCAUUUGCAUUUGACCAUUAUAGUUUUCUCCCGGCUUUAAAGUAACCUUAUCGUGAUAAAGGAUUACUAGCACUAGUUCAGAUGAUAGUCAUGUUAAAUUCGGACCAUGUUUGUGUCACAUUAUCAGCAACCAUGUGUUUAUGGUUCAUGCUUUCUGCAACUAAAAUUGAUAUAUAACCAGGUGAACUUCAAUCUAAAUUCUGAAAGUACUCAUGUGAUAGAUGGUGCCCGUCUGCAGAGUCCAUCAAUUGAAAAAUGGAGUGAGUGUAUCUAUAAGAGGGAAGGCUUGGAAAAUGUUCAGUUUUCUGGGAAUUCAACAAGGAUCUAAAAUAGAUUGUUUUCUUUGCUGAUUUCAAUGGUUGAAAUUUGAGAAGAUUGUGUCCACAUAACACAACUAUUACUGGUCCUUCUGUUGCAAUUUAUCCUCUAAAGCUCUAGCAUGUCUUCCAAUUCCCACUUCCCUGUUACUCCAGGAAAGCUAUUUCUGUCAUUGUGAAGAAGAAAAGAGAAUGUACAUAUCGAUGCUUUUAAGUGACUGGAGCAUUUAUAUCAGGUGGUCUGCAGCCAUAUAUGCCACUUUGUGAAGAUUGGAACAGUCAAUCACUAGGCUAUAUAUUAGUGUGGCCCAGCCACUUUAAUCAAGGACAAGUCUUCAUACUUAAAGUCAAAUUCUGCCUUUAGUCUCAUUAUAAAUUUCUGUUUAAAUAUUAAGCAAACAUUUGUUUAAUGCGAUUAAGACAGUACUAACUCAAUACCUGUUCUAUUUUUGGAUGCAAAUGCUUGAUGGUUUCAUCAUUGGAUGGGAUAAAGGUGCAUUCAUGAUUAGGAAUACUAGUAGUUAUAUUUUAAUUCUCUUUUUUCUCAAUGAGACUUGUUGGCACAAUUUUGCUGUUGAGAAACCUACCUCUCCAUGGAAAAUAAGUUGUGAUUGAUAGUACUGGAUAUAUUCAAGAAAUCUAAAUAUAGAUAGCACAAAAUAUUAUCGACAUAAAUAGCAUUAACAGCGUACGUAUGUCUCAGUGCUCAUCAGCUAUAAGCAUGGGGCAAACACUUACUAUGAGCAACUUACGUCAAAAUUCCAGAAUAGGACAUAGAAGUGACAGAUAUAGAACAUUGCAUAUGAGUCACAAGAAAGGAAAUUACGGGUGCAUAGCAGCUCUUAUUUUACAUACUACUACUCAUACUGAUCAAAGUCACUCAGUUGGGAUGGGUGGGAGUAGGAGGUUUGUGGGGUGGCUUGUGCGGAGGAGUUGGCAGCUUCUUUCCAGGACCUGGUUGCUUCUCUGCUGGAGUUGAAGGAGGCUUAAUCUUCCGAGGUGGCUUGUAUGAGUCUUCAGCAUUCUCAGCUGGAGGGUGACCAGGGUUGUGACCAUAAUGUGGUGGCUUCUCUCCCUUAGGUGGUUUGCCAACUGGGGUUGGUGGCUUGUAUGAGUCUUCAGCAUUCUCAGCAGGAGGGUGACCAGGGUUGUGACCAUAAUGUGGUGGCUUCUCUCCCUUAGGUGGUUUGCCAACUGGGGUUGGUGGCUUGUGUUCUGGGAGUGGCUUCUCCCCCUUGGGAGGUUUUUCCAAUGGGGUUGGUUUGUGUUCAGGAGGUGGCUUCUCCACUGGAGGCUUGUGUUCAGGAGGUGGCUUCUCCACCGGAGGCUUGUGUUCAGGUGGUGGCUUCUCCACCGGAGGCUUAUGCUCUGGUGGUGGCUUCUCGAAUGGGGGAUGCUUAGGAUAAUCAGCAAGUGAGGGGGCGGUGAGAACCACCAGGCCAAGCAACACCACUAGCAAAUAUGUAGGAGACAUCUUUGGGUUUGGGCUCAGAUGGUGCAAAACUAGGAGAAUUGGCUAGCCUUUUAUAGCGGAUCGUACCCAAUAAUGAAAUGACACGUGUCAUUAUGACCCAUGUGUAAUGGGGUCGAUUUGGGUCCUACAGUGUUGAAAACUUCGACAUCCACUU
rnacentral:lncRNA from 1 species